GUAAAGGAAGGUAGGAACUUUACGACUGAGUUGUUGAGAUGUUAUGCACUUUAGCAAACUGAUGACUUCCAAUUGGAACUUUGGGAUUGAGGUAUAAAAGGAAGGUUCCAAUACCAUCUUGUUUUCAUUAAUCGAAAGGGCUUUGAGGUUUGAAAGGUUUGCAAAUGGUGCAAAUGACAGCGGAAUUUGAAAAUGGUUUCUUGAAAUAUCUAACUCACGAAGAGAUGUCAAGUUACUAAAACAAUGAGGAAGCAUCCCCUCAAGUGCAUUCUCACUCACAUCCAACACUUCAAGGUUCCUAAGAUCACACCAUCCUGAAAAUUUUAUAAAUAAAUUCAUGGAAGAAGUUUCAAUUAAAUUUUGCUUUAUAAAACAGAAUAGGAGAUAAUAUAUUACAGAAAGCUCAUAAAGAAAUCAAUUUGAGCCAUAAAAUUAUUUACCUUGAUUAGGUAAGGGACCAAUAAGUCCACAAUCAGAUAAAUACAAUGUUUUAAGAGAAGCAAAUACUCCAAUGCUUUGCAAAAUGUUGGUGUUGAGAGUAGAAUAGUCAAGAUAUAUUUCCUCCAAACUGCUCGACACAUUUGAAUCUAAGCAAUGUCAAGAGGUAUUAGAUAACGGUAUUAUAGAAAGCCUCUACUAAGCAGAAUGCUUUAUUUUCUGUGAAUGAAAUGAAGUAUAUAAAUAUAUAUAUUUUUUAUGAAUUAGAUUAUUCAUGAUUUAUCUGAGAUAAAUUUUGAUAGAGAGAAGAUGUUGAAACUUUAAUAUAACUCUUUAUCCAUUUUAUUAAUUAUACUAUUUUUUUUCUUUUUAUAUUUUCUUAUAUUAUUUUUUAAUAUAAGUAAUUAACUGAUAUAGCUAAGUUGUAUAAUUUUCAAACUCCAAUCAACAACACUAUAAAUAAUAUUUAUAAAAUAAAACAUGUCUACACUAAAUGUAUGUUUAAAUUUCAUAAAAUUGAAGAUAUUUUUAAAUUAUUCAAAAUUCACAUGUCUACACUAUAAAUAAUAUUUAUAAAAUAAAACAUGUCUACACUAAAAUUAGUAUAUUACCUUUAAAGAUGCCAAUAGUAUAUAAAAAAAUCAAAUAGGUAUUUUACUCACCAAUAAAUAAAACUCAAAAGAAUUAUAAGUAAACUCAGCGGAUUAAAUGAAAAUUUUAAAGCAUUAAAUCUUGGCCCAAAAAUAGAGUUAAGUUAAAAUUCAAAAUUCAAAAUUAUUUUAUUAAUAUUGUUAAAAUUAUUUUAUUAAAUCCAUGUUCAUUACGUCAUUUUUUUAGUUACAUUGUUAUCAAGUUUUUUUUUAUUUCAAAAUGUCACACCAACAAACUAUUUUAAAAAUUUAACAAUUUUAACAAUUGAACUAGGAUUUUGAAUUUUUUUUUUUUAAAAAAGAGGGACUAAAUUCUUGAAAAUAAAAGUAUAAGAAUUAAAUUACAAAUUAGUAAAGAGUACGUAGACCAAUCAUAUUUUUUUAAACCAAAAAGUUAAAAACAUAUGCACUUUGAAAUUUAUAAAAAGAUUGCAAUGGAAGUUUAAGCACCUCUAAAUGUAUGUUUAAAUUUCACAAAAUUGAAGAUUUUUUUAAAUUAUUCAAAAUUGACAUUUAUUUAUUUUUGCCAAAAAAAUGCCAUUUAUUUAACUCUAAUAUGUAUUUUUAUGUUUUAUACUAUUAAAAAUAUAUGAAAUUAAAAUAUAGUUAUAUUACAUAUUUUCUCAUAAAUAUAUGUUUUUUAUUUAUUUAUAAUAUCAUUGUUUUUAUUGUUAUAAUUAUUUUUAUCUAAUAAAAAUUCAAUAAAUUAUUUAAAAAAAUAUUUAUACAAACAAAAUAAUUAUAAACAUUAAUAUUUUAAAAUGAUGAAAAUUUUAAAGAAUUUUAGUUUCAAACCAAAGUCGAAACACAUUAUAAUGGAGGAUUUAGAAAAUGUUUCACCAAACCCAUAUUUUACUUUCAAGUAUGAUAUGAUAUAACUUUAUUAAUAUUUAUGGCAAUAACCGUUAUUAUAAUAUAUGAGAUCAAAAUUAAAUUUCUAAAUUAAAAAAAAAAGGAAGUUUAAUUAAAUGCAUCCAAAUCUAGGAAAACAAAAACAACAAAUCAACUUCAUUAUAUUCUCUUAAAACAUUAUUAUAUUCUUGUUAAAAAUCUAAUAUUUUUACCUUUCAUAUCUAUUGAUCCUUUCAAUUCAUUGAACCUUAUGCUCAAAGAUUUCAAAUUUGAAAGCUUGUUAAGGGAUGCAAAUACACUAGUAUUGAAGUGGUUGAAAUCUAAAUUAAGCUCUUCCAAGUGGGUCAACUCCAAUUUUCUACCACCAUCUACAAAAGAUUUAUAUAAUUUCAUCACUGAAAUAAAUUGGCAUAAAAUUUAAUUAUAUGUAAGAAUUUAGAUAAUUGGUUAAAUAUAAAUGCAUACCUUUAAAGGAUUGAAAGCUUUCAAUUUGAUUCCCACUUAAAUCGAGUUUCUUCAAAUUUGUUAAAUUGCUCAAUCCUAUACAUAUUCACGUCCAAUUCAAAAAAUCAAACCACUUAAUAUUUUAAUGAAAUAAAAAUGAAAAAAAGUAAAUCUAAAACUUGAAGUGAAGAUGAAAAUCCUCAAACGUGAAAUGUGAAUGUUCAAAUUUGAAACAAUUAAUUUUAAAAGGUUGUAGAAAGAAUUAUCAAGAAAAAUAAAGUUAUAGUUUUAGUACCUUUAGUAUCUAAUGAGCCUUGCAAAUCGUUGUCGGACAAAGUCAGAGACUUUAGGCUUGAAAGCCCUUCAAGAGAGGAAAUUGUGUUGUUCCGAAAGAGAUUAGUACUUAAAACAAGUUCCUCCAAGUUUGUUAGCCUCAAUUGCGUUCCAUCUAUCAUUGGAAGAAAAUAAUGAGUAUAAUUAAUAUCAUUCAAGAAAUAGUUAGGAAAAAUGAUUGUUUGAGAAGGAAGAGCCAAUUUAGAAGCUUUCCCAUGAAUUGAUAACUACAUUUUACAAGUAAAACUUAAUUGAUUCAAUAUAUAAAUACUUUGUUUGAGAUACCUUCCUAUUUUGAAAUUCAAUCCCAAAUAUUGAUUACUUAUAUAUAUUCAUGAUAUGAUAAAAUCAAACUUGAACAUACAUUGAUUUUUAAAGUUAAAAAGAAACAGGUAAAAUCAGUCUACCUUGAAUAUGAUUCAAAAUAUAUUUUUAUUUAUAAUAUCAUUGUUUUUAUUGUUAUAAUUAUUUUUUAUCUCAUAAAAAUUCAAUAAAUUAUUUUAAAAUAAUUAUAAACAUUAAUAUAUUAAAAUUAUGAAAAUUUUAAAGAAUUUUAGUUUCAAACCAAAUUCGAAACACAUUAUAAUGGAGGAUUUAGAAAAUGUAUCACCAAACCCAUAUUUUACUUUCAAGUAUGAUAUGAUAUAACUUUAUUAGUUAUUAUAAUAUUUGAGAUCAAAACUAAAUUUCUAAAUUAGAAAAAAAAAGGAAGUUUAAUUAAAUGAUACCUUGGUGGAUCACAAAAUUUUUCAAUUCAUUGUCGCUCAUAUAUAGUUCCCUUAAGUUGAUAAAUGCAUCCAAAUCUAGGAAAACAAAAACAACAAAUCAACUUCAUUAUAUUCUCUUCAAACAUUAUUAUAUUCUUGUUAAAAAUCUAAUAUUUUUACCUUUCAUAUCUAUUGAUCCUUUCAAUCCAUUGGCCCUUAUGCUCAACGAUUUCAAAUUUGAAAGCUUGUUAAGGGAUGCAAAUACACUAGUAUUGAAGUGAUUGUAAUCUAAAUUAAGCUCUUCCAAGUGGGUCAACUCCAAUUUUCUACCACCAUCUACAAAAGAUUUAUAUAAUUUCAUCACUGAAAUAAAUUGGCAUAAAAUUUAAUUAUAUGUAAGAAUUUAGGUAAUUGGUUAAAUAUAAAUGCAUACCUUUAAAGGAUUGAAAGCUUUCAAUUUGAUUCCCACUUAAAUCNNNNNNNNNNNNNNNNNNNNNNNNNNNNNNNNNNNNNNNNNNNNNNNNNNNNNNNNNNNNNNNNNNNNNNNNNNNNNNNNNNNNNNNNNNNNNNNNNNNNNNNNNNNNNNNNNNNNNNNNNNNNNNNNNNNNNNNNNNNNNNNNNNNNNNNNNNNNNNNNNNNNNNNNNNNNNNNNNNNNNNNNNNNNNNNNNNNNNNNNNNNNNNNNNNNNNNNNNNNNNNNNNNNNNNNNNNNNNNNNNNNNNNNNNNNNNNNNNNNNNNNNNNNNNNNNNNNNNNNNNNNNNNNNNNNNNNNNNNNNNNNNNNNNNNNNNNNNNNNNNNNNNNNNNNNNNNNNNNNNNNNNNNNNNNNNNNNNNNNNNNNNNNNNNNNNNNNNNNNNNNNNNNNNNNNNNNNNNNNNNNNNNNNNNNNNNNNNNNNNNNNNNNNNNNNNNNNNNNNNNNNNNNNNNNNNNNNNNNNNNNNNNNNNNNNNNNNNNNNNNNNNNNNNNNNNNNNNNNNNUAUACCAAACACAAUUUUUAUUAUUUGAUUUAAUAACUAUAUAUUUAAAAAAAUAUUGUCUUUAAUUAAAUUAGUUUUAUGUAAUUGCCUAAUUCUCCGAAACGAAGAGUGUAGACAUAAUAAAAUUAAACUCUAGUCAAUUUCGGUUGCCUAUCAAAUCGCAAAGGUUCCCAAAGUCAAUGUGAUUGCCACAAAAUUAGUACAUUAUUUUUCCACAAAACUAAAAUCUUGUACACCAUACAAACUUUCCGUCUCAAACAACCAAACACAGACUUAGUUGGGUAAGCCUAAAACUUCCUUGAAUAAAACAAAAAAUCUAGACCUAAAUUUUCCAUUAAUAAAAACAAAAUCAAGAGUCAAGACUUCAACUUUUUCAUGAAUUAAAACAUUCUACUUACAUUUUAGGUAUCAAAUCUCAAAAGUUGAUGUUGAGUUCGAAAUGUAAGAAGAGCAUACUCCAAUUGACUUGGCUAAAGCAGGUUUGGCAAGGAAUUCAUUGUUUUGAGCAUAUUGGUAACUUUGUUUUGGUUUUGUUGUUAUGCUCUAUUUUGGCAUAGUUUGACUGCUGUUAUUUUCUUGUUUGAACUGGCAUGGGUUGGGUGAUCUCAACUCCUUUUCUUAUAAUCAAUUGACUGAGCAGAAAAAAGAAACAACAUAUAAAUGAAAUUUAGAAGAAAACCACAUGAAGAAUUUUACAACACAAAUUACAGGAUUUUAUGUCUAUUUCACACUUUUGAUAUCUUUUCGAACAUUAGAUUUGGAAUCGACGCAACUCAUGUUUCAAUUCUUUUUCUUAUAUAAUUAUUGAUUUUAAAAAUUCCAAUUGUAUACAUAUAAAACCAAUCACAAAACUAAUAGUAUUAAUAGACAAAACGGUUUCAGGGAAAAGCAUUAGAAGAUAAAUAUCCAUAUCUCAAUCUUUCUUCGCUUCUUCCCUUAUAGAAUUGAAGAGUCUGGAAAUGCCAUAAUUGGUUAUGUUAAAAAUGACAGUCAUAAUUUUAAGUAAUUUUAAUUUGCCCUUAAUUUCAUAUAAAAUCUGUCGAAACCUUCUUUUUUUUAAAACGGGUCGACUUGAAUUUUGAAAAAUGAAAAAAAAUGGGAGUCGCCACCAAUCUUUUUUAAUAAGGUGUGAUCGGGUCACCUCGAAAAAUAGUUAUUUUUAUAAAUGAUUUGAUUUAUUAAAACAACAAUUUUGGUCCAUAAAAUUCAGAAAGAUGAGUUCGGAAGUCAGUUACGUACGAUGAAGAAUUAGCACCCUCGUAACACCCAAAAAUUGGUACCUAGUUGAUUAAUUAGUGUCUUAAUGUCGAAAGUUAAAAACUCAAAAAGAAUUGAAAAUACGAUCCUUUGUUAAAAUAUUAAAAAUUUUCAAGAAAGGGGCACAUUUCACGUUAAUCGAGAAAGAGAAUUACGUCCCGUAAGUUAUGACAUAAUGUCUUAAAUUCCCGAUACGAGAAUAAAUGCCGAAAAAUUUACUUAUUUGAAAGAUAUUUGAUUAUCUCAAUUUAUUAAAAAAGAUCAUAUUUCGUAAGUUAGAAUACAAUCCUUUAUUAAGUCCGACAUUAUUAAAAAUUUAUGUCUAAAAAGGUUCGUGUAUUUGGAUUUGUCGAGAAAAUGAAGCCCUGUAAGUUAGGGUACGACCUUUUCAAAUCAAAAUACGAAGUUUUAUUUAUUUUAAAGUCAUAAUUUAUGCAUCGAGUAGAAUUAACGUAACAUAAAUCGAUAGAAAUAAAAUACGAUGUUGAUGUGCAUAACGGAAUAAUAAAUGCAUUGGUACGAAUGACAAUAAAAUAAACAAGCAAAUAAUAAUAAACGAAAUGACAAACAAAUAAUGAAGAUAACGGACUAAGAAUUUAAAUUUAAAAAUUUAAUAUUAUAGAAAUAAUUAAAUAAAUGUUGUAAGGCAAUUUAAGAAUAAUGAUGAUGAUGAUGAUGAUGAUGAUGAUGAUGAUGAUAAAUAAAUAAACUAAAGUUUUAAAAUUUUAUAAAAAAUAUAAAUAAAUAGGGGAUAAAAUAAAAUAAAUGUAUUUAAAUUAUUUAGGUAAAUAAAUAUAAAAAAAUAUAAUAGAAAUAAUAAUAUAAGAAUUAAUUAAUUUAACAAUAUGGUAAUAAUAAGUAUAUAAAUCAGAAAGGGUAAAAUAAUAAUAAAGAUAAUGAUAUUAAAAUAAUUAAUUUAAUAAUAAAAUAAGAAAAGGACUAAAUUGGAGUUUAAACGAAAAUCAGGGUAAAAAUCGAAAGUAAAAAAAUAAGGGAGAGGGCCCAAUUGAAAGGCGCGCAUAACCCAAAGGGACCAAAUGGGGAAAUAUCCCCGCCCUCCGAAACACACCAUUUUGCUAGGACUAAAUCAGAAACAAAAUAAAAUUUGAAGUAUCAAUUGUAAAAUAAAAAAAACUGAAUUAAAAAAAUAAAAAAUGCUGAAGGGCUAAAUGCGCAAAUUGCCCACCAAAGCAAAACAAGCGGAUCCUUCUCUUGGGUCGGGUUGACACGCGGGUUGAAGGCCUUAUUACGCGUUGUUUUGGCCACUGGAGUUAAGGCUCAAAACAGUGUCGUUUCAGCCUUCUAUAAGACCAAUUCUUUUUUUGCAAAAUUUAAAUUCUCCUCCUUUCUUUAAAAAAUCGUAAAAACACUCUCAAAACCUGCCUUCUUCACAGGAAUUCGAACAUGGCUUGGGUCGCCGGAUCACCGCGGCGGCCGCCGAUUGCCAGUGACGGUGCCAUCGCCCACGGCGGCCGAAAAAUCAAAAGAAGCUUAUUUUUUGAGUUUUUCAAUUUUCCAACUCAAAAAACACCGAUUUUCAUCAGAAUCGGCGAACCUCAUGCAAAAAGGUACGUUUUUUAUUCCCUUUUCCCUUUUUAUAUUUUUUUCUUCUAAAAAAACAAAUAAGAACGAAAGAUAAAAAAAUAGAAAAAAUAAGAAAAAUGAAACUACCUUUGAAAAUCUACUGAUUUUUGUAUUGAUUUUUUUGUUCUUUUUGAUUGAUUCGUAAGGUCCUAAAAUACAGGAAUCGGGGACCUUUUUAUAGCCCGAAAAUAUCAUUUUUUUCUAUUUUUUCUCUCUUCUCUUAUUUUUUUACACUAUUAGAUUCUUAUCGUUCAUUUGUUUUACAGGUACAAGGCCGUUGGCCAGCUAGCAUACGAAGGCGCACGUGGGGAGGUGGUUGGAGGUGCGGUGGCUGAAAGCUAUUUGGGUAGGGUUUUUGUUUUUUUUUUUUUUUUUGAAAAUGUAAUGGGUUUUGGGCUUGGUUGUUAUUUUUUGGGUUAGAAUUUGUGAUUUGGGUUUGUAUUAGGCUAGGGUCUUGGUUUUUAGUUUGUAAAUGGACUAUUUGAUUCUUGGACUUUUUAUUGGGUUUGUUUUGUUUGGUUUAUUUUUAGUGGGCCAGGCGAAUCGGGCCUGUUAAGCUGUCCCUCUUUGCUCGUUGUCAUGUAACGAGAAUAGAACAAAGACUUUAAAAGGGCCGAUUUUGCUUGGCCUCUUGGUGCUCAUCUUCUUCAUGUAGCUUCUUUCUAACCCACUGCAGCUUCAAAGAGAUGAGGUUUGCAAAUUGUAGCUUCAAUAUGUUCCAUUGCAACUUCAGGGAAGCAAAAAUUAAUAUGUUUAAUUAUAAUGAUUUAAUUCAUCGUUUGCUUAUUACAUAAUAUUAAGUUAUGUUAAAUUUGUUUUUAUUAUAUAUUUCGUUUCUAACUCUUUAAUUAAUUUACUAGGAGAAACUAAAGGAUAAAAAGGCGGAGUAUGAAGCGAUUGCCUCGAGUGAUAGUUUUGUUAAUGUCGAUGACAUUGAUAAUCAGAUUAUUACCUGAAGUUUUGGGUCCUGAGCGGUAUGGUCGGGUUUGAUUUCAAGGUUCUUUUGUUAACCCAACCUAAUAUUUUGGAUCCAGCUUGCAGCAAUACAUGCCUUCGGGGAGUCAGGCUCAAGUUGAAGUUCAGAGGUUAAGAGACCAGCUGGCUUAGAUGCAAGUGACCACAAUUGAGCAAAUUACUCAACUUAAAGCGGAGGCAGCAUCAAAAGAAGUUGAAGUUCAAAGAAAAUAUGAAGAACUCCAGCUACAACUUAAAGCAGAGGCUACUGCGAGGGAAGCAAAGGUAGCAGUGAGGGAAGCAGAGUAGAGCAGAAAGUACGAUGCACUCCAACUACAGCUUCAGAAUAUGAUGAAGAUGUUUCAGCAGUCGCAAAAUUUGCCAUAUUAGACUAUUGUAUGAAUAAUUUUAACAUUUUAACUUUUAACAUUAUUGUAAGAAUAAUGUGAAUUAUACUUCAUUUAUCAAUUUAUAUCAUAUAUUUUGUUAAAUUUGAAGUAUAAUUUAGAUUUGCUGCUUUUGGUUGGUUUCCAUGCUACAGAAGGGUUGCAUAUGGAUAAAAAUUGGAUUUUACAAAUUUUCCAAACUUAGUGGCAUUUUUAGUAAAACGCCGCUAAAGAACGGUACUUUUAGCGACGUUUAUGAAAAAAGCACCGCUAAAGGUCAUGAUCUAUAGUGGCGUUUGUGAUAAAAGCGCCUCUAAAGGUCAUGACCUUUAACGGCAUUUAUGUGAAAAAAUGCCACCAACAUUACCUGACGUGGUCUAUAGUGGUGUUUUUUGUGGUGCUUCCACAAGCGUCGCAAAUACUUUUAGUGGCACUAGAAGCGCUGCUAUAGGCCUAAAAAAACACCACUAAAAGCUUGUUUUGCUGUAGUGAGAUGACAAUGCUUGUGCUCACUAAAACUCCAUCAGCCAAUGAGCCUCUACACACCAUGUGGGGAUAUAAUCAACCCACUCAUCCCUACACUCCAAGUAGUACUGAAUGCGGCAUAAAACUGUAGUUUGCAGUUGAGCUGCCAGUAAAUUAGGCUUAAAGCCUUUCAGCACAUUUCCUGCAAAUAACGACCCCCAAUCCAAUGCAAUGCAACAUACCAUGGAUGAUAUGCUAUUAUGCAAUUUCAGUACAUAUGUAUAAGUUUAGAUAUUAACAUGCUCAGAACAAAUAUCAUUCAGUCAAUUUCACACAUAUAGGGGUCCAAGUAGCGCUUACAGACCUUAUAGUAGGUUCAUAGUCGACUUGGGCAACCCAUGUAACCUUAGAAAUAUUUUGGUAAAAAUGGGCCCACACAUCUGUGUGCCCGCGUGGCCACCCGACCCAAAUUGGCCUUGGCCGUGUGAUCCAUUUUUAAUGUAACUCAUGCUAGCUAAAUAUUCAUAUAUGUUUCCACUAUUUACUAAUAUGAUCAUUCAGAGUUGUCUACUUGAGUCAUUGUCACUAAAUUAUUUAUAACUUGAGCUACAGAAUUCAAAAUUAAGAUCUGCUUGAUUUUCUUGAAGCAUAGACUCACAUAUCUUCUUACCUUAACAUUUUUAGAAUUUUUGGUUUAGCUAGUAAGUAUAGUUAAUUCUUCAAAAUUAUCCCUAUUCUACCGUCUGACAAUUUCGACCCUUCUUUUCUAAAAAUUAAUUAUCUCUUAGUACGGGAUUCAGAUGAUGUUAAGGUUUCUUUCUCUUGAAAUAUACUCAUUAAGAAUUUUAAUCAUAUAAAUUUUAACCCAUAAUUAUUUUUAUACAAUUUUUAAUGAUUUUCCAAAGUCAGAAUAGGGGAAACCGAAUUCAUUCUGACCUUGUCUCACAAAUUAUAUUAUAUCUCACGAUUUACAAUUAUAUUACUUACACCGUUUCUCUAUGAGAAACUAGACUCAAUAAGUUUUAAUUCCAUAUCUUUUCAUCUUUUAAUUCGAUUUUCACAAUUUAUGAUGAUUUUUCAAAUUUAGCCCACUAUUGCUGUCCAAACAGCAAGCAAUUUCGGCUUUUCGUCGAAUCUCAUUUUCUACGUUUCGAGUACACACCUAGUAUAGUUUCUAAUGUGUAAGCACUCCUAAGCCUCCAGAACCUAAAAAUCGACCAAAAAAUCUCCAGAUUAAUCACUUAAUUCAUUUUUAAUCAACCAAUUUUGGAAAGAACUCAACUAAAAACCUAACAAACACUUACCUCGCUUGAGUAAUCACAACUUCGUACAAUCACAGCAUCGAUUCAGAACCACCAGCCCCUUGACAACUCCUAAACACCAAAAAGGAACCCUUCUUUCAGAGAUUAACCAAGAACGAUUAAUAAUAGACAAAAUCGUUACUUACUGAACACACACAACCAACGAUGAACAACUAAAUCAAUUGGAAAAUAAAGAAAGAAAUGGAAGGGAAAAAAUAAUGGAAAUUUUGGCAACAACUAGAAGAAAGAAUCGGUAGAGGAGGAAAACUGAAACUCUACUAGGAGAAAGAAUCCACCAAGGUAUCAUUUAAUUAAACUUUCAUUUUUGUUCAAAUUUUAGAAAUUUAGUUUCAAUUCUUAGUAAAGGUUAUUGUGAUAGAUACUAAAAAAAUUAUAUCAUUUCAUACUUGAAACAAAUGGGUGGAAAAAAAGAAUUCAGUUUAAAAAAAAAUUAAGAAAUAAGGGUUUGGUGAAAAGAUCUUCUAAAUCCUUAUAGUGUGUUUGGAAUUUGGUUUGAAAAUCAAAUAAUUUUUAAAAAUUGCAUAAUUUUAAAAUUUUGGUGUUUAUAAUUAUUUUGUUUGUAUAAAUAUAUUUCUAAAAAAUAAUUUAUUAAAUUUUUAUGAGAUAAAAAGUAAUUAUAAAAGAACAAUGAUGUUUAAAAUUAAAAAAUACAUUUAUUUAUGAAAAAAUAUGUACUAUAAAUAUCAUUUGAAUUUCAUAUAUUUUUAAAAUAAAACAUAAAAGUACAUAUUAGAGUUAAAUAAAUGGCAUUUUUUGGCCAAAAAUAAAUAAAUGACAUUUUUGAAGAAUUAAAAAAACCUCAAGUAAAUGAAAUUUAAACAUAGAUUUCAAGGUGCUCGAACUUCCUUCUGAAACUUUUCGUAAAAUUCAAAAUGCAUGUGUUAUUAACGUUUUUGAGGGCCAAGAUUUAGUGCUUUAAAAUUUUGAUCUAAUUUAAUGAGUAGAGGUGAGCGUUCGAUCGAAUCGAAUCGAAUGAAAAAGUUUUGAAUUAAUCGAGUUGACAAAUCCUAUUUUAUCAUCCUAAGUCGAUUUAAAAUUUUCUCGAAUCGAGUCAAAUGAGAUGGAAUUCAAAUUGAAUAUAUUUAUUCGAGUUAAAUUAAAAAAUGAUUUUGGUGCUUUUUAUUUUUAUGUAAUUUUUAUUUAAAAUAUUUUUUAAAAGUUUUUAAAAAUGAUCCUACAAAGAAAAUUUGUAAUGAACAAAUAAAAACAAUCAAUGAAAAAAAUAAGAGGAUUUUGAUUUUAAGGGGUAAAGGGGGAGAAAUAAUAUUUUUGGGGGGAUUUUGAUUGUUGGGAGUAAAAGAGAAGGGAAAGCAAAAAAUUUUGGAGGUAAGGGGGAUAAAAAAUUUGGGGAUUUGAUUUUUGGGUUAAAAGGGGAGGAAAAAAAAAGAAAUUGAAGAGAAGAGUUGGUGGGGUAGAACCGGGGUUAAUAUUCAGUUUAUUCGAAUUUGAAAGCCUCAGCUCGAUUCGGAUGUGAAAUUCAAAAAGAAAUGUAAGUUGACUCGAUUCAAAUAAUUCAAAAUUUAAAUUUUUUUCAAGUCAAAUUAAAUUUUGCUCACCCCUACCAAUGAGUUUACUUGUAGUUUUUCUUGAAGUUUUAUUUAUUGGUGAGUAAAAUAUCUUUUACCAUCUAUAAAUUAAAUGCUAAAUUGAUUUCAACAUAUUUGAUUUUUUUUAUAAUGUAUUGAUAAAUUUAAAUGCAAUUUAACGAUUCUAUUCUAGACAUGUUGUAUUUUAUAAAUAUUAUUUUAUGGUGUUGUUGACUCGAGUUUAAAAAUUAUGCCAAUUAAUUAUAUCUAUUAAUUACUUAUAUUAAAAAUAUAUAAUAUAAUAAAAUACUAAAAAUAAAAAAAUUGUAUAAUUAAUAAAAUGAAUGAAGAGUUAUGUUAAACAUUCAACAUUCACUAUUAAAAUUUGUCUUGGUUAAAUUAUGGAUAAUCUAAUUUAUAUCUUUCUUUUCACUCUCAGAAAAUAAAGAAAUGAGAAACUUCAAAAAAUAUUUAUCUCAAUGACGUUUUUACCCAUGGAAGCAUUUCACUUAGCAGAGGCUUUCUCAUUAAUUAUCACUUUCUUUCUACAAUAAUAUUGUUAUCUAAUACCUCUUGUCAUUGCUUAAAAUCAAGUGUGUUGAGCAACCUAGAGGAAAUAUAUCUUGACGGAUCUAGUCUCAACACCAGCAUUUUGCAAAGCAUUGGGAUAUUCGCUUUUCUUAAAAUUUUGUCCUAAGAGUGGAUUUAUUGGUUCACUACCGAAUCAAGGUAAAUAAAUUUAUGGCUCAAAUUGAAUUCUUUAUGAGCUUUCUAUAAAGUAAUAUCUCGUAUUAUGUUAUUAAAACUAAAUUUAAAUAAUAAAAAAUUUUCACGAAAUUUUAAAAUUUUCAGGAUGGUGUGAUCUAAGGAAUCUUGAAGUAUUGAACGUGAAUAGGAAUACACUUGAGGGGACGCUUCCUCAUUGUUUUAGUAACUUGCCAUCUCUUCGUGAGUUAGAUAUUUCAAGAAACCAUUUUCAAAUUCCCGCUGUCAUUCGCACCAUUUGCAAACCUUUCGAGCCUCAAAGUCCUUUUGAGUAAUCAAAACAAGAUGGUAAUGGAACCUUCCUUUUAUACCUCAGUCCCAAAGUUUCAAUUGAAAUUCAUCAGUUUGUCAAAGUGCAUUACAUCUCUCCAACUCAAUCUUGAAUUUCCGACCUUCCUUUACUACCAAUACGACUUGAGAUAUGUGGAUGUUUCUCAAAACAAUUUCGGCGGAACAGUCCCAACUUGGUUGUUAGAAAACAACACAAAGUUAGAAGUUCUCAUCUUGAUGGGUAAUUCUUUUACUGGUCCACUCUCAUUAUCGUUAGCUCCUAAUUCUAAUGUGUCUUUAAUUGACAUAUCCCAAAACAAAUUGCAAGGUCAGAUUCCGAUUAGUAUAUGUCCAACUUUUCCACAUUUGAGCCUAUUAUUCUUAUCCAAGAAUGCCUUCGAAGGUGAUAUCCCUCCUUGUUUGAGUGGCAUGAAGGAUUUAUGGAUUUUAGAUUUAUCAAACAAUCAAUUGUCUGGAAGAGUACCUGAAGAGUUAAUCACAAAAAGCUCGUUGACCAGUGAUUCUCAAUGCAAAUGGGUUGUUAAAAUUAUAUUUGGAUGGAAAUAAUUUUUCUGGGGAGAUGGCAAAUGUUGAUGUCUCCAUUUCUGAGUUUCCAACUUCACUAAGGGAAAUCAAUCUCGGAAAUAACAAGUUUUAUGGAAACCUCCCAAGAUUGAUAGGGAAUGUGCCAUUUUUGGAGAAAUUAGCUUUGUCUGAAAAUGGUUUCGAGGGUUCUAUUCCGAUGGAAUUUUGCAACUUGAAUUACUUGGAAUUUUUGGAUCUCUCUGAAAACAAUUUAUUUGGCUCUAUACCGACCUGCUUUAAUCCCCCAGACAUAAAGCAUGUACACCUGCACGGGAAUAGACUAAGUGGCCCACUACCAAUUGCUUUUUAUAAUAGCUCUUCACUGGUUACAUUAGAUCUUGGAGGAAACUGUUGGUGUUUAAAGGCAGUAGCAAGCUGCUUUGUUCUUGCUUGGAUAGCAAGGCUCGAGACUUGCAGAAGAAACAAGUGAACAAAAACAGAAAUUUGCAAGUGAAAAACAGAAAUGAAAGAGAAAUUUUUUUAAUGAAAAACCAGCUGAAUUCUUCAUUAACAAAAAGAAUAAGGCAUUAAGCCAUUACAUAUACAAGUCAACUUGUAAAGCUAACAAGUUAUCACCUAAUCAACUACCUAACACCACUAAAAUUACAUUGGAAAUUGUUAAUCAGCUUGCUUAAGUUACUUUGCUGAUUUUUCAGUCAAUCAAUCAACAAAAUUACAUCAAAAGUUUACCAACUAAAUUCUACAAGAACUGAAUUACAAAAUACAAACUUAAUUCAACACAACUAGUUGAAUUUGAACAGCAUUGUCGAGUUCAAGUUGCUGCCUUCAAGUGCUGCUUCUUUCCUGCAUGUGACUUGCAUGGAAGCUAACUUCAUCAGAAUCAAUUUGAUUGGUAGUAUUCCAAAAUGGAUUGGCACACUUUCUUCAUUGAGUGUCCUUCUCUUGAAAGCUAGUAAUUUACAUGGUAGAAUUCCAGUUCAAUUAUGCAAGUUGUAUUCCUUGAGCAUGAUAGAUCUAUCUCAUAAUAUGUUUUAUGGUUUUAUACCUUCUUGUUUGGGAAAUUUAACUCUUAAAACGAAAUACCAGAAGACUUUGACAUCAUAUUCUGAGGCAAGUGAUGUAUUGGAAGACAUAUUACCAUACCAUAAGGAAACACGGUGGCGUGGGGAUGACUUACAAGAGUAUCCUGAAACCUACAUGGAAGAAUGGGUACAGUUCACAACAAAGAGUAGGUCCUACUCAUAUGGGGGUCUCAUCCUUGAGGACAUGACAGGGAUUGAUUUAUCUUGCAACAAGUUAACUGGACAAAUCCCACCUGAACUAGGAAACUUGAGUCAAAUCCAUUAACUGUCGUACAAUAACUUAACAGGAGUUAUACCCUCAUCAUUCUCAAACCUUAAGCAGAUUGAGAGUUUGGACCUUUCUUACAAUAGCUUGAGUGGUGAAAUCCCUAAUCAAUUGGUAGAAUUGAAUUCUUUAGAGGUUUUCAGUGUGGCACGAAACAAUUUGUCAGGUAGUAUUCCAGAACCAAAAGCUCAAUUCGGAACCUUUAUUGAAAGCAGUUAUGAGGGAAACCCUUUUCUCUGUGGUGCUAUACUGCAUAAAAGUUGCUCCAGAAUCAAUUCGCCAUCAACAAUAUCAACUAUAUCAGAUGAUAAAGGAGAAGAUGGUUUGUUUGAUACUUAUGAUUUUUGUGUGAGUUUUUUUAUUUCUUAUGUAGUUGUGUUGUUGACGAUUUUUGCGGUCCUUUACAUAAAUCCAUAUUGGCGAAGAUCUUGGUUUUCUUUUGUCGGAAAAUGUAUCACCACCUGUCGUUUCUCAAUUGGAGGCAGCUUUCUUGCGUAUUACAUCUUCAAGCGAUGUGUUUAACUAUCAUGAAGAUUUAUGCAAAGUUUGUUCAUGUUGUCUUCGGAAAAAAAUUCUGCUAUGAUCUUUUAUAUCAGGUGAGCACCUGAUUGUUUUUGGUGCUAAGACGGAUUUUGUUUAUUUUAUAUUUUGAUUAAAGCUUUUAUCUUUGUGUGAAGGAAGCUUAUAACCUUUGUCUUGUCGGUUAUUGUGGUAGACAUGUAGUCAAUUAAUUAUAUUCACUCUUCUAUCCAUCUCCAAGUUAUUUGGUAUUAAAUAUCUUUUUUAAAUUAUAUUCUGCUUUAUUAAAAAAAAUUCAAUAUAAAAACCAAGUUUAUAUCUUUUUCAAAUGCUUCUCUCUAUGCAUUUAUGACAUGUUUUUCGAUAUAAAAGUUAUAUACACAAGCAGAUAUUCCUUGGGUUAAAACAUGUAGCGGUCCUACUCUUUAGAUUUGCUAGGCACCCAUGCAUACAUAUGUAGAAGUAUUUGCUUUGGGAUGUAAGGUGGUGAGACUAUCAUCACAGCUUUGCUUAAGACUAAUAUUGUGAAAGAAUUAGAUUCUUGGAUCCAACAGUAAACAGAGCGGAUCAACUUAAGUUAAUCCUACUCUUCAUUUUUAUAUCUAAUCAUUUACGAACAUGGAUAUGAGAAUAUAACUGAGUCCAAGUAACAUUGUUUUUAAUCAAGGGGGGUUGGGUUUGAGUGGUGGACCCAUUUUUUAGAUGUAAGAUGAGUUUAUCAUUUUCAAAUUUGUUGAUAAUCCUUCAUUUAAUCUGCAGUGAAGUUGAUAGAUAGUCUUAAGAUACUGCCCCAAGAAACUAGAUAUAGUAAAUGUUGGUGUUGGCUUUGGGAUUAAAAGGUUGCCCCCUCAACCUUGCCAUAGAAGAAGGCUUAAAGUCUUCACUUGAGAAGCAGCCCAAAUUUGAUCUCCCACUUGAUUUGUAUACAAUUAUUUACUUUGGAAAAGUCUUUUAAUUGAGGGUUUCAUUAAUUUGUAAAUCUUAUCAUACGGCGUUGAUGUCGGAGAAUGUAGGCAUUCUGUUAAACCUCUUAAAUUUAGUGUGUGUUUUCCUUUAUUAUUUUAUUUGUAUUUAUCGGUUGUUCUGUUACGUUUUAAUAUUCAAUUAUGAUUUGGUGGGUUAAUCCGUUGUGUUGAGUAGUUUCAAUUUACUUUUGGUUCAUUAUUGAAGUUACAUUCUGCCUUAUGUUGCUAACAUUAUUAAUUCUCUAAUAUUUAAAAAUAAAAAUAAAAAUUAUGUGGUUAUUAAAAUUAUAAUACUAAAUUGAGAAACACAAAUUAAUACUUAAUUAUAAAAAAAAAAUGAAACCCACAAGAGUAUACGUAUUAAUUUAUUUUUCUCAAUUUAGCAUCAUAAUUUUAAUAACCACAUAAUUUUAAUUUUUAAAUGUUAGAGAAUUAAUCAUGUUAGUUAUUUUAAUAAAUCCAUAAAAGGAACAAAAUAUAUCAAAUUAAAUAAUAAAAACUAAAAUUUUAAUUCAAUUGAGUAAGACUAGGGAUUAAAACUGUAAAUUGAUGUAUAAUAAUUUUUCAGGCAUUAAUUAUGAGAUUAUUUCCGUGAGGGGGGCCUAUAUAAGCUCAAGGUUGAUGUAAAAGUCAAUAGUCAACAUUUGAAAGUUAAUACAAUGAAUUAUGUGACUGUUGAUAUAUGUAAUAAUAAUUUCUUAACAAUUUCCUCCAAUUUUCAUUAUUAUUCAUUAUUUGUUUUACUCAUUAAUGAAAUUUGGUGUGAAUACAUUAAAUUGAAGGUCAUUCAAGGAAAUGGUAAUGUCCAUUUUCCACGCGACAAAAACUUUCUUGGUCAAACAAGUUGGAUUUGGCUUCUCCAAUAACUUAAUAAUCUGUACUAAAAUUUUCCACACAAUAGAAUACGAACUCGUUCUCGUAAAUAUUUUGAAAAAUAAAAUAAUAUUAUGAGUUAACGAAUUAUCAAUUUAAUUAAAAAAUUAAAAGAUACAUUUUUAAAAUUUUAUGAAAUUAUAUGUUAAUAUAAUUAUAAAAUUAUAGUUCUAACUUUAUAAAAUUUAUUUUUUAUCUUUAAUCCUGAAGAGAGACAAAUUAAGAUAACUAUUCUUGGGGCCAUAACGACGACUAGGAUUAUGAUUGCACAUUUUCUAAGUCUUCAUUUUUAUUAAUUAGGAAAGAUGAUGGGCAUCUCCACUAAAUUUCCACCCACAAGAAUAUACAUAUUAAUUUGUUUUUCUCAAUUUCCAUGAGGGGGACCUAUAUAAGCUCAAAGUUGACGCAGAAGUCAAUAGUUAACAUUUGAAAGUUAAUGCAAUGAAUUAUGCGAAUGUUGAUAUAUGUAAUGAUAUUUUCUUAACAAUUUCCUCCAACUAUUUUGUAGACGGUGCUAUAUUACAUCACAAUGGGUGACCAAAUAUAUAUAAUUGAGAUUUUUAAGCAAAUAUUAUAUUUUAUCUUUAUCCAUGAAUAGUAUAAUAAUUAGGAUUAAUAUUUGGUACAUUGUUAGUGGAGUUUUUAAAUUCCAUAAGGAGAGUUAAAGGAUUGACACGUAUCCUAUAGAGGUGUAGUAUAUAAUAUUAAAAAAAUAGAUAUUUUUAAAAAAAUAGACACAUGCCAAUUUUUUAAUGUUGCUUGUGGGGUGCACUUGAAUUGUGGUUCAUAGAAGGAAAUUAUUAUAUAAAGGUUUAAUUCUACAAUAGUUCUUGUACUUUACUGAAGUUGUAGAUUUAAUUCCUAGACUUUAAUUUGAUAUUUUAGAUAUUUCUUAAAUUCAUUAAGUAUUUGUUAAAUUCAUUAAGUUCUACUAUUUCAAAAUUUGGUGUGACAAACAUAUUAUCAUAUGUGUAAUAUCACUAAAAUUCAAAACAAUGAGAAAUUUGUACAUAUUAUCAGAUGUCAAUAUCAAGUUGAACAUUUCAAAAUUUAAAGUAAUGGUGCAAGUCUUUAUCUUUCCAACAAACCAGAAUUUUCUACAUGAUGGCUUUUUUUUUUUCUUUUUUUUUCUUUUUGCUAUUAGUUAAGAGGAUUUUUUUAAAAAAUAACCCAAUUUAAUUAACUAAUUACAAAAAUGAUUCAAGUAAAACUCAAGUCAUAUUAAAAAUAAUUAUUUAUAAAUUUUAUGUUUCAAAAACUAAUGAAUGUUCAAAGAAUAGUGAAUUAUUAAAGAGAAGUUAUAUGAUAAUUGAUAGUUUUAAAGUAGUGGUCUAGUAGAAAUAAAUAGUUUUUUAUAAAAAAAUAUUAUAUAAAUAAUUAAAUUUUAUAGUUACUCCUAUUUUUUAAAAAAUAGUGAAUGUAAUAUUUUUUUAAAAUGUUAAAUUAACUCAUGAUAUUAAUUAAAUCAAGAAAUUUUAUAAUAAUAGAGAUGAAAAAAACUAAAUUUUCAAAAUCAAAACCUAAAAUGUGCAAGAAUAAAAGCAAAAUCAAAAUCAAAGAAGUAAAAUUUCCAUGAAUGAAACCAAAAAUGAAGACCUAAAUUUUCCAUUAAUAAAGCCAAGUCAAGACUAAGUUUGUAUAUGUGUAAGAAGGGUAUAAAUGAAGCUCACAAGAAAGCCACAUGAAGACUUUUGCAACCCCAACCACAAGAUUUUAUGUCCACCUCUCACUUUUCAUAUUUUUUUGGCCAUUCGUUUUUCAAGAUUAACAUCAACAUUCUUGUGGUCCAUUCAUCCUUUCCUAGCGAAUUUCCACCAGGAGUUUUUGCAAUAAGGAAUUUACGUAAAUAAAAAGCCUAGAUUUUGAUCCAAUUUUUGAGGAAUUAAUUAAUUAUAUAUUAUUUUUACAUUAUAGUGAAUUAGUGGGAUCCAGUAUGUUCUGCUUGUAUAUAAAUAAGAAGGUUAGGCUGCUUUAGAUUAUUUACAUAUAGAAGUUAACAAAAAGUAACAUAUAACUGAGAGAGAAGUGAAAACAGAGAGAUGAUGAUGAUGGAGUGGAAAUGGUUAAGGCUUAUUAGGAUGGCAGUAAUGUUGUUGGUGUUAGAAGGAUGCAGAUGGUGUACUACUGAUGCUUGUUUGGAGCAUGAGAGAAUCGCUCUCUUGCAUCUCAAGCCUUUCUUCAAUUAUGGUAAUCAAUUGCAAAGUUGGGUUGAGGUGAAGGGUUCAGAUUGUUGUAAAUGGAAAAGAGUUGAGUGUAACACCACCACUAGGAGACUCAUAAAACUCUCCCUUAAUUCUACAAGAUGGUUUGACAAUAUGGGAUACGACAUGGAUAAUGGGAAUCUCAAUGCCUGGUAUCUCAAUACCUCUAUGUUUCUUCCCUUUGAGGAAUUGAAGAGUCUUUAUUUGUCAGGAAACGCCAUAGGUGGUGACCUUGAAAAUGAAGGUCGUGCCUUUAACUUUCCAUUAAUUACAUCUUUUAUUAUUCCACUACUCUCACCAUUGUUAAUUUGCAAUUACUUAUAUUUUAUUUUAUUUUAUUGAAGAAAAGUCACUAACUGCUUGUAUAUAUUUAAAAGAACACUUCUACAGGCUUUGGAAAACUAUCAUCCACAUUGAGUAAUUUGGAGAUCCUUGACUUAAGUUUCAAUUACUUGAAUGAUAGCAUUUUGUUAUCUUUGAGUGAGCUUUCCUCUCUCCGGUAUUUAGACCUAUCAUACAACCAAUUUGAAGGAUCAAGUCAUCCAAGAGGUAAAUUAAAUUUGGUCUGGUGUAAGUUUUUAUUUGUAUAGUAGAGUUUGAGGAUGGUCUUCUAGGCUUGGUACCUAGUUUUCCAUUCUUUUUAUCCGUUGUAAUUCCACUUUUGCUUUAGUAAAAUUUUCAUAUAGCUAAGAAAGAAAAAAACAAUUAACAAGUAAUUAUGUAUAUAUAUCAGGUUUUCAAUUGCUUUCAAGACUCAAUAACUUGGAAACUCUUGAUUUAAGUUGGAAUUCUUUGAAGAAUAGCAUUUUGUUCCAUAUGAGAAAUCUUUCAUCCUUGAAGACUUUAAGAUUGAGACGUAAUCAGUUGAAAGGAAGGCUGGAUCAUAUUCAAGGUAGACUGAUUUUACCUGUUUCUUUUCAACUUUAAAAAUCAAUAUGUAUAUUCAAGUUUGAUUUCAUCAUACGAUCAAUAUAUAACUAAUCAAUACUUGGGAUUGAAUUUUAGGGUUGAAUAAUUUGACAAACUUGAAAUACUUGGAUUUAAGUGACAACAGCAUUGAAAGCAUCUCAAACCAAGGUAUAAGUACAGUAUUUAUAUGUCAAUUCAUAUUAAAGGUAGACUGGUUUUAUAUGUUUCUUUUUUACUUUAAAACCAAUUUUUGUUUAAGGGACAGUUAAUGUUGCAAUAUUUCAAAAUAGAGUAAAUUAAGUAGGAAGGUAUCUCAAACAAAGUAUUUAUAUGUUGAAUCAAUUAAGUUUUACUUGUAAAAUGUAGCUUAUCAAUUCAUGGGAAAGCUUGUAAAUUGGCUCUUCCUUCUCAAACAAACAUUUUUCCUAGCUAUUUAUAUAUUGAAUGAUAUUAACUAUACUAAUUAUUUUCUUCCAAUGAUAGAUGGAACACAAUGGAGGCUAACAAACUUAGAGGAACUUGAUUUAAGUAAUAAUCUCUUUCGGAACAACACAAUUUCCUUUCCUCAGGGGCUUUCAAGCCUAAAGUACAACAACAGUUUGCAAGGCUCAUUAGAUACUAAAGGUACUAAAGCUAUAACUUUGUUUUUCUUGAUAAUUCUUUCUAGAACCUUUUAAAAUUAAUUGUUUCAAAUUUGAGCAUUCAGAUUUCACGUUUGAGGUUUUUCAUCUUCACUUCAAGUUUUAGAUAUACUUUUUUUUUAUUUCAUUAAAAUAUUAAGUAGAAAUUAAAAUUAUUAACAUAAUGAUUUUUUGAAUUGGACAUGGAUAUGUAUAGGAUUGAGAAAUUUAACAAAUUUGAAGAAACUCGAUUUACGUUGGAAUCAAAUUGAAAGCUUUCAAUCCUUUAAAGGUAUGCAUUUAUAUUUAACCAAUUACCUAAAUUCUUACAUAUAAUUAAAUUUUAUGCCAAUUCAUUUUAGUGAUGAAAUUAUAUAAAUCUUUUGUAGAUGGUGGUUCAAAAUUGGAGUUGACCCACUUGGAAGAGCUUAAUUUAGAUGCAAAUCUCUUCAAUACUAGUGUAUUUGCAUCCCUUAACAAGCUUUCAAAUUUGAAAUCUUUGAGCAUAAAGUUACAAUGAAUUGAAAGGAUCAAUAGAUACGAAAGGUAAAAAUAUUAGUUUUUUAACAAGAAUAUAAUAAUGUUUUAAGAGAAUAUAAUGAAGUUGAUUUGUUAAUUUUGUUUUCCUAGAUUUGGAUGCAUUUAUCAAGUUAAGGGAACUAUAUUUGAGCGACUAAUGAAUUGAAAGAUUUGGUGAUCCACCAAGGUAUCAUUUAAUUAAACUUCUUUUUUUUUCUAAUUUAGAAAUUUAGUUUUUAUCUCAGAUAUUAUAAUAACGGUUAUUGUCAUAAAUAUUAAUAAAGUUAUAUCAUAUCAUACUUGAAAGUAAAAUAUGAGUUUGGUGAAACAUUUUCUAAAUCCUCCAUUAUAAUGUGUUUCAACUUUAGUUUGAAAUUAAAAUUCUUUAAAAUUUUCUUAAUUUUAAAAUAUUAAUGUUUAUAAUUAUUUUGUUUGUAAAAAUAUAUUUUUUAAAAUAAUUUUUUUAAUUUUUAUGAGAUAAAAAAUAAUUAUAACAAUAAAAACAAUGAUAUUACAAAUAAAUAAAAACAUAUAUUUAUGAGAAAAUAUGUAAUAUAACUAUAUUUUAAUUUCAUAUUUUUUUAAUAGUAUAAAACAUAAAAAUACAUAUUAGAGUUACAUAAAUCACAUUUUUUUUGCCAAAAAUAAAUAAAUAUGAAUUUUGAAUAAUUUAAAAAAAUCUUCAAUUUUAUGAAAUUUAAACAUACAUUUAGAGGUGCUUAAACUUCCAUCGCAAACUUUUUAUAAAUUUCAAAAUGCACAUGAUAUUAACAUAUGUCUACAUACUCUUUAUAAAUUUGUAAUUUAAUUCUUAUACUUUUAUUUUUAGGAAUUUAGUCCCUCUAUUUUAAAAAAAAAAUUCAAAAUCCAAGUUCAAUAGUUAAAAUUGUUAAUUUUUUUUAAAAAUAAUUAGUUGGUGUGACAUUUUGAAAUAAAAAAACUUUGGUAGCAAUGUAACUAAAAAAUGACAUAAUGAAAAUGGAUUUAAUAAAACAAUUUUAACAGUAUUAAUAAUUAGACUUGAAUUUUGAAAUUGAGUAAAAUAAAUGGCAUAAAACAUAAAAAUACACGUUAGAGUUAAUUAAAUGGCAUUUUUUGGCCAAAAAUAAAUAAAUGUCAAUUUUGAAUAAUUUAAAAAAAACUUCAAUUUUAUGAAAUUUAAACAUACAUUUUGAGGUGCUUAAAAAUUUUUUUCCAAACUUUUUAUAAAUUUCAAAAUGCACAUGUUAUUAACUUUUUGGUUUAAAAAAUGUGAUAGGUCUACGUACUCUUUACGAAUUUGUAAUUUAAUUCUUGUAUUUCUAUUUUCGUCAAUUUCCCUCUAUUUUUUAAAAUUUAAAAUCCAAGUUCAAUUGUUAACAUUGUUAUUUUUUUAAAUUAAUUUAUUGGUGUUGACAUUUUGAAAUAAAAAAACCUUGGUAGCAAUGUAACUAAAAGAUGACGUAAUGAACAUGGAUUUAAUAAAAUAAUUUCAAUAGUAUUAAUAGUUAGACCUGAAUUUUGAAAAUUUAUUUUUGUAAAGAGAAAAAUAUGCACAUUAGAUUUAAAUAAAAAUAAUAUUUUUUUAGUUUAAAAUUUUCUAUUUUAUAAUAGAACCAUGAUUUAAAUAAAUGAAAUUUUGAAGAGUUGCCAAAAAAAACUAUGUAGGUGAAAUUUAAAUAGAGAAUUUGAGAAGCUGAAAGUCUCUUUCGGAAUUUAUAAAUUUUAAAAUUCAAAAGGAUGUAUUUUGACAAUUUUAGGGCAAUGAUUUAGUGCUUUAAAAUUUUGAUUUAAUAUGGAGAAUUUAAUUAAAAAUUUAUUUAUUAGAUUGUAAAAUAUUUCUUAACAUUUAUAAUUGAGUACAAAGUAAAUUAAGUUUAAGGGAAAAUAUUAGGUACUAUUAAUGAAACUCUUUUCUUUUAUCAAAUUUUUUUUAAAAAAAUCUGGUUUUUAAAAAAAAUCGGGGUGGUACUAUUAAUGAAAUUCUAAACUUGAUAAGUAGGAUUGAGAUAAUAACAAAUAUAUUAUAUGGUAUAAUAAAAUAUUAAAAAAAGAAAUAUUUAAAAGAAAUAGGUUACUGGCCAUUUUUUAACUUCACUUGUAGAGUUAAAAAACUCCAUUACUAGUACCAAAUACUAAUAUUAAGGAAUUAAAUGCUAAAUUAAUUUCAAACAUAUUUAAAUCUGAUAUGAAUCAAGAAAAAAUUUAUUUUGAAAUUAUAUUUUAUCUUAGAAUGCUAAAAAAGGAUUAGUUUAAUUAAUAAAAUGAAUAAAUAGUUAUGUUAAGAUUUGGACAUUCUCUAUUAAAAUUUUAUUUUAUUGAUGAAAACAAAUAUUUAUAUAUUUCUUUCACUUACAGAAAAUAAGGGAUUGAGAAAUUUGAAAGUUUUGUUUCUUUAUCACGCUUUCACCGAUGGAAGCAUUCCAUUACAAAAUUUAGUGGAGUCUUUCUCAUCAGUUAAAGCCUUUCAUCUACAAUACAAUUAUCUGAACAUGACUCUGGCUACUCAAGGUAAGUGAAAGUCAUUAUGUUCUUUUCCAAAACAGCUUACGUUUAUUAACAUCUAAUACCUCUUCCCAUCCUAUAGAAUUAAAUGUGUCGAGCAAUGUGGAGGAAUUAUAUUUUGACGGAUCUACUCUCAACACCAACAUUUUGCAAAGCAUUGGAGUAUUCGCUUCUCUUAAAACAUUGUCUUUACAUGAUUGUGGACUUAUCGGUCCCUUACCUAAUCAUGGUAAAUAAAUUUAUGGGUCAAAUUGACUUCUUUAUGAGCCUUCUGGGAUAUAAUAUCUCCUAUUCUGUUUAAUAGAUCAAAUUUAAUUAAAAUUUCUUCAAUGAAUUUAUAAAUUUUUCAGGAUGGUGUGAUCUAAGGAACCUUGAAGUGUUGGAUGUGAGUGGGAAUGCACUUGAGGGGAUGCUUCCUCAUUGUUUCAGUAACUUGACAUCUCUUCGUGAGUUACAUAUUUCAGCAAACCGUUUUCAAAUUCCACUAUCAUUCGCACCAUUUGCAAACCUUUCAAACCUCAAAGUCCUUUCCGGUGAUGAAAACAAGAUGGUAAUGGAACCUUCCUUUUAUACCUCAGUCCCAAAGUUUCAAUUGACCAGCAUCAGUUUGUCAAAGUGCAUUACAUCUCAACAACUCAAUCUUGAACUUCCUACCUUCCUUUACUACCAAUAUGACUUGAGAUAUGUGGAUCUUUCUCAUAACAAUUUCAGCGGAACAGUCCCAACUUGGUUGUUAGAAAACAACACAAAGUUAGAAGUUCUCAUCUUGAUGGGUAAUUCCUUUACUGGUCCUCUCUCAUUUUCGUCAGCUCUUAUUUCUAAUGUAUCUUCAAUUGACAUAUCUGAAAACAAAUUACAAGGUCAAAUUCCGACUAGUAUAUGUUCAACUUUUCCACAUUUGUGGCGGUUAUUCUUAUCCAAGAAUGCUUUUGAAGGUAAUAUCCCACUUUGUUUAAGUGUCAUGAAGGACUUAUCAUUUUUAGAUCUAUCAAACAAUCAAUUGUAUGGAAAAGUACCAGAAGAGUUGAUCGCGAAAGGCUCACUGACCAUUUUGAGACUAUCAAAUAACAAGCUCAGUGGAAAUGUAGUUCCUGUGGUUCUCAACUCAAAUGGGGUGCAGAAUUUAUAUUUGGAUGGAAACAAUUUUUCAGGAGAGAUGACAAAUGUUGAUUUGUCUACUUUUGAGUUUCCAAAUUCAAUAAGGGAAAUUGAUCUUAGUAACAACAAGUUGCAUGGAAAGCUCCCAAGAUGGAUAGGGAAUGCAUCGUUUUUGGAGAGAUUAGCUUUGUCCAACAGCGGUUUCGAGGGUUCUAUUCCAAUGGAAUUUUGCAAGUUGAAUAGGUUGGAAUUUUUGGAUCUUUCCCAAAAUCAUUUAUCUGGAUCUAUACCGUCAUGUUUUAAUCCACCAAACAUAGAGCAUGUCCACCUCCACGAGAAUAGACUGAGAGGUCCACUAUCACUUGCUUUUUAUAAUAGCUCCUCUCUAGUGACUUUAGAUCUUAGAGGAAACAAUUUGACAGGUAAUAUUCCAAAAUGGAUUGACACAUUUUCUUCUUUGAGUGUUCUUCUCUUGAAAGAUAAUCAUUUUCACGGUAAAGUUCCAAUUCAGUUAUGCAAGUUGCAUUCUUUAAGCAUCAUAGAUCUUUCUCAAAAUAUGUUUUCUGGUCCUAUACCUUCUUGUUUGGGAAAUUUAUCUCUUCCAAUGCAAACGAAGAAGAUUCUAGACAUUGGGAUCUAUAGGCAAUCUACAGAAGAGGAUGAAUCAACACGCAUUAUGAUAGCAAAUCUGGGACUGGAUUCUUACUACCCUUACAGCUACUUUGAAGAAGUAAUAGAGUUCACAACAAAGAGUGGGUUCUAUUCGUACAAGGGCGACAUCCUUUCAUAUAUGACUGGGAUUGAUUUAUCUUGCAACAACUUAACUGGUCAUAUCCCACCAGAAUUAGGGAACUUGAGUGAAAUCCAUUCUUUAAACCUUUCACACAAUAAGUUGACCGGAGUUAUACCCUCGUCAUUCUCAAAACUUCAUCAAAUUGAGAGUUUGGACCUUUCUUACAACAACUUGAGUGGUGAAAUCCCCAAUCAAUUGGUAGAGUUGAACUCUUUGGAGGUUUUCAGCGUGGCAUUUAACAACUUUUCAGGUAGUAUUCCCGAACCAAAAGCUCAAUUUGGGACCUUUAUUGAAAAUAGUUAUGAGGGAAAUCCGUUUCUUUGUGGAGUUAUAUUGCAUAAAAGUUGUUCCAAAACCGAUUCACCAUCAACGAUAUCAACUGUAUCAGAAGAUAAAUGAGAAGAUGGUUUGAUAGAUACUUAUGAUUUUUGUGUGAGCUUUUUGGUUUCUUAUGUAGUUGUGUUGUUGACAAUUUUUGUUGUCCUCUACAUAAAUCCAUAUUGGCGAAGAGCUUGGUUUUCUCUAGUUGGGAAAUGCAUUACCACCUGUCACUACUCAAAUGUGGGCAAUUCUUACUUAUCACAUUUUCAAGCGAUGUGUUUAGCUACUCAAAUUGCGAUUUGAUUUCCACACCUAAAUGUUUAAUUAUGCUAAGUUGAGCGAUAAUGAAUAUUUUGUUGAUUUUUGCAUUUUGAAUAAAAGCUCUUUUACCUUAUGGUUUUAUCAUUUUCAACCAACUAUUUCUUUUUUCUUCUAUGAAAUUUAAUGUAAAAUCAUAAUCCAUUAUUAUGUAUAUGUAAUAUCUCUUUAAAUUAAAUUAAAUUAAAUUAACUGCCAAGCGUUCACUAGUGCAUACUAAAAAGGAAAUCUAAUGUAAAAUUAAAUAACAUACUAGAAAAUUGAAUCUAAAACUGGAAUAUUUUAAAACCUCACAAAUAAUGCAAUUCUUUAUUCCUCUUUUCCUCUCAAGUUAUUUUGUAUCAUGUUAUAUUUUACAUAAUUAUUCGUAUCAUUGAAUUUUAAAAAAAAUUUAAUAUUUUGAUAUCAUGUUCAUAUUAUGCUUUAAUUCACAAUAUAUUUUGUAUAAUAUGUUAUAACAAUUCAAUUUAAAAAACAAGCAAUUAUCUUAUUUUUGCAUACCGUAAUAUACAUUUACAUGUUAAUAAUUCUUUGUACAUAAAUUUUGACAUGUUCGUAUAUUCGAGUCAUUAUAAUUUUAUUAUUUGUAAUAUGACAUGUUUUACUUACCCUUAAUAUUGUGUCAUGAUAAUUAUAACUCGAUUGGCAGUGUACCAAAUAUUUUUCUAAUAAAAAAUAGUAUUUUAUUCUAUUUACCAAAUCUUUAUCAACUUUAUAUUCUCACCAACAAAACAUACAUUCAAAGUUCAAAUAAGUUCCACACCCAUUUAUGCUCAUCAUCAGAAAGCUGAAAUAUUCCACUCUAAUUAACAUUAUGAUUCUGUAAACAACAAAAAAGUGUGAUCUUUUUUUAAAGCUCUUUUUUUUCUUUAAUGAAAUGGGAUUGGUAAAAAAUCCGCACAUGUGUCGUGUGUGAAGAAGGUCAGGUUGUCUAUUCAUUCUCUAAUAAGUAGCUAAUUAUAGUUGAUCCUACAAAAUCAAAAUUAAUUCAGGUAUCUAUAUAUUCUGAAGACUGGACAGACCUUAGAAGCUCCUUCAAAUUUGCAAGAACAUGUCGUGGUCCUAAACUCUUUACACCGAUGAAAUUCAAAAGUUGCUCUAUAUCCUGCAAUCACAGUAAAGAUUAUGCAAGCUUUUCAGAACGAAUAACAUAACAAGCAAAAGGCAAUCAAAAUACUGUGAUCUCGAUAAUGUUCUUUGCCGAAAAGGAACAUAAACAUAACCUGAAAACAUCAGUGAAGGCUCAUCAGAUUUGCUUAGCAACCUUACAUACACAUGUAAAAAGCUUUGCUUUUGGAUGUAAGGUGUGACUAUCAUCACAGUCUUUCCUAAUUAGCUGAUAACCCUAUAUCUAACAUUAAUCAUGGCUAAGCAAAUUAACAUACAUAAUGUAAAGGAAUUUGACUAUAAGAUCCAACAUAAAACUUAAUAAAAGAUAAUCAACAUAGAAAGUUAAAAGGCAAUGCAAACUUAUUACAAUGAUGCAAGUGGAUCAAAAGAAAGCACUCUAUAAGGAAUUUGCAUUUAAGGCAUUGUAAACAGAAAAAAAAAAUAAAACUUUUUGGAAAGUAUUUUCAAAGAGGAGACAAACAGGGUAGAAAAAAUGUUUGGUCCUUCCUUUUUCUAUUUCUACUGUGGUGAAAAAGCCUUUUUGGGUUAAAAGUGUUUUUACACUGCAGAAGUGUUUUUCCACUGCAGAAGUGACGAAGAACACAUAGCUUUUGUAGUCAAAAACCUACUGCUUUUGGCUUUUGCAUUUCGAAGUGAAAAUUAUAAAAAUACUCUUAGAUUAAUUUAUAUUUUAUAUAUUAUUAUAUUAAUUGUUUAAAUCUUAUUUAUUAUUAUAUUUAAUUUUUUUCAAAAUAUUUUAUAUAUCAUCAAUUUUAUAAAUAAUUUAAAUUAAUUACUUAAAAGGUAUUUAAAAGUUAUAUUUCAUGUAUCAUUAUAUUAAAUUAUUUAAAUAUCAUAUAACUUGACUAAUUUUUUUCUUUCUACCAUCAUGUCUAAAAAAGACAUUUUAACUUUCAACUGCAAUUUUUGGCAGCAAUGAACAACACUAAAAACUAACAAACACACUUUUCCGCACCACAUUUCAACAACACUUUUUUCUAAACGCACUUUUGAACUAGUCCUUAGUCUAUCAUGCAUCAACUCUUCAUUUUUCUUUAACUACCCAUGUCCGACUUCGAACAUGGAUAUGGAGAUAUGACCAAGUCACAGUGACAUAGUUUUUAGUUAUGGGGAAUGGGAUUCGAGUGCUGGACCUCCUUUUAGAUGCAUGGUGGGACUUCAUCACAUUUUUCAAAUUUGUUGAUAAUCCUUCACCUAAUCUGCCGGUGAAGUUUAUAGAUAGUCUUAAGUGUCUAUCACAAGAACCUAGAUAUUGUAAAUCCAAUAUCUUCCAAACAAUUCAACCAUGAUAUUAAUGAUGAUGGAAGCAAGAUUAUCCACUAUCAAUGACAUAAAAUGAGCUGUAAAUGCUGACGAACAAACAUGCACUGUUUUUCCAACCUGUGGAUUGAAGAGCAUUGACAAGCUAACUUUGCAGACCAUUUGAAUCCAAUACUAUACAUAAAAAUGCCAAAGGAGAAUAAUUCAUCUUGGAAAAAGAAUUACUAAUAUGCAAAAGCUUACCUUGUUUAACAAGAAAACAGCAUAUGCUGCUCUUGUCGUGUCUUGACCUUCUAAAAACAGCGGAAAUUCUGCCAGCUUUACAUUUGCUGAAAGUGUUGUAUCCAAUGACAAAUCAGAAGAUGCAGGGUCUAUUGAAGACGCAUGGUCAUUAAUAUAUGAGCGAGAACCACCCAAGCGCAGAGGAUAACGCAAGGGAACUUGUAAAUAGGAUGCAAUUAGUGAAACAGCCUGCAAAUGAUGAAAUAACAGGAAACAAGAAACAAUAAUAGGUAUGAUUAAAAUUAUAGCCUCAGCAUGAGAAACAAACAAUCAAGAUGCAACCCACUAUACCAUAUUACCAUCCUAGCAAUUAAAAAUUACUACAGCAUCUUCAAGCAACAAGGGAUUGUAGGUGGUAGGUCAAAAAACUUGAUAUCCACAGCUUGAUAUUAUCAGAAAAAACAAAUUCAGUAAUAAAUGAUAACUUCACAGAAGAAAUAGAACGCACAUGUGCAACAUAUCCCAAGGCAGUUGCAGAUCUCUGAACCUCCUUUUUGUCAGUGAAAAAACUCAUCUUUGUAAAAGGAAGCAAGGUGAGAUUCAGACCUAAAAUUGUCAACGAUCCUUGAUUGACGGGCUUUGAUGCAGAAGGAUUCCCUAUUGAAGACAGGAACAAAGGAACUUCAUAUCAGUACAUCACCAGACACCACCUCUUUGUGAAAGUCAAAAGAAAAUUCAAAAAAAUAUCAUCAUGAAAGUAAGAGAUAUGUAAAAAGCUCAUAAUAUUCAAGAGCAAAAAAAAAUUGUUUUGAUAUGAGGAGAAUUGAAUAGUAGAUUGCUAAAAGAGGAAUAACUGAAUACAACCAUUAUAACCAAAAGAAGAGUCAAGUGAUAGGUAAUGGUACUCCCUAAGCUGUUUAGGAAUCAUAAAAGACUUGUCCAGUCGACAAAAAUAACUCAUUUUAUUCUCCCCUAGUAAAACAUCAUAUUGGACCAACCAUAUUUGAUAUCAAAGGAUAUGCAUAUCCAGGCAUGCCAUUUAUAGAUAUUCCCAGUGUUACAAGAAGGAAUUGUUCAAGAGAAAGAAGCUGCUAUUGUUGGUAAAGUUUUCCUCAAACCAUUUUGAACAUCCAAAAUCUCAAGAACAAAAAAGAAAACGUAGGAGGAAAUAUAACAAGCAUCACAACGGGUUCUCGAUGAUAUAAGUGAGAGGAUAAAUGUUAAUUAAGAUUAUAAAAAUAAACCACAAACUAAACAGGAAAGACAUGGAUUUCAAAACGAGGAGACUGGCUGCUAAUUAAAACCAUAUGCGGCGUUGUCUAGGGCGCAAGGCACAUUCUAGGUGCUAACCUUUAUAUUGCCUCAAGCACAAGGCACAAAAGGAAGCGCUAGCCUGAGUGCAGUAAAGCGCAAUACGUAUAUGUGAGAGUUUUUGCAAGUCUGUGUGUCUAUAACAUAAAAGUUUUAAGAUAUAUGGUAAACUCUAAAGUGUGGUCUGGUUUAUCCACAAAACUUGCAAAAUUUUUAUAGGUGAAUACUUAAAUAUUGAGAAUUAUAGAGUUUGAUAUUAUCCCUUUCUUAUUAGUAAAGGUGUAUCAAAUGAAAACAGUAGAAAAUAAAAUAAAAUAUUGAGAAAUUCAACAAGGCAGGCUUUUUCUAAUGCCCAUUGCCUUACAAAAAAAGUGUGCCUAGGUGCACCAGGCAUACGCUUGAUCAAAUGGACCUCACCUGGAAGGGUCCAAGGCGUUUUGUUGUAUAAAACUAAGGCGUAGGCACGCCUAGGCGCAUGCCUUGACAACACUGACCAUAUGUUGGCUUUAUUGCAAAGCAUUAGCAAUCCAAAACUACUAGCACAUUACCUAAUCUACUACUGCUAGAAUAGGACUCAAGUUCUUGCUCCUGUGCAGGUCCAACCAAGAUCUUUACAGGAUACAAUAAUGAAACUUGUGAUAUCAUAUAUUGUUGCCUUGCUCGAAGCUUCCUUUGCACAUUUUUAAGUUUAACACAACCCCUUUCUUCAGUGAGUAAUCUAUUUGCUUCCUGUGAUAAAAACAACAUAUAAUCAAUCAUGCCACGCAUGCAAGACUACCAACCAACUAUCUAAUAAAAGAGACAAAGAAGUAGGAGAGCAAGAAGGGGAUAACCCUUGACUAUGCAAAGGAAUUCAUAGAAUGAGAAUCAUCUCAUCUAAGCCCCUCAACCACCUUCACAGGGGGUGGAGGUGCAAAGAGAGAGGUCUUAUUGAUCCGAGAGGAGAAUAUAUAACAUCUAAAGCUGAAUAAGAAGAAACCUUCAAAUAUAUCAUAAAUUCAGAAUUCAUGAUAAUAUAAAAAUGAAAUUCCAAAGCUAAUUUAAGCUAGAAUAAAAAUGCUUCACCUGUAAUCGCUUCCUUGCUACAGAAAGAGAGGUACCAGCAACCAACAAUGAUCUUACUUCAGUACUCAGCAUUUCCUCCUGUUUUUUAGCAUCCUCUGUUGCAACUUUGCAACGAGUUGACAUGUUUGCCAUAACUACUUUCCUUGCCUCUAGUCUCUCACGCAUUUCCUCAAGCUCGUUCAGUUUAUUCAAAGACUCAUUUUUUACCUGCACAGCAUGUUCCCACCCAUUAAUCAGUGGGCCAAUUAAUUAGGUCACAGAAGACAAAACUAAAUUAUCACUCACCAGGUCCCCUUGAAGUGUCAUAUGGCUUUAACAAUUCAACGUGCAAUAUCUAGUAAAAGUGAAAUAAACAUAGAAGAAUGCAAAUGCAAUUCUUAAACGCCUUUAAAUGGACAACAUGAAACAGUUUAAGAGCCCUAUAAAACAGAAAAGUGGAAAAAAAAUCUGAAAAGGAAAAAAAAUGAAUUGAAACAAUAAAUCCAUCUGGUACAAACAGCAACAAAUCUCGAAAUAAGCCUUGGCUUUAGCCCAUUAAAGCCCGGGCAUCCGGCCGAAUAAACAGUGACUGCCAUGUCAACUUUUUGAGACGGUAGAAAAGAGCUCAAAAAUCUCAAUUUCCAAAAUUAAGGACAUAAGAAGGAAAACAAUGUACUUAUUCUUACAGUAGAAGAGCAAAAUGAAACUAAAUGAAGGAUAAGGGAACUGAUGCGAAUUGACAUUGUUAUUUUUGGGACUAAAAAGAAUACGCAGAUUGAAUAUUUAAGAUUUUGUAAGGGAAAAGUUCCAUUCACCAACACAAUUAUCAUCGCCCUUUAUCCCAGUAAAGCUUAAUUGACAAUUUUUCUGUCUCGUGUUCUUGCUAAAGCAUUUGAGCAACCCAACAGAAAUCAUUAUAUGUCAAACUGAAAUGAUUGGCUUUAUCAAUUUCACAACCUAUACUGCCCAACCUAGUAAGUAAUUUAGGUGCAGACACCAGAAAUCUAUUUUCUUUGCACUCUACAACCAAAUAGCCUACCACUUAUCAAUCAAACACAGCUGAAAACUUCAGUGAGGAAACAUUAUGUAAACUGAAAAAACUAUAACUUCAACUUGAUUCAUAGCUCGGUAAGUUCAGGGAACUUGGACUUCUACCACCAUGAUCCAGUUCGAUGUGAAACAGUGAUCCAUAUCACGCAUAUCAGUUCCCGCAACAAGAGGUAAAACAGCAAAUUAGGUAAACAAUGAUCCAACUAUAUUUCAGAAUAGCAACAUUGAGCAUGAAAGCUAAAAUUAUAGCAUAUUAUGGGUCCUUGCUCCCUACAACUACAUAUAAAAUUACUAAACAAUAUUACUACAUUAAGGAUCCAGAAAAACUUGGUUUCAAUUGUUGAUCACUUGAUCCAACUAUUUUAGAAAGUUUAUUCUUCUUUUUCCUUUCCCUUAUUUUCUAAAUCAGGAAAAACAGUAGCAUAUAAACUGGAUUACUACUCCAAUUAAGUUUCUAAAAUUUCAGCAAUAUCCCUUUAACCUUUUCACUCAAGUCACUACCCCCCCCCCCCAAUUAACAAAUAUAUUCCCAGUUUCCCUUUCACUUCAAACCCCCCCCCUUUUUUUUUUCUCUACCCAAAUUCAGCUUACGUUCAAAAACCCAAAAUUGGUUUGCUAAAAAAACAUAAUUUUCAAACCCAAAGGUAACCUAAUUUUAAUCAGAAAAAAAAAAGAAGCAUUACCUGAAUUAGUGAAUGGAGUUUCUCUUGAAGACUUUAUUUUAAAAUUAUCUUAUACUAUUUGCUUUAAAUCGAUUUUUAUUAGUUAUUUGAAACUCGUUUUCAUGUACUAUUUAUUUUUUUAUCACUUAUUUAAAUUGUUUUACAUAUCUAUUUUUUAAACCCUAUUUUAUUAUAUUUUACUUAUUUUAACUUUUUUACAUAUUUCAUUAUAAAUAUUAUUAAUUAUCUAUAUUGAGUUUUUCAUUUAUGUAUUACUUAUUUAGAUAAAUAUAUACUAUUUUGUGUAUUACUUAUUUUGAUUUUCUUCUUAUACAAUAUUACUUUAAAAUUCAUUUAGAUAUUAUUAUUUCACAUAGUAUUUAUUUUUAUCUUCAUUUUUGAUCUAUUUCAAACUCAUAUAUAUUGUUUAUUUUGAAAUUUUAUGCACAUGAUUUAUUGUUUAUAUUGAUGAUUUUAAAUUUCCUUUCUUGUAUUUUUAUUUAUUUAUUUUAAAACUUGUUAUACUUUAUUUGUGUUAAUUUGCUUAGUUUUUCUUUCAAAAUUAACUUAUAAUUCAUUAGCUUUUAAUGUUAGUAUUUGCAUAAUAUGUGAUAUAAGAUUAUUGCUCUCAUGUAUUGCUUAUCUGUAUAUAUUGAUUAUUUGUCAUUCAUUAGUAUAUAUUUUGUUUUACGAAUUAUCACUUCUCGCGUUGUACAUUAUCAUUUCCAUCGCGUUUUAUUUGCUCAAAAAUUAUGUUUAAUAUGGCUUAAGUUUUGAAAUCAUUUUAUCCAAAAGCUUCCAAUAUAGCAUAACACUCGGUGUUUGGGAUUUUUGAAAAGAUCGUACUCUAACUUACGAGGUCUCGAUUUUUUGAUAAUUUCAAAUAUACGAACCUUUUUAAAAAAAAAAACAAGACACAUUUACUUAAAAAUUAUCUCAAGAAUCAAAAAAAGAUCGUGUCCCAACUUACCGGAUAUGAUUUAUUAUCUGAAACCGAUAUGAUCAAGAUUUUUAAAAAUAAAUAAAUUUUGGUGUUUAUUCUCGUUUCGGGAUUUAAGAUAUUGUGUCCUAACUCACGGGAUAUAAUUUUUUUCUCGAUUAACGAGAAAUACACCCUUCUUUAAAUUUUAACAAAAUGGUCAUUUUUUUAAAUUUCUUUUCGAAAUUUUAAUUUUUCGACAUUAAGACAUUAAUUAAUCGAUUAGGUACUAAUUUUGGGCAUGACGGGGUGCUAAUCCUUCCUCGCAUGUAACUGACUCUCGAACCCGUUUUUCUUAAAUUCCAUUGACCAAAAUCAUUGUUUUAAUAAAAUCAAAAUGUUUUAUCAAAACGAUUGAAUUGCAAGGUGAUCCAAUCACACAUAAAAAAAAUGUCGGUAGCGACUCCCUUUUUUUCAUUUUCAAAAUAAAAGUCAACACUAUUUUUGUUUUCAAAAAGUGGUUUCGACAAAAUUGUUUAAAUCUUACUUAUUAUUAUAUUUAAUUGUUUUUCAAAAUAUUUUAUAUAUCAUCAAUUUUACAAAUAAUUUAUAUUAAUUACUUAAAAGGUAUUUAAAAGUUAUAUUUCAUGUAUCAUUAUAUUAAAUUAUUUAAAUAUCAUAUAACUUGACUAAUUUUUUAAUUUCUACUAUCAUGUUUAAAAAGAACAUUUUAACUUUCAACUGCGAUUUUUAGUAGCAAUGAACAACACUAAAAACUAACAAACACACUUUUCAGCACCCCUUUUCAACAACACUUUUUUCUUAAAGUACUUUUGAACUAGUCCUUAGUCUAUCAUGCAUCGACUCUUCAUUUUUCUUUAACUACCCAUGUCCGACUUCAAACAUGGAUAUGGAGAUAUGACCAAGUCAGAGUGACAUAGUUUUUAGUUAUGGGGAAAAGGAUUCGAGUGUUGGACCUCCUUUUAGAUGCAUAGUGGGACUUUCAUCACAUUUUUCAAAUUUGUUGAUAAUCCUUCAUCUAAUCUGCCGGUGAAGUUUAUAGAUGGUCCUAAGUGUCUAUCACAAGAACCUAGAUAUUGUAAAUCCAAUAUCUUCCAAACAAUUCAACCAUGAUAUUAUUAAUAAUGAUGAAAGCAAGAUUAUCCACUAUCAAUGACAUAAAAUGAGCUGUAAAUGCUGACGAACAAACAUGCACUGUUUUUCCAACCUGUGGAUUGAAGAGCAUUGACAAGCUAACUUUGCAGACCAUUUGAAUCCAAUAAUAUACAUAAAAAUGCCAAAGGAGAAUAAUUCAUCUUGGAAAAAGAAUUACUAAUAUGCAAAAGCUUACCUUGUUUAACAAGAACACAGCAUAUACUGCUCUUGUCGUGUCUUGACCUUCUAAAAACAGCGGAAAUUCUGCCGGCUUUACAUUUGCUGAAACUGUUGUAUCCAAUGACAAAUCAGAAGAUGCAGGGUCUAUUGAAGCUGCAUGGUCAUUAAUAUAUGAGCGAGAACCACCCAAGCGCAGAAGAUAGCGCAAGGGAACUUGUAAAUAGGAUGCAAUUAGUGAAACAGCCUGCAAAUGAUGAAAUAGCAGGACAUUAGAAACAAUAAUAGGUAUGAUAAAAUUAUAGCCUAAGCAUGAGAAACAAACAAUCAAGAUGCAGCCCACUAUACCAUAUUACCAUCCUAGCAAUACCUGCAAAACUUUCAUCAAAACGGUAAUAACACUUUUGGACAAUGUGUCCUAUUUUACCACACAACUGGCAUUGGGGCCGAUUGUUUGAAAAACCACCCUCACGGCCUCAUCCUCGAUGGAAACCUCUAUUGCAUUGAAAACCACCUCUAUGUGCCUGUUUGUUCCCUUGAUAGCCACUGUUAUAAUCAUAACACUUGGUCCGAUCACCCUCAUCACAAUCUUGUUUACUAGCUAUGUUAGCUUGUUCGAGAACACUAUUCAAGAACUCAAGUUCUCGAGCUUCACAAUCAAGCAGCAUCUCAAUCAACAGACCAAGCGACACAGCAGUAGCUGAAGCUACUACCCGUACUGAUUCACACUCAACUGGCAACCUUGCAAGAAUGAUGCUAACCAUUUCUUGAUUUGAAAUCAAACAACUCGUUGCAACCAACAUAUCACACAUGGACUUGAUCUUAGACAAAUAUUCUUUAACAAACAGAUGACCCUUUUUCUGUGAAUACAACACAUGAUGCAUACUGGACAAUUUUACCGUCGACUUAGUCGCAAGCCUUUUUUUCAAUAGUUUCCCAAAUAUAAUAACUAGUACGAGCACUAGUAAGAUAGGCUAGAAUUUCAUCACUAUCAGUUGAAAGUAACCAAGAAGCCAAUAGCUUAUCUUGUUGCACAUGUAAAACAGAAUCAGAAUCUUCUACUAAUCUCCCAUAUUUAUCCACUACAAACUGUGCUAGUACACUAAUAGCACCCAAAACAAACUCAUGCAGACCGUAUCAUUCAAGGAUCAACAUAAUUUGGAGCUUCCAUAAAACAAAAUUAUACUCACCAAGCUUUAUUGUAUCGUGCUUAGGAAAUUGUUGAAGACAUCUACAACUGUUGAGGUGGGUUUUCUUUAAACAUACUCAUUCCAACAAAAAAAAAAUCUACGUUAGUAUGAUUAAUUAGAAAGUGAUUAAUUCAUUAUUUAGUUAGAAGUGAUGGCCUUAAGAAAAAAAAUGACAUUAUUUUAUUUGGCAUUGUUAAAAGUGUUAGUUACUGAAAUAAUUAAUGAGAUUAUAAAAGUGAAAGAAUCAAAUUAUGUCAAAAGUAAAGUAGAGGGUUUUAAUCCUAAAUUUGGGUAUAAUAAAGGGACUAACACCAAAUAAUUAUAAAAUUUUCAAAUAUUUUAAAAUUAAUUUUAAAUAUUAAUUAAAUACAAAUUAUAAAAAAAUAAAAUAAAAAUCCCCAGCGCAGUGAGGGACAUAUUCGAUAUCAAUAAUUAUAAAAUCUGUAGUUGUAAUAUUUAAUUGAUAUAAUAUAUAAAAUUUGAGGGUUAAAUUUGUUAUUAUACAAUUUUUUUAACUGCCGUGUCACUUUGCAAUUUUUUAUUUUAAGGAGUCAUCAAAAUAACUAAACUAUGUAAUGUGAGUGCUUAAAUUACAAAAUUUUUACUUUAAUGUGAGUGCUUAAAUUACAAAAUUUUUACUUUAAGUGUUUAAAUUUUUAAAAAAAAUUAUAAUUAAAUAACAAUCUAUAUGUAGUUUGCCCAAAAAUUUUAUAACCCAAACUACACAAUUUUAUGGCCAUCUCCCACUUUUGAUAUCUCUUUGGCCAUUAGUUAAGAUGGGAGGGGAAUGACUUAUUCAAGAUUAGUGUCAACAUUAGAUUUAAAACCUACGGAAGUCAUGUUUCAAUUUUUUUAUAUAAUAAUAUAACAUUUAAAAUUAUAUUAUAUCUAUAAAAGAACUCAUUGGAUUAGGGUUUUUUUUUUUAAUUAACUUUCCAUUUGUUAUUAGAAAACAAAACUAAAAAUGCAUCAAACAGGGCUCUGAUAAAAAAUUAAAAAAAAACCAAAAUGUUUAGGUUUGGUAUCGUUUUACUUUUACUUUAAAAUCAGUCUAAUCUGUAUCAUGCUCACACCAAACAUAUGAAGAAAAAAAAAAGUGAAAUAGUAAGGAUAUUAUUAAUUUCAUUCCAAGACAAAUUUUAGCAUACCCAAUUAGGUCCUUGGGUUAAUCUUAUGUUUUUUGUUUAGGCAUUCAGCAUUCUUGGCGUUUAGUUUAGUUAGAAUUUUAAAUUAUGAUAGAUCUGAAACUUUGGUAUUUUUGUGCAAAACUCAACCUCAAAGCUUUAUUUGUUGUCUAAAUUAUUUUAUUGAAGCCUAGGAAUUGUUGUUAUUGUUUCGGCUAAUUGACCUUAAAGCAUCAAAUGCCUUUUUUUGGAUGGUCAUAUUCCUUCCAAGGGCUGAAUUACUAAAAGCCCAUGAAGUAUCCUUCUUUUUCUUAAGUGAGCCUCUGUUUCAAUGCCGCCAAAAUUUUCUUUAUCCACAUGGAAGCUGACCUGCCAUGAUGAUGUGGUAAAAAAAUGAACAAUUUGUAUUUUUUGAAAAAUAUAACACUUAAGAACUUUCUUUCUUCUUGCCUCCCAAUUCUCACCACCAAUUCCUUAGCCCAAAUCAGUUUUGGCCUCCGACAUUGAUCAUAACAAAAGUAAACUUUCUAUUAGAAAUAAUUUCUUUUAUGUACAAAUUAAAGGGUAAGAUAUUGUUUGGGUACAAAAAAAGCAUAUGAGCUUACUUUAGAAAAGUGACAACGUUGGGCUCUUUUAGUAUUCUAUCCUCCCACCAACUUUGUCCAAUGUUUUUUGCCUUAUCACCAGACAGUAAAAGGGCCUUUGACCUUUUCAGGCUAAGCGCUGCCUGGUGCAUGUAGGGGGAAAAGGCCUUCUAAUUGAAGUUCUCUUUAAUAUCUCUUUAAUUGUUUCUUAAUUGUAACAAAGGGAUAAUAUCGAACUCUCUAUUUCUCAAUAUUUGAGUAUUCAACACCAGGCAUGGGAUCAUAUGGAAAUAUGCAUAUGGUUGACAAAAGAAAGAAAAUUUGGAAAUGUUUAUUUAAGUAGUAACUGCUGGUUUUCUUGGAUGCUUUCUUGUUAAUGACUACUGUUUGGGCAUGUUUAUUUAAGAAUUGCCCCCAAGUAGUUUCUUGAAUCAUCUAAAAUUGGAAAAAAUAGUCUUAUGGUAACUCAUUAAAGUAUUUGAAAGUAUGCACAAGCUAAUAACAUUUUAGAAAUUAAAAUUGAAGAUCGGUUUUUAGGGUAUCAUGUCCAUAUUAAGCAUCAUCUUUCCAGAUUACUGUUCUCUCUCUCUCUCCCUCUCUGUGUGAUAUAUUUCUCAAGUGAAAGGUAACCUUCUUCACUUGAUUUUGACUUAAUUUUGCAGUCACCACGAUUGUAUAAUGUGUACAAGCAAAUGGGAAUUGUAAAAUCUUUUCAGAAUAUUCUGGACAAUGUUUUCAUUCCACUAUUUGAAGUUACAGUUGAUCCGAAUUCUCAUCCUCAACUACACGUGUUCCUAAAAAUGGUGAGUUCUAUGUUCAUCGGAGAACAUACUGUGCUAUAAUAAGAGAUUUCGGAAAAUAUAGUUAAAAAAUGCUUCUUUAUUGGAAUGACCUGCAUUAUAGCAAGCUGAAUAAAUGAUGCCUUAACUUUAUUCAUUGUGUUCUCAUAAUUCUUUAAAACCAUUCGAAAAUUCUAUUGAGCCACAUUAUAUGGUUAAUUUUUGGGUCUGUACUGCAUACUGAACAUGUGUACAUCCUUGCGAUUUUAGAUGGAUGGAGUUGGACAGCAAAGCAAUUGAAAAAAACCCAAUUUAUGGUUUCUAAAUGUUAGAUCAUUUAUGGUUUCUAGUUUCAAUUUAAAAAAAAAAAAUCCAAAUCAGCCAACUAAUGAAAUUUUCAACGAUGUUAGUUAUUUUAACUAAUCCAUAACAUGUUUGCUUCUUCUUCUUUUUUUUAGCCUAGCAGCAAUGUUAGCCUCUGGACUAGUUACCGCCCUCCUUUUUCCCCUCCCUAUUAACCCUUUUUAUUUUUCUUCUCAUUCACUCCAUGAGUCUUCGUUCUUUUCAGUUUACAGAUUUAUUUUGUGAGUAUUUUUGUUGUCUUUACAAGUUGUAAUGGACAGUUGACAAUGGCUAUCAUCAUUGAAACACCACCGACCACCAACACUUUCUUUUAGAAAGUGGGUACCUCUUCGUUGACUACUUAAUUUGUUUAUAUUUUGAGAGUUUCAAAAUAAUAAAUGAUUUCAUGACUCGGUUUAGACUCAUGUUUUUUUUCCAUUGUUCAAUAAGUUUUUACUUUUAAAAGUUUUUUUCUACUCUUAUAGUAAGCUUUUUAGUCUUGCUUUUGCGAGUAAUUUUAGGGUUGGUUUUGUCGCCAUCCCCUCUAGUUUGGUGGAUGCUCAGUUCUUUUGCUGAUUUAUGCCCGCCGCUUUGGACCAUCCGGGGUUGAUUUUCUUACUAUAUUAAGUGCUUGUAAUCACUUCUGAUAUGUUGUGCUUGAGUUGUGAUAGAGCUGAUUUCAACAUGCCAUAAUGUUCUAUUAAUGUUGAAGCUAAAGCUUUUGUUAUAUUGAUGGAGCUUGUCCUUUAGCGAGUACAACAAGUGUUUGUUAUUUCCUCCCCCCCCCCGAAUUGUAUGGUAUUAUUCAUUGAAUAAAUUAAUGAAGUUGUCUUAAAAAAAACUAAUCCAUAACAUUAACAUUAAUAAGAGAACAAAAUAUAUCAAAUUAAAAAAGAAAAACUGAAUCUUUAAUUCAAUUGAGAAAUUAUAGGGAUUAAAACUAUAAAUUGAUCUAUAAUAAUUUCUCAGGCAUUAAUUGUAAGAUUAAUUCCAUAACCUAAAUUAUUGUAGGGGCUAUAUAAGCUCAAGGUUGACGCAAAAGUCAAUAGUCAGCGUCUGAAAGUUAAUGCAAUUAAUUAUGUCAUUGUUGAUAUAUUUAACGCAAAUAUAUUAUCAUAUGUGUAAUGUCAUACCAUCUUAUUAUUUCCAUAUGUUACUAAAAAUCUAGUUAACGGACUAAGGAUUGUCAUUUGUAUCAAGACUGAAAUUUUAAAUUUUGAAAAAUAUAGGUACUUAGAAUAAUCCAAUUAGAGAGUAUGGACUAAAUCAACAAUUAUACGCAUAAUAUAGGACUAGUAAUUGGUUUUAAUUAAAUUGAUUUAACUCUAUUGUUUGGAUCACAACUAAAAUUUUAAAAUUCAAAAUGUAUAGGGAUUAAAAUUGAUCAAAUUGAAGUAAAUAGACUAAAUUUACAACUUUCACAAAGAACAGUGACCAACAGCAGAAUUUAACCAAAUAAGCUCACCAAAGUCAAUAGUCAAUCUUUGAAAAGUAAUGCAAUUAAUUAUGUCAUUGUAGGAACGCUUUCCUGACAUAAAAUUCCACCAACUAAGCCUUUUGCGUAAAUAUUAGCUAUGAAAAUUCAACCAUUGAUAUUAAAUUCAAGACCCCACAAAUGACAGACAUAUAUGUUGGAAAAAUCUUUGUGUGAACAUUUCUUUCGGUCAUACUCAUGUCGUAUAAGUUAGAGGAGCACAAGUCUAGAUUCAUCCAAUUUUUGAGGAAUUAAUUAAUUAUAUAUUAGUUUAAAAUUAUAGUGAAUUAGUGAGACGCCAUAGGUCUUGCUUGCAUAUAAAUAAGAAGCUUAGGCUUCUUCAGAUUAUUUACAUAUAAAAGUUUAAAAAGUAACAUAUAGCUAAGAGAGAAGAGGAAAACAGAAAGAUGAUGAUGAUAAUGAUGGAGUGGAAAUGGUUAUGGUUUAUAAGGAUGGCAGUAAUGUUGUUGGUGUUAGAAGGGUGCAGGUGGUGUACUGCUGAUGCUUGUUUGGAGCAUGAGUCGCCUUCUUGCAUCUCAAACCUUUCUUCAAUUAUGAUAAUCAAUUGAAAAGUUGGAUUGAGGUGAAGGGUUCAGAUUGUUGUAAAUGGAAAAGAGUUGAGUGCAACACCAUCACUAGGAGAGUCAUACAACUCUCCCUUAAUCAUACAUCAUCCAAUAUAUAAAUGAAUUAAUGAAUUUACCUUUCAAAAGAGAAAAAAAGAAUUCAUAAAUUUUGAAAUACAAAAUGAACGUGUUUUGAUAUUUUUAGGGCAAUGGUUUAGUGGUUCAAAAUUUUGAUUUAAUAUGGUGAAUUUAAUUAUAAUUUUUUAUAUAUUAGAUAGUAGAAUAUAUUUUACCAUUUAUAAUUAAGUACAAUUAAGUUUAGGUUAAAAUAUUUUAUUAAAUUUUUGUACUUUUCACAAAUUUUAAAUUUAAUCUGUUUACUUUUAUUCUAGAAUUUAAUCUCUCUGCAUGUAAAGGAGGUUAUUAUGGCAAGGGGAAUUACCAUGGCAGAGGUAGCCGAGGCUGACGAAGAGAUGCUGGAUAUGCUGAAGAAAGAUAGAUGGCUGAGAAACAGAAAAACUUUAGGAACAAUAUUCAGUGUUAGAAGUAUGGGGAUGUGAAGGCAGAUUGUUGGAAAAGGGGAAACAAGCAAAUUUUGCGGAAGAUGAUGAAGAGAUUUAAAUUAUUUAUGAGCUGUCUAGAUGACACUAUAGCUUCAACUAACAUUUGGUUUCAAGGGCGUAUAUCUCAUGAUGAAGAGAUCGUCUCUCUUCUUUUUUCUCAUAACAUAUUACACGCCAUGAUAAUAAAUAUUGAUAUGCCUAUAAAUUUGAGUUUCUAUUAUUUGUAGUCAUGAUUUGGUUCACUCCAUAAGUUACAUAAAUUUAUUAUAAUAAUUCAAUUAAUUUUAGAUUAAUUUUACAUUUUUGCCCGAACUUUAGUUUUUAAUAAUUCAAUCAUCCCACCAUUAUAUUCAAUUAAAAGUGUAAUACGAUUUUGCGUCAUCCAACCAUUAUUCUUAGUGUAAUUUUUGGUAGUGAGCAUAGAAGGACAGCGAGAACAAAGAAAGAAUGUAUCCAAUAACCCACUCCCCUUAUAGUCAAUGCUUAAAAUGAAUAAGAAAAUAGAAAACAAACGUGGCAAUGCCAGCUAAUUUGUUAUUACUAUUCACCGUAUAACUAAGGACAUUACGCACCGUUUUAAUUAAAACAAACUCACCGUUUAAGACCGUUACUUCUAUGCAUCGUUUUAAUCAUAUGCGUCAGUUCGAACAAAUAGGUGAACAUGAAAGCUUUUCGCAAAGUUUAGAUGUGUGCUUAAAACUCAAACUUUGUGUUCUGUAAAAAUAUUGAUUUUGUUGUAAUUGUAGGUUGAACUUUGUGAGUCCAAUUACUUUCUUUGGCAUCGGAUAUUUCGUGGAACUUUCGUAUGAGAUAUUUACUUCAUAAAUAGAAGAUUACAAAAUUUGGAUAUUAAUAUAUUUUUCAUGAUUUAAUUUUCUUUUCCUUUUUUGGGCUAAAAUAAUUAAUAACGAAAACACGUCUUUUGCUAGCACCUAUAAAUGCCUUAAAAAUGUAAAUUAAUAUUCCACAAUAAUUAUUAAGAUGAAAAGAAUUUUAUAAUCUAAACUUACGAUUUCAUGUGAAUUUAAUGUUUAGUUAUAGUUUUAAUUACAAAGUUAAAUUGGUAUCUUUGUUAUUGCAAUAAUUAAAAAAAGAUGAGUCCAAAUGACGUUGAUUUUCUGUUUUUUAAAAGUGAAUGCAAGAUGGGACGGCUGGAAUUUUUUUUAUUAAACAGUAAGUAUGAAACAGUUAUGGUAAUUGCUUGCUCCAUCUCACUCCACUCCACUAUAUAAAAUUAUCAUUUCAUUCUUUUAUAUAUAGAAAAAAAUUAAAUAUUUUAUGAAAAUAAUCAUGUUUAAAUUUCCAAGAAUAAAAGCAAACUGAAGACUUAAAAUUUCCAUUAAUAAAACCAAAAUCAAAGAAGUAAAUUUCCCAUGAAUAAAACAAAAAAUGAAGAUCUAAAUUUUCCAUUAAUAAAGCCAAGUCAAGACUAAGUUUGUAUAAGUGUAAGAAGGGUAUAAAUGAAACUCACAAGAAAGCCACAUGAAGAAUUUUAUAACCCCAAACUACACGAUUUUAUGUCCACCUCUCACUUUUCAUAUUUUUUUGGCCAUUCGUUUUUCAAGAUUAACAUCAGCAUUCUUGUGGUCCGUUCAUCCUUUUCUAAUGAAUUUCCACCAAGAGUUUUAUUUUUCAAAAUGUUAAAUUAACUCAUGAUAUUAAUUAAAUCAAGAAAUUUUAUAAUAAUAGAGAUGAAAAAACUAAAUUUUCAAAAUCAAAACCUAAAAUGUGCAAGAAUAAAAGCAAACUGAAGACUUAAAAUCUCCAUUAAAAAAAUCAAAAUCAAAGAAGUAAAAUUUCCAUGAAUAAAACGAAAAAUGAAGACCUAAAAUUUCCAUUAAUAAAUCCAAGUCAAGACUAAGUUUGUAUAAGCGUAAGAAGGGUAUAAAUGAAACUCACAAGAAAGCCACAUUAAGAAUUUUAUAACCCCAACUACACGAUUUUAUGUCCACCUCUCACUUUUCAGUUUUUUUGGUCAUUAGUUAUUCUAAGAUUUAACAUCAACAUUUGAUUUCAAAUCAACGUUAAACCAUGUUUAAACUCUUUUUCUUAUAUAAUAAUUAUAUUAUAUUUAAAAUUGAAAAAACUAACCAGCCAAAUAUAUAUUAAUUAAUUAAUAGAAUUUUUUUUGCUCAUCGAUUAAAAUAAAUCAAGAAAGACGUUGGAACCACCAACCUCUCUUUAAGAACAACAGGAAUACAAGAACCUAUGCACAACAAGUACUAAAAUGUAUUAAGUAAAUUCAUCACCAGGCCUUAAAAAAAGAAGAUCUCGAUAUACCUGCUUUUGCCAAAGCAUCUGCCAUACCAUUACUUUGCCAGUGAAUAAUUCUGAACUGAAACUUAGCCAAUUGAGUGAUAUUAAUUAUAGAAAUGGUUCUUCUUGCAACCAUAGAUGAAACACCACUGAGACUAACAAACUUGGAGAAACUUGAUUAAAUCAAACUUAUGCAAAUUUCUUGAAUAUUUAAGUUAAGAGUUAACGUCAAAGUCAAGAGUUGAUAAGGAUUUUGUGGUCCAUUCAUAUCUUUAUUACAAUAUAUAUAUAUUCAAGAAAUUUGCAGCAAGUUGGAGUUUUGCAAUAAGGAAUUUCCACCAAGAGUUUUGGAAUAAGGAAUUUCCUCCAAGAAUUUUGCAGGAAUCAUAUCUCUAACAAAAGAAAGACCUUCAUUUGACUAAAUUUUUUAGUAUUUAUUUUAACUUCCAUUUUAUUAAAAAAAAACAGAGGUAAAAAAUAUGCCGAACAGGGUCUUUAGGUUACUUUUCUUAGAACUAUAUUAUGUUAUAGUACCGUAUAAGUUAGAGGAGCACAAGUUUAGAUUCAUCCAAUUUUUGAGGAAUUAAUUAAAUAUAUAUUAUUUUAAUAUUAUAGUAUACAGAGGCAAUGUUAGAAAAAAAUUUUGUGGAGUCGAAAUUAAAUUAUAGUUUUAAAAGCAUAUAUCUUUAUAAUUUUUAAAGAAUUAAAUCAAAUUUUUAUCAAUUUUAGGGGGUCAAUGUGCAAUUUUAUCUUUACUAAUUUAAAAUUUUAAAACAUUUAAAGGACCUAAAUAGGAAUUUUUCUAUUUUAGAGGCGUCUGAGACGCCUGUCUAGCUAUGCCCCUGAUAGUGAAUUAGUGGGAUGCCAUAGGUCCUGCUUGUAUAUAAAUAAGAAGGUUAGGCUUCUUCAGAUUAUAUACAUAUAGAAGUUAAAAAUUAACAGACAACUGAGAGAGAAGAGAAAACAGAAAGAUGAUGAUGAUGAUGAUGAUGAUGGAGUGGAAAUGGUUAUGGUUUAUUAGGAUGGCAGUAAUGUUGUUGGUGUUCGAAGGAUGCAGGUGGUGUACUAUUGAUGCUUGUUUGGAGCACGAGAGGAUUGCUCUCUUGCAUCUCAAACCUUUCUUCAAUUCUCGUGAUGAAUUGAAAAGUUGGGUUGAGGUGAAGGGUUCAGAUUGCUGUAAAUGGGAAAGAGUUGAGUGCAACACCACCACUAGGAGACUCAUACAACUUUCCCUUAAUUAUACACAAUGGGAAUUCAACGUGGAAUAUUGGUAUCUCAAUGCCUCUAUGUUUCUUCCCUUCGAGGAAUUGAGGAGUCUUUAUUUGUCAGAUAAUGCCAUAGCUGGUUGCAUUGAAAAUGAAGGUCGUGCCUUUAAUUUUCCCUCAGUUACAUCUUUUAUUAUUACACUAUUCUCACCCUUGUUAAUUUGCAAUUACUUAUAAUUUAUUUUAUUUUAUUGAAGAAAGGUCACUAAAUGUUUGUGUAUAUAUUUAAAAGAACACUCUUACAGGUUUUGGAAAGCUAUCAUCCACAUUGAGUAAUUUGGAGAUUCUUGACUUAAGUUACAAUUACUUGAAUGAUAGCAUUUUGUUAUCUUUGAGUGAGCUUUCAUCUCUCCGAUAUUUGGAUCUAUCAUACAACCGAUUUGAAAGAUCAAGUCAUCCAAGAGGUAAAUUAAGUUUAGUCUGGUGUUAGUUUUUAUUUGUAUUGGGGAGUUUGACAGUGGUUUUCCAUUGUUUUAUUCCCUCUAACUUAGUUUUUGCUUUUAUGGUUGAGAGGAAAAAGAAACAAACAAGUACUUACUCAAAUUAACUAAACAAUGGAUUAUUUUUUUUAUGUUUUGCAGUAACUAAUUCUAUGGUAUAUAAAUCAGGUUUUCAGUGGCUUUCAAGGCUCACUAAAUUGGAAACUCUUCAUCUAAGUGGGAAUUCUUUGAAGAAUAGCAUUUUUUUACAGAUGAGAAAUCUUUCAUCUUUGAAGACUUUAAGUUUGGGUGACAAUCAGUUGGGAGGAAAACUGCUUCAUAUUCAAGGUAGACUGAUUUUACACUUUUCUUGUUAACUUUAAAAUAAAUUCAGUAUGUGAUUUGAUUUUAUCAUAUCAUGAAUAUAACUGAUCAAUAUUUGAGAUUGAAUUUCAGAAUUGAAUCAUUUGGCAAACUUGAAGUACUUGGAUUUAAGUAGGAACAGAAUUGAAAGCAUCUCAAACAAAGGUAUAAGUAAUAAUUUGUGCAUGACUUUCCUGACAGACUUCAAAUGUAUUUUCUUUGUUUUUUUCCUUUUCAUAUGGUUGAGAGGAAAAAAGAUCCUUAUAAUCUUAAAGAGUUGAUAUUGAGAGUUGGUCAUGAGAGAAUGGGUCCUUAAAAUCCUUAAGACCAGGGAGUUUGUGUCCACAGUUGAGUAUUCCAUUUGAAAACUGAAAAUUAAAUAUUCUAUUGCUUUAUUUCUUUUAAAAGAAAGAUUGAGUUUGGAUCUCCGACUGCUUUAUUUUUUUCAAAGAAAGAAAUAUGUUUAUACUUUUGCGCAGAAGAUAUGAAGAAGUCUUAUUUUGUUCUCGCUUUUGUGCAAGUGAAACUUAGUUAUCUCAAAUAUAUAUAUAUAUAUAUAUAUUGUAGUUAUCAGUUCACUACACAAUAGCAUGUAAACCAGUUCCCCCUUUUCAAAUUUAUGAGUGGGAGUUGUCCAUGAUUUUCUUUGUGAUUUUCUUUUCACGUUUUAGGAUUUUCAUCUUCACUUCAAGUUUUAGAUUUACUUUUUUUCAUUUUUAUUUCAUUAACUUAAAAAAGGAAUGCUGGAUCAUAUUCAAGGUAGAUUGAUUUUACAUGUUUCUUUUUAACUUAAAAAAUCAAUAUAUGUUCAAGUUUAAGUGACAACAACAUUGAAAGCAUCUCAAACCAAGGUAUAAGUAUUUGUGCGUAGUAACUUUCUUGACUGACUAUUAUUCCAAAAGGCAAUGACAGACUUCAAAUGUAUUUUCUUUAGUGAAUUUUUAUUGCAAAAAUGGAGUAUUAUUAUUUAUUUAAGUUUUGUAGUAACUAAUUAUAUAAUAUAUAAAUGAGGUUUUCAAUGGCUCAUUAAAUUGGAAAUUAUUGAUAUAAGUUGGAAUUAUUUGAAGAAUAGCAUUCUUUAAAAUAAAUUCAUGUUGAAGGAAAAGUUGUUGCAAUAAGUCAUUUGAUUUUAUCAUAUCAUGAAUAUAUAUAACUAAUCAAUAUUUGGGAUUGAAUUUCAAAAUUGAGUAAUUUAAGUAGGAAGGUAUCUCAAACAAAGUAUUUAUAUAUUGAAUCAAUUCAUCGGAAAGCUUGUAAAUUGGCUCUUCCUUCUCAAACAAACAUUUUUCCUAACUAUUUAUAUAUUGAAUGAUGUUAACUAUACUAAUUACUUUCUUCCAAUGAUAGAUGGAACACAAUUGAGGCUAACAAACUUAGAGGAACUUGAUUUGAGUGGUAAUCUCUUUCGGAACAACACAAUUUCCUUUCCUCAAGGGCUUUCAAGCCUAAAGUCUUUGACUUUGUACAACAACCAUUUGCAAGGCUCAUUAGAUACUAAAGGUACUAAAGCUAUAACUUUGUUUUUCUUGAUAAUUCUUUCUAGAACCUUUUAAAAUUAAUUGUUUCAAUUUUGAACAUUCACAUUUCACGUUUGAGGAUUUUCAUCUUCACUUCAAGUUUUAGAUUUACUUUUUUUUUCAUUUUUAUUUCAUUAAAAUAUUAAGUAGAAAUUAAAAUUAUUAACAUAAUGAUUUUUUGAAUUGGACGUGGAUAUGUAUAGGAUUGAGCAAUUUAACAAAUUUGAAGAAACUCGAUUUAAGUGUGAAUCAGAUUGAAAGCUUUCAAUCCUUUAAAGGUAUGCAUUUAUAUUUAACCAAUUACCUAAAUUCUUACAUAUAAUUAAAUUUUAUGCCAAUUCAUUUCAGUGAUGAAAUUAUAUAAAUCUUUUGUAGAUGGUGGUAGAAAAUUGGAGUUGACCCACUUGGAAGAGCUUUAUUUAGAUUACAAUCAGUUCAAUACUAGUGUAUUUGCAUCCCUUAACAAGCUUUCAAAUUUGAAAUCUUUGAGCAUAUGGGACAAUGGAUUGAAAGGAUCAAUAGAUAUGAAAGGUAAAUAUAUUAGUUUUUUUAACUAGAAUAUAAUCAUGUUUGAAGAGAAUAUAAUGAAGUUGAUUUGUUGUUUUUGUUUUCCUAGAUUUGGAAGCAUUUAUCAACUUAAGGGAACUAGAUAUGAACUAUAAUGAAUUGAAAGAUUUGGUGAUCCACCAAGGUAUCAUUUAAUUAAACUUCCUUUUUUUUUUAAUUUAGAAAUUUAGUUUUGAUCUCAUAUAUUAUAAUAACGGUUAUUGUCAUAAAUAUUAAUAAAGUUAUAUCAUAUCAUACUUGAAAGUAAAAGUUUGGUGAAACAUUUUCUAAAUCAUCCAUUAUAAUGUGUUUGGACUUUGGUUUGAAACUAAAAUUCUUUAAAAUUUUCAUCAUUUUAAAAUAUUAAUGUUUAUAAUUAUUUUGUUUGUAUAAAUAUAUUUUUUAAAAUAAUUUAUUGAAUUUUUAUGAGAUAAAAAAUAAUUAUAACAAUAAAAAAUGAUAUUAUAAAUAAAUAAAAACAUAUAUUUAUGAGAAAAUAUGUAAUAUAACUAUAUUUUAAUUUCAUAUAUUUUUAAUAGUAUAAAACAUAAAAAUACAUAUUAGCGUUAAAUAAAUGGCAUUUUUUGGCAAAAAUAAAUAAAUGUCAAUUUUGAAUAAUUUAAAAAAAAUCUUUAAUUUUGUGAAAUUUAAACAUACAUUGAGAGGUGCUUAAACUUCCAUUGCAAUCUUUUUAUAAAUUUCAAAGUGCAUAUGUUUUUAACUUUUUGGUUUAAAAAAAUAUGAUAGGUCUACGUACUCUUUACUAAUUUGUAAUUUAAUUCUUAUACUUUUAUUUUCAAGAAUUUAAUCCCUGUUUUUUUAUAAAAAAAUCAAAAUCCUAGUUCAAUUGUUAAAAUUGUUAAAAUUUUAAAAUAGUUUGUUGGUGUGACAUUUUGAAAUAAAAAAAAACUUAGUAGUAAUGUAACUAAAAAAUGACGUAAUGAACAUGGAUUUAAUAAAAUAAUUUUAACAAUAUUAAUAAAAUAAUUUUGAAUUUUGAAUUUUAACUUAACUCUAUUUUUGGGCCAAGAUUUAAUGCUUUAAAAUUUUCAUUUAAUCCGCUGAGUUUACUUAUAAUUCUUUUGAGUUUUAUUUAUUGGUGAGUAAAAUACCUAUUUGAUUUUUUUAUAUACUAUUGGCAUCUUUAAAGGUAAUAUAAUAAUUUUAGUGUAGACGUGUUUUAUUUUAUAAAUAUUAUUUAUAGUGUAGACAUGUGAAUUUUGAAUAAUUUAAAAAUAUCUUCAAUUUUAUGAAAUUUAAACAUACAUUUAGUGUAGACAUGUUUUAUUUUAUAAAUAUUAUUUAUAGUGUUGUUGAUUGGAGUUUGAAAAUUAUACAACUUAGCUAUAUCAGUUAAUUACUUAUAUUAAAAAAUAAUAUAAGAAAAUACUAAAAAGAAAAAAAAUAGUAUAAUUAAUAAAAUGGAUGAAGAGUUAUAUUAAAGUUUCAACAUCUUCUCUCUAUCAAAAUUUAUCUCGGAUAAAUCAUGAAUAAUCUAACUCAUAAAAAAAUAUAUAUAUAUUUAUAUACUUCAUUUCAUUCACAGAAAAUAAAGCAUUCCACUUAAUAGAGGCUUUCUAUAAUGCCGUUAUCUAAUACCUCUUGACAUUGCUUAGAUUCAAAUGUGUCGAGCAGUUUGGAGGAAAUAUAUCUUGACUAUUCUACUCUCAACACCAACAUUUUGCAAAGCAUUGGAGUAUUCGCUUCUCUUAAAAUAUUGUCUUUAUCUAAUUGUGGACUUAUUGGUCCCUUACCUAAUCAAGGUAAACAAUUUUAUGGCUCAAUUUGAUUUCUUUAUGAACUUUCUGUAAUAUAUUAUCUCCUAUUCUGUUUUAUAAAGCAAAAUUUAAUUGAAACUUCUUCCAUGAAUUUAUUUAUAAAAUUUUCAGGAUGGUGUGAUCUAAGGAACCUUGAAGUGUUGGAUGUGAGUAGAAAUGCACUUGAGGGGAUGCUUCCUCAUUGUUUUAGUAACUUGACAUCUCUUCGUGAGUUAGAUAUUUCAAGAAACCAUUUUCAAAUUCCGCUGUCAUUUGCACCAUUUGCAAACCUUUCAAACCUCAAAGCCCUUUUGAUUAAUGAAAACAAGAUGGUAAUGGAACCUUCCUUUUAUACCUCAAUCCCAAAGUUCCAAUUGGAAGUCAUCAGUUUGUCAAAGUGCAUAACAUCUCAACAACUCAGUCUUAAACUUUGUACCUUCCUUUACUACCAAUAUGACUUGAGAUAUGUGGAUCUUUCGCAUAACAAUCUCAGUGGAACUGUACCAACUUGGUUGCUAGAAAACAACACAAAGUUAGAAGAUCUCAUCUUGAAGGGUAAUUCAUUUACAGGUCCUCUCUCACUUUCGUCGGCUCUUAUUUCUAAUGUAUCUACAAUUGACAUAUCUGAAAACAAAUUACAAGGUCAAAUUCCAACUGGUAUAUGUUCAACUUUUCCACAUUUGAGGCAGUUAUUCUUAUCCAAGAAUGCUUUUGAAGGUAAUAUCCCACUUUGUUUAAGUGGCAUGAAGGACUUAUCAUUUUUAGAUCUAUCAGACAAUCAUUUGUAUGGAAAAGUACCAGAAGAGUUGAUCACGAAAGGCUUACUAAUCAUUUUGAGACUAUCAAAUAACAACCUCAGUGGAAAUGUAGUUCCUGUGAUUCUCAGCGCAAAUGGGGUGCAGCAUUUAUAUUUGGAUGGAAAUAAUUUUUCAGGAGAGAUGACAAAUGUUGAUGUGUCUACUUUUGAGUUUCCAAAUUCACUAAGCGAAAUUGAUCUCAGUAACAACACUUUGCAUGGAAAGCUCCCAAGAUGGAUAGGGAAUGCAUCAUUUUUGGGGAGAUUAGAUUUGUCCAACAAUGGUUUUGAAGGUUCUAUUCCAAUGGAAUUUUGCAAGUUGAAUAGGUUGGAAUUUUUGGAUCUUUCUCAAAAUAAUUUAUCUGGCUCUAUACCGUCAUGUUUUAAUCCACCAUACAUACAGCAUGUCCACCUCCACGGGAAUAGACUGAGAGGCCCACUAUCACUUGCUUUUUAUAAUAGCUCUUCAAUAGUGACUUUAGAUCUUGGAGGAAACAAUUUGACGGGUAGUAUUCCAAAAUGGAUUUACACGCUUUCUUCUUUGAGUUUUUUUCUCUUGAAAGAUAAUCAUUUUCAUGGUAAAGUUCCUAUUGAGUUAUGCAAGUUGCAUUCUUUAAGCAUCAUAGAUCUUUCUCAAAAUAUGUUUUCUGGUCCUAUACCUUCUUGUUUGGGAAAUUUAUCUCUUCCAAUGCAAAGGAAGAAGAUUCUAGAACCUGGUUUCUAUGGGCCACCUAUAGAAGAGGAUGAAACAACACGCAGUACGAAACUAAAUUUGGGAAUGUAUUCUUACUAUCCUAAUAGCUACUUCGAAGAAGUAAUAGAGUUCACAACAAAGAGUGGGUUCUAUUCAUACAAGGGCUACAUCCUUUCAUAUAUGAAUGGGAUUGAUUUAUCUUGCAACAACUUAACUGGUCAUAUCCCACCAGAAUUAGGGAACUUGAGUGAAAUCCAUUCUUUAAACCUUUCACACAAUAAGUUGACCGGAGUUAUACCCUCGUCACUCUCAAAACUACAUCAAAUUGAGAGUUUGGACCUUUCUUACAACAACUUAAGUGGUGAAAUCCCCAAUCAAUUGGUAGAGUUAAACUCUUUGGAGGUUUUCAGCGUGGCAUUUAACAACUUGUCAGGUAGUAUUCCCGAACCAAAAGCUCAAUUUGGGACCUUUAUUGAAAAUAGUUAUCAGGGAAAUCCGUUUCUUUGUGGAGUUAUAUUGCAUAAAAGUUGUUCCAAAACCGAUUCACCAUCAACGAUAUCAAUUGUAUCAGAAGAUAAAGGAGAAGAUGGUUUGAUAGAUACUUAUGAUUUUUGUGUGAGCUUUUUGGUUUCUUAUGUAGUUGUGUUGUUGACAAUUUUUGUUGUCCUCUACAUAAAUCCAUACUGGCGAAGAGCUUGGUUUUCUCUUGUUGGGAAAUGCAUUACCACCUGUCGCUACUCAAAUGUGGGCAAUUUUCUUACUUAUCACAUUUUCAAGCGAUGUGUUUAGCUACUCAAAUUGUGAUUUGAUUUCCACACCUAAAUGUUUAAUUAUGCUAAGUUGAGCGAUAAUGAAUAUUUUGUUGAUUUUUGCAUUUUGAAUAAAAGCUCUUUUAUCUUAUGGUUUUAUCAUUUUCAACCAUCUAUUUCUUUUUUCUUCUAUGAAAUUUAAUAUAAAAUCAUAAUCCAUUAUUAUGUAUAUGCAAUAUCUCUUUAAAUUAAAUUAAAUUAAAUUAACUGCCAAGCGUUCACUAGUGCAUACUAAAAAGGAAAUCUAAUGUAAAAUUAAAUCAAACAUACUACAGAAUUGAAUCUAAAACUGGAAUAUUUUAAAACCUCACAAACAAUGCAAUUCUUUAUUCCUCUUUUCCUCUCAAGUUAUUUUGUAUCAUGUUAUAUUUUACAUAAUUAAUCGUAUCAUCAAAUUUUAAAAAAAUUUUAAUAUUUUGAUAUCAUGUUCAUAUUAUGCUUUAAUUCACAAUGUAUUUUGUAUAAUAUGUUAUAACAAUUCAAUUUAAAAAACAAACAAUUAUCUUAUUUUUGCAUACCGUAAUAUACAUUUACAUGUUAAUAAUUCUUUGUACAUAAAUUUUGACAUGUUCGUAUAUUCGAGUCAUUAUAAUUUUAUUAUUUGUAAUAUGACAUGUUUUACUUACCCUUAAUAUUGUGUCAUGAUAAUUAUAACUCGAUUGGCAGUGUACCAAAUAUUUUUCUAAUAAAAAAUAGUAUUUUAUUCUAUUUACCAAAUCUUUAUCAACUUUAUUUUCUCACCAACAAAACAUACAUUCAAAGUUCAAAUAAGUUCCACACCCAUUUUUUUACUGCAAUACUCAAGAAUAUGCUCAUCAUCAGAAAUCUGAAAUAUUCCACUCUAAUUAACAUUAUGAUUCUGUAAACAACAAAAAAGUGUGAUACUUUUUUAAAGCUCUUUUUUUUUCUUUAAUGAAAUGGGAUUGGUAAAAAAUCCGCACAUGUGUCGUGUGUGAAGGUGGUCAGGUUGUCUAUUCAUACUGUAAUAAGUAGCUAAUUAUAGUUGAUCCUACAAAAUCAAAAUUAAUUCAGGUAUCUAUAUAUUCUGAAGACUGGACAGACCUUAGAAGCUCCUUCAAAUUUGCAAGAACAUGUCGUGGUCCUAAACUCUUUACACCGAUGAAAUUCAAAAGUUGCUCUAUAUCCUGCAAUCACAGUAAAGAUUAUGCAAGCUUUUCAGAACGAAUAACAUAACAAGCAAAAGGCAAUCAAAAUACUGUGAUCUCGAUAAUGUUCUUUGCCGAAAAGGAACAUAAACAUAACCUGAAAACAUCAGUGAAGGCUCAUCAGAUUUGCUUAGCAACCUUACAUACACAUGUAAAAAGCUUUGCUUUUGGAUGUAUGGUGUGACUAUCAUCACAGUCUUUCCUAAUUAGCUGAUAACCCUAUAUCUAACAUUUAUCAGGGCUAAGCAAAUUAACAUACAUAAUGUAAAGGAAUUUGACCAUAAGAUCCAACAGAAAACUUAAUAAAAGAUAAUCAACAUAGAAAGUUAAAAGGCAAUGCAAACUUAUUACAAUGAUGCAAGUGGAUCAAAAGAAAGCACUCUAUAAGGAAUUUGUAUUUAAGGCAUUGUAAACAGAAAAAAAAUAAUAAAACUUUUCGGAAAGUAUUUUCAAAGAGGAGACAAAAACAGGGUAGAAAAAAUGUUUGGUCCUUCCUUUUUCUAUUUCUACUGUGGUGAAAAAGCCUUUUUGGGUUAAAAGUGUUUUUACACUGCAGAAGUGUUUUUCCACUGCAGAAGUGAUGAAGAACACAUAGCUUUGUAGUCAAAAACCUACUGCUUUUGGCUUUUGCAUUUCGAAGUGAAAAUUAUAAAAAUACUCUUAGAUUAAUUUAUAUUUUAUAUAUUAUUAUAUUAAAUUGUUAAAUCUUAUUUAUUAUUAUAUUUAAUUUUUUUCAAAAUAUUUUAUACAUCAUCAAUUUUACAAAUAAUUUAUAUUAAUUACUUUUAAAAGUUAUAUUUCAUGUAUCAUUAUAUUAAAUUAUUUAAAUAUCAUAUAACAUCACUAAUUUUCUACUUUCUACCAUCAUGUCUAAAAUAGACAUUUUAACUUUCAACCGCAAUUUUUGGCAGCAAUGAACAACACUAAAAACUAACAAACACACUUUUCCGCACCACAUUUCAAAAACACUUUUUUCUAAACGCACUUUUGAACUAGUCCUUAGUCUAUCAUGCAUCAACUCUUCAUUUUUCUUUAACUACCCAUGUCCGACUUCGAACAUGGAUAUGGAGAUAUGACCAAGUCACAGUGACAUAGUUUUUAGUUAUGGGGAAUGGGAUUCGAGUGCUGGACCUCCUUCUAGAUGCAUGGUGGGACUUCAUCACAUUUUUCAAAUUUGUUGAUAAUCCUUCACCUAAUCUGCCGGUGAAGUUUAUAGAUAGUUGUUGACACCAUUUUUUUGAUGAAAACGGGAUCGACUUGGAUUUUGAAAAAAGAAUGAAAACGGGAGUCGCCACCAAUCCUUUUUGACGAGGUGUGAUCGGGUCACCUCAAAAUGUGGUUGUUUUUAAUAAAUGAUUUAAUUUUAUUAAAACAACGAUUUUGGUCUACGAAAUUCAGAAAAAUGAGUUCGGGAGUCGGUUACACACGAGGAAGGAUUAGCACCCUCGAUACGCCCAAAAUUGGUACCUAGUUGAUUAAUUAGUGUCUUAGUGUCGAAAAUUGAAAAUUUGAAGAGUUUUAAAAAUACGAUCCUUAAAAGAAAUUCUGAUAACGUGAAUUGAAAUAUAAGAUUCUCUUGUUCCGAAGGAAUAUCACAUCCAGCACGUUAGGACACGAUACUCUAAACCAUCGAAACCAAGAUCAUCUUAUAGUUUAAUGAAACCACACUUUGAAGCUUUAAGAGGAUAUUUGGCUAUUUAGUCGAACGAGAAAUCGAAACCCAGCACGUUAGGGCACGUUUUCUCGAUUUUCCAAACGCGAAAUAUCGCCUUAUUUAGAAAAAUUUUCCUUUUGAUGUUUGGUGUUAAUGCUUGACAAAACAAUAACGAAUACGACAAGGUGAGCAAAGUAAAGUGAGUAACAACAAUACAAUAGGCAAAAUGAAAUGACGAGGCGAUUACAUAAACAAAGCAUACAAAUAAAUAAAUAGAACUAACAUUUAAAAAAAAGCAUAAGUGUACACGAAUAAAUAAACAAACACCAAAUAACAAUGAUGACAAUAAAUACAAUUAUGUAAAAAUGUAUAUACAUGUAUAAUUUUAAGCCAUGAAAUAAGAAACGCAUAUAAAUUAUAGAAUAUGAAAACAUAGAUAAAUAUAUACAUAUGUGUAAAAAAUAAUAUUAUAAAAAGGGUACGUAUAUAUGUAUAAAAAAAUAAAUGUAUUAACAAUGAAUAUAAUAAGGGUAAGAAAACAAGUAUAUACACAAUAUAUAUGUAACGUGGUACUAAGGAUAUAUAUAUACAAUACAGUAUUUAAAAUAAUAUUUACGUAAUAUAAAAUAUAAUAUUAAAAGGUAUAUGUACAUACGUAAUAUAUAAAUACAUAUAUAAUAUAAUGUUAAAAUAUUUACAUAAUACUAAAAUAUUUAGGUAAUAUAUGCGUAUAUUGAAAACUAGUAAUAAUAUUAUCGAGGUAUAUACAAAUAUAUCAAGUAUAUACACGUAUUAUAAAUAUAUAAAUAUAUGACAAAGCAUAAACUAAUAAAAAUAAUAAGAAUAAUAAUAAUGAUAACAUUGGAAUAUAAAAGAAACAAACAUAACAUUAAUAAAAUAUUAAAAUAAAGUGAAAUAAAAAUAUUAAAUAUGAGAAUAUAUAUAGGUAUACACGUACAUAAUAAAAAUAUAUACUAAUACAUAAUAAUAAUAAUGGUAAUACUAAUAAUACUAAUAAUAUAAAAAUAACAAGGAUAUUUAAUAAAGAUAUAAAAAUCAACAAAAAAGGACUAAAAUUGAAUUGAAAGCAAAGUUGUGGGGCCAAUUUGAAAUGAAAACAAAGAAAAAGGACUUAAUUGUAACACGCAUGCAACUUGGAGGGUCAAAAGCGCAAUAAACCCAAGUAUUAAAAACGCUGCGCAGCGUGGGGGACCAGAAUGAAUUCGGGGCAACACCAUGGAGCCAAAUUAAAAAUAAAAAAACCUUGAUUGUAAACUCCCAGAAAGGCGGAAGGGCUAAAAGUGCAAUUAGCCCUUCCAAAGAAAAAAACACGCGGAUCUUCCUUGGUGCAGGUCGGGUCGACCCGACCCGUGUUCAAAACGACGUCGUUUCAUUUAUUUAAACCGGGGGUCCAAAACGGUGCGUUUUGACCCCCUAUAAAAGUCAAAAAAACUUCAAAAAAAAAUCAUUUGUAACGCUGAGGGAAAAAAAAGAAAAGGGAGAGAGGAGAGGGGAGCCCGGAGCGAUUUCCGGCCAAGGGAGGGGUCACCGGACGGCCACCGGAGGCUCGCCGGCGUCAGCGCCGGCCACCGCACGCGGUGGCCGGAAAGGUAAAAUUUUUUAUAUUUUUUUUAUAUUUUUUUUGUUAUUUAUUCUUGGUCUUAGAAUGUAUAGAUUUUAGGUUUAUAUUAAUAAAAAAGGUAUAGAUAUGUAUAUAGAAAUCGAAAGAAAAUGGAUGAAAACAAAAAGGUAACCUUUUCCGUUUGCCUUUCCUUUUUCCCGAAUGCUUGCUAUCUCAGUACUGAGAUCUAUGUAUUUUUUUUAAAAUUUUAGCUUCUGUUUUUUUGUAUUAAAAUGCCAAAAAACAAACAAAAAGAAGAAAGAAAAAAAACCCCCUGAUACAAUUUUUGAUUCGGGUUUUUAUAACCCAUUUUCAUCUAAUUUCCUAUUGUUUCUGUUUUGUCUCUUUGCAUGGGAUGGGCACGAUGGAGGUGACAGAGGCAUGGUGGUACAGAGGAGCAGGUGGCCGACAUGGUGGCAUGGAGAGCUGGGCGUGGCAGACAAGGAGGCCACGCGAGGCAUGCGGCGCUAGGGUUUGGGGGGCAUCUUUCUUCCGAAAAUGUUAAUGUUGUCUGGGCUGGGUUUUUAAUUUUUGUUUCGGGCCAUGGGCUACAUUGGGCUUGUUAUUUUCCUUUGUAAUUGGACUGUUGUUUAUCUUGUUUUAAUAUUCGGGCCUGGGCAUAAAAUUGGGCCUUACAGCUGCCCCUCUUUGCUUGUUAUCGUGUAACGAGAACAGAGCAAAGACUAAAAAAGGCCAAUUUGGCCCGGGCUCACCGAGUUUUGACUUCUUUUGGUGCUUCCUUUCUUCAAGCCUCAUUCUAGUCCACUGCGUCUUAUGAUUCUUCGAUCUGCUCUACUGCAACUUCAGAUACGCCUUAUAGCUUCAAUCUACUCUGCUACGACUCCAUGGGGAUGAGAUUUGUGUUUUUAGUCUGCUUCACUACUACUUAGGGAGAUAAGACUGUGGUUUCGUCUGCUCCGCUACUGCUUAGGGAGAUAAGACUGUAAUCUCCGAUCUAUUCCACUGUCAAAUACAGGGAGAUAGAGUUAUCAGCUUCAAUGUACUCCACUGUAGUCACAGGGAGGUAAAAUCUGCCAUCUUUGAUCUUCAAUCUAUUCCACUGCCAAAUACAGGGAGAUAGAGUUAUCGGCUUCAAUGUACUCCACUGUAGUCAGGGAGGUAAAAUCUGCCAUCUUCGAUCUGUUUCGCUGCCAAAUACAGGAAGGCAAGAUCUGCAAUCUUCGAUCUACUUCACGCCAAUACAUGAAGAUAAGAUCUGCUUUCUUCGAUCUACUUUGCCACCAGUAUGGGAAGACAAGAUCUGCAUCGUCGAUCCACUUCCUACCAAUAUAGGAAGACAGGACCUGCUAUCUUCGAUCUACUUCACGCCAAUACAUGAAGACAAGAUCUGCUUUCUGCGAUCUACUUCGCCACCAAUAUGGGAAGACAAGAUCUGUAUCUUCGAUCCACUUUCUACCAAUAUAGGAAGAUAGGAUCUGCUACCUUCGAUCUACUUCACGCCAAUACAUGAAGACAAGAUCUGCUUUCUGCGAUCUACUUCGCCACCAAUAUAGGAAGACAAGAUCUGCAUCUUCGAUCCACUUCCUACCAAUAUAGGAAGAUAGGAUCUGUUAUCUUUGAUUUACUUCACGCCUAUACAUGAAGACAAGAUCUGCUCUCUGCGAUCUACUUCGCCACCAAUAUGGGAAGACAAGAUCUGCAUCUUUGAUCCACUUCCUACCAAUAUAGGAAGAUAGGACCUAUUUACGCCUAGUGUUUAGGAUGACAUGAUCAGAAUGAAUCAAAUGCUCCUAACUAGAUGCGUAUGUAUUAUAUUUGUAGAAUGUCAUGAGAAUGAUCCAUUUUUAAUGCUUAGGUUGUCAUUCUUCAUUGUUCAUCAAGGUUCUAUCACUGAUGCCUUCUUGUUCAGCCAGUACCUUUGACAGAAAACCUAAAGAAAUAGACGCUAUUUAGACUAUCAUUUCUCAAAUGUUUCCAACCCUUAGGUUUGGUUAGUUCUAAACAAUAGUCCUGUUUCAGGUCAUCGUAUUAUUUAGAAACUUUCAGAGUAAUAUGCAGAACUCCUUCUGCAUGUGUAUUGUCAGUCCAUUAAUCGUUAUUUCAAUGAAAAAUGCUUGAAAAAGAUUAUCAAAAUGGACAAAAUGGAAUUUUGUUGAGAGCAAAGCUCUAAACAAACAAAUCAAGAUAGCAAAUUUGCUGAGAUACGAGAUGAAUAAGAUGAAAAAGAUUAUCACAACGGAUAAGAUGAAAAUUUGCUGAGAGCAAAGCUCUGAAUGAACAAAUUAAUCAAGAUAGCAAAUGUUGCUAGAAUACAAAACGAGAAUAAAUUAAUCAAGAUGAUGUAUUUUGUCAAAAAUACAGAAAAUGAAUAAAAUGGAAAUAAGUGCCCCAGAUAUCGUAGCAUGAGCUUCUCUGCCCCAAACUUCUUAAGGACCCUUUUGAACUUGAUAUGUGUUUAGAAGUCCUAGAAGGCUUUGUUGAUGCCCCAUCUUUGAUCGAAAACUACUUUAUGCCUCAUCCUUGAUCGAAAAUUUGAAUUGCCCGUUCCUGGGUUUUCAAUUCAAAACCCCUUUGGUCUCAAGGUGCCCUUUGCGGGUUUUCGCCUUGGCCUCUCCUCUUUUUUUUUUUUAGGCAAAGUACCUCUUCACUGAAUCCGAAUUCACAGGAUUGGGCAAGCUUUUGCCAUCCAUCCUAGUUAAAAUUAAUGCCCCUCCUGAAAAGGCCUUUUUUACUACAUAAGGUCCCUCCCAGUUUGACAUCCACUUUCCUCUGAAGUCUUUUUGUAUGGGAAGGAUCUUCUUCAGUACCAAGUCCCCUUCAUGGAAGUUUCUAGGACGAACUUUCUUAUUGUAAGCUCGCAUCAUUCGUUUCUGGUAUAUUUGACCAUGACGGAUAGCUCUUAACCUCCUUUCCUCAAUCAAGUUCAGCUGAUCAUAUCGGGAUUAGACCCAUUCUGCUUCGUCUAACUUUAGUUCUGAAAAAACUCAGAGGGAGGGAAUUUCAACCUCAAUUGGUAGCACUGCCUCCAUUCCAUAAACCAAAGAGAAUGGUGUUGCCCCGGUAGAAGUCUUGACGGACGUUCGAUAAGCAUAGAGGGCGAAUGGCAACUUCUCGUGCCAAUCUCUAUAGGUCUCAGUCAUUUUCCCCACAAUCAUUUUGAUAUUUUUAUUGGCUGCCUCCACCGCACCAUUCAUCUUUGGACGGUAUGGCGAUGAGUUGUGGUGCUUGAUAUUGAAUUGACUACAAACUUCUGCUAUCGUGCUAUUAUUCAAAUUUAAUGCGUUGUCAGAUAUAAUCCUUUCGGGCAUUCCAUACCGACAUAUGAUUUCCUUCUUUAAAAACUUGCUGACAGCUGCCUUUGUGACGUUGGUGUAAGAAGUAGCCCCUACCCACUUAGUAAAGUAGUCAAUCACUACAAAAAUGAAACGAUGUUCGUUUGAAGCCUUUGGCGAUAUCGGCCCAAUGACGUCCAUGCCCCACAUGGAGAAAGGCCAUGGGGAAGUCAUGACGUGAAGAGGUGAUAGAGGCAUAUGGAUUUUGUCUCCGUAAAUCUGGCAUUUAUGGCACUUCUUAGCAUAUUUGAUGCAGUCUCCUUCCAUGGUAGACCAAUAAUAUCCAAAUCUCAUGAUUUGUCUGGCCAUUGUGAAACCGUUAGCGUGUGUUCCACAAAUACCAUCAUGGACUUCUUCCAAGAUCUGUUUGGCCUCCAUAGCGUCCACACAUCUUAACAGCACCUGAUCUUUUCCUCUUUUGUACAGGAUCUCUCCAUCUAAGACGUAAUCACUGGCCAGCCUCCUCAACAUUCUCUUGUCAUUCUCAGUUGCUUGGUUUGGGUAUUCACGAUUUUUUACGUAUCGCAAUAUAUCCUGAUACCAAGGGUUUUCGUCCUUUUCUUCUUCUUCGUCAAUGUUACAACAGUGGGCUGGAGCAUCAUAAAUGCUCAUUUGGAUAGGCUUCACAUCCUCUGGUCUAUUUACUUUGAUAAUGGAAGCCAAUGUAGCUAAAGCGUCGGCCAUCUGAUUCUCGUCUCGUGGAAGAUAACAAAAAGUGAUGUCGUCAAACUCCUCAAUCAAUUCUAGGACUAUCCUUCGGUAACUAAUCAACUUAGGUUCUCUUGUUUCCCAUUCGCCUUUGAGCUGAUAAAUUACCAAUGCCGAAUCCCCAUAUACCUCAAGUACCUUGAUUUUGCGUUCUAUAGCCGCGCGGAUUCCCAUGAUACAUGCUUCAUAUUCCGUCAUGUUAUUUGUGCAAUCAAAAUCUAGUUUACUGGUGAAAGGAUAAUGAUCACCGUUUGGAGAUACCAAGACUGCCCCAAUCCCGUUGCCCAUGGCAUUUGAGGCUCCGUCAAAAUUUAAUUUCCAAGUAUUGCCUUCUUGUGUGCUUGCUUCAGUAGUUGCCACAUACAUCAGAUCCUCAUUUGGAAAAUCAAAGUUCAAAGGCUCAUAAUCGUCCAGGGCUCUACUUGCUAGAAAAUCUGCUAUCGCGCUCCCUUUUACAGCCUUUCGAUUCACAUAGGUUAUGUCAAAUUCAGAUAGUAGAAUUUACCAUCGGGCCAUCCUUCCGUUUAGAGCAGUUGACUCCAUCAUGUAUUUCAGAGGGUCUACCUUUGAGAUUAACCAAGUCGUAUGGUACAACAUGUAUUGUCUCAAUCUUCGAGUAGUCCAAACCAAUGCGCAACAUAAUUUUUCAAUUGGCGAAUACCUCGUUUCGCAUUCAGUGAACUUUUUACUGAGAUAAUAGAUCGCUCUUUCCUUUCGUCCUGACUCAUCAUGUUGGCCGAGCACGCACCCCAUGGAAUUCUCAAAUACUGCCAAGUAUAGUAUCAAUGGUUUGUCAGGGCAAGGUGGUAUCAGUACUGGGGCGUUGGACAAGUAAUGUUUAACUCUUUCGAAAGUUUUCUGGCACUCUUCAUCCCAUACACCUGGAUUGUGUUUCCUAAGAAGACGGAAUAUGGGGUCACAUUUCUCGGUUAAUUGUGAAAUGAAUCGAGCGAUGUAAUUUAGUCUUCCUAGGAAACCCCGAACUUCUUUUUGAGUACUUGGCGGAGGUAAUUCUUAUAUGGCCUUAACUUUGUCUGGGUCAAUUUCAAUUCCCUUUUCGCUGACUAAAAAUCCUAGCAAUUUUCCUGAUCUAGCCCCGAAAGUACACUUGGCUGGGUUAAGUUUUAGCUGGAACUUCCUUAACCUCAGAAACAGUUUUCUCAGAACUUGCACGUGUUCCCUUUCUGUUCUGGAUUUUGCGAUCAUGUCAUCAACAUAAACUUCUAUCUCUUUAUGCAUCAUAUCAUGGAAUAAUGCUACCAUGGCUCUCUGAUACGUUGCUCCCGCAUUUUUCAAUCCAAAAGGCAUCACUUUAUAACAAAACGUCCCCCACAUCGUUAUGAAUGUGGUCUUCUCCCUGUCUUCAGAAAGCAUCUUAAUUUGGUUGUACCCGGAGAAACCAUCCAUGAAAGAGAGCAGUGAGUAUCCGGCCGUGUUGUCUACCAAGGUAUCGAUAUGAGGAAGUGGGAAAUUAUCUUUUGGGCUGGCUUUGUUCAAGUCUCUGUAGUCCACACACAUUCGCACCUUCCCAUCUUUCUUAGGAACAGGGACUAUAUUGGCUACCCAUUCUGAGUACUUGACCACCUGUAAGAAACCAGCAUCAAAUUGCUUCUUAACUUCUUACUUUAUUUUUAGCAAGACAUCAGGCCUCAUCCUUCGGAGCUUUUGUUGGACUGGUUUGCAUUCUUCCUUUAUAGGCAAUCGGUGUACCACGAUAUCAGUACUUAACCCUGGCAUAUCUUGGUAGGACCACGCGAAGACAUCUUUAAACUCUUGAAGCAACUCAACAAGGUCUUGCCUUGUUUCCUUGGCAAUGCAAGCGCCAAUUUUUACCUCUCUGCUCUCUUCUAAGGUCACAACUUCUACUGAUUCCUUAUAGGGUAUAAUUUGUUUUUCUUCUUCUUUCAUCAUUCUUAACAAAUUCGGAGAUAAAACGCUGUCUUGGUCACCUUUAAAAUCUUGAGGAUCAUCUAUACUCAUGUCUUGCUCAAAUAGAGACUCUGAAUUAGUAACAGAGUCGCUCAUCUCGUUGAUAUUUGAAGACCUGUUAUUGGAACAAAUGGAGGCCCAAAUAAAAGGAUCUAAGAAUACUUGUAUGCAUAUUAUGAUUAUAAAGGGAAUGAAAAGAAUGAAAGAAUACUUGCUCAAGAUGAAACUGAAUGAUAAGUUUUCACUGAAAUUAGAUUUUGAACAUGUGCAUUUUACAAAAGAUUCUUAUCACCCCCAGGCUUAGGGCAACAAGUGUUCUGAAUAUUACUCUGAAUUAGUUCUAAAUGUUACAGGGAUCUCUUCUGCAGUCCAGUUAUUCGGAACACUUCCAGGUUCGUAAGGACGAAUGCCCGAUAAAUUCCUUUCCACCCUUUCUUCCGCGGAUAUGGCAUUGAUGUCCAACCUCUCAAUCCUUCCUUCUGUAACCUCAUCCUUCUCUUCAGGGUGGACAAUUCCCCCUGAAACAAAAGUCUUAGAUAUAUGAGGAAAGGUUAUCGGUCCCCACUUGGCUUCUAUCCCGCCCAAAUGUGCUCUUCUCCUUUCUUGUCUUUUCUCCAUCUCCUUCCUCCUUUCCCUCGCAAUAGGCUUAUAUCCCAAACCAUAACGGUCCUGUUUGUUAACUAGGAUCGGUACUCCGACCCUUCCCUGGAGGUAUUUUCCAAAUCCUCUUCCAGGCAAUGCUCCCUUUCCCACCGUUAAGUUCAUUGACGUAGCUUUGGAUAUCUUAGGCUCUGGGAUUUUGCUCAUCUCAAUGACAAAUAUGGCAUUUACGAAUUCCAAUGAUCGGAAUGAACAUUCUAUCGCUUCACUAUCAGCCUCUAUGUAUGGCAUAUCAUCGGUGACUGAUGCAAUGAUGUCUUCUUCUGCACCUAUAGUCACCAAUCUACCCUCUACCACCAAUUUUAACUUUUGGUGAAGUGACGAUGGUACAGCCCCUGCAGAAUGGAUCCAAGGCCUCCCUAAUAGGCAAUUGUAAGAUGGUUUAAUAUCCAUUACCAAAAAGUCUACCUCGUAUGUAUUUGGACCAAUCAAUAGAGGUAUCUCGAUUCUUCCCAUCACUUUUCUCUCAGUGCCAUCAAAUGCUCUCACUAUAUUUUGGCAUAAUUUCAUGUGAGAACUAUCCACAGGUAGCCUGUUUAAUGUGGACAGGGGUAAAACAUUCAGGGCCGAUCCAUUGUCAACGAGUACCGCCGGUAGUAUACACCCCUUGCAACGGGCAGUGAUGUGCAAGGCCUUGGUAGAUCCCAUACCGCCUGGCGAGAUCUCAUCAUCGUUGAAGAAGAUGAAGUUAUCGGCAUUUAUAUUGUUAACCAGGCAAUCCAAUUUGUCCACUGAGAUAUCUUUAGCGACAUAAGUUUCAUUUAGCACUUUUACUAACGUAUUACGAUGUAUCUCUGAACUUAGAAGUAACUCGAGCACUGAGAUGCGAGCCGGUUACUUAUGCAGUUGUUCCACCACGCUAUACUCGCUAUGCUUCAAGAAUUUUAAGAAUUCUCUAGCCUCAUUUUCAGUCACCGGUGUAUUAAUAUGCGGUUCAAUUCCGGUCUUCGUUUUAUCUUGUUCAACCGCCAAGGCUUUUCCUUUUAUAGGCCCCCUUUUUGUAUUUCCCGGGUCGCAACGUUUUCCACUACGCGUAUAAAAGCCUGUGUCAUUACCCUCUUCUGAAGCAUUUAUCGGGUUCUCCUCUCCCGUGAUCAUCACAUUGCAGUCAUAAUUCUAAGGAACCUUUUUACUAUCCUUGUAAGGAAAGGCUACAGGUUUUUGGAUUAUGACCCUUGGCGCCAGUUGUAUUCCAGAUCCUGUGCUUGUUGGCCUUGAAAUAAUCACCACCGGGUGAUUUUGGGCCUUUCUCGUAGGCCCCUCCUCUGAGGCAUAAACUUCUCCUUUCUCAAGUCCUUUGAUCUCUUCAUAAAAUUCUAACUCUUUGUUGUUCAUCAGAUUUUGUAACAUGGCCUUGAAAUCAGUGCAAUUUUGAAUGUCAUGGUCUUCUUCAGCAUGAAACUCGCAGUACGUCUUCGUUCCUUCGGGCCUUUCUUUUGAAUCUUGUUUGAUGAGACCUCCUUCUAUCAUUUGUCUCCAAACCCAACUCAAUGGGGUUUUUAUCUCUGCAAUGUCGGUUUUGAUUCUCUUUCUCCCACCUUCGAUUAUUGCGUUUACCCCUUUAUCAGCAUGAUCGGGUAACGGAUUCGCUGCUACAUUUGGUCCUAAUGGGUUGUCAAACUUCACAAUCCCCAUCUUAAUGAACCUUUCCACCGCCUUUUUAAACCCAGUGCAGUUCUCAAUUGAGUGCCCCGGUAUCCCUGCAUGGUAUUCACAUUGGGCAUUCGCGUCAUACCAUUUGGGAUACGGAGGUUGCAUGGGCUCUAGAUAAAAUGGAGAUACUAUGUGUGCAUCAAAUAACUUCUGAUACAGUUCCCCGUAUGUUAUUGGAAUGGGCGUGAAUUAAAGUCUCUCUGUGUUAGUCCUUGUGUUAGGCCUCGUGUUGGGUUCCUGCCUUGAGGGGGCUUGGUGACUAGUGGUUAUCAUUUUUGGAGGGCCAACAGUAAUCAGUUUUGAAUGGCUCUUGCUAUAUGUGCAUACGUUGUUUACUUCGCCCUCUUUUUUUCUUCGGGCUGGUCUUUUGAAGUUUUCCCCAGUGUCAAUUUUACCGCUCCUUACCGCGUUCUCAAUCAUUUCACCAGACAUUACCAUAUCCGAGAAACUCUUGGUAGCACUCCCCAACAUGUGGUUGAUGAACAGGGCUUUCAAAGUGUUGAUAAACAACAUGGUGACCUCUUUUUCCAAAAGGGGUGGCUGGACUUGUGUUGCCACUUCUCUCCAUCGUUGGGCGUAUUGCCUGAAAUUCUCGCUAGGCUUUUUUUCCAUGUUUUGUAACGUAAUUCGAUCGGGUGUUAUAUCCAUUACAUGACUGUAUUGCUUCAUAAAAGCUUGCGCCAAGUCUCUCCAUGAACUAACUUUAGCACGACUCAGUUGGUUGUACCAUUUGGCUGCAGAUCCGAUCAAACUGUCCUGGAAGCAGUGGAUUAACAGCUGAUCAUUGUUGACGUAUCCUGUCAUUCUUCGACAGAACAUAGUUAUAUGAGCUUCAGGACAACUAGUCCCAUUAUAUUUUUCGAAUUCUGACAUUUUGAACUUAGGUGGGAGUACUAAACCAGGGACCAAACUCAGAUCAUUGACGUCAACCCCGCGAUGACAGUCGAUGUUCUCCAUGGCUCUAAAUUUUUCCUCUAACCAUCUACAUCGGUCCUCCAGUUGUUUUGGCAGGUUCAUUCUUGUUUUUUCUGUUUCUGCCACGUCAUCGAGGUCCGGGACCACCAGAUUAGUGGGAUUAUCCCCGGGAUUAAAACCCGAGCCCAUUUGAAAAUGCACUGGUACCGAGGUACCAGCCAGAUAUUGAGGUCCUAUGGUAACUGGUACCCUCUGUGGGUACACCUCUGGUUGUGCUUGGAUGUUAGUUGGGGUGAAACCUGGAGGAUAAACAGGGUCAUCGUGAUCCUCCCCAGCAUCAAUUACGGGGUCUUUUCCUUUGUUAUUCCCUCCAGCCAAUAACUGCUUUAAUUGGUUCAUCACGGUGUUCUGGGAUUCUAACAUGUCCUGCUGGAUUUUUUCCAGUCGUUCAUGCAUCUGAUCUUGCAUCUCUCGUUGCAACUGUUCCAAUCUUUCCAACCUUUGAUCCAUUGCUUUUGUUUGGCGACGAGUACCGUAGUGAUAUUUGAUUAGAUUUUUGUUGGUUUCCAGGGUAACUGUCAUAAUUUAAUUUUAUUAGGGUCAUUUUAUGAGAUGUAAUGCAAAUGUAUGAGAUGAAUGCAAAAAAAAGAGGCAUUGAUUCGAAUUCAAUUUCAUUAGAAAACUCAACUAGAAAGCAAAUUUCUUUACAUAAAAUAAAUUACAUAUACGGCUUCGCCUUUAUACCCAAAGCCUUAACCUUCCUAAGAAGCCAACUAAAUCUCGACCUCGGCUUGAUUCUGACUCAUAUUUUAAACUCAAUACAUCGGCCUGAAUUGCUAAUGUUUGCAGAUGAUCAGCCACUUCCCGCACUUGAGUCACAGCUUCGCCCAUAACGUAAUCUCUAUCUCUAAUCUGACUUUGAGAAUGAUGGAAUUGCUCUUGCCAUUGAUCAUUACUCCUCUCAAGAAGCUCCAUUCGUAGCUCAGAAUUGUGUAAUGCGUCCUCAAGCUCCUCUACCUUUCCUUUCAGUUCUUCGAUCUUAUUUAAGCUUGCUCUUAAUUCGAUCAUGGAGUUGCGACUACGGUACGAGUGAAGUGACUUUUCUAGCUCUGCCACCUUGGCCUUUAAUCCUGCCUUCUCAUUUCGGCACUCUAACAAACUCCUUUCCAAAGCGUUUUCUCGAGCUCAAGCAUCUUGAAAUUUCUUUUCCCACUGAUCGGCCCUAUUCUUUUCCUCAUUGAUCUCUUGUCGCCAUUGCUCUGACGUUUUACCCAGACCGACAGUUCUCAUUGACAAUCGCAGCUUCUUGUAAUCUAUUUUUAGACUAUCCAAAUCCUCUUCAGCCUUGUUCUUUCCCUUCUUUAAUUUCUCGGCUUCUAGCUUGUGGAUAUCGAUGUCUAAUCCCAAAUGCACUCUUUCUUCUUCUAGCUGUUCUAUCCUCUUUCCCAACUCAGAAUUUCUUUUCUCAAAGUCUCGUUUGAUGAUCUCUAAUUCUGACGGAACUACUUGUAGAUGCUCCUCUAUAGACUGAACGCAAUCUUCCCUCGGCUUAGGGAUGUUGUCAUUGACUCUUUUACUCCACCACCCAUAAUAUUCUGAAGUUGUCAUCGCUCCUACGGUAAAUCUUUUCAUUCGGUGAACCUGUUUCCAAGCGUUAGAUAUUUCUCGAGUUUUUCUCUUGUAGUUUUCAUCCUUAUAAGAAAACUCACAUUGAGCCAGCCCUUGUGUUGCUGGUAUGAACUGUCUCGAUCUAUAUUGUCUUAAUACGAGUAAAGGGGCAUAACCGACAGCUCCCCAAAUUUCGAGUAAAGGGACCCAGUCGAAAUCCCCACAUCGAUACAGGAUCUCGUCGGGUACCAUCCAAGGAGCUUUCCAUUCAACGUCAUCCUCCUGAAGAUUUUGGAGAAUCGUCAUCCACUUCUCUUCCGUGAUGUCGUCUCGUCUUGGUGUAGCAACUUGUUCCUUCAAUGGGGAAUAGUCUUCUGAGAAGACUCGAUAGGAGACAUUUUCCACCUUCCAAAAGUGACUAUGGAACCACACUAAUAGUAGCUGUGCGCAUCCGAUGAACCUUCCCUCCCCUGCUCUUCGACAUGCACUUAGAAAUCUGAAGGUUUCUGCUAAGAUUGCCGGGAUGGGCGUGACUCCUUUACUAAGCCGAUCGAACAAAUCAGAGACGGCCUCAUCUACGUGCCCUAAAGCUCUAGGGAAAAUUACCAAUCCAUAGAUACCUAGAGCGAAGACAUCCACUCUUUUCUUCACAUCAGGGUGUGCUAAUACUAAAUCUCGCAAGCUUUUCCAAGGAACGCAUUUACUGUCUCCUUUCUGUUGGAUUCGGGCAGCGACCCACUGUUCGCUCAUCCCUGUAAUGCUCAUCAAUUUUUUUAAUAAUGUCGGGACACUAGCAGCUCUAGAAUAGGCCUUGUCAAUUUGAAUCUUUGGACACCGAAGCAAGGUCGUAUAUUCUUCCAUGGUGGGCACCAAGUCCACUUUUCCAAAAGUGAAACAACUGUAAGCAGGAUUCUAAAACUGGGCUAGGGCUCGGAAUAAAUGCUUGUCCACUUUGACACCAAGUAGGUAAGGCAAGUCCCCGUAGUCACAGUAAAACAUCUGCUUGGUCCCAUCGUCCCAUUGAUCCCAUAUUUCCUUCAUUUCUCGAAGAUCAUUUUGGAUUACGCUGAUACGGGUGAAGUCCCAUAACUCUGAUACGUACCCUUCUGCAAGACUAUCGCCUUUCUCUCUCCACAUCGUCUCAGCCCACACUCGUACAGCUGCAUUGUCUUCUACUUUAUCAAGAAACCUCUUUUCCAUGAUAAGCUUUCUAUCUAUACUGAACGUGAAUCGACACCUUUUGAAAUGAAAAUGCCAUGCAAUCAUAAACAAAGCAAAUCAGAGCUAGGAUUUAAAGUAAACAAUAAUAAAUAAAGCAUCUAUUCGGUAAGCGCUAGGGUUUGGAAUAGCUCUAUCUCGGUGGGUUCUUACGGCUCGCUAUAUGUGGUUUAGUUCUAAAGUAAGGGUACCUGAACCAGCAGAUUCCUCGAUCCUCACCCAUUAUAGGCUCAUGGACCGAGUUCAGUUCAGGGGAAUACAUUUCCCUAUGGCCAUGCGGAGAUGAAAAUCUCACGAAGACAUAGGUACGGAUGUAUCCCGGAAGCGAUUCACUAUCCCAUGCGGAGGUGAAAACCUCACGAAGGCGUAGUUUCUCACUCCCACUUAAAAAGGUAUGACCAGCGAUCAUGCAAUUCAAUGUGCAGAGGUAUAAAAUAAAAUACAGAACACGAUAAAAAAUAUAACUCAAAACAAAAGAGAUGCAAUGAAAGGAUCGUAAAUUUAAAUCAAAUUUUCCACUUUCAACAAAAAGACAAGAAAUAAUCAACACGUGGCUUGACUCUCUUUCGUUCCCCAGUGGAGUCGCCAAGCUGUUGACACCAUUUUUUUGAUGAAAACGGGGUCGACUUGGAUUUUGAAAAAAGAAUGAAAACGGGAGUCGCCACCAAUCCUUUUUGACGAGGUGUGAUCGGGUCACCUCAAAAUGUGGUUGUUUUUAAUAAAUGAUUUAAUUUUAUUAAAACAACGAUUUUGGUCUACGAAAUUCAGAAAAAUGAGUUCGGGAGUCGGUUACGCACGAGGAAGGAUUAGCACCCUCGAUACGCCCAAAAUUGGUACCUAGUUGAUUAAUUAGUGUCUUAGUGUCGAAAAUUGAAAAUUUGAAGAGUUUUAAAAAUACGAUCCUUAAAAGAAAUUCUGAUAACGUGAAUUGAAAUAUAAGAUUCUCUUGUUCCGAAGGAAUAUCACAUCCAGCACGUUAGGACACGAUACUCUAAACCAUCGAAACCAAGAUCAUCUUAUAGUUUAAUGAAACCACACUUUGAAGCUUUAAGAGGAUAUUUGGCUAUUUAGUCGAACGAGAAAUCGAAACCCAGCACGUUAGGGCACGUUUUCUCGAUUUUCCAAACGCGAAAUAUCGCCUUAUUUAGAAAAAUUUUCCUUUUGAUGUUUGGUGUUAAUGCUUGACAAAACAAUAACGAAUACGACAAGGUGAGCAAAGUAAAGUGAGUAACAACAAUACAAUAGGCAAAAUGAAAUGACGAGGCGAUUACAUAAACAAAGCAUACAAAUAAAUAAAUAGAACUAACAUUUAAAAAAAAGCAUAAGUGUACACGAAUAAAUAAACAAACACCAAAUAACAAUGAUGACAAUAAAUACAAUUAUGUAAAAAUGUAUAUACAUGUAUAAUUUUAAGCCAUGAAAUAAGAAACGCAUAUAAAUUAUAGAAUAUGAAAACAUAGAUAAAUAUAUACAUAUGUGUAAAAAAUAAUAUUAUAAAAAGGGUACGUAUAUAUGUAUAAAAAAUAAAUGUAUUAACAAUGAAUAUAAUAAGGGUAAGAAAACAAGUAUAUACACAAUAUAUAUGUAACGUAGGUACUAAGGAUAUAUAUAUACAAUACAGUAUUUAAAAUAAUAUUUACGUAAUAUAAAAUAUAAUAUUAAAAGGUAUAUGUACAUACGUAAUAUAUAAAUACAUAUAUAAUAUAAUGUUAAAAUAUUUACAUAAUACUAAAAUAUUUAGGUAAUAUAUGCGUAUAUUGAAAACUAGUAAUAAUAUUACCGAGGUAUAUACAAAUAUAUCAAGUAUAUACACGUAUUAUAAAUAUAUAAAUAUAUGACAAAGCAUAAACUAAUAAAAAUAAUAAGAAUAAUAAUAAUGAUAACAUUGGAAUAUAAAAGAAACAAACAUAACAUUAAUAAAAUAUUAAAAUAAAGUGAAAUAAAAAUAUUAAAUAUGAGAAUAUAUAUAGGUAUACACGUACAUAAUAAAAAUAUAUACUAAUACAUAAUAAUAAUAAUGGUAAUACUAAUAAUACUAAUAAUAUAAAAAUAACAAGGAUAUUUAAUAAAGAUAUAAAAAUCAACAAAAAAGGACUAAAAUUGAAUUGAAAGCAAAGUUGUGGGGCCAAUUUGAAAUGAAAACAAAGAAAAAGGACUUAAUUGUAACACGCAUGCAACUUGGAGGGUCAAAAGUGCAAUAAACCCAAGUAUUAAAAACGCUGCGCAGCGUGGGGGACCAGAAUGAAUUCGGGGCAACACCAUGGAGCCAAAUUAAAAAUAAAAAAACCUUGAUUGUAAACUCCCAGAAAGGCGGAAGGGCUAAAAGUGCAAUUAGCCCUUCCAAAGAAAAAAACACGCGGAUCUUCCUUGGUGCAGGUCGGGUCGACCCGACCCGUGUUCAAAACGACGUCGUUUCAUUUAUUUAAACCGGGGGUCCAAAACGGUGCGUUUUGACCCCCUAUAAAAGUCAAAAAAACUUCAAAAAAAAAUCAUUUGUAACGCUGAGGGAAAAAAAAGAAAAGGGAGAGAGGAGAGGGGAGCCCGGAGCGAUUUCCGGCCAAGGGAGGGGUCACCGGACGGCCACCGGAGGCUCGCCGGCGUCAGCGCCGGCCACCGCACGCCGUGGCCGGAAAGGUAAAAUUUUUUAUAUUUUUUUUAUAUUUUUUUGUUAUUUAUUCUUGGUCUUAGAAUGUAUAGAUUUUAGGUUUAUAUUAAUAAAAAAGGUAUAGAUAUGUAUAUAGAAAUCGAAAGAAAAUGGAUGAAAACAAAAAGGUAACCUUUUCCGUUUGCCUUUUCUUUUUCCCGAAUGCUUGCUAUCUCAGUACUGAGAUCUAUGUAUUUUUUUUAAAAUUCUAGCUUCUGUUUUUUUGUAUUAAAAUGCCAAAAAACAAACAAAAAGAAGAAAGAAAAAAAACCCCUGACACAAUUUUUUAUUCGGGUUUUUAUAACCCAUUUUCAUCUAAUUUCCUAUUGUUUCUGUUUUGUCUCUUUGCAUGGGAUGGGCACGAUGGAGGUGACAGAGGCAUGGUGGUACAGAGGAGCAGGUGGCCGACAUGGUGGCAUGGAGAGCUGGGCGUGGCAGACGAGGAGGCCACGCGAGGCAUGCAGCGCUAGGGCUUGGGGGGCAUCUUUCUGCCGAAAAUGUUAAUGUUGUCUGGGCUGGGUUUUUGAUUUUUGUUUCGGGCCAUGGGCUACAUUGGGCUUGUUAUUUUCCUUUGUAAUUGGACUGUUGUUUAUCUUGUUUUAAUAUUCGGGCCUGGGCAUAAAAUUGGGCCUUACAAUAGUCUUAAGUGUCUAUCACAAGAACCUAGAUAUUGUAAAUCCAAUAUCUUCCAAACAAUUCAACCAUGAUAUUAAUGAUGAUGGAAGCAAGAUUAUCCACUAUCAAUGACAUAAAAUGAGCUGUAAAUGCUGACGAACAAACAUGCACUGUUUUUCCAACCUGUGGAUUGAAGAGCAUUGACAAGCUAACUUUGCAGACCAUUUGAAUCCAAUACUAUACAUAAAAAUGCCAAAGGAGAAUAAUUCAUCUUGGAAAAAGAAUUACUAAUAUGCAAAAGCUUACCUUGUUUAACAAGAACACAGCAUAUGCUGCUCUUGUCGUGUCUUGACCUUCUAAAAACAGCGGAAAUUCUGCCAGCUUUACAUUUGCUGAAAGUGUUGUAUCCAAUGACAAAUCAGAAGAUGCAGGGUCUAUUGAAGACGCAUGGUCAUUAAUAUAUGAGCGAGAACCACCCAAGCGCAGAGGAUAACGCAAGGGAACUUGUAAAUAGGAUGCAAUUAGUGAAACAGCCUGCAAAUGAUGAAAUAACAGGAAACAAGAAACAAUAAUAGGUAUGAUUAAAAUUAUAGCCUCAGCAUGAGAAACAAGCAAUCAAGAUGCAGCCCACUAUACCAUAUUACCAUCCUAGCAAUUAAAAAUUACUACAGCAUCUUCAAGCAACAAGGGAUUGUAGGUGGUAGGUCAAAAAACUUGAUAUCCACAGCUUGAUAUUAUCAGAAAAAACAAAUUCAGUAAUAAAUGAUAACUUCACAGAAGAAAUAGAACGCACAUGUGCAACAUAUCCCAAGGCAGUUGCAGAUCUCUGAACCUCCUUUUUGUCAGUGAAAAAACUCAUCUUUGUAAAAGGAAGCAAGGUGAGAUUCAGACCUAAAAUUGUCAACGAUCCUUGAUUGACGGGCUUUGAUGCAGAAGGAUUCCCUAGUGAAGACAGGAACAAAGGAACUUCAUAUCAAUACAUCACCAGACACCACCUCUUUGUGAAAGUCAAAACAAAAUUCAAAAAAAUAUAAUCAUGAAAGUAAGAGAUAUGUAAAAAGUUCAUAAUAUUCAAGAGCAAAAAAAAAUUGUUUUGAUAUGAGGAGAAUUGAAUAGUAGAUUGCUAAAAGAGGAAUAACUGAAUACAGCCAUCAUAACCAAAAGAAGAGUCAAGUGAUAGGUAAUGGUACUCCCUAAGCUGUUUAGGAAUCAUAAAAGACUUGUCCAGUUGACAAAAAUAACUCAUUUUAUUCUCCCCUAGUAAAACAUCAUAUUGGACCAACCAUAUUUGAUAUCAAAGGAUAUGGAUAUCCAGGCAUGCCAUUUAUAGAUAUUCCCAGUGUUGCAAGAAGGAAUUGUUCAAGAGAAAGAAGCUGCUAUUGUUGGUAAAGUUUUCCUCAAACCAUUUUGAACAUCCAAAAUCUCAAGAACAAAAAAGAAAACGUAGGAGGAAAUAUAACAAGCAUCACAACGGGUUCUCGAUGAUAUAAGUGAGAGGAUAAAUGUUAAUUAAGAUUAUAAAAAUAAACCACAAACUAAACAGGAAAGACAUGGAUUUCAAAACGAGGAGACUGGCUGCUAAUUAAAACCAUAUGCGGUGUUGUCUAGGGCGCAAGGCGCAUUCUAGGUGCUAACCUUUAUAUUGCCUCAAGCACAAGGCACAAAAGGAAGCGCUAGCCUGAGUGCAGUAAAGCGCAAUACAUAUAUGUGAGAGUUUUUGCAAGUCUGUGUGUCUACAACAUAAAAGUUUUAAGAUAUAUAGUAAACUCUAAAGUGUGGUCUGGUUUAUCCACAAAACUUGCAAAAUUUUUAUAGGUGAAUGCUCAAAUAUUGAGAAUUAUAGAGUUUGAUAUUAUCCCUUUCUUAUUAGUAAAGGUGUAUCAAAUGAAAACAGUAAAAAAUAAAAUAAAAUAUUGAGAAAUUCAACAAGGCAGGCUUUUUCUAAUGCCCAUUGCCUUACAAAAAAAGUGUGCCUAGGUGCACCAGGCAUACGCUUGAUCAAAUGGACCUCACCUGGAAGGGUCCAAGGCGUUUGGUUGUAUAAAACUAAGGCGUAGGCAUGCCUAGGCGCAUGCCUUGACGACACUGACCAUAUGUUGGCUUUAUUGCAAAGCAUUAGCAAUCCAAAACUACUAGCACAUUACCUAAUCUACUACUGCUAGAAUAGGACUCAAGUUCUUGCUCCUGUGCAGGUCCAACCAAGAUCUUUACAGGAUACAAUAAUGAAACUUGUGAUAUCAUAUAUUGUUGCCUUGCUCGAAGCUUCCUUUGCACAUUUUUAAGUUUAACACAACCCCUUUCUUCAGUGAGUAAUCUAUUUGCUUCCUGUGAUAAAAACAACAUAUAAUCAAUCAUGCCACGCAUGCAAGACUACCAACCAACUAUCUAACAAAAGAUACAAAGAAGUAGGAGAGCAAGAAGGGGAUAACCCUUGACUAUGCAAAGGAAUUCAUAGAAUGAGAAUCAUCUCAUCUAAGCCCCUCAACCACCUUCACAGGGGGUGGAGGUGCAAAGAGAGAGGUCUUAUUGAUCCGAGAGGAGAAUAUAUAACAUCUAAAGCUGAAUAAGAAGAAACCUUGAAAUAUAUCAUAAAUUCAGAAUUCAUGAUAAUAUAAAAAUGAAAUUCCAAAGCUAAUUUAAGCUAGAAUAAAAAUGCUUCACCUGUAAUCACUUCCUUGCUACAGAAAGAGAGGUACCAGCAACCAACAAUGAUCUUACUUCAGUACUAAGCAUUUCCUCCUGUUUUUUAGCAUCCUCUGUUGCAACUUUGCAAUGAGUUGACAUGUUUGCCAUAACUACUUUCCUUGCCUCGAGUCUCUCACGCAUUUCCUCAAGCUCGUUCAGUUUAUUCAAAGACUCAUUUUUUACCUGCACAGCAUGUUCCCACCCAUUAAUCAGUGGGCCAAUUAAUUAGGUCACAGAAGACAAAACUAAAUUAUCACUCACCAGGUCCCCUUGAAGUGUCAUAUGGCUUUAACAAUUCAACGUGCAAUAUCUAGUAAAAGUAAAAUAAACAUAGAAGAAUGCAAAUGCAAUUCUUAAACGCCUUUAAAUGGACAACAUGAAACACUUUAAGAGCCCUAUAAAACAGAAAACUGGAAAAAAAAUCUGAAAAGGAAAAAAAAAUGAAUUGAAACAAUAAAUCCAUCUGGUACAAACAGCAACAAAUCUCGAAAUAAGCUUUGGCUUUAGCCCAUUAAAGCCCGGGCAUCCGGCCAAAUAAACAGUGACUGCCAUGUCAACUUUUUGAGACGGUAGAAAAGAGCUCAAAAAUCUCAAUUUCCAAAAAUAAGGACAUAAGAAGGAAAACAAUUUACUUAUUCUUACAGUAGAAGAGCAAAAUGAAACUAAAUGAAGGAUAAGGGAACUGAUGCGAAUUGACAUUGUUAUUUUUGGGACUAAAAAGAAUACGCAGAUUGAAUAUUUAAGAUUUUGUAAGGGAAAAGUUCCAUUCACCGACACAAUUAUCAUCGCCCUUUAUCCCAGUAAAGCUUAAUUGACAAUUUUUCUGUCUCGUGUUCUUGCUAAAGCAUUUGAGCAACCCAACAGAAAUCAUUAUAUUUCAAACUGAAAUGAUUGGCUUUAACAAUUUCACAACCUAUACCGCCCAACCUAGUAAGUAAUUUAGGUGCAGACACCAGAAAUCUAUUUUCUUUGCACUCUACAACUAAAUAGCAUACCACUUAUCAAUCAAACACAGCUGAAAACUUCAGUGAGGGAACAUUAUGUAAAAUGAAAAAACUAUAACUUCAACUUGAUUCAUAGCUCGGCAAGUUCAGGGAAUUGGGACUUCUACCACGAUGAUCCAGUUCAAUGUGAAACAGUGAUCCAUAUCAUGCAUAUCGGUUCCCGGAACAAGAGGUAAAACCAGCAAAUUAGGUAAACAAUAAUCCUACUAUAUUUCAGAAUAGCAACAUUGAGCAUGAAAGCUAAAAUUAUAGCAUAUUACGGGUCCUUGCUCUCUACAACUACAUAUAAAAUUAGUAAACAAUAUUACUACAUUAAGGAUCCAGAAAAACUUUGUUUCAAUUGUUGAUCACUUGAUCCAACUAUUUUAGAAAGUUUAUUCUUCUUUUUCCUUUCCCUUAUUUUCUAAAUCAGGAAAAACAGUAGCAUAUAAAUUGGAUUACUACUCCAAGUUUCUGAAAUUUCAACAAUAUCCCUUUUACCUUUUCACUCAAGUCAUUACCCCCCAAUUAACAAAUAUAUUCCCAGUUUCCCUUUCCCUUCAAACACCCCUUUUUUUUUCCUCUACCCAAAUUCAGCUUAUGUUCAAAAACCCAAAAUUGGUUUGCUAAAAUAACAUAAUUUUCAAACACAAAGAUAACCUAAUUUUAAUCAGAAAAAAAAAGCAUUACCUGAAUUAGUGACUGGAGUUUCUCUUGAAGACUUUGUUUCUUCUCAUUAGCUUCCUUAAGGGCAGAAGUUAAACUCCACAAUCUAGCUAGCUCGUUGUCGAAAUCUUCCCAUUCAAUUAGUUGCACAUUUUCAUGUGCAGCAUUGAUUUUCUUCGGGUCGGUAAUUAGGGUUUUGACUCGGGCUUGUUCUCGAUUUUCCAUGAAAUAAUUGAAGAGGAAAGCUUUCGAUUCUGUAAGUUUAAAAAGGGAUCAUAGAUCGACCUCAUGGUACUGGAUCUCGCCCGGUUAGAGUGUUCUUUUUCACGCCGAUCGAAUCAUUUUCUCGGGAAACUUUGCUAGCUAGGGGUAAUUUUCUCGGGAAAAUGGAGGGAAAAACAGAUUCGGGAGUUUUUAUUUGGGGGAGUCUAAGGUAUAACGGAGAAUGACAGGUGGCGGUUAACGGAGGAAUCUCACGAUUCAUGUCAUUUUCACUUUUUCGAUUUAGAAAUUGCUUAAAUACUUUUAAAAAUAGAUAAUAAGAUAAACUUUCUUUUUGAAUAAGAUAAAACUUUCAUUGAAAAUAAAUAAAUAAAUUAAAAAAUAUUUGAUGAUUUUUAAGUUGGUAAUUUUUUUUUAUAAAAAUUUGGUAACUUCUUUGAAAGUUGAUAUAAAAUGUAUCACGACCCGACUUGAGAUUUAAUUUGUCCUCGUCAGAAGUCCGACCCAAACAAGGGAAUAUGACUUGCCACUCACCAAUUUUUUAACCUUCCAACUUGCCAGCUUUAUGGAGUAACUCGGCACCUUGCGACACUACCUAACAUACCGUGAGAUUUAAGUACAAAUAUCUCUAAGGGUAUGUGUCAAGCUUAAGAGAAAUAACAUAUUAUUAUACAUAUUAUUUAGUUACCCCUAACAUGUCACGUCAAAAAAUCAUACUAUAAAAAAUAGUCCUCACAAGAUAGGAUAGAAAAAAAAAGUCAUCAACAAAAGUAAUUAAGUAACCUUUUUAUAAAACAAAAAGAUUUAUUUUAUUUUGAAAUAAAUUAAUUCUCUAACUUAUAUAAGAAAUUAAGUAAAAUCUUUUUAAAUAAUAAGACAUAAUUUCUCGAAAAAAAAUAAUCAAAUGAGAGCUAAUCAAAAUAAUUUAUUUUUUUAGGCCAAACAAUUUUACUUCAACUAUUUAUAAACACUUUUUAAUCAAUUUUAUUUUAACUCCCAUUAUAAAUUUUAUAAAAAGGAUAAUAUAUUAAAAAUACCCUUAAAUUAUUAGAUUUUGUAUAAAUAAACUCUUAUUUUUUUUAGUUAAAUAAACUCCUAAAUUAUUAAUUUAGUCAUGAAAAUGUUGAUAUAAAAGUAUGAGAAUAAUUUAUUAAAUAAAAAAUUAAUUAUUUUAAAAUAUUUAAAAUAUUUAUAUACAUAAUAAACUUAAUUAAAUUCUCUAGAAAAAAAAUUUAUAUUCUUUUAAAUUUUAUGUUGAUAUAUUAUUUCUAUUUGUCUAAUAAAGUGCAUAACGAGGCAAUAACUAUUUUUUAUGUAUAAAUUAAACAAUACUACAACUUCCGAAGUUAAUAAGAUUAUAUCUAUACUCACCAUCACAAUUAGAGACAGGGGUGAGUAUUCGAUCGAAUUGAGUUAAAAAAUUUUGAAUUAGUCGAGUUAACAAAUCUUAUUUUAGCAAUCGAAAUCAAUUUAAAUUUUUUUAAAUCAAAUCGAAUCGAGUCAAAAAAUUUCAAGUCGAAUUAACGAAUCCUAUUAUUUAUACUCAAUAUUGCGUUUAUAUGGGCUGAUUAUUUAACUGGUAGACGAAGUACAAGAUUAUUUAACUAUAUAAACAAUAUAAUGGUUUUGCAUUGUAACUUAAUAGGUAAACAUUUAUCAAAACGAAAUAAUUUUACCUUUUAAGUUAAUGGUUUUGACUUUUAACUUUUAACUUUAAAAAAUAUAAACAUUUAUCAAUACGACGUAAAUUUACAUUUUCGUAUUCGGAUUUUCGAAUAACUCGAAACGUGUAAUUCAUAUUCGAGUUAAACUAAAAAUUUUAAUUUUUUUAUUUGAGUUAAUCUGAAUAACUUGAUUAAAUCGAAUAACUCGAAUUGUUUAAUUUGAAAUUUGAUUUUUUUAUCGAAUUUUUCAAAUCAAAUCAAAAUUUACUCACCCUUAAUUAGUCAUCAUAACUAAAUUAAAGUUGCCCCAUUAUGCAAUUGCAAGUCUUCAAAGCCUAAAAGUUGUAACAAUUCAAAAUUUCAAUGGAAAUUAAAAUUAAUAUUUUUAUCAUAUAUUAGUCAAAGUUUAUUGCAUCAACAAUAAGUUAAGAUAAAAACCUCAAAUUUUAAAAUAUUUUUACCUCAAUAUAAAAUUUAAGAGCUUUCAUGUAUAAAAACUAAAGGUUAGAGCUUUCAUGUUUAAGGGCUUAUUUAUACUUCAUCUUUAUAAAAAAACACUUAAAUAGUAGUUUAAAUUAUAUAGUUAAUCACUCAAUUUUAGUAAAUUUUCAUUUUAGUCACUCGUUGUUAAUUUGGCUAAUGUAAAUAUUACAUUACACUGAUUUUAGUCACCUAAUUUUCAUAAGAUAGAAUUAAUUUUAUUUUUCGGUAAAAAAGAAAAGAAAAACUCAAAAUUUUACAAGCAAGUACCUAGGUUUUUAUAGAAAAAACUUGGAGUUUUAUAUGAAAAACCUACGUUUUUAUUGGAAUAGUCAUAUUAUCUUUUUUUAUUUCAUUUAUUUUUUUCAUUUAUAAAAUUAAUUUUAGCUUUUUCAAUGAAAAGAAAACCUAAUUUUUUACUAAGAAAAUCAUUUUAUCUUUUUAAUUUCUUUUACUUUCAUAUUUAGAAUUAAUUUUAAUUUUUUUUCCAAUAACAAUGAAAAAAAACUUGGAUUUUUACAAUGAGUUUGUUGGGUUUCCACGAGAAUUGCUUGAGUUUUAUGAAUAACUCAAUUCCUUAAAAAAUUCUAAAAAAAAUUAGAAAAAUAAGAUUAAUUAAAAAAAAUGGAGCAAAAUGAAAAUUUACUAAAAUUAGAUGGCUAAAAUGAAUAUACAAUUGCAUUUUCGUUAGCCAAAUUAACAUGUGAUCAAAAUGAAAUAUUAUUAAAAUUGAGUGAUUAAAAUGAAAAAACUAUUUGAUUUAUUUACACCCUGAUUUUAUGAGCAAAUUCCCCAGCACAAAGCCUAUUUUGACAAUAACAGUUCAAAUGAAAAGUCUUCGCUUACUCUUUGAACGAAACUCUUCUCCCGCUAAAACCACCUCUUCUUCCUCCAAAUUCAAACGCCCAAAGCUUUCUUCCAUCUCUAAUGGCUCUGAUUCAUCACAAUCAUCAUCAUCUCAAGAUCCCCUUAAAACCCAUUUCUCCUCUCUCAUCAAAUCCUCCGAAACCACCCUACAACUCCGGCAAAUCCACGCUCAAAUCCUGCGCCGCCACCUCUCUUCCAGUGCCAAUCUCACCACCCUCUUAAUCUCCGUUUCUUCUUCCUUCAAAUCCAUACCUUACGCGCUCUCUAUUUUCAACUAUUCUCACCACAAAAGCUUAUUCCUUUUCAAUGCUUUGAUUCGUGGCUUGACGGAGAAUUCCCAUUUCCAAUCCUCAGUUUCACAUUUUCUUCUCAUGUUGAGACAUAGAGUUCGCCCUGAUUAACUUACAUACCCUUUCGUGCUCAAGUCUAUUGCGGGAUUGGGUCUUCAUUUCCUUGGUCUGAUCCUUCAUGGGAGAAUCAUAAAAUCUGGGGUUGAGUUCGAUUCGUUCGUUCGGGUUUCGUUAGUGGAAAUGUAUGUGAAGCUCGAGGAAAUGGGUUUUGCGUUGCAAGUGUUUGAUGAAAGUCCUGAGAGAAACAAGAGUGAGAGUAUAUUGUUGUGGAAUGUGUUGAUUAAUGGGUGUUGUAAAGUGGGGGAUUUGGAGAAAGCUAUGGAGUUUUUCGAGGCUAUGCCUGAAAGGAAUAUUGGGUCUUGGAAUAGUUUUAUAAAUGGGCUAAUGAAAAAUGGGGAUUUGAACAAAGCAAUGCAGCUUUUUGAUGAAAUGAAGGAGAAGGAUGUGGUUUCUUGGACUACAAUUGUUAAUGGGCUUUCACAGAAUGGAGAUCAUCAGAAGGCGUUAUCCAUGUUCUUUAAGAUGUUGGAGGUCGGUUUAAGGUCGAAUGAUCUUACUCUUGUUUCAGCUCUUUUCGCUUGCGCUAAAAUUGGUGCACUUGAAGUUGGAGUCCAUAUCCAUAACUAUUUUGUGGAAAAUGGGCUUCGGUUGAAUAAAGCAACUGCUGCUGCUUUGGUUGAUAUGUAUGCAAAGUGUGGGAAUAUCCUAUCUGCUAGUAAGGUUUUUGAAGUAACUGUUGCGCGGAAGCGUGUGAAAGAGUAAAAUUAUUGUACUGAAAAAUCACACUAAGUUCAAUUCCCAGGAAAGAGAGGUGGAUCACGAGGAUCGCUUACAUACCAGAUCUUUCCUAGCCAGAAUAUCCCUCUAUCGUAAUUUAAUAGCACAAUAAAUCACUACAAUGACACUUGCAAAAUAUGCAGAACAAAAAAUAAAGAACACUAGAAUUUUAACGAGGUUCAGCAAAUUUUGCCUACGUCCUCGGGCACUACCAAAUAUAUUUCACUCCAAAAAAUACAAGUGAAAGUUUACAAAUAGGGAGAGAGAACAAUUGCCUUAAGUAGAGAUUGGCAAGUGUGGGAUGAAGAAAGUAAGAAAUGGUUAGGCCUAUUUAUAGUUGAGGUUCAAGGAUCAACUUGCAAUGUCCCUAUACAAUUAGGGACCAAAAUUGCAAUUAUCUCAUGCCAACUUUUAACCCAACUUGCCAACCAAUUUUACUUUCUACUUUCGGUGACCACCCUUUUUGACUUUUCAAACAAUGGGUGGGUUCCAAUAAUCUCCACCUUGAAGAUUUGAUUAGGCUAAUCUUAUCUUCACACAAUUCUUUCUGCCUUUGACAACAAUACUUGAUAGUGCCUUCUUCAACUGUUAAACUUGCAGGAUAUUAAUCAAGUUCAAACAAUGUUCGAACUUGGUUGAUGUUACCACCUUGCUCAUCAUAUCUGCGGGAUUAUCUGCAGUCUUGAUCUUCUGAAGACAAAUUUUCCCCUCUUCAAUAAUUUCCCGCACAAAAUGGAAUCGUACGUCGAUAUGUUUUGUACGUGCAUGAUAGACUUGAUUCUUUGCUAAAUGAAUAGCACUUUGACUAUCACGAUACACGUUAAUAUGCUCCUGAACCAACCCCAAGGUUUUAGCCAUACCUUGUAACCAAAUAGCCUCCUUUACAGCCUCUGUUACAGCCAUGUACUCGGCUUCUGUGGUUGACAAUGCAACUGUAGACUGUAGUGUAGACUUCCAACUUAUUGGUCAUCCAGCAAGUGUAAACACAUAACCAGUGGUUGAUCUUCGAUUGUCCAAAUCACCGGCAUAGUCAGAAUCAACGUACCCAAUAACACCUUUACCAAGUGUAUUAUCCUGCUUGAACAGUAAUCCAACAUCCACGGUCUUCUGAAUAUACCGUAGAAUCCAUUUCACAGCUUGCCAAUGUCCUUUUCCAGGAUUAUGCAUAUACCUGCUCACUAUACUAACUGCCUGUGAAAUGUCAGGUCUUGUACACACCAUUGCAUACAUCAAGCUACCCACUGCAUUAGAAUACGGAACUUGCAACAUGUAUUCUCGUUCCGUAUUCGUCGAAGGAGAUAGUUGUGUAAAAAGCUUGAAAUGAGAAGCCAACGGGGUACUUACAGGUUUUGUCUGCUCGUUCAUGCCAAACUGCUGUAGUACCUUUUUCAAAUACUGCUUCUGAGACAAGCUAACUCUAUCAUGAGCUCUAUCUCUCCAUAUUUCCAUGCCGAGAAUCCUUUUAGCUUCUCCUAGAUCUUUCAUCUCAAACUCGAGAUUGAGUUGAGUCUUCAAUCUUUCAAUUUCAACUUUGCUCUUAGAUGCUAUUAGCAUAUCAUCAACAUAUAAGAGCAAGUAUAUGAAAGUUCCUUCUUGUAGCUUCUGAAAAUACACGCAAUGAUCAAAUUUACUUCUUGUGUACCUUUACCCUUUCAUAAACUGAUCAAAUCGCUUGUACCACUGCCUCGGAGAUUGCUUCAAUCCAUAAAGCGACUUUGUCAGUUUGCAAACCCAAUUUUCUUUUCCAGCAACCUUGAAUCCAUCUGGCUGAGUCAUAUAGAUUUCCUCUUCCAAAUCACCGUGUAAAAACGCGGUCUUCACAUCAAGCUGAACUAGUUCAAGAUCAUAUUGCGCAACCAAGGCUAGCAAAAUCUGAAUAGACGAAUGCUUCACAACUGGAGAAAACACUUCAUUGUAGUCUAUUCCUUCUUUCUGAGCGUAACCCUUUGUUACUAAUCUAGCCUUGUAUCGAAUUUCAUUUUUAUCAGGAAAUCCUUCCUUCUUUGCAUAUACCCAUUUGCAUCCAAUUGCCUUCUUUCCCUUGGGUAGUGUCACCAACUCCCAGGUCUUAUUUUUCUGAAGAGACUGCAUUUCUUCAUUCAUUGCUUGCUUCCACUUUACACCAUCAGGGUUACUUAUUACUUCUGUGUAAGUAGAAGGAACAUCAUCAUCUGUAUUUGGAAAUGCAUAGGCCACUAUAUCAUCAAAGCGAGCAGGCUUACGAAUCUCUCUUCUUGGCCUUCUAUAUGCAAUUGAAUCUUGUUGCUGUAGAGAUUCUUGGGUAGGAACCUCUUCAUCAUUUGUCCCUUCAAUAUUAGCUGGAUCAUCGUUAACCUUUUCAAGCUCCACAUGCUGCAAAGUACUAACGGUUUUGUCAUCCUUUUGUGAAUCCUUGUACUUCAACAUGGUUGAUUCAUCAAAAGUCACAUCUCUACUGAAAACAAUCUUCAUUGUAUCAGAACACCAGAGACGAUAUCCUUUUACUCCAUCAGUUAUACCCAAGAAUAAUGCUUUCUUUGCUCUUGGGUCUAACUUAGAUUCUUUUACAUGAUAAUAUGCAGUGGAACCAAAUACAUGCAAAGAAUCAUAAUCAGUAGCAGAUUUACCAGUCCACAUCUCUAUAGGAGUUUUUCCAUUUAUUGCAGCUGAUGGCAAACGGUUAAUUAGAUGGCACGCAUAUGUAACUGCCUCAGCCCAAAAUUCUUUGCCCAAUCCAGCAUUGGACAACAUACAUCGAACUUUCUCCAGUAUAGUUCGAUUCAUUCGUUCUGCCACCCCAUUUUGCUGUGGUGUAUCCCGAACAGUGAAGUGUCGCACAAUGCCCUCAUCUUGGCAUACUUGUAGAAAUGGAUCGUUUUUGUACUCAGUACCAUUAUCUGAUCGAAGUCGUUUGACCUUUCGACCAGUCUGAGUCUCCACCAUCUUCUUCCAUUUCAGAAAUGCAUCCAAAACUUCACUUUUUCUUUUCAUUAGAUACACCCAUACUUUUCUUGAAUAAUCAUCAACAAAAGUAACAAAAUAGUGCAUACCUCCCAAAGAAGCUACUUUGGUAGGUCCCCACACAUCACUGUGAACGUAGUCCAGAAUUCCUUUCGUAUUGUGAAUUGCUGGACCAAAUUUUACCCUCUUCUGCUUGCCCAGAACACAAUGUUCACAGAAUUCCAUUUUGCAAGAAUUUGCACUUUUCAAUAAGCCUUGCUUCACCAAUGUCUGCAAAGCUUUUUCACCAGCAUGUCCCAAUCGCAUAUGCCAUAAUCUGGUAGCCUCUGAAUCUACAUCUUUUGUAGAAACUGUUGAUGUUGAUCCAAUAACUGUACUUCCAUUUAAAAAAUACAAGUUAUUUCUUCUUGUGCCUUUCAUCACCGUCAGUUGCCCAGCUACUACUUUUAGUAAUCCAUCUCUCAAAGUGAUUGUGAGCCCUUUAGAUUCUAGGGCACCUAAUAAGAUGAGAUUUUUCUUCAGGCUAGGUACGUAGCAAACAUCUGUCAAGACUUGGAUUGAGCCGUCGUGAUUCUUCAAUUGGACUGUACCCACUCCCAUUGUCUUACAAGCACUAUCAUUGCCCAUAAGAACAAUUCCACCUUCUAGCUCUUUAAGACUAGAAAACCAGUCCUUAUUAGGACACAUAUGGUAAGUACAUCCUGAAUCCAAAAUCCACUCAUCCGUUUGACAUGCCAUUGCCAUGCCAACCAAGCUAAAGUCUGACUCCUCAUCAUGCUCCGCUACACAUGCAUUAGAAAUAGCCUUGCCCUUUUGUAGCUUAGGACAAUUCUUUUUCCAAUGCCCUUUUUCACGGCAAAAGGCACAUUUAUCUUUGGCGGGUCUCCCUUUGGACUUUCCUCUUCUACCAGAUUUGCUGCUGUGUGAACGACCUCUUACUGUUAAGACUUCUGCGGUUGUAUCUCUGUGAUCUCUUUUAUCUUUCUUUCGAGUCUCAGAUCUAUACAACGCACUACAGACUGCAUCAAAUGUGAUCGUGUCCUUCCCAUGAAGCAAUGUGGUGGUAAGAUGAUCAUAUUCAUCAGGAAGGGAAUUCAACAACAAUAAUGCAUUGUCUUCAUCUUCAAAUUUCUCAUCCAAAUUUAGCAAGUCUGCUAAAAUUUUAUUGAAUGAGUUCACAUGGUCAUUCAUCGACAUACCGGGUGCAUACGUGAAUCGAUAAAGUUUCUUUUUCAUAUAAAGCCUAUUUUCAAGACUUUUCGUUAGAAACUUUUCUUCCAGUGUAUCCCAUAACUUCUUCGCUGAUGUCUCCCUCAUGACAGAGUACUUCUGCUCUUUGGCCAAACAUAGGCGGAUUGUACCACACGCCUGUCUAUUGAUUUUGGCCCACUCCAUGUCAUCCAUCUUGUCAGGUUUUUCUUCAAAUGCUAUAUCUAGCUCUUGCUGACAUAAGACAUCCAGGAUCUCACAUUGCCACAUACCAAAAUUAUUGGUACCGUCAAAUUUCUCUACUUCAAAUUUUGCAUUUGUCACAGUAGUCCUUGCUGAUGACGAUGCUGCUGCCAUUUUUCUCCUCAAUCCCAACUACUGUAUACGUGAACAGUACUGUAUACGUGAAUAGUACCGUAUACGUGAAUAGUGCCGUAUACGUGAAUAGUACUGUAUAUGUAAAUAGUACCGUAUACGUGAAUAGUGCCGUAUACGUGAAUAGUACUGUAAACGGUCGUAUUCCCCAAGUACGAACCUGGCUCUGAUACCAAUUGUUGCGCGGAAGCGUGUGAAAGAGUAAAAUUAUUGUACUAAAAAAUCACACUAAGUUCAAUUCCCAAGAAAGAGAGGUGGAUCACGAGGAUCGCUUACAUACCAGAUCUUUCCUAGCCAGAAUAUCCCUAUAUCGUAAUUUAAUAGCACAAUAAAUCACUACAAUGACACUUGCAAAAUAUGCAGAACAAAAAAUAAAGAACACUAGAAUUUUAACGAGGUUCAGCAAAUUUUGCCUACGUCCUCGGGCACUACCAAAUAUAUUUCACUCCAAAAAAUACAAGUGAAAGUUUACAAAUAGGGAGAGAGAACAAUUGCCUUAAGUAGAGAAUGGCAAGUGUGGGAUGAAGAAAGUAAGAAAUGGUUAGGCCUAUUUAUAGUUGAGGUUCAAGGAUCAACUUGCAAUGUCCCUAUACAAUUAGGGACCAAAAUUGCAAUUAUCCCAUGCCAACUUUUAACCCAACUUGCCAACCAAUUUUACUUUCUACUUUCGGUGCCCACCCUUUUUGACUUUUCAAACAAUGAGUGGGUUCCAAUAGUAACAAAAGAGAAGGACAUUCGUACCUGGAGUGUCAUGAUAUGGGGUUGGGCAACCCAUGGGUUUUAUGGACAAGCUAUCCGAUGCUUCAAAAAGAUGAUGUUUUCAGGUGUGGACUUAGUAGUUUUCAUUGAGCUCAACCCUUUAUUCUAAUCUUUCUGAAUAAACUCAAGUUUGUCGUAUUUGCAGGAAUAAAACCCGAUGCGGUGGUCUUUCUUACCCUCCUGACUGCAUGCUCACAUUCUGGACAAGUAGAUCUUGGGCUUAACUUCUUUGAUAGCAUGAGGUUUGAUUACUCCAUUGAGCCAACCAUGAAGCAUUAUACGUUGGUCGUUGAUUUGUUAGGCAGGGCAGGCCGACUGGAUGAAGCAAUGAAGUUCAUACAAAGGAUGCCUAUAAGUCCUGAUUUUGUGGCAUGGGGAGCACUUUUUGUGCUUGCAGAGCUCACAAAAAUAUUAAAAUGGCAGAACUAGUGUCAGAAAAGCUCCUUCAGCUUGAACCUAAACAUCCUGGGAGCUAUGUUUUCUUGUCAAAUGUUUAUGCAGCAGUUGGUAGAUGGGAAGAUGUGGAGAGGGUAAGAAUGUUGAUGCAGAAUCAAGCUGUUGGCAAAGAUCCGGAGUGGAGUUAUAUUGAAGUCAAUGGACAAGUGCAUAGUUUUGUAGCUGGUGAUCAUGAUCAUAAGCGUGCAAGAGAAAUAUACUUGAAAUUAGAGGAAAUAGUGUCUGGUGCAAGAGAGCAAGGAUAUAUGCCUGAAACUGGGUGGGUUCUUCAUAAUAUUGAGGAAGAAGAGAAGGAAGAUGCAUUAGGAAGUCACAGUGAGAAAUUGGCGCUUGCCUUUGCCUUAAUGAACACUCCUCCGGGGACAACUAUUAGGAUAGUGAAGAACUUAAGAGUAUGUGGAGAUUGCCAUUCUUUGAUGAAAUGUGCUAGUAAGAUGAGCCAAAGAGAAAUCAUAUUGAGAGAUAUAAAGAGAUUCCACCAUUUCAAGUAUGGGGUCUGCUCAUGUGGAGAUUAUUGGUAAAAUGGUAAGUAACAGCAACAUUAAUUUGCUUUGCUGUUAAUAGCACAUGAUUAGUGCUUCUACUUGGUUUAUUUAGAAUAAUGCUUUUAGUUAAAACAUGGAUGUAGCUACAGCAACACAAGUUUUUUUGUUUGAUAAUUGGUAGCAAGUACAUUAAAUUUCUCCAAUGGACCUUUCUGCACAUAUAUAUUAAACUUGAAACUCAUUAGUUAAGUUUGUACUUUAUUUAGGUAUCUAAUUAACGUUGUUAGAUUUUUUCAAUUUCAACUUAUCAUCUUGUGCCACUUCUUUCUCUUCCCUUUAGUGAAAUUUAGCACUUUAAAAGAUGGGUUGCAUUUUGCUCCCUCUGUCAAAAAAAAUGGACAGAUUAAGCUAUACACGUUAGAUCAAAGAGCAAAUAGGUCUUUUUGUUUAAAAAUCCAUCAAUUUUUGUUGUUAAAAAUCAAUCCAUUUACAUCAACAUAAAAUAUAUAACUGUUUGGGUAUCUCAUCAUCCAUGUUAGUUUUUAGCAAUACAAAUGGAUAGAAUUUUUAACAAAAAAAACCAGUUUAUUGUUUGAUCUAACAUACAAUGACUAAUUUGUCAAUUUUUUAAGUAAAUAAAGCAUAAUGCUAAUUGACUCUUAGUAUAAUAUCUCUAUGGUACUUUUAUCAAUACUAUCUCUAUUUAUGAAAUUAAAAAUACUUAAAUAAUUAGAUUUAUUGUAUAUUGUGAUAAAAAAUUAUGUAAGAAAUGCAUUUAUUAAAAAUCCAUAUAAAAUCUAAAUGAUGAUUGUAAAGUUAAAUGUUCUGGUGCAAGAGAGCAAGGAUAUAUGCCUGAAACUGGGUGGGUUCUUCAUAAUAUUGAGGAAGAAGAGAAGGAAGAUGCAUUAGGAAGUCACAGUGAGAAAUUGGCGCUUGCCUUUGCCUUAAUGAACACUUCUCCGGGGACAACUAUCAGGAUAGUGAAGAACUUAAGAGUAUGUGGAGAUUGCCAUUCUUUGAUGAAAUGUGCUAGUAAGAUGAGCCAAAGGGAGAUCAUAUUGAGAGAUAUAAAGAGAUUCCACCAUUUUAGGUAUGGGGUCUGCUCAUGUGGAGAUUAUUGGUAAAAUGGUAAGUAACAACAACAUUAAUUUGCUUUGCUGUUAAUAACACAUGAUUAGUGUUUCUACUUGGUUUAUUUAGAAUAAUGCUUUUAGUUAAAACAUGGAUGUAGCUACAGCAACACAAGUUUUUUUGUUUGAAAAUUGGUAGCAAGUACAUUAAAUUUCUCCAAUGGACCUUUCUGCACAAAUGAUAUAUGUCCCCAUAAAGAACUUGGUGCUCACGGUAUUGCAUGACAGGUAGCCAUAGGUUAUUCGCUCUCUUGAUUGGUAUCUUACAUUCCUCAAGGUCCAAAAGUUGUUCCUUCUUUUUGUCUGAAGUCCAAACCUAAGAAAAGCAUUGAUGGGCCUUUAAAACUUUGCUCAUUUCACUACAUGAACUAUUGGAUGUUUUGUGUUCAAAUUAGUUUAUGCCAGUAGUGAAAGUACAUCUCUUUCUCCUUAUCCAGUUAUUCUUUUCAGUUGUCAUCAUCUUUCUGUGUCUUGCCUUCUGAAGUGUUUAGAUGACUGCAUUUCUCAAUAUAAUUUUCAUUUGACCUAAAUAGUUGAAAUUAAAGUCCCUUAUCAUGCCAUUCAUUACUUUGCUUCUAUAUGGUAGUUAUUCUUCAAUGUCCAUGAAUUGACAUAUAUCACUGGAAGCAUAAUCUUACUUCUAAGCAUGGGAUUGACCUUCUUUAAUGCAGGUUCUUCUGUAAGACUCAAACCAUAGAUGGGCAAGGCUUGAGAAAAUAAAGUUGUAAGUGUUGAACCAGGAAGGACGAUGUUGGCCAUGUUAUAAACAUUCCUCCAGAAUGACUAAACAUCGAGGAAAAGGUUCAACCAUGAGUGGUCCACUGAAACGUGCUUGGUCGAACACGUGCCAAUUAUCAGCUACGUAUCAAAUCCCACAAUUAUAAAUGUAGAUUGGGUUCCAUGCUCUGGUUAAUCCAUUAGAUGACACGGUCCAUUGAAAAGGUACUAAAUUACUGAUGUUUGGUCCAUAUAUGAAUCUGUUUAUUUAAUGGCCAGCAUUAAUUGUUAAUUCUCUUGUUUGCGGGUGACUUUUCCUCUAGCAUGCCUUAUGGAAAGAAGUGUCAGUGACAACCUUUUAAUCAACAGCAACUUACCCUACUAAUGAGCAUUUGGAGCAUUUCAUAGCUCGUUCAGUUUAUUCAAAGACUCAUUUUUACCUGCACAGCAUGUUCCCGCCCAGUAAUCAGUGGGCCAAUUAAUGAAGGAGAGGAUAGUUUGCUAGACACAUGUUUUUUGUGUGAGCUUUCUGGUCUUUUAUGUAGUUGUGGUGUUGACAAUUUUUGUUGUUCUUUACAUAAAUUCUUAUUGGCUAAGCGCUUGGUUUUCUUUUAUUGGAAAGUGCAUCACAACCUGUCGUUACUCAACAAUGGCCAAUUUUCUUGCAUAUCACAUCUUCAGGCAAUGUGAUUAUGUUGAAAAUUGGCCUACCAUGCUUGCUGUAAUACUUCCGGAUGAAGUACGUGCUAGCAAUUGUUCAUGCUGCAGCACGUAUGCUUGCUGUAACAGCAAGAUUUUUGUUUUAGUUUCACUGUAAUCAGCCUAGUUGGAAAUGAACAAGCUGAUGACAGCUUGAUAUGUUUAGGUGUUGAAUGACUAAUUUAGGUGGCUUGUUUCUGUGUACAAGCAAUGUUUUUAAAGUUAGUAGGCUACUUAGUGGUAGUAGGUAGUAAUAACUGAUGUAGUUGGCUAUAAAUGUAUUGUUUUUUUAUUGAAAAAUUAAGCAUAUCAGUGGUUAAAACAGAUUGCUUCCUUGCUGCACGUUUGUGAGCAAGUAAAUUAUUCUUGCAGCUUGCUUCAUUGUCUUGUUCUGUUCUCUGUUUUCUUCCUCUGCUGUCAAAAAACCCAACAGAUUAGCUAUCGUGAAGAUUUCAACAAAGUCGGUUCGUGUUGAUUCAAGGAAAAAAAGAUAUUACGAUUUGAUUUCCUCACCUAAUUGUUUUACUAUGCGAAGUUGGAUUGUGAGGAAUAUUUUGUUGAUUUCUGCAUUUUGAAUAAAGAGCUCUUAGGUUUGUGUGGCCGACGUUUAUAGUUUUAUCUUUCGAUUUUAUCUUUUUUUUUGUAUGAAAUUUAAAGUUUAAUCAAAACUAAUUGUUAUGUGUAUGUAAUAGCUAUUUGAAUUAAAUUAAAUUGACAAAUCAACGUACACUAGUGCAUACUAAAAAAAAUGUAAUAUAAAAUUAAACCAAAAUUGAAUCUAAAACUUAAAUAUUUUAAAACCUCAAACAUAUGGCAACUCUUCACUCCUCUUUCCCUCUGAAGUUAUUUUAAUUUAAAAUAUAUUUUGUAUAAUGUGUUAUAACAAUUCAACUAAACAAAGUGAUUCUCUUUGCAUAACAUAUUAUAUGCUUAUAUAAACUUUUACACAAUUUGUUAUAGAUACAUUUUUAAUAAUUGAAUGAUGACUCCAUUAAAAAUGCAAUAUCAUAAUAAUUCUACAUUUCUUGCAUUAAUAUAAAAUUUUCCUUUUUUUUUCCUCCAAGCCUUGUUUAUUAUCUUUUGUUUUGCCAAAUGGCAGUGCCAGCUUUCAGGCUAGCUAUCGCCCGCCUUUUUCUCCCUCCCAUUAAUCCUUUUUUUCUUUUUUCUUCUCAUUCACUCCACAUGUCUUCUUUCUUUUCAGUUUGUAGAUCUAUUUUAUGAGAAUCUUUAUUUUCUUCACAAGUUGUGAUAGACAGAUGACGACGCCUAUGUUCGUUAAAACUUCAUCGGCCACCAAUAAUUUUUCAGAAUAAUAAAUAAUUUCAUGAGUCGAUUUGGAUUCUUGUUAUCAUAAGUUUUAUAUAUUUUUUAGUUUGUUUUUCAUUGUUUAAUAGGUUUUUAGUUUUAGAAGUUUUUGUCUACUCUUGUAACACGUUUUUUAGUCUUGCUUAUGCAUGUAACCUUAGUUUUACAAGUGAUUUUAGAGAUGGUUUUGUUACCGUCUUCUCUAGUUUGGUGAAUGCUCAAUUCUUUUGUCCAUUUUUGCUCGUCACUUUGGACCAUUCGAGGCUGAUUUUCUUUAUCGCAUUAAGUGCUUGCGAUCACUCCAAAUAUAUCGUGCUUAAGUUGUGAUAAAGCCUGUACAAGCCCAAUUUUUAUGCCCGGGCCCAAUUGACCCAACAAAACCGAACGGCCCAACAGACUAAGGCCCAAACCCAACAAAGACUAGGGUUUCAGAACCCUAGCCCCUCCAUCAGCGCCGCAUGCUAGGGUCUCUGACUUCUGCCCCGUCGGCGCAAACGGCGCACCUACCCCGUCCGUGUCACGUCUCCUCCAUCGCCCUACACCUGCAAACAAUAAAGAGAGAAGCAGACAACACAAAACAGGGGAAAGAUUGAAUCUUUUUUUUUUGUUCUUUCGGUUAUAAAGCCGAACGUAUCAAAUAAGAAAAAGGGGGGAUUUUUUGCAAAAAAAGAAAAUCACAUCAGAAAUAAGAAAAGGAACAAAGGUUGCUGUGUUCUUCAUUUUAUUCUUUUUUGAUUCGUUUACUUUCAUUUAUUUUUAAACAAAUCCGUUAAAAAAUAUAUCAAUAAAAAGGAAAAGAAAAAAAGGAGCGCACCUGAAUCGCUCUCUGGCUCCGUCGACGGAGGUUCUCUCGCCGUUGUCGGCCCGGAUCUGAAGGAGGGAUUCAGAGCCCUUGUCUCGGCGCUCGUAGGGGUUCAAGGACCCGAUUUUCAAAUCGCCCGAAGGCCAGGCUUUUUAAAAACCCUUUGUUGCGCUUCGUUGGCCGCCGUUUCGGUGGCGGUGCGACGGACAGACGGACGAUGGUGAAAAGCCAAUCGUCGGAGGGCAUGAAGAGAGAGUGGGGGAAAGAGUUCUGAAUUUUUUUUUUUAAAAGAGGGAUGAAAUGAUUUUUUUAGGGGUUUUGAUUUAUAUAAGGAUCCAAAACGGCGCCGUUUUGGAAGGGUCAGAAAGCCCCUAAAACGACGCCGUUUUUGCAUAAGACCCGAGACCCAACCCGUCUGCCUUAGGGGAUCCGCGUGUUUUUUACGGAAGGGCUAAUUUCACGUUUAAUCCUUCCGCUUUUUAAUUAUUUUAAAAUUAGGUUCUUUUGAUCUUUUUAAUUUUACCCGGAAAUUGUUUUCGUUUUCAAUUUGAUCCUUACCCAAACUACGUCGUUUUAAAGAAAGGGCCAUUUCUUUGUUGGUCCCUCCAUGUUUUAUGCUUGUUUAGAGCAGUCCUUCCCUUUUCGUUUAUUUGCGUUUUGAACCCCCCGAAUUUUGUUUUAAUGUUUAAUCUAAUCCUUCUGCUAUUUUGUUUAUUUUCUUAACAAAUUUAUUAUUAUUAUUAUUAUUACAUAUUCAUUUAUAACAUCUAAUUUUAGAUUUAAUCAUAUAUAUAAAUAUACGUCCAUGAUAUAUACCUACUUUUUAUAUAUACUUUAUAAUUUAUAUAUACAUAUACACAUUUUAAUUUAUGUACAUAUCUACACAUAUUUUUCAUACUUUACUCAUAUAUAUAUACAUGUACUUAUACAUAUUCUUUAUAUCUUAAAAUCCAUAUUUUUCUUAUGUAUAUAUUUUAUAUUUUAUAUUUUAUAUAUAUGUGUUUAUAUAUUCUACGAUAUAUAUUUAUAUGCAUAAUAAAUACAUAUCUAUAUACGUUUCGAUUUUUAUAAACACAUAUAUAUGUAUGCAUACCUUUAUAUUUCUUAUAUUAAAUACAUAUAUAUAUAUUUAUAUAUCCCUUUAUACUUCUAAAAUCAUAUAUUUUGUAUAUAUUCUUUAUAUUUUAUGAUUCCUAUAUGUACCCACAUAUAUACUUUUUGUAUUGUAUGAUUGUUAUUUACGUAUAUGUACGUACAUACAUACUUACACCUAUUUUCAUGUAUAAUAGCCUUAUAAUAUGUGUACAUACAUGUAUUUUUCAUAUUUCCAUAUACAUACACAUAUAUCUUUUUAUUUUAUAUAAUCUUACUCAUUUUAUUUAUUUAUUUAUUUACAUGUCUAUUAUUAUUAUGCUCUAGUUUUUAUUUAUUUAUUUAUUAUUUGUUAUUGUGCUUGCUUGAUCCUUUUAUAUAUUAAUCUUAUUUUUUAUUUUUAUUUUGAUCAUGUCAUUUUACUUACAUUAUCAUCAUCAUUCCGUUACACUCAUUUUUUUGUUUAGAUUUCAAAAAAAAAAAGAAGAAAUUUUAAAAAUAAGUAACACUCGGUAUUUUGGAUCUUCGAGAGAAUCGAGUCCUAACGUAUUGGGUUCCGACUUUCUUCGUUGAAUUUAAAUAAUCGAGAUUACUCUUUUAAAAAUGAUAAAAAAGCUCGUUAUCGAGAAUUCAAUACGUUGUGUCCCAACGGAUUGGACGUAACACGGUGUUUUCUCGAGACGAGGAUUUUUCGAAAUAAACGUAAUAUUCAAUGUUUAAUCUUUUGAGAAAUUGUGCCCUAACGUAUUGGGUUGUGAUUUCUUCAUUUGAUUUAAACAAUUGAAUAUCCUUUUAAACUUUAUUACAUGGAUCUUUUCAAACUCAAGUUUUAAACAACCUCGGGAAUUAAAAGAGGAUCGUGUCCUAACUUACUGGUCGUAAUCCCUUUUUUAAUUCGAGAUCGUUAAAUAUCUUUUAAAUAAGCUUUUUUCAUUCGCGUAUUGGGAAUUCGACAUAUUGUGUCUUAACUUGCUAGAUAUGAUAUUCUGUCUCGAAUAACGUGAAAUAUGCCCCUUUUCCUGAAAAUUUUCAACGUUUUAAUACAAGGAUCGUAUUUUUAAAAUUCUUCUAAGUUAUCAAUUUUCGACACUAAGACAUUAACUAAUCAACUAGGUACCAAUUUUGGGCGUAUCGAGGGUGCUAAUCCUUCCUCGUGCGUAACCGACUCCCGAACCCGUUUUUCUGAAUUUCGUAGACCAGACUUGUUGUUUUAAUAAAAUUAAAUUGUUUAUUAAAAACAACCACUUUUCGAGGUGAUCCAAUCACCCCUCAUAAAAAAGGAUUGGUGGCGACUCCCGUUUUUUUAUUUUCGUCAAAACCCAAGUCGACCCCGUUUUUCAUCCAAAAAAAUGGUGUCAACAAAGCCAAUUGUCAACAUGUCAUAACGUUCUAUUUAUGCUAAGGCUAAAGCCUUCGUUGGGUUGUUGGAGCUUGUCAUUUACCAUCUACGACGAGUGCUUAUUUUUUUCCCUGAAUUGUAUGAUUCCAUUCAUUGAAUGAAUUAACGAAUUUACCUUUCAAAAGAAAAAAAAUUCAUAAAUUUUGAAAUACAAAAUGAAUGUGUUUUGAUAUUUUUAGGGCAAUGGUUUAGUGGUUUAAAUUUUUUUAUUUAAUAUGGUGAAUUUAAUUAUAAUUUUUUAUUUAUUAGAUAGUAGAAUAUCUCUUACCAUUUAUAAUUAAGUUUAGGUUAAAAUAUUUUAUUAAAUUUUUGGACUUUUCACAAAUUUUAAAUUUAAUCUGUUUACUUUUAUUCAAGAAUUUAAUCUCUCUGCAUAUAAAGGAGGUAAUUAUGGCAAGGGGAAUUACCAUGGCAGAGGUAGCGGAGGCUGAGGAAGAGAUGCUGGAUAUGCUGAAGAAAGAUAGAUGGCUGAGAAACAGAAAAACUUUAGGAACAAUAUUCAGUGUUAGAAGUAUGGGGAUGUGAAGGCAGAUUGUUGGAAAAGGGGAAAACAAGCAAAUUAUGCGGAAGAUGAUGAAGAGAUUUAAGUUAUUUAUGAGCUGUCUAGAUGACACCAUAGCUUCAACUAACAUUUGGCUUCAAGGGCGUAUAUCUCAUGAUGAAGAGAUUGUCUCUCUUCUUUUUUCUCAUAACAUAUUAUACGCCAUGAUAAUAAAUUUUGAUAUGCCUAUAAAUUUGAGUCUCUAUUAUUUGUAAUAUGACAUGUUUUAAUUAUUUUUUAUAUUAUGCCAUGAUUUGGUUCACUCCAUAAGUUAUAUAAAUUUAUUAUAAUAAUUCAAUUAAUUUAAUUUAGAUUAAUUUUACAUUUUUGUCCUAACUUUAGUUUUUAAUAAUUGAAUCAUCCCACCAUUAUAUUCAAUUACAAGUGUAAUACGAUUUUGCGUCAUCCCGCACCAUUAUUCUCAGUGUAAUUUUUGGUAGUGAGCAUUGAAGGGGAGAGAGAGAGAGAACAAAGAAAGAACUUACUGUAAUUUUUGGUGUAUGUAAUCGAUAACCCUCAAUGCUUAAAAUGAAAAAGAAAAUAGAAAACAAAGGUGGCAAAGUUAGUUACAAUGCCAGCUAAUUCGUUAUUGCUAUCCACAUGAAGAAUUUUAUAACCCCAACUACACGAUUUUAUGUCUACCAGCUCUCACUUUUCAUAUUUUUUGGCCAUUAGUUAUUCUAAGAUUUAACAUCACCGUUAAGCCAUGUUUAAACUCUUUUUCUUAUAUAAUAAUUAUAUUAUAUUUAAAAUUGAAAAAACUAACCAACCAAAUAUAUAUUAAUUAAUUAAUAGAAGUUUUUUGGUCAUCGAUUAAAAUAAAUCAAGAAAGACGUUGGAACCACCAACUUCUCUUUAAGAACAACACGAAUACAAGAAUCUAUGCACAACAAGUUCUAAAAUGUAUUAAGUAAAUUCAUCAUCAUGCCUUAAAAAAAGAAGAUCUCGAUAUAUCUGCUUUUGCCAAAGCAUCCGCCAUACCAUUACUUUGCCAGUGAAUAAUUGUGAACUGAAACUUAGCCAAUUGAGUGAUAUUAAUUAUAGAAAUGAUUCUUCUUGCAACCAUAGAUGAAACACCACUGAGACUAACAAACUUGGAGAAACUUGAUUUGAGUUUUAACAUCUUCAGGAACAACACAAUUUCGUUUCUUGAAGGACUUUCAAACUUAAAUUAGUCCUUGGAUAUGCAUAAUAACACUCUGCAAGGCUCAUUAAUAGAUAUUAAAGGUACUGAAGCUAUAACUUUUUUUUCUUGAUAAUUCUUUUUAAAAUAUUUCAUAAUUAAUUGUUCUGAAUUUGUACAUUCACUUCUCACAUUUCUGGGUUUUUUUUGUCCUCAACUAAAUUAAACUUAUGCAAAUUUCUUGAAUAUUUAAGUUAAGAGUUAACGUCAAAGUCAAGAGUUGAUAAGUAUUUUGUGGUCCAUUCAUAUCUUUAUUACAAAAAAAAAAUAUUCAAGAAAUUUGCAGCUAGUUGGAGUUUUGCAAUAAGGAAUUUCCACCAAGAGUUUUGGAGGAAUCAUAUCUCUAACAAAAGAAAGACCUUCAUUUGACUAAAUUUUUUAGUAUUUAUUUUAACUUCCAUUUUUAUUAAAAAAAAGGUAAAAAAAUAUGCCAAACAGGGUCUUUAGGUUACUUUUUUUAGAACUAUAUUAUGUUAUAGUACCAUAUAAGUUAGAGGAGCACAAGUUUAGAUUCAUCCAAUUUUUGAGGAAUUAAUUAAAUAUAUAUUAUUUUAAUAUUAUAGUGUAUAGGGGCAAAGUUAGAAAAAAAUUUUUGUGGAGUCGAAAUUAAAUUAUAGUUUUUACAAUAGUUAAAAAAAAUAAUUUCACUAUUUUAAAAGCAUAUAUGUUGUAAGCACUAAAUUUUUGUCCGACUAGAGUUUGUGUUUAAUUUUCAAAAUUUCAAAAAAAAAUUUUAAAAAUAAAAAUUGCAUUUUGACCCCUAAAUUUUUCCUAAAUUUCAUUUUGACCCUUAAACUUUCAUUAAAUUUCACUUAGACCCCUAAACUUUCAUUAAAUUUCAUUUUAAUCCUAAAUUUUCUAAAAAUUACAUUUAGCCCCAGAAGUUUUGCUGUAUUUGUGAUUUGGUCCUUCAGACACGUUACGUGAUUUGGGGCACCCACUUCCCAGAUUUUCAGGCCACAAUCACCCACUACCUGCAAACAAUGAGAAAGAGGACAAAAUUUGGAGCUUUUAAAAAGAAAAAAAGAGAAGAGGAAGAAAAAAAGGAGAGAAAAAAACAAGCAGAAUUUUUAGAGAAAAAUAAAAAAAGAAGCUCUCAAUCCGGCCGAUUGCCUCCACCGCCACCACGUCCGUUGCGCCACCACCAUUGUCAUCUCACCAUCGAGUCCUAAACGCAAACAAAACAAAAACAAAGAAAAAAGCAAGCAAAAGAGAAAAGGAGAAAGUGCAAAGAAGAAAAAGAAAAAGGAAAAGGGGAGAGAGCAUACCUCCGUGCACGCCAUUGUCGGCCGUCGCACCAGGCGGAGGGACAUCACCGGCGAGACAAAGGAGGUGCUGCUGAUCGGGGAGAAAGAAAGGAAGAAAAAGAAGAAGGAAAGAAGAAAAGGGGAAGAAGAAAGAAAGAAAAAAGAAAAAAAAACUAAAAAAAAUAGCAGGCCAUUUUGGUGGACCAGAUUCAGCCCAACAAGAAGCAGCCCAAACCAGUCCUUUGGCAGCCAAUAGCAACAGCCCAACAGCAAAAAAAAUAAUAAAAGGGGAGGCCCAAAAUUUAAGCCCAUAACUUUGGGCUUUUGGGUAAUUUUUUUUCUUUUUUUCUUUUUAAUCUAUUUUAUUUUAUUUUAUUUAUUUAAAUGGUGUUUUAUUUAAUUUAAAUUAGUAUGCUUUAAAACAGUUUUCAUAAAUAUUAUUAUGUCAUUUAAUUGCAUAUUUUUUUUAAAAAAUAAUAAUAUUUUAAUGCAUAAGGCAACGAACCGAUUUAGCAUCGAGUCAUCGAAUUCAUCGCUAUGUUGGAUGGAUAUCGAUAGCUCGUGUUAAAUUCGGGACACCCUUUUAAAAAUAAAAAUAUUCAAAAAUCCUCGUAUUUUAAUAAAAAUUCUCGUGUUUUAUUAGAAUCCCGAUUAAAUAUUAAAUUGAAUUGAGUUAACAUUAAUUCGAUGGUUUCAUCGCCAUAUCGGGAUGAAUAUCAUCGAUUCGUGUUAAAUACGGUAUUUUUUAAAGAAAAAUUGUGUUUCAAAAAUUUUCAUGUCUUCAAAAUUUCUCGUGUUUCGUAUUUUAUCAAAAAAUUUAUGUUUUCAAAAACAAAUUUUCUGUUUUAAAAAUUUUCGUGUUUCAAAAAGAAGAUUCGUGUUUUCAAAAAUAAAAAUAAAAAAUCUCGUGUUUUAAAUUCUUCGUGUUUUUUAAAAAAAAAUUUUGUGUUUCUAAAAUUCUUGUAUUUUAAAAUUUUCGUGUUUUCAAAAAAGAAAAAGUUGUUGCGCUUUAAAAUUCUCGUGUUCAAUCGGAUCACGACUAAUAUUAAAUUGAACUCGUAUUUUUGAAAAUGAAGACAAUGCGCGUUUAACGAGAUACCAAUUUUGGGCGUUGCGAGGGUGCUAAUACCUUCCUCGCGCGUAACCGACUCCCGGACCCUAAUUUUCUCUGGAUUUUUACGUGGACCUAAAAUUACCUCUUUUUUAGAAAAGUUUAAAAAUAAAUUUUUCUUCUAAAAAGAGAAUUUUAUAGGUGUCCGAUCACACCUAGAAAAAAUAUCGGUGGCGACUCCUUUUUCAAAUAAAAUCGAGAUUCAGUUUUCAAAUUUACAAUAAUUACUUCGACUAGCGCCCGUGCCGAAAUUUUUAGGUCGCUACAGCUGGCGACUCCGCUGGGGAACCUUUUUGAGAGUCGAGUCGAAUUAAACUCGCGUUGUCAAAAUUUUCAAAGUUUCUUGUUCAAAUUAACAUUUAGUCGUGAUCCUUAAAUUUUUUGUUUUCAAAAAAAUCAUGCAUUUGCAUCGUGUUGUAUAUAUUCUAACUUGUUUUAUCAGGUUGUUUUUCAGCUUUAAAUUUUUGCGGUUUUAGUUUUGGUUUAGUUUUUCUAAAUAAAACGUAAAGGUUUACAAGUUUCUCCCCACACACCGUGCACGUGCAUUUAUGUUGCAUAACAUGAGCUCUAUACCCGGGCUCUGUCCCUGUUAAGAGAAAGUAAAUGCUACGCCUUCGUGAGUUAACUCGUUCCUCCGCACAGGCUAGUGAAUACUUUCGGGUUACAUAUGACUUAUGCUUUCGUGAGUUAACUUGUCCCUCCGCAUAGGCAUAAGUAAAUGUAAUCCCUCGAAUUGAUCUCGUAAGCCUAUGAUGGGCCAUGACCGAGGCUCUGUACUAAUCUUAGUAGAUGACAGUGCAGACGAUUCGAGUACCCACCUAGAACCAAAACCGCAUAUAGUGAACCAUACGAGCUAUCCAAUUAGAGUCAUGCCGAACCUCUGUCCGCUUAUAGUCAUCAAAAUAAGUACACGGGGAAAAUGCCUUUUGCCUUUCAUUUACACUGUUUAUGCAAAAUAAUUGGAUUGGGUAGUUUAAUUUGUUUUUCAAAUUAUAUUUGUUGUGUUUACUAACCAAGUUUGUUUGUUUUUACUUUUAUUUUCAUCAUGCAUCAUAGGCAUCAUAUUAGGAAGGUGUUGAUUAAAAGUUGGUUGCCAAAAAACGGGUUUCUGAUGGAAGAGUCAAUUACACAAAUAACCGAGAAGAAUGCCGUGGUUCGGGACUGGUCUCUAAAAAUUCAGAGAGAAAAGAGGGAUAGUCUAGUGGAAGGGUGUGUCACUAAUUUGCCCGAACAUAUAACUGUAAAUGUUCGCCAAAAUAACUUUGAGGAUUUGGUUCAAAUUUGGAAUCAGUGGGAUUCAGACACUAGAGACAUUUUCACUCAGAGGUAUGGAGAUAUAGCUCACCUGAUCAUCAUCCAUGUAGACGAACAGUUGAUUCAAGCCAUGGUUCGGUUCUGGGACCCAGCUUAUCAGUGUUUCACCUUCAAUCAAGAAGACAUGACUCCAACCAUAGAAGAGUAUGCUGCUUUACUCCGCAUCGACAAUGUACAAUUCGGCAAAAUAUAUGUGAAGGAGCCUAAACCGAUGACCUUCAAGAAAAAGUUAGUGAGACUGACAGACAUGACUGAUGCAUGGGCCGAAAAACAGAUAAAGAAGAAGAAUGAAACCAUUUGCAUUCCAUGGUCCUCCCUACGAGAUUUGGCUCUGAACCAUCCCAACAUGCUGAAAAGGGUAAAUCUAUUCGCUUUGGCCAUUUACGGUUUGGUCAUUUUCCCAAAAGUUCUCGGACAUCUCGAAGUUGCAGUAGUUGAUUUCUUCGAAAGGUUAAAACAAGGAAUCAACCCUGUCCCGACCAUCCUAGCCGAGACCUUCAGGUCCCUGAGUAGUUGUCGAAAAAAAGGGGAGGGACGAUUUAUCAGAUGCGCGCAGUUGCUCAAUGUUUGGAUUUUGAGUCACUUCUGGAAGGUAGAGCGCACUCCGUUCCAUAUGUUUUCUAAAACAUUCUCCCCGCUAGAAGCUUACCUCAAUAAAGAAUGGCCGAAGGAAGUCACCGAGCAACAUUGGGUAUCAGUUUUUCAAAAUCUUCGCACCGAGAAUAUAACAUGGAGAGCACCCUGGAUCCGUCCUUCAGUUCUGCUAUACAAAUGUGGAAGCCAAGAUUGGGUACCUCUACUCGGGUUUUGGGGAGGAGUUGGAUAUGCUCCGCUAUUAGUCCAAAGGCAAUUUUCUUCGCGACAAUUCCUCCCCGCAACUGGAGGAUUAGCACAGUUCGAGUUCGCUUUUGCGGGUGAAGGAUAUAUGAAGAGAGUCCGAGACACUGCAAAGUAUUGGAAGGAAAUUCAUUUCAUGGAAUUAGCUUUGUAUGUUGAUACCCUUACCCAAGAUUACGACAUAUGGAGGAAGCAACGGGUAAAUAGUCAGCAAAUCUCAUCAACAAACUACACCAUCCAGAAUCCUUUCUCGGAGAAAACGCCGUCUGAGCUAGAAAUGGCAAGACAAGAAUUCGAACGAGAAAAGGCCAAGAUGUCUCGGGACCUUAGUGCCCUUCAAGAAGAAAACUAUCAACUGAAGAUUGAAGUUCAGGUUGAAAGGUCCAGGACUGAAAAGUACAAAAAGAAGCCGAGAUUGUGAGAAACGACUUAAGGGACCUUCAUUUGGAAAACAAGAAAUUAAGAAACACUAUAAAGAAUAGCGGGUUGGGUAAGUCGACAGCAGAAUGGAAGGAAGAAAUUAGCAAUAUCAAGGGAGGAAUGGAGUUUUGGAAGGGAAAAGUAAAGAAAGAGGAGGAAAAGGCUGCGCGCGCUGUGAUAGAGUUAAGAAGGAAGAACGACGAGUAUGAAAUAGUGACUGCAAAAUUUGCGAAUAGUCAGUCUGAAUAUCAAGAAUUAAAAAGGAAAGCACGAGAUCUAGAAAAUAUGCUGCAAUCUCGUCAACAACAAUUAGAUAACCUCCUGAAGGCUCUAGAGGAAAAGCAUGAUCAGUACGAUAGGGACAUUCAGGCGUAUGAAGGAACUCUCAAAGAAAAAGAAAUGCAACUCGACUUCUUGAUCAAUGAAAUUCGUAAAGCGGCUAUGCAAGUUGUUCAAUUAUCAGAUGAAGCCGAAGUUAUCAGUUGCCAAUUCCCUCCGAGCCAAAGAUCGAGCAUAUCAGAGUUUUUAGAGCAAGUGAAUAAACAAGGCAAUGUGGCUAGGAAAUUUGUGUAACUGUUGGAAAAAUGAGAACUUUGUGUAAUAGACUAUGUUGAUAAAUGAAAUGCCUAAAUAUGGGGCUAUCUUGAAAUCAACACCAAAUUCUUGCAUGUUUACUCAUAACUAACAUUUAUGCAUCAUUUAUUCUUUGGACAUUCAUCCAUUCAUAUACUCAUUCAUUCAUUCAUCACGAGUACAUAUCACCAUAAUCAUCCACCGAAACUAAAGAACCGUAUAAUCCGCAGUUGCAAGAUUUCAAAUCUGGAACCACGCAAUUCCUAUAAAACGCGCCGACAAGCUAGAGUAAUGGAGGAUGAAUUCAAUGAGAGAAUUGAAAGGAUGGAAAGGGCUCAAAAGGAAUUACAAGAGUAACUGGCCAAAUCGCAGCAAGAGACGAGAGACCUAAUGGUGAGAUCUCGAGAGGAAUCACUCGAGCAAAGAGAUCAGAUGGCUAAAAUGAUGGAGAUGAUGACAACUUUGGUCAAAGGAAAAGGACCCAUGCAGAACUCCGAUGUUAUGGAACCUCGGUCAAGAAUUCACCAUGAUCAGGAUCCACUUUAUCCCCCAGGAUUUACUCCACCUCAUGUCCACGCAAUACAACGAGGAUACCCCCAAAGGGAACCUACAGGCCUAGAACAACAUCUUGCUCCGCCCACUAAUUUGGGGCAAGGAAUGUUAGCGUCGAACCUUGGGGCUAGUCCUGCUAAUCCACUAGUUCCAGAUCUGGAUGACCUAGCAGAGGCAGCCAAGUUGAAAUUGGAUAACCAUGACGCAAAAUAUAGGAGUCUAGAGGAAAGACUCAAAGCAAUAGAAGGCACUGAAGUCUUCUCCGCACUAGGUGCCAAGGAACUCAGUUUGGUACCUGAUCUAAUUUUGCCUCCGAAGUUCAAAGUGCCUGAUUUUGAGAAAUAUGAUGGGACAAGGUGCCCAAAAGCACAUCUCAUUAUGUUCUGUCAAAAAAUAACCGGUUAUGUGAACGAGGAUAAGCUACUCAUACAUUGCUUUCAAGAUAGUCUAACAGGGUCAGCUCUUCGGUGGUACAAUCAACUUAGUAGAGAAAAGAUUCGAUCCUGGAAGGACUUGGCGUCAGCAUUUUGCGAACAGUACAAGCAUGUAUCGGAUAUGGUGCCAGACCGUAUGACCUUGCAAAUGAUGGAGAAAAAGCCAUCAGAGACCUUUAGACAGUAUGCGCAGAGAUGGAGAGACGUCUCAGCUCAAGUGGAACCCCCACUAACAAAAACGGAGAUAACCGUUCUCUUUAUCAAUACUUUAAAGGCACCGUUUUAUGACAAAUUAGUGGGAAGUGCCACGAAAGAUUUCGCGGAUAUUGUAAUAUCCGGUGAACUCAUAGAGAACGCCGUCAAGAGCGGUAGAAUGGAAGGAUCAGAAGGCUCAAGAAAAGCAGCACCCUUAAGGAAGAAAGAGCCAGAAGCCCUCAUGGUGGGAACUGGGAGUCGUUACAUUCCCAAUUCAUAUCCUAAUCAACCCCGACCUCGAGAUUAUCCACCCUCGAGUUUCCAUUAUCCCCCUCAAACCCCUUGCUACCAAGCACCACAUCCGUCCUGCCCCGUAUACGCUACGAACAACCAAAGACCCGUCACCACUUUCCCACAAAACACGGUACCCACCCAAAGCCAACCCAGAAACGAACCAAGACCAUCAAGGCAUAAUCCUGAGAGACCGCAAUUUACCCCCAUCCCUGUGUCGUAUGGGGAAUUGUACCCAAAACUUUUAGAAAAAUAGCUAAUUUCUCCCCAUUACAUGGCACCCCUUAAACCUCCAUACCCAAAGUGGUACGAUCCAAACGCUAGUUGUGCAUACCACGCAGGGAACCAAGGGCACUCUACUGAGAACUGUCUCACUUUCAAAAGGAGAGUUCAAGGACUCAUUGAUGCGGGUAUCCUACGAUUCGAUAGUGCUAGUAAAGCCACGGAGAACCCGUUCCCUAACCAUACCGAAGGGAAUGUGAGCACAGUGGGGAAAGAGGAUGAAUGGAAGGUCAGAAGAUGUGUAUCAGAAAUAAGGACGCCUCUGCAGAAAAUCUGGGAGGUAUUGGUUAAGAAAGGAUUGCUCUGUCACUCUGAUAGAAUUUUUGGAGAAGAAGGUCAAAGUUUUUGCAAUUUUCAUGGGAUUGUUGGGCACGACAUUCAGUCGUGCGAGGACUUUAAAAGGUUACUUCAAGACUGGAUGAAUAAUAAAGAGAUCAAGGUCCUUAACAAGAGUGAAGAUGCCAACGAAAGAGAAGUAUGUGUCUCUGAUAGCCAAUCACCAGGUCCCCCUUAUAGUGCUGAUCGACCGUUGGUAAUUUAUUACGACGCGAUGAGAGAGCCCUUGAAACCACAGAUGGUAAUUGAAGUACCAUCUCCUUUCCCGUAUAAGGACAACAAAACAGUACCGUGGAGAUAUGAUGUUAAUAUCGUUACACCGGAAGUUGAAAAGUCCAAAGCCAUAAUUGAAGAUGUUGGGGAGGUAGGUCAUUUUACUCGAAGUGGACGAUGUUAUUCUAAAGAAGUUGAAUCGGUAAAGAAAAGUAGCGACUCGAAGCAAAAAGGAAAAGCAGUGAUGCACAAGGUCGAAGUCGAGCAAGAAAUUCCACCCGUGCAAGAAACUAAAAAGCUUGUGAAUGAGGAAGAAGCUCAAGAAUUCUUGAAAUUUAUUAAGCACAGUGAAUAUAGUGUGGUGGAACAAUUGAGCAAGCAGCCAGCACGAAUCUCAGUUCUAUCUCUACUGUUAAAUUCAGAGCCACACCAGAACGCUUUAUUGAAGGUGUUAAAUCAAGCUUACGUGGCCAACAACAUAUCUGUCGAAAAGCUUGAUAGGUGGGUAAACAAUCUGAAUGCGGACAACUUCAUCUCUUUUAGUGAUGAUGAGAUACCGCUAAAUGGUAGAGGUUCGGUGAAAGCGCUGCAUAUCACGACCCGCUGCAAGGGCUACAUAAUACCGAACGUACUCAUCGAUAAUGGGUCAGCGUUAAAUGUUAUGCCAUUGGCUACACUUUCCAAAAUACCGAUGGAUUUGUCCUACUUAAAGCCCUGUCAUUCCAUGGUAAGGGCAUUCGACGGGACGAAGUGCAAAGUCAUGGGAAAGAUCGAAAUCCCUUUGGAAGUGGGCCCCUACAUCUAUGAGGUCGAAUUUCAAGUUAUGGACAUUACACCCUCUUAUAACUGCCUUUUGGGAAGACCUUGGAUUCAUUCUGCAGCAGCAGUCCCAUCAUCCCUCCAUCAAAAAGUGAAAUUCAUCAUGGAUGGCUGUUUGGUCACAGUCGAGGGCGAAGAAGACAUUAUCGCAUCUAUCUCUGUUGAUGCGCCAUACCUGGAAGUAAGCAAGGACGUAGUGGAAUGUUCCUUUCGAUCCCUUGAAUUCAUCAAUGCCACUUUCGUCGCUGAGGGAAAUAGAAUUUCGAUGUCAAAACUGUCGAGAAAUACCAGAAUGGGUGUCAAGUUGACCGUAGGAAGGGGAGCUUGUGCGAGAAGAGGUUUAGGGAGACAUAUGCAAGGAAUAGUGAGGGCUUUAAAGCCAGUGCACCACAAGGCCUGAUACGGUUUGGGGUUCCAGCCUGACAUGCGCCAAAGAAGAAGACAGUGGAAGAAGGAUCAAGAAAGAAGAAUUGCAAGAACUUUGGGCCGAGAACCAGAAUGGGAACCAAUAGAGUACCCUCCUUUGUCAAAAACAUUUACAUCUGCGGGAAUGAUGUACCCUGGACAAGAGGAUCCACGAAACAUGCUGGGAUUAAUUGAAAAGGAUUUUCAGAAUGUUAGUAUAAAUGUCAUUGACAAAGAAGCUGGUGCAAGUAAAGAUGUCUCGAGGAUACGCCAUUGCCCUCCUGGUUUCAUGUUGAACAAUUGGAUAGCUGAGGAGCUUCUUGUAGUUUAUAAGCCUUCAGAGUAAUGCUAAACAUCAACCUUCUAUUGUGUCCUUAGAUAUAAUAGAGUUCUUUUGUAAGAGUUUGCAUUCGCUCUUUAUCAUUUAAAUGAAUAUCAAUGAAGAUGCAUUUUGUCACGAUUUUUCGCAUUAUCACUAAUUUCAUAAUCAUUUUCUCAUUUCAUAGCCUAUCCUUACAUUUGCCUCAUUGCCAUGACAUAAAAUUUUGUUUGUUGUUUCCAAUACUUGGAUGUCCCCCGAUAGCUUCCUUUUCCAUUCAACUUUCAGGUGCUCAGAUAUUGACGACAUGAAUAAGCCCGUUACGAAUCUUGAAAUUGAUUUUGAGAAGGCUGUUUGCUUAGGAGAAUUUGAAGCCGAAGAAAAUGCUGAAGAUUAUGUCUCGUCUCUUGAAUUGUUAAGAAUGGUGGAACAAGAGGAUAAACAGGUUCUGCCUCAUGAAGAAUCUGUAGAAACAAUAAAUUUGGGCACUGAAGAGAGGAAACAAGAAGUGAAGAUUGGGACUUCUAUUUCAGAAAGUACCAGACGUAGUUUGAUCACUUUACUCCGCGAAUACAAAGAUGUUUUCGCGUGGUCAUACCAGGACAUGCCAGGGCUAGAUGAAGAUUUAGUGGUCCAUAAGCUCCCAUUAAAGCCAGAAUGCAAGCCCAUCCAGCAAAAAUUAAGACGGAUGAGGCCCGAAAUCCUGUUGAAAAUAAAAGAGGAAGUCAAGAAGCAAUUUGACGCUGGCUUCCUACAAGCCUCCAAAUAUCCAGAAUGGGUGGCUAACAUAGUCCCGGUACCAAAGAAAGAUGGAAAAGUACGAAUGUGCGUGGAUUACCGUGACCUGAAUCGAGCAAGCCCAAAAGAUAAUUUUCCCUUGCCACAUAUUGACACGUUGGUGGACAACACAGCAAAACAUUCAUUGUUUUCUUUCAUGGAUGGAUUCUCGGGGUAUAAUCAGAUCAAGAUGGCUCCUGAGGAUAUGGAGAAAACUACCUUCAUAACAAUGUGGGGAACGUUCUGCUACAAGGUGAUGCCAUUCGGGUUAAAGAAUGCUGGGGCAACAUAUCAGAGGGCUAUGGUGACAUUAUUCCAUGACAUGAUGCAUAAGGAAAUAGAGGUCUACGUCGAUGAUAUGAUUGCUAAAUCUCGAGGAGAAGAAGAGCAUGUAAUGAACCUCAAGAAGUUGUUCGAAAGGCUGAGAAAGUUUCAGCUAAAGCUUAAUCCAGCCAAAUGUACAUUCGGGGCUACCUCGGGAAAGUUGCUAGGCUUCAUUGUCAGUGAAAGAGGUAUCGAAGUUGAUCCAGAUAAAAUAAAAGGCAUCCAAGAAUUACCACAUCCGCCACGCAAAAGGAAGUUAGAGGAUUUUUAGGGAGAUUAAAUUACAUCGCCCGAUUUAUCGCUCAACUUACCAACCAAUGCGACCCAAUCUUUCGGCUUCUUCGAAAACAUAGCCCGGGAGAAUGGAACGAGGAAUGCCAAGUGACCUUUGAUAAGAUAAAACAAUAUUUGUCCAGUCCUCCAGUGCUAGUACCGCCAACUCCGGGAAGACCAUUAAUUUUGUAUCUGACAGUGUUCGAAAGUUCAAUGGGUUACGUACUGGGACAACAUGACGAGUCAGGAAAGAAAGAAAAGGCGAUCUACUACCUCAGCAAAAAGUUCACUGAAUAUGAGGCAAAAUAUUCGUCCGUUGAGAAAUAUUGUUGCGCUCUGGUUUGGGUAGCUCGGAGACUCAAACAAUAUAUGUUGUAUCACACGACAUGGCUAAUUUCAAAGCUGGACCCAAUAAAAUACAUGAUGGAAUCGCCGGCACUAUCAGGAAGAAUGGCACGAUGGUAGCUCCUCCUUUCGAAAUAUGACAUUGCCUAUGUAAGUCAGAAGUCAAUAAAAGGGAGCGCAAUAGCUGACUUCUUAACAACUCGAACGACAGAGGAAUAUGAGCCUUUAAGAUUCGAUUUCCCAGACGAAGACUUAAUGUGCAUCACAGAAAUAGAAUCCGAGUCAUCAAAAGAGAAGUCAUGGAAGAUGUUCUUUGAUGGUGCGUCAAAUGCUUUAGGGCAUGGAAUUGGAGCAAUCCUGGUAUCACCAGACGGGAAUCAUUAUCCGUUCACUGCAAGACUGAACUUCUUCUGUACCAAUAAUAUCGCAGAAUAUGAGGCCUGUAUCAUGGGGUUUCGUGCAGCUAUCGAACGAAACAUCGAGAUCUUAGAGGUGUACGGGGACUCAGCCCUAGUGAUUUACCAAAUCCGUGGAGAAUGGGAAGUGAGGGACUCAAAAUUGAUUAAGUACAGCGAUUUAGUGGCUGGAUUGAUCAAGGAAUUCAAAGAAAUAACUUUUCAUUACUUCCCACGAGAAGAGAACCAACUGGCUGAUGCCCUAGCCACUUUGGCUUCAAUGUUCAAAGCAAGUAGAGAAGCAGAAAUAAUGCCCCUCAAAAUGAGCAUAUACGAGGUCCCUGCACACUGUUGUAGCAUUAAGAAAGAAGUAGACGGACGGCCUUGGUUUCAUGAUAUCUUAGAAUAUAUCAAGAAUCAAAGGUAUCCCGAACAAGUAAAUGAGAACGAUAAAAGAACAAUUAGAAGAAUGGCAGCGGGAUUUGUUCUUGAUGGGGAUAUCCUGUAUAAAAGAGGAAAGGAUCAGAUGCUUUUGAGAUGUGUGGAUGAUGUUGAAGCCAGAAAAAUACUUGAAGAGGUCCAUGAGGGAGUUUGCGGAACGCAUGCCAAUGGUUUCAAUAUGGCCAGAAAGAUCAUGAGACUCGGUUAUUAUUGGCUGACAAUGGAAAGUGACUGCAUCAAUUUUGCCAGAAAAUGCCACAAAUGUCAAAUCUACGGCGAUAAAAUUCAUGUAGCCCCUUCACCCCUUCAUGUCAUGACUUCUCCGUGGCCUUUUUCUAUGUGGGGCAUGGAUGUCAUAGGGCCAAUUUCUCCAAAAGCUUCAAAUGGACAUCGAUUCAUUUUUGUGGUUAUCGAUUACUUCACAAAAUGGAUUGAAGCCGCUUCAUUUGCCAAUGUGACGAAGACUGCAGUGUGCAAGUUUUUGAAAAAGGAAAUCAUUUACCGAUAUGGUUUGCCUGAAAGAAUCAUCUCAGAUAAUGCCACGAAUCUGAACAAUAAGAUGAUGAAAGAAGUGUGUGAGCAGUUUCAAAUAAAGCAUCAUAAUUCCUCGCCCUAUCGCCCAAAGAUGAACGGGGCUGUUGAAGCAGCUAACAAGAACAUUAAGAGGAUCAUUGGGAAAAUGACUGAGACAUAUAAAGAUUGGCACGAGAAACUUCCAUUUGCUUUGUUUGCAUAUCGUACAUCUGUGCGAACAUCUACGGGAGCAACUCCUUUCUCUCUAGUCUAUGGAAUGGAAGCUGUGCUACCUAUCGAGGUUGAGAUCCCCUCUCUGUGAGUAUUGAUGGAAUCAAAGUUAGAAGAAGCAGAAUGGGUUCGAGCUCGAUAUGAUCAGUUGAACCUCAUUGAAGAAAAACGUCUAAGGGCAAUUUGUCAUGGGCAAAUGUACCAAAAGAGAAUGAUCGCAGCCCAUGACAAGAAGGUACGACAAAGAGAGUUCCAUGAAGGAGAACUCGUUCUGAGAAAGAUUCUCCCAAUACAAAAAGACCUGCGAGGAAAAUGGGCACCAAAUUGGGAAGGACCAUACGUUGUAAAAAAGGCAUUCUCGGGAGGAGCUUUAAUCCUUACCAAGAUGGAUGGGAAGGAGUUACCGAAUCUGGUGAAUUCGGAUGCGGUGAAGAAAUAUUAUGCUUAAGAUGAAAACCCGAAAAGGGCAUCUUAAAAAAAAAGGGUGAAAACCCGAAAAAGGUGUCUUGAUUAGUACAAAAAGAUUAGGAUGAAAACCCGAGAGGGCGUCCUAAUGAAACAAACCUGGCGGUCAAACGAUAGGUCAAGUAGUGAGACUACAGUAUUUGAAGCACUUCUGAAAGCUCGAAAUUUUCUACGCAAGAAGCCAUGCUCGAAAAGAUAAUUGAUUGAGGAACGUAGAAGAGUUCAUGUGUUGAAUAUCUAGAGCAUUAGUAUCCGUUGAAUACGACCUUUUCUUUCUUUUUGACAUUUUUACUCUCAUUGGUUAACUUUCUUUGUUUGCCACACUUGAAAUAAAGGAAUAUGAGAUAUCCUUUGUGUCCCUACCUGACCAUUUUCAUGCAUCUCAUUAUGUGUUUAUUUAAUGAUAAAUAGUGAAAUGACAUACUCUAAACAAAAGAAAUGUCAAGCAUUACCCGGAUAAGAAUUUGAUAAGUGCAAGAUCUUCAAAGCAAGAACAAAGUUUAACCAAGGGCAAAAGGGUGAUAUCUGAGAAACGUCGAUUACUCGUAAAGCUCGAAGACAGGUAUGAGGCCUGAAGAGAAGGUCGAGAAUCAAAGCAAUGAACGCAGAUCCUCAAAAAUCAUGGCAAAAAUGACAUACGACCAAUAUGCUUAAGGAGCACUGCAUAAUCAUGUAGGCAUAAAGGCAUUUAAGACAAACAUGUGCAUAUCAUGAUGACUUCAUGCAUGGCAUAUACAGGUAAUCCAGUAAAGCAAGAAAUCUUGAAUCGCACAGAAUCAAAGGAAAAGAUACCCGAGUUCUACCAAAGGACUGGUUUUGGUAUUUUGAUGUUUAAUAUUCAUGCUUUCCAAGGAAAAUCAACUCAUAUUGCGAGAAAUGAGUUGAGCCUCAAGACACGUUGAGCUAUUUUUAAUUUUUUUAAAAAUCAACUCAUAUUGCGAGAAGUGAGUUGAGCCUCGGGGCACGCCGAGGUAUUUUUAGUUUAUGUUUUAAAUUGACUCAUAUUGCGAGAGGUGAGUUAAGCCUUUUAAUUUUUGUUUCUCAAAAUUCAACUCAUAUUGCGAGAAAUGAGUUGAGCCUCAAGACACGUUGAGGUAAUUUCAAUUUUUGUUUUCAAAAUUCAACUCAUAUUGCGAGAAAUGAGUUGAGCCUCAAGACACGUUGAGGUAAUUUCAAUUUUUGUUUUCAAAAUUCAACUCAUAUUGCGAGAAAUGAGUUGAGCCUCAAGACACAUUGAGGUAUUUUCAAUUUUUGCUUUUCAAAAUUCAACUCAUAUUGCGAGAAAUGAGUUGAGCCUUAAGACACGUUGAGGUAAUUUCAAUUUUUGUUUUCAAAAUUCAACUCAUAUUGCGAGAAAUGAGUUGAGCCUCAAGACACGUUGAGGUAAUUUCAAUUUUUGUUUUCAAAAUUCAACUCAUAUUCCGAGAAAUGAGUUGAGCCUCAAGACACGUUGAGGUAAUUUCAAUUUUUGUUUUCAAAAUUCAACUCAUAUUGCGAGAAAUGAGUUGAGCCUCAAGACACAUUGAGGUAUUUUCAAUUUUUGCUUUUCAAAAUUCAACUCAUAUUGCGAGAAAUGAGUUGAGCCUCAAGACACGUUAAGGUAAUUUCAAUUUCUGUUUUUAAAAUUCAACUCAUAUUGCGAGAAAUGAGUUGAGCCUCAAGACACGUUGAGGUAAUUUUCAAUUUCUGCUUCUCAAAAUUCAACUCAUAUUGCGAGAAAUGAGUUGAGCCUCAAGACACGUUGAGGUAAUUUCAAUUUUUGUUUUCAAAAUUCAACUCAUAUUGCGAGAAAUGAGUUGAGCCUCAAGACACGUUGAGGUAAUUUCAAUUUUUGUUUUCAAAAUUCAACUCAUAUUGCGAGAAAUGAGUUGAGCCUCAAGACACGUUGAGGUAAUUUCAAUUUUUGUUUUCAAAAUUCAACUCAUAUUGCGAGAAAUGAGUUGAGCCUCAAGACACAUUGAGGUAUUUCCAAUUUUUGCUUUUCAAAAUUCAACUCAUAUUGCGAGAAAUGAGUUGAGCCUCAAGACACGUUGAGGUAAUUUCAAUUUCUGUUUUCAAAAUUCAACUCAUAUUGCGAGAAAUGAGUUGAGCCUCAAGACACGUUGAGGUAUUUUCAAUUUCUGCUUCUCAAAAUUCAAUUCAUAUUGCGAGAAAUGAGUUGAGCUUCAAGACACGCUGAGGUAAUUUCAAUUUCUGUUGUUAAAAAAAAAUCAACUCAUAUUGCGAGAAAUUAGUUGAGCCUCAGGACAUGCUGAGGUAAUUUCAAUUUCUGUUUUCAAAAUUCAACUCAUAUUGCGAGAAAUGAGUUGAGCCUCAAGACACGUUGAGGUAUUUUCAAUUUCUGCUUUUCAAAAUUCAACUCAUAUUGUGAGAAAUGAGUUGAGCCUCAAGACACGUUGAGGUAUUUUCAAUUUCUGUUUUUCAAAAAUCAACUCAUAUUGCGAGAGGUGAGUUGAGACUUUUAAUUUCUAUUUUUCUAAAACCAACUCAUAUUGCGAGAGGUGAGUUGAGCCUUUUUCUGUUUUUCAAAAAUCAACUCAUAUUGCGAGAGGUGAGUUGAGCCUUUUAAUUUCUGAUUUUCAAAAAUCAACUCAUAUUGCGAGAGGUGAGUUGAGCCUUUUAAUUUCUGUUUUUCAAAAAUUAACUCAUAUUGCGAGAGGUGAGUUGAGCCUUUUAAUUUCUAUUUUUCAAAAACCAACUCAUAUUGCGAGAGGUGAGUUGAGCCUUUUUCUAUUUUUCAAAAAUCAACUCAUAUUGCGAGAGGUAAGUUGUGCCUUUUGCAAAUUCUGUUUUCAAAAAUCAACUCAUAUUGCGAGAAGUGAGUUGAGCCUUGGCUCACGUGCUGAGCUAUUUUCAAUUUCUAUUUUUAAUGUCUAGUUUUAANNNNNNNNNNNNNNNNNNNNNNNNNNNNNNNNNNNNNNNNNNNNNNNNNNNNNNNNNNNNNNNNNNNNNNNNNNNNNNNNNNNNNNNNNNNNNNNNNNNNNNNNNNNNNNNNNNNNNNNNNNNNNNNNNNNNNNNNNNNNNNNNNNNNNNNNNNNNNNNNNNNNNNNNNNNNNNNNNNNNNNNNNNNNNNNNNNNNNNNNNNNNNNNNNNNNNNNNNNNNNNNNNNNNNNNNNNNNNNNNNNNNNNNNNNNNNNNNNNNNNNNNNNNNNNNNNNNNNNNNNNNNNNNNNNNNNNNNNNNNNNNNNNNNNNNNNNNNNNNNNNNNNNNNNNNNNNNNNNNNNNNNNNNNNNNNNNNNNNNNNNNNNNNNNNNNNNNNNNNNNNNNNNNNNNNNNNNNNNNNNNNNNNNNNNNNNNNNNNNNNNNNNNNNNNNNNNNNNNNNNNNNNNNNNNNNNNNNNNNNNNNNNNNNNNNNNNNNNNNNNNNNNNNNNNNNNNNNNNNNUAGAUAAUGUGAAUGUAUUUAGAGGUGCUUAUAUAGUAUUCAAAACUAUCAUAUAAAUUCAAUUUUCAACCAUAUAUAAUUGACAUUAUGGGAGUUGGAAAAUGAUAGGGGGCACUAUAGCAAAUGUUAUAGUUGUAUAAAAUUAGGACUUUGUGAUGGAAUAGUUUAGGGCAUAUUGUUUGAAUAUUCCAUAAACAUUAAAAAAAAAACCAAAUUUGUAAUGGAAUAUAAGAUUGGGUUUUCUUUUAUUAUCAAUUUAAAGCCAUGAGAAUCUUUAUUAUUUAAAAAUUAAUGUAAUUGUUAAAUUGAAAUUGCAGGGGAAUUUCAAAUAGGAGAAAAUAUAAAAGAAAUGGAUCCAAAAACAGUGGGAAGUAGUGUUGUAAAAUAUGGGAGGUGGAGAUUUGGAAUGACAAAGAAAGCAAUGGGGCAUUCAUUAGUUUAUAGCCAACUUUAUCCAUUUAAAGGCCUCCAAAAUUAUACCUCUGGAAUUAUUCACCAUGUUCGCCUCACUGGUAUUUCUCACCAUUUCUUCCCUUAUUUAUCUUCUGCAAAUUUGUUUUCUUACCAUUUCUUUCGCAUUAAUACUAACUUUUUUAAUUUACAAUAUGGUAGCCAAUACUGUUUCGGUAUUAGUAAUAUUAGUCGAUACAUAUCACUUUUAAGGGUGAGUUUAAAGGGAUAGGAACAAUUCCGUGUGUUGACUUAAUAGUCAGGGUGUUCACCGUUCUAGGUAUGGUUUGAGUUCAAGUUAAGUUGUGCUAGUCACGUUACUGUUAGGGUUUUGCCCUUCUCUUGUAAUUCAGCAAAAAGAAAUUAAUAUAUGGUGAAAUUGCACUUUAACUCCUCCAAAAAUGAAAAUAUUUAUAUUUAAUUCCUUCAACAAUAAUGAAAUCGUAAGUUAAUGCAAGAUAAAUGACACUUUAACUUAACAAUCUCCGCUCCCCUUAAAAAAAAAAUCCUAACUUCACCCUUAAUCAUCUUGAUUUUAGAUUGGUACCAAGUAGAUUAAAUUUUGUUCUUAUUAAAACAUUGGUGUGUUUCCUUCUGUUUCAGCUAAUACCAACUUAUACCGAUAUGUACCAAACAAUAUUGGUAGGACUGAGAAAGAAAUCAAAAAAUUGAACUAAUUUUUAUUUAUAAUUUUAUUUAUAAUUUAAAAAUAAAAAUAUAUUUAAACAGUGACAAUAACUCAAAUUUUAUAUAAAAACUAUUUAAAAAUAUUAUCAUAUAAGAGUUAUUAAUUUAUUUGAAAAUUAGUUUCUUUUAAAAAUAUUUAUGAAUAUUUUUAAAAAUUUUACAAAAUAAUAUCCAAAAUUCAUAGAAUAAUUUAUCAAGAUAAGUUCAAACACCCAAAAUUAAUAGAUCUUGAACCAAAUAAAUCCAACUAAAAUAAACCCAAAAUUAAUAGACCGAGAAUCAAAUUAUCAUAGAAGAUAUACCAUACACACUAAUACCCAUAAUUACCCAAUAAUUCUUCUCACACUUUGCAGGUUUAAAACCCAACACCUUCUAUUACUAUCAAUGUGGAGACCCUUCAAUCCCAGCAAUGAGCGAUGUUCAUUAUUCACCAUGUUCGCCUCACUGGUAUUUCUCACCAUUUCUUCUCUUAUUUAUCUUCUGCUAAUUUGUUUUCUUACCAUUUCUUUCGCAUUAAUACUAACUUUUUUAAUUUACAAUAUGCUAGUCAAUACUGUUUCGGUAUUAGUAAUAUUAGUCGAUACAUAUCACUUUUAAGGGUGAAUUUAAAGGGAUAGGAAUAAUUUCGUGCGUUGGCUUGAUAGUUAGGGUGUUCACCGUCCUAGGUGUGGUUUGAGUUCAAGUUGUGCUAUUGUAAUUCACCAAAAAGAAGUUAAUAUAUAGUGAAAUUGCACUUUAACUCCUCCAAAAAUGAAAAUAUGUAUAUUUAGUUUUCUUCAACAAUAAUGAAAUCGUAAGUUAAUGCAAGAUAAAGGACACUUUAACUUAACAAGCUACGCUCCCCUUAAAAAAAAUCCUAACUUCACCCUUAACCAUCUUGAUUUUAGAUUGGUACCAAGUAGAUUAAGUUUUGUUCUUAUUAAAACAUCAGUGUGUUUCCUUCUGUUUCAACUAAUACCAAUUUAUACUGAUAUGUACCGAAUAAUAUUGGUAGGACUGAGAAAGAAAUCAAGAAAUUGAACUAAUUUUUAUUUAUAAUUUUAUUUGUAAUUUAAAAAUAAAAAUAUAUUUAAAUAGUGACAAUAACUCAAAUUUUAUAUAAAAAUUAUUUCAAAAUAUUAUCAUAUAAGAGUUAUUAAUUUAUUUGAAAAUUAGUUUCUUUUAAAAAUAUUUAUGAAUAUUUUUAAAAACUUUACAAAAUAAUAUCCAAAAUUCGUAAAAUAAUUUAUCAAGAUAAGUUCAAAAACCCAAAAUUAAUAGAUCUUGAACCAAAUAAAUCCAACUAAAAUAAACCCAAAAUUAAUAGACCGAGAAUCAAAUUAUCAUAGAAGAUAUUUACCAAACACACUAAUACCCAUAAUUACCCAAUAAUUCUUCUCACACUUUGCAGGUUUAAAACCCAACACCUUCUAUUACUAUCAAUGUGGAGACCCUUCAAUCCCAGCAAUGAGCGAUGUUCAUUAUUUCCGAACAAUGCCGGCCUCCGGUCCAAGGAGUUAUCCGGGAAGAAUUGCAAUCAUCGGAGACUUGGGGCUCACGUAUAACACAACUUCAACAAUUGAUCACCUUAUGAGCAAUCACCCGAACCUGGUGCUGUUAAUCGGCGAUGCAAGCUAUGCCAACUUGUAUCUCACCAAUGGCACCGGUGCCGAUUGCUACUCUUGCGCUUUCUCCGACACUCCUAUUCACGAAACGUAUCAGCCUCGUUGGGAUUAUUGGGGAAGGUAAAUUUUAACGAUGUUUCAUGGAUUUAAAUAGCGGUCACAACAUGACAUUACGAUAGUAUUUGUUAUAAAUGUGCAGGUUUAUGCAGCCUUUGGUGUCCAAGGUUCCCUUGAUGAUGAUAGAAGGGAACCAUGAAAAAGAAGAACAGAUUGAGAAGAAGACAUUUGCGGCUUAUAGUGCUCGAUUUGCAUUUCCAUCGGAGGAGAGCGGAUCAUCGUCGACAUUCUAUUAUUCUUUUAAUGCAGGUGGCAUUCAUUUCGUGAUGCUCGGUGGUUACACCGACUAUAACAAAUCAGGGGAUCAAUACCAGUGGUUGAAGAAGGACCUUGCAAAAGUUGAUAGAAAAGUGACUCCAUGGUUGGUUGCAACAUGGCAUCCUCCAUGGUACAGUACAUAUACUGCACAUUAUAGAGAAGCUGAAUGUAUGAGGGUAGAAAUGGAAGAUUUAUUAUACAAAUACGGAGUUGAUAUAGUCUUCAAUGGACAUGUAAGUCGUGCUUUAUAAUGAAUUAAUUCAAUUACAUUCACUCGAAGAGCUGAUGGUCGUGUUCAUUUGGUGAUAAUCAAUAGGUUCAUGCCUACGAGAGGUCGAACCGAGUGUAUAACUACAACUUGGAUCCUUGCGGUCCUGUUCAUAUUACGAUUGGUGAUGGUGGCAACCGAGAGAAAAUGGCAAUUACACAUGCUGAUGAACCCGGAAAUUGCCCCAAACCAUCGACAACUCUGGAUAAAUUUAUGGGUGGGUUCUGUGCAUUUAACUUCACAUCAGGGCCGGCAAGUGGUAAAUUCUGCUGGGAUAGGCAGCCUGAUUAUAGUGCAUAUAGAGAAAGCAGCUUUGGACAUGGAAUCCUUGAGGUAUAUUAUGCAGAUAUUUCAUUAAGAUUAAUUUCUAUGGACCGUAAAAAGGACACAAAGGGUACUUUAAUUAUACAAAAAAAACAUUAACAGCAAGUGUUUUGCAGGUGAAAAAUGAGACUCAUGCACUGUGGACAUGGUACGGUAAUCAAGAUGCUUAUGGGACUACUGGUGAUGUGGUUUAUAUAGUUAGGCAACCUGAUAGAUGCCCUGUUGAACCCGACGUAAUUAAUUAAGAGUAAACUCCAAAGCUUAAUUAAGUUGAUUCAUCUGCAGUCACCAUUAAAAAGUGAUGCCAAGAAAGUUUAGGUUUGAAUCUCGGCAUCUGUCCUCAGACUAUGAUUUCUUUUGUACCAGUAAAUAUCUUUCAAAGCUAUAAAUACAUAUUAAACAUCAAAAUCAGACAGCUGAUAAAUCACAAAGGGAUUAUGUACGUAUGUAUGCAUGCAUGUAUGUUGGCUUCUAAAGAUUGAAAAGUAAAUAAUUAAGGAUUCAAAAGGAACAUUAUUGUGAUAUGAUUUGCAGGUUCGUAAUUUUAAUUAAAUGAAAUAAGUUUGAUGUAACUAUGCAAGUAGUACUUAGAAUCCUAAAAGUUUGAAAUAAAUAUUUGUAACUUUGUUGAAUGUUUUCAUGAGAGUUCCUUUCUCAUGGAGGUCAAUUUCUUUGUUAUAAGAUACGGUCCCAUGGUUUGACAUACUAAGAUUAAAUAGGCUCUUAUGUAGGCUAACACGUAUCCUACUUUAGGGUCAACACGUGUCUCUUGAGUAUGGGUUUGCCUGCAUGGUGGUGUGAACCCAUUAGGUGCGGACUUAUACAGACGAACUAUAUGGUUUGGUUAACUAUAUCCGAAAUAAAAGGGGUCAGAUCGGUCUUAAUCAGAAAACAAAUAAUUUAUGGCGGACACUACAACAAACUUAAUAAUCACAUUUGUUAAUAACAAAUAAUUAAUUUGUUUUGAUAACGUAAUUACAAGACAUAAUUUGAAAAUAAUAUAUGCUUGCUUAGAUACCAUUAUUCUCAGUACUCCAAGUAACAUAAAUAUUGAAAUGAAUUUGUGAGAGAGCUAAGAUGGUUGUAUUCUAAUAGAGAGAUUUCUAUUGCUGGUAAAGAAGACUUUAGCUCCACUAUCGUGCGGCCGUGACAUUAGCUUAAGCUCCUCAUUAAGCUAAUUAAAUGUGAUCUCUAGAUUAACCAACAAUGUCUUCAUAAAGUAGACAACUAAAUGAUCGAUACCACCAGCAUCCUUCCAUAAAUAGCUGCGAAAUAGGGCUUCAACUUCUAACAAAAACGCCUCUUCCUAUCAUUGGGGUCAUGCAUCAAGGUUUAAAAAGUUCCAUAUUGGAUGCAAAAUAAAUGAUAGAACAAGUAAGAGCAGGAUAGACAUUGAGCUUGUGUUGAGUGUACUAUCAAAUGAAGCUCUAGAGAGAAAUGGAGGGCUGAAUCCAGGGUAAUUGAGCCCCGGACCGCCACCUCCGCCAUUGAUCGGUGUGGUUGUCGUAGUUGGCACAUUCGGAUUGUUCCACGACCCUGUUUUUGGCAUAGCUGUCCCUCCGGAUGUGCUGGAAAUUUCAUAACUUAAGCUUUUAAAAUCAAUAAAAUAACAGUGACAAAAACUACAAAUAAUGAUGGAAUCCAAUUUGGUUGGUAAUUUUCAAAAAAUAGGCGAAAGGAGCUAUUAUUAGCUUUUGCUGGAACCCAAUAGAGGUGCUCAUGGGCCGGGCCGGGCCGGGCCCAGAAAAAAUUUCGGCCAGUGUCCUAGACCCUGGCCUGGCCGAGGCUGAAAUAUGAGCCUAAAAUUUUAUCUAGGCCAGGCCUGAAAAAAAAUUCAUAAGCCCGAGCCCAGCCCGGCCCAUUUUUUAAAUAAACACCAAAAAAAAUUUAAAAAUAAAAAAAUUUAUUUUAAAAAUAUUUUAAAAAAUAAAAAUAAAAAAUAUUUUAAAAAUAAAAAAAUAAAUAGAUUUAUUAUAUUUGGGUCGGGUCGGGCCGGGCCAAAAAAUGUUAUGUGAGGCCCGGUCCAUUUUUUAAAUGGGCCUUUUUUUUUGUCUAAUGUCAUAUUUCGGGCCUAUUUUUUACUUAAACCCUCCCAUAUUUUGGGCAGGCCAUUGGGCCGAGCCGGGCCGCCCGGCCCAUGAAGACCUCUAGAACCCAGCAAUGCGCCCAUGGAUAGAGAUGACAACAAGGUGAGACGGGACGAGUUUUUGCUCGCCUCAAUUUCGACUCGAUUUUUAUAUCCUCUACUUCGAUUUAUUCUGAGCUCGAUUUUAUUUAAAAAUGUAAAAAUAAUUAUAAAAUUAAAAAAAAAGUGUUUUAGUAAGUAAAUCAAGGCAGACAAAUCGAAUUUUCAUCUAAAUCUAAACUCGAAUUGAUCUUGAACUACCCAUGUAUGACUCCAGUAUCCAAAUAUCUAGAGUGUUUUUUGACCGUUGGAUGUCUUUCAAGAAAAGAGUACCCAUCCAACGGUUGAAAAAGUCUCACCUAAACAAGACGGUAGGAAAACAUUACAAGUAAAGAAGUGGCCAACAGACAUAAAUAAGCCUGGAAACGUAAAAGGUGUAAACCUUCACAAAGUGACGACUGCAUGUAGGAUACGAAAAUGGACGGUUAGAGAUCAUGCCGAGAAACACGUGUCAGACAUCUACUCAAUUACAGCAUCACCAUGAAAGGCUCACACCCACUUGAGAAUCAAAGGAUUAUGCAAAGUUGAUUCAUGUUAGUUAAUUAGGAUUUAAACAAUAUCUUAUUUUGCGCCUUUUUGUUUUUCUGUCUUUGAUCCUCUUACAAGCCACAAGGGUUUCAAUAAUAAAUUACACCCAACUUCAAAAAGUUAUUAAAUGAGCAAUAAAUUAUUCAAAUUUUUUUAUUUAAGUCACUAAACUAUUUAAAAGUUUUUAUUUAAUUUACUGGGCUGUUAAAUUUUUUUUUUAAAAAGGAGGUUCAGCUAGUGAACUCCAAGCAACAAUUUAACAAUCGGUAUGGUGGAUAAAUACCCGCUGACGAGUAGAUCCAAGUUGAUCUAACGGUUAGUGUCGGAGAUCGGAGAAUGAAGAGAAAAACUGUUUGGAUUUUAGUUUAUAGAUUUGUGACGUUAAAAGUUAUUUCAUAAAAAAAAAUUAAACUGUAAAAGAGAAGGGAAAUUAAAGCUUUUGAGUGUUGCAAGCAAUGCAGACAAAGAAAGCCGUACAACAGUAAUUUUAACAACCCGAUGACUUAAAUGAAAAUUUUCGAGUAGUUCAAUGAAAGAAAAUACAAAAAAUUCUCUCUGCUGCGUUGUUUUCGUCUUCUUUGCAGGUAAGGAGGCUAGCUGGCGUAAGGAGGUGGUGGAUGUGGCACAGCACACGCGGGGAAGGCCUUGGUGGCUGCGGCGCCGGAAGGAGGGCUGUUGCAGCUAGGGUUUUCUGAUUUUUUUUUUGUUUUGGGCUAGGGUUGUGUUGAUAGUUGUAUUGGGCUAGGUUUUUGGGCUGGGUGUAGUUGGACUAGAUGCAUCUGACUUUGGGUUUGUACCGGGUCACUGUAAAUGGGUUUGGUUUUUAUUGUUAUUGGGCUGUGAACUAUUUGAGUUUUAAUUAAUUUUUAUUUAUUUGGUUUUUUAUUGUGGGCUGGGCAAAUUGGGUAUUACAAUCAGCUAAUUAGGAAAGACUGUGAUGAUAGUCACACCUUACAUCCAAAAGCAAAGCUUUUUACAUGUGUAUGUGAGGUUGCUAAGCAAAUCUGAUGAGCCUUCACUGAUGUUUUAAGGUUAAGUUAAUGUUCCUUUUCGGCAAAGAACAUUAUCGAGAUCACGGUAUUUUGAUCGCCUUUUGCUUGUUAUGUUAUUUGUUCUGAAACGAUUGCAUAAUCUUUACUGUGAUUGCAGGAUAUAGAGCAACUUCUGAAUUUCAUUGGUGUAAAGAGUUGAGGACCACGACAUGUUCUUGCAAAUUUGAAGGAGCUUCUAAGGUCUGUCCGGUCUUCAGAAUAUAUAGAUACCUGAAUUAAUUUUGAUUUUGUAGGAUCAACUAUAAUUAGCUACUUAUUACACUAUGAAUAGACAACCUCACCUUCUUCACACACUACACGUGCGGAUUUUUUACCAAUCCCAUUUCAAAGGAUCACACUUUUUUGUUGUUUACAGAAUCAUAAUUAAUGUUAAUUAAAGUGGAAUAUUUCAGAUUUCUGAUGAUGAGCAUAUUCUUGAGUAUUGCAGUAAAAAAAUGGGUGUGGAACUUAUUUGAACUUUGAAUGUAUGUUCUGUUGGUGAGAAUAUAAAGUUGAUAAAGAUUUGGUAAAUAGAAUAAAAUAUUAUUUUUAUUAGAAAAAUUAUUUGGUAGACUGCCAAUCGAGUUAUAAUUAUCAUGACGUAAAACAUGUCAUAUUACAAAUAAUAAAAUUAUAAUGACUCAAAUAUACGAACAUGUCAAAAUUUACGUAAAACGAAUUAUUAACAUGUCAAUGUAUAAUACGGUACGCAAAAAUAGGAUAAUUGCUUGUUUUUUAAAUUGAAUUGUUAUAACAUAUUAUACAAAAUACAUUGUGAAUUAAAGCAUAAUAUGAACAUGAUAUCAAAAUAUUAAAUAUUUUUUAAAAUUUGAUGAUACGAAUAAUUAUGUAAAAUAUAACAUGAUACAAAAUAACUUGAGAGGAAAAGAGGAAUAAAGAAUUGCAUUGUUUGUGAGGUUUUAAAAUAUUCCAGUUUUAGAUUCAAUUUUCUAGUAUGUUUGGUUUAAUUUUACAUUAGAUUUCCUUUUUAGUAUGCACUAGUGAACGCUUGGCAGUUAAUUUAAUUUAAUUUAAUUUAAAGAGAUAUUGCAUAUACAUAAUAAUGGAUUAUGAUUUUACAUUAAACUUCAUAGAAGAAAAAAGAAAUAGACGGUUGAAAAUGAUAAAACCAUAAGAUAAAAGAGCUUUUAUUUAAAAUGCAAAAAUCAACAAAAUAUGCAUUAUCGCUCAACUUAGCAUAAUUAAACAUUUAGGUGUGGAAAUCAAAUCACAAUUUGAGUAGCUAAACAUAUCGCUUGAAAAUGUGAUAAGUAAGAAAAUUGCCCACAUUUGAGUAGCGACAGGUGGUAAUGCAUUUCCCAACAAGAGAAAACCAAGCUCUUCGCCAGUAUGGAUUUAUGUAGAGGACAACAAAAAUUGUUAACAACACAACUACAUAAGAAACCAAAAAGCUCACACAAAAAUCAUAACUAUCUAUCAAACCAUCUUCUCCUUUAUCUUCUGAUACAGUUGAUAUUGUUGAUGGUGAAUCGGUUUUGGAACAACUUUUAUGCAGUAUAGGUCCACAAAGAAAAGGGUUUCCUUCAUAACUGUUUUCAAUAAAGGUCUCAAAUUGAGCUUUUGGUUCGGGAAUACUACCUGACAAGUUGUUAAAUGCCACGCUGAAAACCUCCAAAGAGUUUAACUCUACCAAUUGAUUGGGGAUUUCACCACUUAAGUUGUUGUAAGAAAGGUCCAAACUCUCAAUUUGAUGUAGUUUUGAGAGUGACGAGGGUAUAACUCCGGUCAACUUAUUGUGUGAAAGGUUUAAAGAAUGGAUUUCACUCAAGUUCCCUAAUUCUGGUGGGAUAUGACCAGUUAAGUUGUUGCAAGAUAAAUCAAUCCCAGUCAUAUAUGAAAGGAUGUCGCCCUUGUAUGAAUAGAACCCACUCUUUGUUGUGAACUCUAUUACUUCUUCUAAGUAGCUACUAGGAUAGUAAGAAUCCAUUCCCAAAUUUAGUAUCAUACUGCGUGUUGUUUCAUCCUCUUCUAUAGAUGGCCCAUAGAACCAAGUUUCUAGAAUCUUCUUCGUUUGCAUUGGAAGAGAUAAAUUUCCCAAACAAGAAGGUAUAGGACCAGAAAACAUAUUUUGAGAAAGAUCUAUGAUGCUUAAAGAAUGCAACUUGCAUAACUCAAUAGGAACUUUACCAUGAAAAUGAUUAUCUUUCAAGAGAAGAACACUCAAAGAAGAAAGCGUGUAAAUCCAUUUUGGAAUACUACCUGUCAAAUUGUUUCCUCUAAGAUCUAAAGUCACUAUUGAAGAGCUAUUAUAAAAAGCAAGUGAUAGUGGGCCUCUCAGUCUAUUCCCGUGGAGGUGGACAUGCUCUAUGUAUGGUGGAUUAAAACAUGACGGUAUAGAGCCAGAUAAAUUAUUUUGAGAAAGAUCCAAAAAUUCCAACCUAUUCAACUUGCAAAAUUCCAUUGGAAUGGAACCUUCAAAACCAUUGUUGGACAUAGCUAAUCUCUGCAAAAACGAUGCAUUCCCUAUCCAUCUUGGGAGCUUUCCAUGCAACUUGUUGUUACUGAGAUCAAUUUCGCUUAGUGAAUUUGGAAACUCAAAAGUAGACACAUCAACAUUUGUCAUCUCUCCUGAAAAAUUAUUUCCAUCCAAAUAUAAAUGCUGCACCCCAUUUGCGCUGAGAAUCACAGGAACUACAUUUCCACUGAGGUUGUUAUUUGAUAGUCUCAAAAUGGUCAGUGAGCCUUUCGUGAUCAACUCUUCUGGUACUUUUCCAUACAAAUGAUUGUCUAAUAGAUCUAAAAAUGAUAAGUCCUUCAUGCCACUUAAACAAAGUGGGAUAUUAUCUUCAAAAGCAUUCUUGGAUAAGAAUAACCGACUCAAAUGUGGAAAAGUUGAACAUAUACCAGUUGGAAUUUGACCUUGUAAUUUGUUUUCAGAUAUGUCAAUUGAAGAUACAUCAGAAAUAAGAGCCGACGAAAGUGAGAGAGGACCUGUAAAUGAAUUACCCUUCAAGAUGAGAUCUUCUAACUUUGUGUUGUUUUCUAGCAACCAAGUUGGUACAGUUCCACUGAGAUUGUUAUGAGAAAGAUCCACAUAUCUCAAGUCAUAUUGGUAGUAAAGGAAGGUAGGAAAUUUACGAUUGAGUUGUUGAGAUGCUAUGCACUUUGGCAAUCUGAUGACUUCCAAUUGGAACUUUGGGAUUGAGGUAUAAAAGGAAGAUUCCAUUACCAUCUUGUUUUCAUUAAUCGAAAGGGCUUUGAGGUUUGAAAGGUUUGCAAAUGGUGCAAAUGACAGCGGAAUUUGAAAAUGGUUUCUUGAAACAUCUAACACACGAAGAGAUGUCAAGUUACUAAAACAACGAGGAAGCAUCCCCUCAAGUGCAUUGUUGCUCACAUCCAAUACUUCAAGGUUCUUUAGAUCACACCAUCCUGAAAAAUUUAUAAAUUCAUGGAAGAAAUUUUAAUUAAAUUUGGUCCUAUUAAAUAGAAUAGGAGAUAUUAUAUUACAAAAGCUAGUAAAGAAAUCAAUUUGAGCCAUAAAAUUAUUUACCUUGAUUAGGUAAGGGACCAAUAAGUCCACAAUGAUAUAAAGACAAUGUUUUAAGAGAAGCGAAUACUCCAAUGCUUUGCAAAAUGUUGGUGUUGAGAGUAGAAUAGUCAAGAUAUAUUUCCUCCAAACUGCUCGACACAUUUGAAUCUAAGCAAUGUCAAGAGGUAUUAGAUAACGGUAUUAUAGAAAGCCUCUACUAAGUAGAAUGCUUUAUUUUCUGUGAAUGAAAUGAAGUAUAUAAAUAUAUAUAUAUAUUUUUUAUGAGUUAGAUUAUUCAUGAUUUAUCUGAGAUAAAUUUUGAUAGAGAGAAGAUGUUGAAACUUUAAUAUAACUCUUCAUCCAUUUUAUUAAUUAUACUAUUUUUUUUCUUUUUAGUAUUUUCUUAUAUUAUUUUUUAAUAUAAGUAAUUAACUGAUAUAGCUAAGUUGUAUAAUUUUCAAACUCCAAUCAACAACACUAUAAAUAAUAUUUAUAAAAUAAAACAUGUCUACACUAAAUGUAUGUUUAAAUUUCAUAAAAUUGAAGAUAUUUUUAAAUUAUUCAAAAUUCACAUGUCUACACUAUAAAUAAUAUUUAUAAAAUAAAACAUGUCUACACUAAAAUUAUUAUAUUACCUUUAAAGAUGCCAAUAGUAUAUAAAAAAAUCAAAUAGGUAUUUUACUCAACAAUAAAUAAAACUCAAAAGAAUUAUAAGUAAACUCAGCGGAUUAAAUGAAAAUUUUAAAGCAUUAAAUCUUGGCCCAAAAAUAGAGUUAAGUUAAAAUUCAAAAUUCAAAAUUAUUUUAUUAAUAUUGUUAAAAUUAUUUUAUUAAAUCCAUGUUCAUUACGUCAUUUUUUUAGUUACAUUACUACUAAGUUUUUUUUUUAUUUCAAAAUGUCACACCAACAAGCUAUUUUAAAAUUUUAACAAUUUUAACAAUUUAACUAGGAUUUUGAUUUUUUUUUAUAAAAAAAACAGGGAUUAAAUUCUUGAAAAUAAAAGUAUAAGAAUUAAAUUACAAAUUAGUAAAGAGUACAUAGACCUAUCAUAUUUUUUAAAACCAAAAAGUUAAAAACAUAUGCACUUUGAAAUUUAUAAAAAGAUUGCAAUGGAAGUUUAAGCACCUCUCAAUGUAUGUUUAAAUUUCACAAAAUUAAAGUUUUUUUUUAAAUUAUUCAAAAUUGACAUUUAUUUAUUUUUGCCAAAAAAUGCCAUUUAUUUAACGCUAAUAUGUAUUUUUAUGUUUUAUACUAUUAAAAAUAUAUGAAAUUAAAAUAUAGUUAUAUUACAUAUUUUCUCAUAAAUAUAUGUUUUUAUUUAUUUAUAAUAUCAUUUUUUAUUGUUAUAAUUAUUUUUUAUCUCAUAAAAAUUCAAUAAAUUAUUUUAAAAAAUAUAUUUAUACAAACAAAAUAAUUAUAAACAUUAAUAUUUUAAAAUGAUGAAAAUUUUAAAGAAUUUUAGUUUCAAACCAAAGUCCAAACACAUUAUAAUGGAUGAUUUAGAAAAUGUUUCACCAAACCCAUAUUUUACUUUCAAGUAUGAUAUGAUAUAACUUUAUUAAUAUUUAUGACAAUAACCGUUAUUAUAAUAUUUGACAUCAAAACUAAAUUUCUAAAUUAAAAAAAAAAAGGAAGUUUAAUUAAAUGAUACCUUGGUGGAUCACCAAAUCUUUCAAUUCAUUAUAGCUCAUAUCUAGUUUCCUUAAGUUGAUAAAUGCUUCCAAAUCUAGGAAAACAAAAACAACAAAUCAACUUCAUUAUAUUCUCUUAAAACAUUAUUAUAUUCUUGUUAAAAAACUAAUACUUUUACCUUUCAUAUCUAUUGAUCCUUUCAAUUCAUUGCCUCUUAUGCUCAAAGAUUUCAAAUUUGAAAGCUUGUUAAGGGAUGCAAAUACACUAGUAUUGAAGUGAUUUCCAUCUAAAUUAAGCUCUUCCAAGUGGGUCAAUUCCAAUUUUCUACCAUCAUCUACAAAAGAUUUAUAUAAUUUCAUCAUCUACCAUCACUAAUUUCAUCUACCAAUUUGUUAAAUUGCUCAAUCCUAUACAUAUCCACGUACAAUUCAAAAAAUCAUUAUGUUAAUAAUUUUAAUUUCUACUUAAUAUUUUAAUGAAAUAAAAAUGAAAAAAAAAAGUAAAUCUAAAACUUGAAUUGAAGAUAAAAAUCCUCAAACGUGAAAUGUGAAUGUUCAAAUUUGAAACAAUUAAUUUUAAAAGGCUCUAGAAAGAAUUAUCAAGAAAAACAAAGUUAUAGCUUUAGUACCUUUAGUAUCUAAUGAGCCUUGCAAACGGUUGUUGAACAAAGUCAAAGACUUUAGGCUUGAAAGCCCUUGAGGAAAGGAAAUUGUGUUGUUCCGAAAGAGAUUACCACUCAAAUAAAGUUCCUCUAAGUUUGUUAGCCUCAAUUGUGUUCCAUCUAUCAUUGGAAGAAAGUAAUUAGUAUAGUUAACAUCAUUCAAGAUAUAAAUAGUUAGGAAAAAUGUUUGUUUGAGAAGGAAGAGCCAAUUUACAAGCUUUCCGAUGAAUUGAUUCAAUAUAUAAAUACUUUGUUUGAGAUACCUUCCUACUUAAAUUACUCAAUUUUGAAAUUUAAUCCCAAAUAUUGAUUACUUAUAUAUAUUCAUGAUAUGAUAAAAUCAAAUGACUUAUUGCAACAACUUUUCCUUCAACAUGAAUUUAUUUUAAAGAAUGCUAUUCUUCAAAUAAUUCCAACUUAUAUCAAUAAUUUCCAAUUUAAUGAGCCAUUGAAAACCUCAUUUAUAUAUUAUAUAAUUAGUUACUACAAAACUUAAAUAAAUAAUAAUACUCCAUUUUUGCAAUAAAAAUUCACUAAAGAAAAUACAUUUGAAGUCUGUCAUUGCCUUUUGGAAUAAGAGUCGGUCAAGAAAGUUACUAUGCAGAAAUACUUAUACCUUUGUUUGAGAUGCUUUCAAUGUCGUUCCAACUUAAAUCCAAGUACUUCAAAUUUGUCAAAUUAUUCAAUCCUGAAAUUCAAUCCCAAAUAUUGAUCAGUUAUAUAUAUAUAUUCAUGAUAUGAUAAAAGCAAAGACAUAUUGCAACAUUAACUGUCCCUUAAACAAAAAUUGGUUUUAAAGUAAAAAAGAAACAUAUAAAACCAGUCUACCUUUAAUAUGAAUUGACAUAUAAAUACUGUACUUAUACCUUUGUUUGAGAUGCUUUCAAUUCUGUUCCAACUUAAAUCCAAGUAUUUCAAGUUUGACAAAUUAUUCAAUCCUGAAAUUCAAUCCCAAAUAUUGAUUAGUUAUAUAUAUUCAUCGUAUGAUAAAAUCAAACUUGAACAUACAUUGAUUUUUAAAUCAAGGAUGAAAGAUUUCUCAUAUGAAACAAAAUGCUAUUCUUCAAAGAAUUCCCACUUAAAUCAAGAGUUUCCAAGUUAUUGAGUCUUGAAAGCAAUUGAAAACCUGAUAUAUAUAUUUACUUGUUAAUUGUUUUUUCUUUCUUAGCCAUAUGAAAAUUUUACUAAAGCAAAAGUGGAAUUACGACGGAUAAAAAGAAUGGAAAACUAGGUACCAAGCCUAGAAGACCAUCCUCAAACUCCACUAUACAAAUAAAAACUAACAGCAGACCAAACUUAAUUUACCUCUUUGAUGACCUGAUCCUUCAAAUUUGUUGAUUGAUAGAUCUAAAUACCGGAGAGAUGAAAGCUCACUCAAAGAUAACAAAAUGCUAUCAUUCAAGUAAUUGAAACUUAAGUCAAGGAUCUCCAAAUUACUCAAUGUGGAUGAUAGUUUUCCAAAGCCUAUAGAAAUAUUCUUUUAAAUAUAUACAAGUUAGUGACUUUUCUUCCAUAAAAUAAAAUAAAAUAUAAGUAAUUGCAAAUUAACGAUGGUAAGAGUAGUGGGAUAAUAAAAGAUGUAAUUAAGGAAAAACUAGAGGCACGACCUUCAUUUUCAAGGUUACCACUUAUGGCAUUCCCCCGCAAAUAAAGACUCUUCAAUUCCUCAAAGGGAAGAAACAUAGAGGUAUUGAGAUACCAGGCAUUGAGAUUCCUAUUAUCCGUUUUGUAUCCCAUACUGUCAAACCAUCUUGUAGAAUUAAGGGAGAGUUGUAUGAGUCUCCUAGUGGUGGUGUUACACUCAACUCUUUCCCAUUUACAACAAUCUGAACCCUUCACCUCAACCCAACUUUGCAAUUGAUUUUGAUAAUUGAAGAAAGGCUUGAGAUGCAAGAGAGCGAUUCUCUCAUGCUCCAAACAAGCAUCAGUAGUACACCAUCUGCAUCCUUCUAACACCAACAACAUUACUGCCAUCCUAAUAAGCCUUAACCAUUUCCACUCCAUCAUCAUCAUCUCUCUGUUUUCACUUCUCUCUCAGUUAUAUGUUACUUUUUGUUAACUUCUAUAUGUAAAUAAUCUAAAGCAGCCUAACCUUCUUAUUUAUAUACAAGCAGAACAUACUGGAUCCCACUAAUUCACUAUAAUGUAAAAAUAAUAUAUAAUUAAUUAAUUCCUCAAAAAUUGGAUCAAAAUCUAGGCUUUUUAUUUACGUAAAUUCCUUAUUGCAAAAACUCCUGGUGGAAAUUCGUUAGGAAAGGAUGAAUGGACCACAAGAAUGUUGAUGUUAAUCUUGAAAAACGAAUGGCCAAAAAAAUAUGAAAAGUGAGAGGUGGACAUAAAAUCUUGUGGUUGGGGUUGCAAAAGUCUUCAUGUGGCUUUCUUGUGAGCUUCAUUUAUACCCUUCUUACACAUAUACAAACUUAGUCUUGACUUGGCUUUAUUAAUGGAAAAUUUAGGUCUUCAUUUUUGGUUUCAUUCAUGGAAAUUUUACUUCUUUGAUUUUGAUUUUGCUUUUAUUCUUGCACAUUUUAGGUUUUGAUUUUGAAAAUUUAGUUUUUUUCAUCUCUAUUAUUAUAAAAUUUCUUGAUUUAAUUAAUAUCAUGAGUUAAUUUAAUAUUUUAAAAAAUAAAAUAUUACAUUCACUAUUUUUAAAAAAAUAGGAGUAACUAUAAAAUUUAAUUAUUUAUAUAAUAUUUUUAUAAAAAAACUAUUUAUUUCUACUAGACCACUACUUUAAAACUAUCAAUUAUCAUAUAACUUCUCUUUAAUAAUUCACUAUUCUUUGAACAUUCAUUAGUUUUUGAAACAUAAAAUUUAUAAAUAAUUAUUUUUAAAAUGACUUGAGUUUUACUUGAAUCAUUUUUGUAAUUAGUUAAUUAAAUUGGGUUAUUUUUAAAAAAAAUCCUCUUAACUAAUAGCAAAAAAAAAAAAAGAAAAAAAAAAGCCAUCAUGUAGAAAAUUCUGGUUUGUUGGAAAGAUAAAGACUUGCACCAUUACUUUAAAUUUUGAAAUGUUCAACUUGAUAUUGACAUCUGAUAAUAUGUACAAAUUUCUCAUUGUUUUGAAUUUUAGUGAUAUUACACAUAUGAUAAUAUGUUUGUCACACCAAAUUUUGAAAUAGUAGAACUUAAUGAAUUUAACAAAUACUUAAUGAAUUUAAGAAAUAUCUAAAAUAUCAAAUUAAAGUCUAGGAAUUAAAUCUACAACUUCAGUAAAGUACAAGAACUAUUGUAGAAUUAAACCUUUAUAUAAUAAUUUCCUUCUAUGAACCACAAUUCAAGUGCACCCCACAAGCAACAUUAAAAAAUUGGCAUGUGUCUAUUUUUUUAAAAAUAUUUAUUUUUUUAAUAUUAUAUACUACACCUCUAUAGGAUACGUGUCAAUCCUUUAACUCUCCUUAUGGAAUUUAAAAACUCCACUAACAAUGUACCAAAUAUUAAUCCUAAUUAUUAUACUAUUCAUGGAUAAAGAUAAAAUAUAAUAUUUGCUUAAAAAUCUCAAUUAUAUAUAUUUGGUCACCCAUUGUGAUGUAAUAUAGCACCGUCUACAAAAUAGUUGGAGGAAAGUGUUAAGAAAAUAUCAUUACAUAUAUCAACAUUCGCAUAAUUCAUUGCAUUAACUUUCAAAUGUUAACUAUUGACUUCUGCGUCAACUUUGAGCUUAUAUAGGUCCCCCUCAUGGAAAUUGAGAAAAACAAAUUAAUAUGUAUAUUCUUGUGGGUGGAAAUUUAGUGGAGAUGCCCAUCAUCUUUCCUAAUUAAUAAAAAUGAAGACUUAGAAAAUGUGCAAUCAUAAUCCUAGUCGUCGUUAUGGCCCCAAGAAUAGUUAUCUUAAUUUGUCUCUCUUCAGGAUUAAAGAUAAAAAAUAAAUUUUAUAAAGUUAGAACUAUAAUUUUAUAAUUAUAUUAACAUAUAAUUUCAUAAAAUUUUAAAAAUGUAUCUUUUAAUUUUUUAAUUAAAUUGAUAAUUCGUUAACUCAUAAUAUUAUUUUAUUUUUCAAAAUAUUUACGAGAACGAGUUCGUAUUCUAUUGUGUGGAAAAUUUUAGUACAGAUUAUUAAGUUAUUGGAGAAGCCAAAUCCAACUUGUUUGACCAAGAAAGUUUUUGUCGCGUGGAAAAUGGACAUUACCAUUUCCUUGAAUGACCUUCAAUUUAAUGUAUUCACACCAAAUUUCAUUAAUGAGUAAAACAAAUAAUGAAUAAUAAUGAAAAUUGGAGGAAAUUGUUAAGAAAUUAUUAUUACAUAUAUCAACAGUCACAUAAUUCAUUGUAUUAACUUUCAAAUGUUGACUAUUGACUUUUACAUCAACCUUGAGCUUAUAUAGGCCCCCCUCACGGAAAUAAUCUCAUAAUUAAUGCCUGAAAAAUUAUUAUACAUCAAUUUACAGUUUUAAUCCCUAGACUUACUCAAUUGAAUUAAAAUUUUAGUUUUUAUUAUUUAAUUUGAACUAUUACUUUAGAUUUUGAAAUGUUCAACUUGAUAUUACAAAUUUCUCAUUCUUUUGAAUUUUAGUGAUAUUACACCUAUGAUAAUAUGUUUGCCACACCAAAUUUAGAAAUAGUAGGACUUAAUGAAUUUAAUAAAUAUCUAAAAUAUCAAAUUAAAGUCUAGAAAUUAAAUCUACAACUUCAGUAAAGUACAAGAACUAUGGUAGAAUUAAACCUUUAUAUAAUAAUUUUCUUCUAUGAACCACAAUUCAAGUGCAUCCCACAAGCAACAUUAAAAAAUUAAAAUGUGUCUAUUUUUUUAAAAUAUAUUUUUUUUAAUAUUAUAUACUACACAUAUAUAGUAUACGUGUCAAUCCUCUAACUCUACUUAUGGGAUUUAAAAAAUCCAGCAACAAUGUACGAAAUAUUAAUCCUAAUUAUUAUACUGUUCAUGGAUAAAGAUAAACUAUAAUAUUUGCUUAAAAACCUCAAUUAUAUACAUUUGGUGACCCAUUGUGACGUAAUAUAGCACCAUCUACAAAGUAGUUGGAGGAAAUUGUUAAGAAAAUAUCAUUACAUAUAUCCAACAGUCACAUAAUUCAUUGCAUUAACUUUCAAAUGUUGACUAUUGACUUCACGUCAACUUUGAGCUUAUAUAGGCCCCCUCCUCAUGGAAAUAAUGUCACAAUUAAUGCUUGAGAAAUUAUUAUACAUCAAUUUAUAGUUUUAAACCCUAUACUUACUCAUUUGAAUUAAAAUUUUAGUUUCAAUUUGAUAUAUUUUGUUCCUCUUAUUAAUAUUAAUGUUAUAGAUUUAUUAAAAUAACUAACAUUAUUAAUUCUCUAACAUUUAAAAAUUAAAAUUAUGUGGUUAUUAAAAUUAUGAUGCUAAAUUGAGAAUUAAAAAUUAUCAAGUUUUAAAUGAUCUCGGGAAUUAAGAAGAGAUCGUGUCCUAACUUAUUGGGCAUGAUCCUUUUUUUUCUCAAGUUUUAAAUGAUCUCAGGAAUUAAGAAAAGAUCGUGUCCUAACUUACUGGGCAUGAUCCUUUUUUUUUUAAAAUCUAAGAUAGCUAAAUAUUUUUUAAAUAAGUAAAUUUUUGGCAUUCAUUCGCGCAUCGGGAAUUCAAGACAUUGUGUCCUAACUUACUGGAUAUAAUUCUCUUUCUCGAUUAAUGUGAAUUAUGGCUUUUUCCCGAAAAUUUUCAACAUUUCAAUAAAGGAUCGUAUUUUAAAUCUCUUUAAAGUUUUCAAUCUUCGAUACUAAGACAUUAAUUAAUCAACUAGGUACCAAUUUUGGGCGUAACGAGGGUGCUAAUCUUUCCUCGUACGUAACCGACUCCCAAACCUGUUUUUCUGAAUUUCGUGGACCAAAAUUAUUAUUUUAUUAAAAUUAAAUUGUUUAUUAAAAAUAACCACUUUUCAAGGUGGCCCGAUCACACCUUAUCAAAAAGGAUUGGUGGCGACUUCCAUAUUCGUUUUCAUUUUUUAAAAUCCAAGUCGACCCCGUUUUCACAAAAAAAAAAAGUGUCAACAAUUAUAUUAAUAUAUAAUUUCAUAAAUUCUUUAAAAAAAAUUGUAUCUUUUAAUUUUUUAAAUUAAUUUAGUAAUUCAUUAACUCAUAAUAUUAAAUUUUUUAUUUUUCAAAAUAUUUACGAGAACGAGUUCGUAUUCUAUUGUGUCGAAACUUUUAGUACAGAUUAUUAAGUUAUUGGUGAAGCCAAAUCCAACUUGUUUGACCAAGAAAGUUUCAGUCGUGUGGAAAAUUUUAGUUUUGUGGAAAAUAUAGAUUAACUUCUAUAUAUGUAUGUAAUCUAAAGAAGCCUAAGCUUCUUAUUUAAUUAUAUACAAGCAGAAGAUAUUGCAUCCCACUAAUUCACUAUAAUAUAAAAAUAAUAUAUGAUUAAUUAAUUCCUCAAAAAUUGGAUCAAUCUAGGCUUCUUAUUUACGUAAAUUCCUUAUUGCAAAAACUCUCGAUGGAAAUUCGUUAAGAAAGGAUGAAUGGACCACAAAAAUGCUUAUCAACUCUUGACUUUGGCGUUCAAUGCUAAGUUCAUUUUAAAAUUCUUUCAUGGAGAGAAGAUGGGAUGACAAGAAUGAUAAGUUUUAAGUCAUUUAAGUUUACACAAAAUUUUAAUCACUCACAAAAAAUCAGUCUUGAUAUUCUAUUAAAAAAUUUAAACAUGGCUUAACGUUGAUUUUAAAUCUAAUGUCGAUGUCAAUCUUGAAAAACGAAUGGCCAAAAAAAUAUGAAAAGUGAGAGGUGGACAUAAAAUCGUGUAGUUGGGGUUAUAAAAUUCUUCAUGUGGACAUAAUAUAUUUUUUAUGCCCUUCUUACACUUAUAUAAAGUUAGUCUUGAUUUCGCUUUAUUAAUGGAAAUUUUAGUUCUUCAUUUUUUGUUUUAUUCAUGGACAUAAUAUUUAUUUUUAUUUUUUAUUUUUGUGUUAUGGUCUAUGUUCGAGGUUUAUGGCUAUCCCCUUUCAACAACGUCGUCUCAACGGUUCAAACAUACACUUGCAGGUAAAAUAAUACUUUUUAAAAUCACAAAUAUUUGAAAUAAUAUAUUGCAGCUAUAUAAAUGCUUUCUUGUUUAAGAUACUAAUAAAGUAAUUAACAAAGUAAUUAUUAUACCUAUAAUAAUUCAAAAUGCCACUUGUUAUCUAAUGAAGUAUAGGGGUGCAAAUGAGACAUCCGUACCCGCAAGCUAUUCGAAUUCGGCUCAAAAAAUUUUGAAUUUGAUUCGGUAAUUAUUGCGCCGAGCUAUAGGUCGAUCCGGAUUCAAGCUUAGUAAUACUUGACUCGAGUAGUUUGGGAGCCUUAUUGAACUUUUCAUAUUUUUAUAUUAUUAGAUUACAUUAUUGCCUUUAAUAUAUAUUGUUAACCCUAAGUUUAAUUAUUGAGGCGAGCUCGAACUCGAGUACAAAAAUUGAUAAACAGAUUUAAUUUCGAGCUUAAAAAUAUAUGUUCAAUCGAGUAUCAAGCUUUGAAUUUCAAAUUAAACUUGAGUUUAACCGUAUUGAGUUCGAAUAGAUUCAAUUACACCCUACAAUAAAAUAUACCAACAAAACCUACAUUCCAUAUUUGCUUAAAAACUUUGCUGUAAAUUUUAUAUAUGUGUGUGUUUAACGUGAGUUCCAUCUAUGUCCAACUUGAUGACGAUGAAAGUUCCUAUGGUGUAAAAAGUUUUAGUUAUGUGGAAAAAUAAGGUCUUCUCUUCACACGUUUAAUAUGCUUACUUGUGACGGUCAUUUCGGGCUUGACAUCAAUUUUCAAAAUGUUCUAAUUGGUGGAAAACUUACGUCUGCUUUUAUGAUUCUUUCAAGUCAAUUGGAGAAUGCCUCUGUUACACUUCAAAAGAAGUAGAUUUUGAACUCAACAUGAACCUGUGAGAUUUGAUGCCUAAAAUAUAGGUAUAAGGUUUCAAUUCAAGGAAAUGUUGGAAGUCCAGGAAAUUUCUUAGUCUCCUCUCUUUGGAUGUUUUUGAACAAAAAUGUUUUAAGUCUCUUCCGAUGCUAAACUUCUGAUUGGUCGUCGGUUCACUGACCCUUUGGUACACAGCAAUAUGAAGCAUUGGCCAUUCAAGGCCAUUGCUGGUCCUGGUGAUAAGCCAAUGAUUGUACUACUAUAGAUUUGAAAUGAUUGUACACAUCUGAUCGGCUCUUUGUAAAUUUAAAUCUUACAAAUUCGGAUAAUAUUCGAAUUUAAAUAUUUCAAUUACUAUCUGCAAUAGAUUAAAAACAAACGUGAUUAUCAAUCCUUGGAUAUCCACAUACAGAUUAUGCAAUACAAUCUCUUAAGGCAUAUAGAAUUUGGGUCUUAACCAAGCUAUGUUGCUUAAAAGCUUGCUAAAAGCACCCCUAACAAAGGGGUAAAUAAAUAAAAUAUCAAGCACCAGUUAUCAAAGCAGAUUGACCACCUUAUAUCUAUGUAUGCUACUACAAAACUUGCACCAUUAAAAUCUCAAGCUGGUAAUUGGAGCUUCAUGUUAUUCUUGCAGCUGCAGGCAUAAUAAUCAAAUAAGUUGCAAUCAUUCACAUAGGUACUAUGAAGUGCUUUCCAGAGCGUGAGAAACCUCUGGAAGUAAUAGUAGAAGAAAUCAGCAUAAAGCAAUGUCUGGACAAGACCGCAAAUCCAAGCUGAUCAAAGGCAUCAAUCAUGUAAACUAGGUGUUAGAAAUAACAAAUAUAGCAUAGAAUAUAACAAAUAAUGAAUAACAAUGAAUAGUACACGUUACCAUUUCCUUGAAUGACCUUCAAUUUCUCCAUUGAGAUAUAGUAAGAGGGAGUGGAAUAGAUGUAAGGUAAUAUUUGAUGUAUUCGGUAAAUGAAUAAUAACACCACAUUCCAUUAAUGAGUAAAACAGAUAAUGAAUAAUAAUGGAAGUUUUAUAAAAUAAAAAUAAAUUAAAUCAUAUACAUAUAAUGUAUUAAAUCUUAUUCGUGAAGUUCACAAUGAACAAAAUACUAAUCCAUAAUGGAGAAAAAUAACCUAAACUUUAAACAUUUGUUCAUUACUAUAAACAUAUGUACAACUUUUUAAAGGUUUUAUAUAAACUAUUAAAAGGUAUAAACACUCUCAUAAAAAUAUAUUAUUAAGUACGUCUUCUUUUACUAGGAAAGUUCCUAUCCUGUAGAAAAAUGUAGUUUUGUGAAAAAAGGUCUUCUAUGCACUAAUUUGUGGCAAUCACAUGGGGUUUGGGAAUUUCAAUUUUGAUAGCCAACCGAGAUUCACUAAAUUUAAAUUUUAUUAUGAUUAAUUACGCUCUUCGUUUUGGAGAAAUAGGUAAUCACAACAACUAAUUUAAUUAAAUGUAAUUUAAUAAUUAAUUUUUUUAUAAUUUAAUUACAUUAACUAUAUUUAAAUUUAAUAUUUAGUAUUUAUAUUUUAAUUUAACAUAAUUUAAUUCACUUACUUUUAUAAUAUUAUUAGUUCGUCUAAAUAGUUGACACCUUUAAUUAAUUCUUAUUAAAAUGUUAAAAAUGUUUAUACUUAUUUUCCAUGUUAAAAUAUAUAUUUUUUUGUGCUUUUAAAAACAAAAUUUCACAAUAUCAUUUCCCGAUAUAAAAAUUAAAUCUCAAAUUAAUUUAUAUUUUUGUAUUUUUUUAUAACUAAUGUUAUCAAGAACUCUUAAUAGUGCAACUGAUUCCACCAUAAUAUUUAUAUUCUUUAAAUAUGAUUUACAAUUUAUGUUUGGAGUUCGUGACUGUCAUUCUUAAUAAUGUCAUUUCUAAUGUUCGAACAUGCAUCUCCCCUUGAGAAUGCAAUAUUCAUUACUAUUGCACCUAAUUAUUUUGAUAAUUUAAUUUUAAAUAUUGACAUAAAAAUAUUUUUAAAUAUAUUAUUAAUAAAUUUAAUUAAGAUUAUAAAACUUGAGGUUUUUUUUAAUUCUUCAAAAAUGUCAUUUAUUUAUUUUUGGCCAAAAAAUGCCAUUUAUUUAACUCUAAUAUGUGCUUUUAUGUUUUAUUUUAAAAAUAUAUGAAAUUCUAAUGAUAGUUAUAUUACAUAUUUUUUAAUUUUAAAUAUCAUUGUUCUUUUAUAAUUUGUUUCAAGUAUGAAAUGAUAUAAUUUUUUUUAGUAUCUAUCACAAUAACCUUUACUAAGAAUUGAAACUAAAUUUCUAAAUUUUGAACAAAAAUGAAAGUUUAAUUAAAUGAUACAUUGGUGGAUUCAUUACCCCUCAUAUCUAGUUCCCUUAAGUUGAUAAAUGUUUCCAAAUCUAGGAAAACAAAAAACAACAAAAUCAACUUCAUUAUAUUCUCUUCCAACAUUAUUAUAUUCUUGUUAAAAAUCUAAUAUUUUUACCUUUCAAUCCAUUGCCCCAUAUGCUCAAAGAUUUCAAAUUUGAAAGCUUCUUAAGGGAUGCAAAUACACUAGUAUUGAACUGAUUUCCAUCUAAAUAAAGCUCUUCCAAGUGGGUCAACUCUAAUUUUCGACCACCAUCAAUAAAAGAUUUAUAUAAUUUCAUCACUAAAAUGAAUUGGCAUAAACUUUUAUUAUAUAUAAGAAUUUAGGUAAUUGGUUAAAUAUAAAUGCAUACCAUUUAAGGAUUGAAAGCUUUCAAUUUCAUUCCAACUUAAAUCGAGUUUCUUCAAAUUUGUUAAAUUGCUCAAUCCUAUACAUAUCCUCAUCCAAUUCAAAAUCUGAAAUUAGUAAAGAUAAAAUUGCACAUUGACCCCCUAAAAUUGAUAAAAAUUUAAUUUAAUUCUUUAAAAAUUAUAAACAUAUGUAGCGACCUAAAAAUUUCGGCACGGGCGCUAGUCGAAGUAAUUAUUGUAAAUUUGAAAACUGAAUCUCGAUUUUAUUUGAAAAAGGAGUCGCCACCGAUAUUUUUUCUAGGUGUGAUCGGACACCUACAAAAUUCUCUUUUUAGAAGAAAAAAUUAUUUUUAAACUUUUCUAAAAAAGAGGUAAUUUUAGGUCCACGUAAAAAUCCAGAGAAAAUUAGGGUCCGGGAGUCGGUUACGCGCGAGGAAGGUAUUAGCACCCUCGCAACGCCCAAAAUUGGUAUCUCGUUAAACGCGUGUUGUCUUCAUUUUCAAAAAUACGAGUUCAAUUUAAUAUUAGUCGUGAUCCGAUUGAACACGAGAAUUUUAAAGCGCAACAACUUUUUCUUUUUUGAAAACACGAAAAUUUUAAAAUACAAGAAUUUUAGAAACACAAAACUUUUUUUUUAAAAAAAACACGAAGAAUUUAAAACACGAGAUUUUUUAUUUUUAUUUUUGAAAACACGAUUCUUCUUUUUGAAACACGAAAAUUUUUAAAACAGAAAAUUUGUUUUUGAAAACAUAAAUUUUUUGAUAAAAUACGAAACACGAGAAAUUUUGAAGACAUGAAAAUUUUUGAAACACAAUUUUUCUUUAAAAAAUACCGUAUUUAACACGAAUCGAUGAUAUUCAUCCCGAUAUGGCGAUGAAACCAUCGAAUUAGUGUUAACUCAAUUCAAUUUAAUAUUUAAUCGGGAUUCUAAUAAAACACGAGAAUUUUUAUUAAAAUACGAGGAUUUUUGAAUAUUUUUAUUUUUAAAAGGGUGUCCCGAAUUUAACACGAGCUAUCGAUAUCCACCCAACAUAGCGAUGAAUUCGAUGACUUGAUGCUAAAUCGGUUCGUUGCCUUAUGCAUUAAAAUAUUAUUAUUUUUAAAAAAAAUAUGCAAUUAAAAUGACAUAAUAAUAUUUAUGAAAACUGUUUUAAAGCAUACUAAUUUAAAUUAAAUAAAACACCAUUUAAAUAAAUAAAAUAAAAUAAAAUAGAUUAAAAAGAAAAAAAGAAAAAAAUUACCCAAAAGCCCAAAGUUAUGGGCUUAAAUUUUGGGCCUCCCCUUUUAUUAUUUUUUUUGCUGUUGGGCUNNNNNNNNNNNNNNNNNNNNNNNNNNNNNNNNNNNNNNNNNNNNNNNNNNNNNNNNNNNNNNNNNNNNNNNNNNNNNNNNNNNNNNNNNNNNNNNNNNNNNNNNNNNNNNNNNNNNNNNNNNNNNNNNNNNNNNNNNNNNNNNNNNNNNNNNNNNNNNNNNNNNNNNNNNNNNNNNNNNNNNNNNNNNNNNNNNNNNNNNNNNNNNNNNNNNNNNNNNNNNNNNNNNNNNNNNNNNNNNNNNNNNNNNNNNNNNNNNNNNNNNNNNNNNNNNNNNNNNNNNNNNNNNNNNNNNNNNNNNNNNNNNNNNNNNNNNNNNNNNNNNNNNNNNNNNNNNNNNNNNNNNNNNNNNNNNNNNNNNNNNNNNNNNNNNNNNNNNNNNNNNNNNNNNNNNNNNNNNNNNNNNNNNNNNNNNNNNNNNNNNNNNNNNNNNNNNNNNNNNNNNNNNNNNNNNNNNNNNNNNNNNNNNNNNNNNNNNNNNNNNNNNNNNNNNNNNNNNNNNCUCUUUUUACUUAAUUAUUUAUCAAUUUACACUAGUUCGAGUUUUUGUAACAGUAUCAUGGAGACUUAUGUACUAGGAGUUAGAUUGUAUUUUGCCUCUUUUACUCAAAAAAUGAGUAAAUUAAUCCUUGUACGUUAAAUCAAUGAGCAAACUAGUCCUUUUAGUUAACAUUUUCAUUCAUUUUUACUAUUAAAAAUUGGAGUGACUAACGAAAUAACCAGAUAGUUACACAUUACAUGCCAAGGGUGAAGCCAGAAAAUUCUUUUAGGGGGCCGAAAUUAAAUUUUAAUUUUUAAUAGCUUAUAUCUUUAUAAUUUUUAAAUGAUUAAAUCAAAUUUUUAUCAUUUUUAGGAGGGGACUAAAGUGUAAUUUUAUCUUUACUAGUUUAAAUUUCUAAAAUUUCUAAAAAGCCUAAAUGGAUAAUUUUCAAUUUUAGAGGGGUCAGGGCCCUUGCCAGCCUCCCUAGAUACGCCACUGUGGCAUGCCACAUGUACCUCAUGUCAGCAUACAUGAACCCGUUUUUAACAGUUAAAAUGGAUGAAUUUUUUAGUAGAAGGAUUAAUUUUCUCAUUUUUUGAGUAGAGGAAAGAAAAUGCAAUCCAAUGCCUAAUACAAGGGCCUCUAUGUCUUUCAUUAUUACUCAAUUAUUUGUCAUCAAAAGUUGUAUAUGUUCAAAUAUAAAUACAAUAAAACACAUAUGUAGUUAUUAAACAUAUCAUGCUAAUGUCAUUGUUUCUUCUUUAUCCAAAAUUAUUGGACUUAUAAAAUUCUUGAGAAUAAGAAAACCCCAUUAAACUUCCUUUUAAGUAAAACGUGUGUUCAAAAUCUUGAACUAGGUUUAUGCAGCAAUAGAAAUUCACAAGCUGUUUUUUUUAUACAUGAGAUGUGAAUCUCAAAAUUUUAGGGUUUCUGAUCUCAUAUAUUUUGGGUCCAGAUUUAAUGCUAAGGAUUUGUUGAGAAAGUUGAAAGGGAAGAAAAUGAUGUUCAUUGGGGAUUCACUAAGCUUGAAUCAAUGGCAGUCUCUAACAUGCAUGUUGCAUGCAUUUUUGCCACAAUCAAACUACACUGUUCACAGAGAAGGGAACCUUUCGACCUUUUAUUUGCCUGUGAGUUGCCAAAUCUAGUAGCUAUUUUAUUUCCUUCUUAUAAUUAAAACUUUUCAAUGUCACCUUUAGAAGGUAGCUGCAUGAAUCAAAUGAGUUAAAUCAAAUAGACUAAUUACUAUUGUUUGGCAAAAAUACCGAGUAGACCUUUUUAAAAAUAGUUAUUAUACUUUUAUUACAACAAAAUAAGCAGGGGUGAACCUAAAAUUUUUUUUAGCAGGAUAGAAAUUUAAUUAUAAUUUUUUCAUAGAUCAAAAUAUAAAUUUAUUAUGAAUUAAUUUAUAAUUUUAUCAUUUUUAAAGGGAUUAAACAGAAAUCAUUUCAUUUUUAUGGGGGUUAAAGUGUAAUUUUACUAUAUAUUAAUUUAUAAUUUCUUUAUUUAUAAGACUAGAAAAAAUUUUCAUGGGGGCCAAAGUACAAUUUUACUAUAUAUUAAUUUAUAAUUUCUCUAGUUAUAAAAGAACUAAAUUAAAAACUUUUCAUUUUUUAGGGGGGCCAAGGCCCUGCCUACCCCUUUCAGAUUAUUCGCCUCUGAUAAUAAGCCAUUAAACUUUAAUUUAUAACCGUUACCAUUAAUUUUUAACUUAUAUCCAAAUAACCCCUUACCAUUUUAUUUAUACUCAAAAUAAAAUUUAACAUAAAUAAAGGUGAGAGAGGGGCCUUGGCCUAUUGGUUAAAAUAGAAAAUUUUCAUUUAGGUCCAAAGGUAAAGCCAAAAAAUCAUUUUAGGGGGUUGGAAAUGAAUAAUAAAUUUUUGGGGAGACUAAUAUUGCAAUUUUAUCAUUAUAUCAACUUAUAAUUUCAUAAAUUUUGAAAAGAUUAAAAGACAAAUUUAUCAAUUUUUGGGGUUGUCUACUCUCCUGAGUUGGUCUCUAUUGAAAAUUAAUAAUUCCAUAAAAUAUAGCUUUCCUAAAUUUAUAAUUUUAGCUCGACCCUAAAUAUAAAAUUCUUUGCUUUACCCCUGAUAUUAAAUCAAAAGAUAGAAACUUAUUAUGUUACUAUAAGAAUAUAGGGAUUUAUUUAGCAAAAGCAAACUAUUUCAAGGACUUUUUUGGUAGUUUGCACUUAUAGUUGGUAUUAGUUAGAAUUAAGUGCCAAGAUUAAGUUUCCUUUGAGAUAUAUAGUUGGUUAAGCAAUUUAAUAUAAGUGGAAAUUUAGACCCCUAAGUUAUACCCUUCAUGCAUUUGGACAACUGUGUUGAGCCAAAAAAAAAAUUGCAGGAGUAUGAAGUUUCGUUGAUGCUAUCACGCAAUGCAUUUCUUGUGGAUAUUGUCCAAGAAAAGAUUGGCACCGUUCUGAAGCUUGAUUACAUUAAAAACGGCGAAUCAUGGAAAGGAUAUGACUUUCUCAUCUUCAAUACCUGGCAUUGGUGGCUCCACACUGGAAGAAAACAACCGUAAGCAAAACAUAAUUUCAGCAAUUAAAACCCGAUUUUUUAAUUGCAUCCCGAGUAGAUUUGUAAACAAAUACAACACUCGAAUUGGGUUGGGUUUGAACCGGAAUAUCAUUCCUAUAGUUUUGAUUAGACCUGUAGUUUAAAAGUUAAUUAUUUAUUUAAGUUUGAAAAUUCGUUUGAAAUUUAGAAGAAUAUUUAGAUAAAAAUAUUAGACUUCAUAAAUGAGCUUGAGUAAAAAAAUUAAACCCGUUUUUAAUAUGGGUUAAGCUUAAGCUCAAAAAAGUUAAGGAUCCAGACAUGUUGAUGAACUUAAAAUGAAUUUGCGAUAACUAUUUACAAAUAUUAGUAUGUUGGAGCAAAAUUUUAAGCCAUUGUUUGGUCCAACUAAAUUUAGGCAAAUAUAAAGUGCGUUAAUAUCAUGCUUAAAAUUGAUUCAAACUGAUCCCAACCCAUAACCACUUCUAAUUCUGAUUAGUUUGACUCAACCUUUUUAUUCUUUUAAAUACUUAUAAAAUCUCUUAUCCAAUUAUAUUUAUAUUUGAGCAAAAAAUGAUGUAUGUAUGUAUGUAUGUAUGUAUGUAACUUGAAAAAUGAAUUGGAUAUUAGAUGGGAUUUCAUUGAAUCAAGAGGAAAGGUGAAGAAAGACAUGGAUCGUAUGGCUGCAUAUAGAGAGGCACUAAGAACAUGGUCAAAAUGGGUGGAUUCCAAUGUUAACACUACAACUACCCAAGUGUUUUUUCAAGGCAUUUCUCCGACUCAUUUCAAGUAAGCUUUAGCUCUUCUCUUCUCUUCUCUUACCAUUUGCAUUAACUUCCUUGUUCUUAUUUUACUUAAAAGAAAUGGAAUUAUGAAAAAAAUUGAAAGCCAUUUUUUUUCCAAUAGAACUUAAUUCAUUUUAAUCCCAUCAGAUUUGGUUCAAAUUAGAGGUGUUUAUAAGUUGGUGAGUCAAUCGGCUUAGUUCGCUUUAGACUGCACUUGAAGUUAAGUUUUCAAGUUUCGAGCCAGAUUAGCCUUACUUGUUUUAUUAGUCGAAGAAAACUAUUUUUAAUUGUUUUAUAAACAAUGAAAAUGGACCAUUUAGGUAAGCUUAAGUUUGGAAAAUUUUUGAAAUUGGGCUUAAACUUGACUUGGAAAAUGAACACUUAUAGUUGAAAGAAACUCAUUUGUCAUAAAGCACAAAUACUUUUAUGAUUAGAGACGUUAAUGGGCUUGAACUUAAAUUUUCUUUUUGGUUUAAGCUUGGUUCGAGUUGAAAACUCGUAUUGUUUAAAAUAUUUCUAAUAUAUUAUUGUUUAAAAUAUUUCAUAAAUAUUUUCAAAAUGAAAUAUGUGUAAGAAUCAUAAAUUCAAGCUGUAGUGUUUCCUCAUAUAAAUUAUGAAUCACUCUAAAUAUCUCAAAGAGAAAAUGACAGUUCAUUGACAUCUAUAUAAAGAUUUUUUUUUUUAAAAUAAAAAUCAACAAGUCUCUUACGUUAUCCAUAUAUAAUAUGUGGAUGUACAAUUAUAAACUUCACCUCAAACAAUUUGGUAUUUUGAUCCACAAUUUUGACAGUGGCAAAGAAUGGAAUGGUACCAAAUCAACAACUUGCACACAUCAAAUCAGACCGGCUACCGAUUUAACGUACGAAAGUGAUCCACCUCCGGAAGUGACGAUCGUAAAGGAAGUGCUAAAAAACAUGUCGACGCCGGUGGUUUUGCUCGACAUAACCAGAUUAUCACAGCUGAGGAAAGAUGGUCACCCAUCAAUUUAUACUGGUCUAAAAGGAAAUGAUUGUAGUCAUUGGUGCCUAGCUGGUGUUCCUGAUACAUGGAAUGAAAUCUUAUAUGCAAUUCUUACAAGUAGGAAAACUUAAUUCAAGAUUAUAAUUUUUUUUUCAAUUUAAUGUAUUUAGUUAAUAAAAAUUAAUUUCCCAUUAAUAGAUGAAGAAUUUUAAAUUUAAUAACAUAGGUGUAGCCAUCAAUUUAAUGUAUUUUUUACCCGAACCCAAAUUAAGUCAAGCUCAAACCAAUGGAAAACCUACAAUAUUAUUCAUAAUAAUAUUGAAACUUUAGAUUUUUUUAUUAGUAUUAUAUAUUUUAAUAAUUAAUUUUAAAUAUUUUUAUUAAUAAAUAGUAUUCAGGUCGCGCCAGCCCAAUUUAAAAGAUAUUUAACUCAAUAUAAAUUCAACAUAUUAAAUGAAUAAUUCAAAUGUCAAAAUGAGCAAAGGAAAAUCUAGAGUUGUAAGCUUUGCAACUUUAAAUUGGACAUGAGAGUUUCUUUUAUUGGAUACAUGCCACAUUAUUUUUUAACAAAAUUCCUUUAUUUUAUCAAUUGAAUUUAAAUUAUUAUAUUAAUAAAAUUAUUUAAUUAUUUAAUUGUGUUUCAACCUUUUACAUAAAAUAAAAUUUUCUCUUUUAACUUUUUCAUCAUUUAAUUUUUCACUUUUUAAAAUCACCCUCAAUUUCAAAUAUAAAUUUACUUGUGUAAAAAAAAAUCUAAAUCUGUUAAUUGCAUCUAGAACUUUUCAGAGUUGGUCUUGUCAAAAUUUUAAGUCUAUUUGCUAGGCCCAAGUUUGGCCUAAAAAAUAGACUUAAAAUUUUGUCUAAAUUUAACCCGGAUAAAAUAUUAAAAUCAGGCUCGACUCAACUCACCUGAAUUAAUUUUUCUAUAAAAAUAUUAAAAAUAAUAGGUCAAAAUACUAAAAAUAUUAAAAUAAAUAUUUUUUAAUAAUUUAAAAAUAAAUUUAAAAAUAUUUAUACUUAGAUAAAAUUAACAAUAAAAUAAUUUUUUAAUGUUUAUUAAAAAAUGGGCCGGACCGGGCUCGGGCUUAUGAUAUUUUUCCCGGGCCGGGCCUGGAAAAAUAUCAGGCCCAUAUUUCGAGCCGGGCCAAAAAAAAUUUCUGGGCCCGACCCGGCCCAUGGACAGGUCUAAUCUUAGACCUUUUCAGUGUUGGUCUUGUCAAAAUUUUAAGUCUGUUUGCUAGGCCCAGGUUUGGCCUAAAAAAUAGACUUAAAAUUUUGUCUAAUUUUGACCCGAAUAAAAUGUUAAAACCAGACUUAGACUCAACCCACUUGAAUUAAUUUUUUAUAUAAAAAUAUUAAAAAUAAUACGUCAAAAUAUUAAAAAUAUUAAAAUAAAUGUUUCCUAAUAAUUUAAAAAUAAAUUUAAAAAUAUUUAUACUUAGAUAAAAUUAACAAUAAAAUAAGAGUUAUAUAAUAUAUAAAUAAUAAUAAAAUAAUAGUAACAACAAGAAAAUAGUAAUUUUUUGUCUUUUUGUUAAUUCAUAUCGGACCGGGCUUAACCCGGUUGAGAACGGUACUUAUAUUUGUACAAAAAAAAAAUCAAAAAAAAAUGUGAACGGUACUUAACCCGGUUGAGUCGGAGCUCCAUGACCCGAACAGCAAUUUAUUUUUCAAUUCUUCUUCGUUACGCAAAAAGGAAAAAAAAAAAAACAGCUCAUGAAAAUGGCAUGGUCAAAUACUCUGCUUCAGAUUCACAUCAAAUCCCCUUCGAUCCCUUCUCUCCAUUUCCCACAUUCCCUCCCAAAAAGCUCCCCAUUCCUUCUUAAUCCUAACCCUAUAAAUCCCAUUCCCAGAUCCCUCAGAAUGCAAUUCCUUCACAGACCCAACGCUGUCCCACUCGUAUCAAGAGCCAUGGACAUCAUCCAAUCGUCUCCUCCCACGUGGCAAUCCGCAGUCCUCAGUAACCUCUUGAUCUUCGUCGUCGGCACCCCACUUUUAGUGGCGGGGCUUUCUCUCUCCGGAAUUUGUGCUGCGUUCUUGCUUGGCACUCUCACUUGGCGCGCUUUUGGCUCCCCUGGGUUUCUCCUCGUUGCUUCGUACUUCGUUAUUGUGAGUUGCUAAUAAUAUAUUAUGAAUUGUAGCUGAAUUAUGGGAAUUAAGUUAAAUUUUGGAAAUUGGGUUUUGAUUUUGUAUCCAUCUGGUAUUAAAAGUUGCUUGCUUUGGAGAAUUAGCUGUCAUUGUUUGGUAGUAUGGCAAGGAAAAUAAACUUAAUUUAUGUCGAAAGGUUACUUUUUAAUUAGUUAGCUAUUCAAGUUUGAUUAGUUGUAUUUAGAGAAAUUGAUUGUACUAGGUGAAAUGAGAUCAAAAGAUUAACAAAAGUUACUUGAUGGUUUCUAGCUUUUUAGCUGAAAUAAAGUCCUGUAUGAAAUGAUAUAAUAUUUUAGUUUUCUAUUAUGGCUUGUUUUCCUUGCAAAGUAUGAAUCUUGAAUUAGUUCCUGCCUCCCUCUUCUAAUUCUCCUUACCCAUUUCUAGUUGAAAGUUAAUUGAAAUUCCAUGUGAUUUUGUGUUAUAAUUCCAGUUCAUAAUCUGAAUGGAGACAAUAAAUUUGGAUGAAGGAGCUUUAAGCAGUGGGAAAAAUCCAUAAUAAUUUGUAAUUCUCUAAAUCUCUAAACAAUCUUACAUCUCUUUGUCAUGCCUUUCAAACAUAGUUGGUAUAACUAUGUUCAAUUGUCUUAGCUAUUGUUUAAUCAUUUUUAAUUUUUCAUUCCCCCUGCUCCCCCAAAAAAAAAUGUUUGUCUGAGCAAUGAGUCUUUCUCAAAAUCAAUUUCCAAGGCCAUUUUAUUUGAUUAUGACUUUGUGAGUAAAACAUGUUUGUAUUUGUUAGGGAACCGCAGUAACAAAAGUGAAAAUGGCUCAAAAGGAGGCCCAAGGGAUUGCUGAGAAGAGGAAAGGAAGAAGAGGACCUGGGAGUGUAAUUGGGUCCAGUGCUGCUGGUUGUGUAUGUGCUGUUCUAACAAUAUAUGGAGUUGGAGGAGAGGCAUUUACACGUCUUUGGCAACUUGGUUUUAUUGCUAGUUUCUGUACUAAGUUGAGUGAUACAGUGUCCAGUGAGAUUGGGAAAGCAUAUGGCAAAACAACGUAAGUAGUGCAUCUCUGUUUGUUAAUGUAUAGGCGCUUUAGAUUAACUGUAUUAAUAAUUCUCCUUAGUUCAUUCUAAAGAAAGGAUAUUUCAAAUCAAGUGGAAUUUAGAUCCCUUAUGGUUCUUGCUAUAUUCGAGCUCUAUUAUUGUCAUAUAUGCUGGUGAUAAAGGUCGCUUUGACAUCCUAUAUAGAAACAAAAUUUGUGAGUGUUAAUAUUGCCUCAAAUCUUUUUUUUUUUCUUCAAAGGUUUAUGUCAAUUGCUACUCUCUUUUUUUUUUACUGUUAAACUACACUUUAGAAUUGCAAAUAUAAAGUGUGUGAUGUGCCAAAAUGAACAGGUACCUGGUGACAAACUUUCAGAUUGUUCCUAGGGGAACAGAAGGAGCUGUCAGUGUUGAAGGAACUGUUGCUGGACUUCUAGCAUCUAUACUGCUUGCCACUAUUGGUUGUCUAUUGGGUGAGGUAGUACUUGCUAUGUACUCAUACUAUGUGAAUAAUUUGUUCUGCCAUUCAUGAUACCAUUUUUUUUUAAUAACAAGCAUUAUUGUGAUCAUUACAAAAUGUUUACACCUUGUAAGAACCUGGAAUUUUUUCUAGUCUCUGCAACAAUAGACUAAUUGGUGGGGUGGUGCCUAGAUGGAAUGAUUUUGCAGAUAUAAUUUGUUGAAGGUGUUUUUCAAAGGGAACUCUUAGCAAAAUAGCAGAUCAUGAUAUAUUUAUAAAUUGAUUUUGACAUCUCAGUUUAGGCGUGUACGACCUUUGUGAGCAUUAUUUUGCUGGGAACUUAAAUUUCAAUUUAAUAUAGUUCAGGUAUUACAAUUUGGUAAAUUGGAUAAUAUUUUCAAGGGGAAGGAGAAUUAAAUUAGUUGAAACCGAUUUUUAUUGUUAGUGGUUUUUUGUAUGUGAGUGGAUGAGGUUGUCUCUCUAGCCUUGCUGCAUCUUUAGCUAGGAUUUUCUCAAAAAUCUUGUAUAUAUCCCUAAGGUUAUGGUGUUGUUCAUAGUAUUGACGCCAUAACCUCUAUACACUUUCAAACUGAAUAUGAUCAACAGCUUCUAGAGAAUGCAUAAAUGAAAUAUGGGUAUUUGAAUUUAUAGAGAUGUUCUAAGCUUCUGUUUUUUGCUUUUUCAUUUAUCUUUGCAAGCAGAUAAAUGUACCUGAGGUAUUGAUAUGUGUAAUAGCAUCCCAGAUUGCUAAUCUUGGUGAGAGCAUAAUUGGUGCUGCAUUCCAAGGGAAAGAAGGAUUUCGUUGGGUAAGGAAUCAUUUGAAUAAUAGGAUGGUUUCUGUCAUCCUGUUUUCUUAACCAUUUUUUCUUAAAUUUAGUGCCUAUGUAUCUUCUAGAUUUUAGUGUUACCGAUGAAUCAGGCUUGAUUCUAUAUGAAUGUAUGGUUUGAUGUGGUAUAUCGAUGAGAUGAUUACAUGUAUAUCAUUUUGUGGACUCUCAUCAUGUUUGGAUCUGGCUGCACUCCUAAAGCUGUAGUGAGGAAGAAUUAUAUACCCACUGUUUUGGGGUAAAGAAGAUCGAAGAGUAAAUUUAGAGAGAUCAGCCUGUUAUAAAACUGCCUGCUAAGGAUUAAUUCUAGUCUUAAUUUUCAUUCGAUGAAAUCACGGUAUUGUGCAUGUAAAAGGCUGUUAUGUUGGUCUGAUUCUUCUUUUUGCUUUGAAGUAUCCAUGUUCAACAUAUAGUCACACAAGAAAUAUGGAGAUAUGACCUUCAAGAUACAUGAUAAACUUUAGCACAAAUCUCUAUCAGACACUUACCUGAAUUUGAGCGAAAUAUCUGGGUUGGCCAUAUAUAAAUCUGCCUAGGAUCUAUCAUCUUAGCAUGUUUAUAUGCUUUUCAUUAUAAGGCUGAAACUUGGAUUCUUUUACCAUAUUGAUUUUGGUUUUCAUCUUGCAGCUGAACAAUGAUGCUGUUAAUGUCAUCAACAUAUCCAUAGGCUGCAUUUUGGCAGUCUUAAUGCAACAACUACUCCAAAACUGGCAAAUGUAAGUUCACCCCAUCAUCUCUUUUGCGAUGUCAGGUAAUUAUUGCAGAGUUCAUCGACACUGCAAUCGACAUAUUGCAAUGUGGGGAAAGAAAAGAAGAAGAAGAAAGAGAAAGUCUUCAAUGUAAUGCAAGAGAUGAGCACAAAGGUGCAACAAUUAUAGCAAUGAUUUUGCUAACCUUGAAAGAUACUCAAAUGAUAUGGAAAAUCAUUAGCAUAACCAUUUGUUCCAUGAGUAUAUUUUAAAAAGGCUUCUCUCUUUUAUAGUCUUGGUAUUCAAAGAUGUAUUCCUUUUAUCAAUCUCCAGUUAGAAAUGAAUUAGAUGCUUUUUAAAUUGCAUUUCUUAACCAAAAUUAUUGGCUUUUUUUUUAUUGUUGUUGAGCCGCACUGGAUUUAUGGGUGUAAUUGAAGCACAAGCUUGACUUGGAACUUUUAUGUUCAAAGUUCGGCCCGGGCCCAAGCUUGAGUUCAAUUAAGCCAUUUGUGAAUAUAUCAACCAAUUGUUCCUUUGUAAAGACAUGUCUAGUUUGGACUAAACCAUCUUGGAUUUUUUUUACAAGGUGAGAGUCAAUCUCUAUAUGUUUCGUUCUCUCGUAGUAUUCAGGGUUGGUUGCAAUCUGAAUUGCUGCUUGACUAUCAUAGAAUAAUAUGAUUGGUUCUACUCGUUUAAAUCCAAGUUCCUUCAGUAGUCCAGUCAACCAAACUAACUCAGCCAUAGUUCUAUACUUUGCCUUUGCUGAAGAUCGUGAUACUGCAUUUUGUUUUGUUUUGUUUUUUCCAAGAGAUGAGACUUAAAACUUCUGGAGGAUGGUCAGGAUGGGUGUUUGGUUUACAAGGUAAAGAAAACGGUGAAGGUGGAGUUUGUGAGGUUUUCUUUUUACCUUUCCCUUUGGAGGAGGAUGAAGGUUGGAUCAUGAAAUUUUCUGGAAGUUUUUCUGGUGGUCUAGAAAGAAUGUCUGCAAGAACAUUGGUUUUCCCUUUUAUGUGGAGGACAUUCUGUCACUAAUCGCUUUGACAUUGGACUUGAAGCCCAAUUCGAAUCACAAUAUGCUACAAGUUAUGGAGAACCAACUACAGCACAGAAUAAACCUUGUCCUGGAUCCUUUUUAAUGUAUCUGACUAUUCUAAGAGCAGCUUUAUAAUGCGACUUCUUGGGUCGUUGCAUAAACUGACUGGAUGUUGUACCACAAACGUCAUAUCUAGCCUUGUAUGAGUCAAGUACAAAAGCCUUCUAAUAAGCCUUUGAUAUAAUGAAACAUCUGUCAAUACCUCAUCAUCAUGAUUCAUUUGCACCAUCUCAUCUUACUGGAGAUGUCAAGUUUUGAUUUUGUUCUAAAGGAGUGACAACUAUCUUUCCUCCCCCUUACCUCGUGUCUGAAAUUAAUUCAAGAGCAUAUUUGCGUUGAUUCAGUACAAUUUCAAACUGUGAUCUUGUGAUUUCAAUGCCAAGAAAAUACUUUGAGAUCACCUAAAUCUUUCAUUUUGAAAUUUUGAUGCACAGUUCCUUUAAGCUCAUUUAUAAGCUUGGUAUCAUUUCCAGAAAUCAACAAAUCGUUAACAUAUAUCAACAUGACAACCAGCUUAUAACCUUUCUUCUUGAUAAAACGAGAAUAAUCGUACUUACUUUGUGAAUAACCAUUUAGAAGAAUAGCUUUAGUAAGCUUUAGAUUCCACUGUCAGACUUAGCAAUUGACAUACUCUAGUCUCUCUUUGAUUGCGAAAAUCGUCUGGAAGAGUCAUAUAAACCUUCUCAUGUAAAUCUCCUUGCAUUAUAGGCAUCCAUUUGAAACAAGGGCCAACCAAACUAUACAGCAAGAGCAAUGACCGUGCAAAUUGUGACUUGCUUCGCAACAGGGGAAAGUGUCAUGAAAAUAAAAAACCUGCCUGCUGAGUAUAACCCUUCCUAACAAGUCUGGCUUUAAAUCUUUCAACCGAGCCAUCAGAGCUGUACUUGACCUUGUAGACCCAUAUGCAACCAAUGGGCGUUUUACUAGGAGGUAAAGGAACUACCUCCCACGUGACAUUUGAUUCCAAUGCUUGAAUUUCUUGAUCCAUGGCCUUUAUCCAAUGUUUAUCCUUAAUUGCUUCACUUUAGGUUUAAGGUUCAAUAAUAUGGGAAAUGGAGGCAGCAAAAAAUUGUGUAUGCAAAGGUAAAUGAGCAUCAGCUAUACAAUUAGAUAUAGGGUACUAACCUUUAUGGAGUGAAGAAGAUAAAGAAGAGCAAUUUAAAUCUUUCAUCCAUGUAGGAUCCUUAAAAGAACGAGUAGUGCGAUGUAAAGACAGCUGGUAAGGUAGUAGACUACGAAGGUAAUAAGGACUGGUUGGGAAAUGGAGCUGAAGAACGACAAGGAGCUAAGGAUGAACAUUUCAAAUGGGAUUUUUCCAAUUCAAAGCUGAAGUAGGUAAUCUGUUAACAAUAUAACAAGCAGCAAGGAUACACUCGCCCCAAAAUUUGGUAGGUACAUUAGACUGAACUUUGAAAGCACAUGCUAUUUCUAACAAAUGUCGAUGCACACAAGAACUUUGAUGUAUUAUGCCUAAGAAGAAAAAAAAGGAGUAUAUUCAGAGUUAAAGAACUCAGUACUUAUGACUUCCAAAAGUUUUAACAACAGUUGAAAAUUGCGUGUGAACCAAGGCUAUAAACUGUUUCAAAAUGACAAUAGUGUCGGUUUUAAGCUUAAACAGAUGAACCAAAGAAAAAGGAGAAUCCGCUCGAGAAUAACUAAUAGGAAAUGGCAAUCGUGUUUGUUUAGUAAGAGGACGAACAUGGCAUGGACUAAUAUAGUCACUGUUCCAAAAUGAAAGAAACAUGGCCAAGUCCGGCAUGCCAAAGGAAAGACUGAUCAUGAGAUGUCAAAAAGGAAGAAAUGGGAGAAGAUACAAAAGAUGGCAAUUGAGGCUGUUGAUGCACCAGAAUGUAAAGAUCAUUCUGUUCUUUACCAAUCCCCUUCACUUGUCCACUGCAAAGUUGCCGUAAAAGGCAAAAAUCGGGAUAAAAGGAUACAAAACAAUGUAAGUCUCGAGUUAACUUGAAAACGAAAAUUAAAUUGAAAUGAAAGUCUGGGACAUGAAGGGCAUUGGUUAACUUGAUAGAGGAGGACAAGACAUAGGAACCCAUGUGAGUAAUAGGGACGGAUUUACCAGUGGGAAAUUGGACAAAUGAAGAAUGAAAAGUAAAAGGAACAAGAGAAUCCAAAUAUUGGCAAUCAGAUAUCAUGUGGUUGGUGGCCCUCGUCUCCAAAAUCCAUUGGAAAGAUGCAGGCCAAGAAACCAUACCUGCCAUGUGAGCAGCUACUCCAACAGUUGAAGUGAACUCAAGACUGAGUAAAUUCAAGAUCAGUAGAUACUGUGCCUGAAUAAACACAGGUGCAAAUACUAUGGUAGCAUUGUUAGUCAUAGUUGACCUUUGUUUUGUAAAUUUAAAAUCAACAGGAUACCCAAUAAGCUUCUAACAAGUUUCCCGUUUGUGACCUUUAAUCUUUCAAUGGUCACACACAUCUUUCAAUGGUCACAGAAUACAAUGUUGUAGGUUCAGAAGGAAAAGAUAUGCCAGAAGAAUGUUGUCUUUGAGCUUCCUCUUGAACAAGCACGGAAUUAGCUUAAUUAACAGAAGGUAAGGGUUCCAUUAACAAAACCUGACUUCCAACAACAGCAUAAGAAUCAUUCAGGCCCAUCAGAAACUGAAAUAACCACUGUUGUUGAAUAAGUUGUUGAUUCAUGCGGGAAUUUUCACAAGAAAAAGAACCAAAGCAUCGUAAUCCCACAAAAGCUUCAAUCGUGUAAACAAAACUGAAACAGAGUAAGUACCUUGAGCAUGGGAAGCAAUCUCACCAUGAAGAACCAUCGACUUUCUCAUAUCGUUCUUGAAGUUCUUUCCAUGUUGACAAAAAUAAACUGUGCGGUAUAAUUAUAUAAUUAACGUCGCUCAAAAUUAACAUAAAAUUUCAAUAUUUGUAAAUUCGAAUAAAGAAGGUGAAAUUCAAUUAUAUUACUUUAUAUACUCAGUGCUUUCUAUGUAAAUUAUUUUCAUUAUUUUAAAUAUAAAAUGUUUAUAUUAACAUGAUAAAAAAUAAAUUAAAUUAUAAAUUAAAUAAAAAAUAAAAUUCAGUUUUAGUUACAUUCAAAUACUCGAUUUUUGGGGUUUUCUGCGCCCUAAUAGUAGGAAAAGAAAAUUCUCAUCAAACCCUAAAGCCCAUAAAAGAAAAAGUGAGAAGUUUAGUUGAUCUAUCAGAAUCUCAAGCACUCACCCUUAAUUUGCAGUAAGUUGCGAGUCUGCAAUUCUUUAGACCCCUUUUCUCAAUUGAUUUUCUUCUUUAACCAAUCGUUUCUCUCGCGCUCUGUUUCUUUUAGGAUGGCCGAUGAACAUAUUUCCACAGUCCUGGAGCAGCUACGACGAAUCAUGGCCGACGAAAGAUUUCGGAACUCGGAGUUUCAGAUAAACUUGCUUGUAUGGAGACUCGAAGCUUUUCAAUCUAUGAUUCUUUAACAUGGGGACGGGCUAUUUUCGGUUCGGCUAUUGGAGCGUGGGAUUACUGUUCAUGCACUCGAUCAAGUGCUAUAUAACAUAGAAGAUGUAAUUAACGACGUCUUACAUUUAGGAGUAUCUACUGAAUUAGCAGCAGCAGGCCUUGAGAAGUUUGCUUCUACUCAAUCAAAAGCAGCAUCAGCAGAAACAGCCACUCUUUACAUCUUGCGCAAGAGGUUGGAAGAAUUGGAGGAGGUAUUGAUUGGUAAUCCGCAUGAAUCGCAUCCCUUGCACUCUAAACGAUCUUUUUUUGUAAAAUUGUCAAAGUUAUAUGGUCUAGAUGUGGUUAAGAAAGAUAUAAUAAAUGUAAUUUUGGGUGAAAGUUUCAGGGAUAGUAGCGACAGCAUUAAAACCAUCAUUAUUGUUGGCAUGGAAGGAACGGGGAAAACAUAUCUUGCGCGGUGCAUUUGUACUGAUUGUCAAGUUCUGGAAAUUUUUGACAACAUAAUUUGGGUGAAUGUUUCGGAUGAUUUUGAUUUAGGUAAAAUUGCAAGAAAAAUUAUUCUGUCUCUUGAAGGUUUGGAGCAUGACUCUUUGCGUCUCCUAACAUUAGUUCCAUUGCAAAGUCUGUUAGAUAGAAUUCAGCGAAAGAUUGUUAACAAGAAAUCACUUCUUGUUUUAGAUGGUGUGGGGAGAUAUGAUUGUGAUGAUUGGGAAGCACUUAGAGCUGUUUUUCAACAUGGCAUGUCGGGGAGUGGGAUUCUAGUGACUACUCAUGAGCACUCGGUUGCAGGAGCAAUGGAAUCAUCUUAUAAAUUUUGUUUGGGAAAGCUGUCUGAUGAGUUGUGUUGGAUGAUACUUCGUGAAGUUGGAUUGAAUGAUGAUACUCUUGAAUAUGCGGUAGAGGAUAUAGGAAGGGAACUUGCAAGGAGGUGUGAAGGACUACCCUUUGCUGCAAAGGUUUUGGGAGAUGCUAUACGACAUUAUGACUUUGGAAUAAGAGGAUGGGAUGUUUUUCUGAGAAAUUGUAUCUGGAAAUCUCCUAGAAUACCCAAAUAUAUGUCUAAAAUUCUAUCACUAUCUUAUUGCAAUCUACCUUUGUCUGUAAGACGGUGCUUAUCGUAUUGGGCUAUCUUCCCCAAAAGCUUUGAGAUUUCAAAAACUCUUUUGGUGCAACACUGGAUGGCACAAGGUUGUCUGUACUCAUCUGAUAAUUUAGAAAUGGAACUAAAAGGUGAAGAGUACUUUAAAUGCUUAGAAGCUCAUUCAUGUUUCCAAUAUUGUACCAGAGAUGGUGGUAUGCUUACUUGUAAGAUGCAUAGCUUAGUACAUGAUUGUGUCCAAUCUUUGUCCCCAUAUGAUUUAAUGAUGAGGUUCGAGUCUGUUAAACAGCUGACCUUGAAUUUAUCUUCUUGGACGGAGGAGGUCAAAGUUGUUGGCACUCAUCAUUUGGUAAUGAUGAUUGCUCAAGGAGCUGGUUUUCCCAUGGACAUUAGUGGUGCAGAGAAAUUGAGGACCCUUGUUGCUGUUACUCAAGGGUGUUUGAUAACUAGUCAAGCAUUAUCUAACUUAUUUAAACAAUCCAAACAUCUGAGGUUAUUGGAUUUGAGCUUGACUAGUGGGUGGCAUAAUUGUUUUGGGCCAUCCGGACAAGGUAAUAUACUAGAUGAAAUUCCGGUGGAAAUCUGCAGAUUGAUUAAUUUGAGGUACCUUAGCUUGGCUGGCAGCAAAGUAUUGAAGAUAUUACCAGAAACAUUGUGUGACUUGCAUAAUUUGCAAUCCUUGGAUCUUACUGGUUGUAGUAGUCUUAGAAAAUUGCCAGAUGGAAUGGGGAAAUUAAUGAACUUGAGGUAUUUUUAUACCUGGUGUUGCUCUAGUAUAACUUCCUAUCCAAAAGGGAUUAGCUGCUUAACUUCUCUUUGAGAAUUAACCAAUGUCAUUGCUAGAGCUGAUCACAAUGAUGCAAAGGAAUUCACUCUUGGAGAUUUUGAAAAGUUGAACAACCUUUGUGGACAUGUUCGUGUGAAACUGGUAGGGAAUGCGAUGGAUGCAGAUGAGGCUAUUAGAGCUAACCUUUGGAACAAGAAGGAUCUUGACCGUAUCAGAAUAAAUCUGGAUGGGGAUAUAGGGAAAGAAAGCCAAGACGUUAUAAAGAAAGCAUUAAACCCGCCUUCCGACUUGAAUAUAGAGUUCGUAGGUUGGUGGUUCUAGUCCAGAAAUGUAAGGAUGCUGCAAAGCAACAGGUAGUCUCUCUGUCUCAUUUUCUCUUUUGUUGUAGCUUUGAUGGUUCAAAUUCAGUAUUUACUCCUAUGAUUCAUUCAAACCCAAAUUUCAGUUGUGUUAUAGUAGUUCUAGUUUCUGUUGUUAUCAUCUGAUUAGAUGGAAUAUUAUGAAAUCUCUUAUAACAUUACAAUGACAAAGAUAUCGGCUUGUCUAUCACAUGAAAUUUCUCUCUUGCUAAAGCAUGCUCUGAAUGAAUCACUUUAAAACGGCAAGAUAACUUAGAUUAUCCUUAUUUUCUUUUGCUGGACAUACAUAUCCCGUGAGAGACAUUGUCGUUAUCGGUGGUACUGUAGUUAAAGUUGGAGUAUAUUUUUAGUAUUUUAGUUUUUAUAUUAGGAUUUAAUCAGUUAUUAAGAUGGAUUUUUUCUGGAAAAAACAUGGAUACUUUUUUCUAAAAUUUUUUAUUAACUCUUUUGAAAUUUGUUAAAUUUUUAAUUAUUUUUAUUAGUUUUUGAAUUUUUAUGAAUUAUAGGUAGGCUACCACACGAAUUGAUCACGUCAAUAUUGUUAAAAUUUUAAUAAUCUUUUUAAUUCAAAAGAAAGUAAUAUAACUAAAUUGUAAAGGUUAAGUGUAAAAGUCAAAAUGACAAAAUAAGUCAACAUUAAAAGAUUAAAUUUAUCACGAUGCCUUUUUUAUAUACUCAUAAUUAAUUAUAAUAAAAAGUUAACUUUAUUCAGAUAUAUUUGUUAUUUUAAAUAAAUAUUCAGAAUACAACUUGAAAAUAAUCUCAUGUUUAUAAUUAUAACACGAAAACUUUACUUACUAUAUAAUGGAAGAGUAUUUGGUAUAUUAACAGUGUGCCUUUUUUUAUUGCACAAGUAUGUGUAAAAGAUUGAUAUAUGUCUUUAUUUUUUAAUAUUUUAUUAUACUUUCUAAGACACUUGUCAAUCUUUUAACUUUGCUUAUAAAAUUUAAAAAUUCCACUAAUAAUCUCACCUAGCAAAAUGGAUUAAAAACAUUUAAAGUAAUUUAGUUGAAUUAUGAUAAAAGGUCAAUGUAUUCUAAAAUGCUAAAUGGCAUAAAUUUGAGUUUGUCAAAUUCUCUAGCAUUGGGAGGUAAGUCAAAUUGCAAACUAAGUUGAAUAUUUUUUGGCUUUUCAGUAAUCAUAUUCAUGCUAAUAUUUUUAGAUUUAAUUCUCACUUUCAAUAUUAAAAGAGGGUUCAAAUGCAACUUGGAGUCAACAUGAACAUGAUACUUUGAAAACCCUAAAGGGCACUUGCACUCUUGUUUUGGAGGUGAGGUUAAGAAGACCUACAACAAGUUUUAAUAGAAUUUGAUAUAGUUGAAAAAGAUUCAGAGGAAAAUGGUACCAAAAUCUACAGUCGUGGAAUACGAUGACUGUAUUAAAAUAUAUGAAAUUGGUUGAUGGUUUUAUUUAUUGUCUCUUAAUAUUUUAACUAAUCAAUUAAGUAGUAAUGAGAAGGACAUGACACUUAAUCAUUAUAGUUUCUAGUUAAAGUUUAGGAAGAUGCAUUGACAUCAAUUCACUAAUUUUUUAUGAAAAAUGUUUUUAACCGGUUCAUAUCCCCAAUACCAUUGAACGUUGAAUCAAAUGGUUUUGUUGAUUAGAGAAAGACACUAAGAAAUGUAGAGGAACAUGUAUGCGUAAGAGAGAAUUUGAGGCACAUUUAAUAAGUUAACUUUGGAAAUUUUAUAUGUGGAUAAUAGCAACGAAGAAAGAGACUGUUGAGAAUGAUCAAACUUGGAGCAUAUGUUUAGAUCCAUGUGGAGGUACCUAUUAGGUAAGUGAAACAAGCAAUUGAAAUGAUGGAGAGUUUAGUACACCGGUAUCGUACUAUGAUAAUUUAUGGUCAUUUUUAAUUAAUACAAGUCAAAAAUAAUAAUAUUUAAUAAACCUAAAAUUAAUGGGCAAAUAGUGAUGAGUUAUCCUAAAAUAGAAUUGAAGAGGAUAAGGUCCUACAAUUAAUAAUAAGAAAAGUGAAGACUCUUUGAAAAGAUUAAGGAUGUACUUUGAUUAAGAGUGGUUAUAAAAAAAAAAAUUGGGGGGAAGGGAUAGAGUGGAGUAAGGAAAGUGGUGUGAUUGCCCAUUAACAUAAGUAAGAAAUAUGCGAAUGAUUGCCCAUUAACAUAUAGAGUAGGUAAAAUUGACUUGUUUUUCUAGAAAGACAAUAGAUAAGCCUAAAAAGUUAUAAAAAGUAAUUGUUAAAAUAGUUAAAAUGAGAGGAAAAAAUAAGAUAUUUUUGUUUAUGAGAAUUAAGUGUCGUGAGUCGGGACGAAAAGAUUAAUCAUUGUUACGACAGUAAAUACCUUGAUUACAACGAAAAAGAUAAAAUACCAUUUUACUUUAUAGAAAAUUCUCAUGAUUUUAUAAAAUAUACCAUGAAUAUAUUAAAUCAUAUAAAAAGCGUAAUUCUAUAACUCAUACCUAAUUUAAAUACAGGAUGGUAUUUAGAAUGAUUAUAAGAAAAUGCUUGUUCAUGAAUGUUGUGAGUUUUCCGAAUCUUGGGGACAAUGUACCCUCUGGCUCCCGUCAGGAUUCACCUGGUAAUUUAUAAAAAGGAAUAAACAAUCACUUGGUAACUCACAACUCACAAGGCAUAAAAUAUAAUCACGUCAAGCAGCAAAACACAAACCUUUUUUAAUAUUCCAAUCUAAUACAAGUGAUAAUAUCAACUCUUAGAGCCCUAACUCUUAAAGUAUCAGCACAUAAUUUUAACCACUUACUUUUAAUAAAUACCACCAUCACUACCAUUAUCACCAUCGACAGAGCCUCUCAAUUCAUAUGUCCUGCAAAAAAUGGUGUCAACACUAACAAAAAAACCAAAAUUAUAUCAUUAAAAUAUAUUUGUAUUUCUUAAAAGGCAGAUCAUUCAGUUUUUCUGGACAAGUUUCCCUAUGCAAUCUAAUACAAGUGAUAAUAUCAACUCUUAGGGUCUGUUUGAUUGACGGAAUUGAUUUUCCGGAAAAUCAUUUCCAACUUUUCCAGCGUUUGAUUGGCGGAAAACAUUUUCCAUUUGGAAAAUGAACUCCAAAACAAGGGAAAAUGAGUUACAUUUUAGGGAAAAUGUCUUACUCUUUCAAUUUCUAUAAUUUUAGGCUUUUCCCACCUACCUCUAAUUACACAAAAUAUUUUCAGAUUUAAUUUACUAAUUUUGGCUUUUACAAGGUCAAGAUUUGACUAUCCCAUCAAAUGUCCCAAAUUUAUAAUUUGGUCCCUCUUCUCUUUUCCAUGCUUCAAUCUAACCCCUUCUUUGCUUGUUUUUGAUUUAAAGUGCCCGAAUUUUGUUCCUGUCAAUAUUUAAACACAAAACGCACCAAUUACCAGGGAUUAAUUUGAGAAUAAGUCGAGUUGAACACGUAAAUUAUGCAAAAUGAACAAGUUAUCAUUGACCAUUAGUGCUACGUCAGCACAAACAAACGGUGUUAGUGCAGAGAUACCAACCUAGGUGACAGAAUAUAAAUUCAGGUACCAAUUAGAUAAAAAAAAAUCAUACACCAAAUAAAUACUUUUGAAUAAGUUCGAAAAUAGACGACAAAUUAUCCUUUCUUUUCUCUUUUUAUCUACCUGUAAUAUUUGAAUAUGAAAAGAAGUUACACAACUUUUCAAUUUCAAUAGUAGUUAUUUAACUUUGCCUAGUUGAGUUUUACAUAAAAUUUCUUUCUUUCGUUGAACAUGCUCUCAAUGAAUCACUUCAAACCCCCAAGAUCCUAAUAUUUUGCAGAACAUAUCAAUUGAGAGGCUCUAUCGAUGGUGGUGGUGGUGUUAGAAUCCGUUUAUGCUGGUGGUAGCAUUUUGUAUUUUUUUUUAUCGUAUUUAUUAAAAAUAAGUGGUUAAAAUUACGUGUUGAAAAUUUAAGAUUUAGAGCAUAUCGCCACUCGUAUUAAAUUGUAAUAUAAGCAUCGAUUGUAAAAAGAAAAGUUUGUGUUUUGCUUGUACUGUCUCAUAAAAGACAUUAAGUAAUUUCGUUGUCGUGUUUAUAUUUUAUGCCUUAUGAGUUACCAAAUGGUUGUUCAUUCCUUUUUAUAAAUUACUAGCCGAAUCCUCUUCAGUGAAGGAGCUUGAAAAUUUUUUGGGAGGGUCGGAAUUAAAUUGUAUAUUUGUAUGAUGGUAAAAAUAGAAUUUUAUAAUUUUAAUAGCUUAUAUCUUUAUAAUUUUUAAAAGGUUAAAUCAAAAUUGUAUCAUUUUAAGAGGUCAAAGUAUAGUUUUACUAUUACUAAUUUAAAAUUUUAUAAAUUAUAAAGGGCCUAAAUUAAAAUUUACUAUUUUAAGGGGGCUAUGGCGCCUUGGGUCUCCACUACAUUAUGCCACUGAUCCUCAUGGAAGACAGAGGCUACCUUGACCCCCAAGAUUUAGAAAAUUGCCAUUUGACCUUUUUAAUUUUAUAAAAUUUUUAAUUUAGUUUAUUAAAAUUCUGUAAAUUUUCAUUAAACAAUUUUUAAAACUUUUAAUUAGAUCUCUCAAAUUCUUUUUGGAAAUUCUUAUUUUCUCAAUUAAUUUUUUAAUUAAACUAUUCAGAAUUUUUGAUAAUUCUCAUUAAACCUUUUUAAAAUUCUCGAAAUUUUAAUUAAAUUGGUAAAAUUUGAAAAAUUUUAGUGAAGGGAAUCCCUCCCACAUAUUGAUCAAGAAAGCUUUGAAAAAAUAUUAAUUAAUUAUAUGUUUGAGAGAUUAAUAAUGUACUAUUUGGCUCCCAACAAUAAUAAUUCACUCUUAAUUUUGCUUCUUUUCCCUUUUUCUUUUACUUGUUUUUGUGAAAGAUAUCAUAAUAUAUGUUUUAAAUAAUUAAUGUAAUAAUAGAAAUAUUAAAAAAUAUAGUUAAUAGUAACAAUAUUUUAUACAAGCACAAUGACUUAUUCAAUUCUCCAAUUUUACAAAAAGAGACCAAUAAGUGAUUAGAUGUAAUGACAGGUCACAUUGCAUUCCCAAAAGAACUGCCUAAGUUCGAACAUCAUAAGUAAUAUAAAAACUUAAACAAAGUCAUGUAACAACCCAUAUAUCAAGUAUCACCAAAUACCAUUUCAUUCUUAUUCCAUUGUUUAGUUUCUAUUUUCAAUCAACUGAAUAUCGUCCGAUGGAACUAUAGCAAAACGGGCUCAAAUACACGGGAAUAAGUUGGUCACACAAGUUGACAGUAUAUUAGGGCUGCUCAGACAAGUUGACAUUACAACAGAAUUGCUCACAUAAACUGAUAUUAUAUCAAGGUUAUUCAUCUGGGCUAAACCUUCAAUAUGUAUAACCCGAGAAUUUGAGACAAGCCCAAGAACUCAUCCUAUGUAAAAGGGGUGCCAAACCCUAGUGCAUAGUAGGGUAUGUUGCCGCCCCUUAGUGUUUUGAAUAAAGGGGAACUGUAGUAUCAUAUUAAAACAAUACUAUUUAAUUACUCAUUAUUCAAGUAAAACUUUUGUACUAUUUUCCUAAAAUAGGAUCUAUGAAAUGAUUUAAUUACACCUAUCGCUGUUAUUUUAUCAUAAAAUAGUGGUAAUUUGUUUAUAAGAAUAAAUUCUAUAUUCUGAAAAGCUCAAAGUUUUCGAUUUCUAUAUAGAGAAUUAACUUUCUCACUAAAAGUUCAUGAAAGAUUGGUUGAACUGGGCAAAAAAAUUGGUCGAAUUAGAUGCGAUUGAACUGGUUGAACUAAAAUAUUUUAAUAUAUUUUUAUUUUUUAUGAAUUUUUUAUGAUUUAUUUAAUUGAAUUAGACUAAUCAAUCAAACCAAUUGAAUCAAUUGGAUCAACAAACUAGUAACCUUAUUGGUUUGAUCAUCGAUUUAGUUUUUAAAACCUUAGAUUUCGUCAUACCGUUUCAAUUAUUAUACCUUAUAAAUAAAAUAUAAAGUAAACCAGUGGUGAAAUUAGGGGGAUUGGCAAGGGCCCUGGCCCUCCCUAAAAUGAUUUUUUUUUUCAUAUGGACCCUCUAAAAAAAUUAAAAUUUUAAAUUAAUAAAAAUAAAAUUAUACUUUGGCUCCCCUAAAAUAUAAAAAUUUGAUUUAAUCUAUUAAAAAUUAUAAAGAUGUAGUCUAUUAAAAUGGUGAAAUUGUAUUUUUCUAUCGUAAAAAUUACAAUUUAAUUUUAGCCCAUAAUUUUUUUUUUCUAAUUUCGCACCUGAAAUAAGCUAUAUUUGAUUAAAUUUAUUAUUUUACCUUACAUACAAAACACAAAAUAAACAUUUAACUAUACAAAAUUAAUUGAUGAAUUGUUUUACUCAGUUGAAAGUAGAACAAAUAAUUGAUCCAAGAGGAAAGUGAAAUUUAUCCUUUUAUACGUCGAACAUUAGCGAAAAGGACAAAAAAGAAAUUUUGGGUUAUUUGGCUUUUGUUUCCUGCUGCUCUCCUCAAUCCAUUGACGCUGUUUCACCCCCUUUCUCUCGAUUUCUCAAUGUUUCUUUUCCUGUAAUUUGUUGUGAUUUGAAGUAUAAAUCAGGGAGAAGUAAAAGCUAUCAUAAAAAUGGCGGAGGCAAUUCUUACGGUAGUCUUGCGACAGAUAACAACAAUCUUGAGUGACCAAGCGGUAAAAGAGAUGACGAUGUGGGGAGACCGCGAGGCUGCUCUCAAAAAUCUUGAAACAUAUCUGAAAUCCAUCCGAUCCGUUCUCAAAGAUGCAGAGGACCUUCAAAUUACAGACGAUGCAAUCAAACUGUUGCUAGAAGAUCUGAAAAUUGUAAUUUAUGAAAUCGAGGAUGUGUUGAAUUUAUGGAGCUGUAAAGUACGGAAGGCAGAAUCUGUUCGUGCCAAGGUAAAUUGUCUACUUGAAUUCAUUGCAUAUCGUCGUAGUUCUGAUAGAAUAAAGAAGAUUUGUGAAAAACUGAGUCCAUUUGAGCUGAAAAACAAGCUGGAUCUGGGCAAGAGUAAAAUUAUAUCUCCUCUGCGGAACAAAGAAAGUACUAGCUAUUGUGAUCUAUCAAAAAUUAUUGGUCGAAGCGGAAUAAAAACUGAGUUAGUGUUCCGUUUAGUUUNNNNNNNNNNNNNNNNNNNNNNNNNNNNNNNNNNNNNNNNNNNNNNNNNNNNNNNNNNNNNNNNNNNNNNNNNNNNNNNNNNNNNNNNNNNNNNNNNNNNNNNNNNNNNNNNNNNNNNNNNNNNNNNNNNNNNNNNNNNNNNNNNNNNNNNNNNNNNNNNNNNNNNNNNNNNNNNNNNNNNNNNNNNNNNNNNNNNNNNNNNNNNNNNNNNNNNNNNNNNNNNNNNNNNNNNNNNNNNNNNNNNNNNNNNNNNNNNNNNNNNNNNNNNNNNNNNNNNNNNNNNNNNNNNNNNNNNNNNNNNNNNNNNNNNNNNNNNNNNNNNNNNNNNNNNNNNNNNNNNNNNNNNNNNNNNNNNNNNNNNNNNNNNNNNNNNNNNNNNNNNNNNNNNNNNNNNNNNNNNNNNNNNNNNNNNNNNNNNNNNNNNNNNNNNNNNNNNNNNNNNNNNNNNNNNNNNNNNNNNNNNNNNNNNNNNNNNNNNNNNNNNNNNNNNNNNNNNNNNNGCAUCUUUCUAACACCAACAACAUUACUGCCAUCCUAAUAAACCAUAAGUACCAUUUCCACUCCAUCAUCAUCAUCAUCUUUCUGUUUUCACUUCUCUCUCAGCUAUAUGUUACUUUUUGUUAACUUCUAUAUGUAUAUAAUCUAAAGAAGCCUAAGCUUCUUAUUUAUAUACAAGCAGAACAUUUUGCAUCCCACUUAUUCAAUAUAAUAUAAAAAUAAUAUAUAAUUAAUUAAUUCCUCAAAAAUUGGAUCAAUCUAGGCUUCUUAUUUACGUAAAUUCCUUAUUGCAAAAACUCUUGGUAGAAAUUCGUUAGGAAAGGAUGAAUGGACCACAAGAAUGCUUAUCAACUCUUGACUUUGGCGUCCAAUGCUAAAUUUAUUUUAAAAUUUCUUCAUGGAGACAAGAUGGGAUGACAAGAAUGAUAAGUUUUAAGUCAUUUAAGUUUACACAAUUUUAAUCACUCAUAAAAACAAGUAUUGACAUUCUAUUAAAGAAUUUAAACAUGGCUUAACGUUGAUUUUAAAUCUAAUGUUGAUGUUAAUCUUGAAAAAAGAAUGGCCAAAAAAAAUAUGAAAAGUGAGAGGUGGACAUAAAAUAGUGUAGUUGGGGUUAUAAAAUUCUUCAUGUAGACAUAAUAUUUUUUUUAUGCCUUUUUUACACUUAUAUAGAGUUAGUCUUGACUUUGCUUUAUUAAUAGAAAUUUUAGGUCUUCAUUUUUUGUUUUAUUCAUGGACAUAAUAUUUUCUUAUUUUUAUUUUAUGGUCUAUGAUCGAGGUUUAUGACUAUCCCCUUUCAACAACGUCGUCUCAACUGUUCAAACAUACACUUGCAGGUAAAAUAAUACUUUUUAAAAUCACAAAUAUUUAAAAUAAUACAUUGCAGCUAUAUAAAUGCUUUCUUGUUUAAGAUACUAAUAAAGUAAUUAACAAAGUAAUUAUUAUACCUAUAAUAAUUCAAAAUGCCACUUGUUAUCUAAUGAAGUAUAGGGGUGUAAAUGAGACAUCCGUACCCGCAAGCUAUUCGAAUUUGGCUCAAAAAAUUUUGAAAUUGAUUCGGUAAUUAUUGAGCCGAGCUAUAGGUCGAUCCGGAUUCGAGCUUAGUAAUACUUGACUCGAGUAGUUUGAGAGCCUUAUUGAACUUUUUAUAUUUUUAUAUUAUUAGAUUACAUUAUUGCUAUUAAUAUAUAUUAUUAACCCUAAGUUUAAUUAUUGAGGCGAGCUCAAACUCGAGUACAAAAAUUGAUAAACAUAUUUAAUUUCGAGCUUAAAAAUAUAUGUUCGAUCGAGCAUCAAGCUUUGAAUUUCAAAUUAAACUUGAGUUUAACAGUAUUGAGUUCAAAUAGAUUCAAUUACACCCUACAAUAAAAUAUACCAACAAAACCUACAUUCCAUCUUUGCUAUAAAUUUUAUGUAUGUGUGUGUUUAACGUGAGUUCCAUCUAUGUCCAACUUGAUGACGAUGAAAGUUCCUAUGGUGUAAAAAGUUUUAGUUAUGUGGAAAAAUAAGGCCUUCUCUUCACACGUUUAAUAUGCUUACUUGUGUCGGUCAUUUCGAUCUUCACAUCAAUUUUCAAAAAGUUGGAAAACUUAUGUCUGCUUUUAUGAUUCUUUUAUGUGUGUGUUUAACGUGACUUCCUUGUGAGUUCCAUCUAUGUCCAACUUGAUGACAAUGAAAGUUCCUAUGGUGUAAAAAGUUUUAGUUAUGUGGAAAAUUGGUGGAAAACUUACGUCUUUUUCACUUGCUUUUAUGAUUCUUUUUACAUGAUAUUACUAUAUAAUUAAAUUGAAAUACUGAUAAAUUUGAACCCAUAUGAUGUAAGUCUAGGCAUCAUCUAAUUUAUUGAUAUUUAAUUAAUUAAUAUAUAUACUUUCAAUUAUAAGAAUUGAAACAUAACUUUCAAGUCAAUUGGAGUAUGCCCCUGUUACACGUCAAAAGAAGUAGAUUUUGAACUCAACAUGAACCUGUGAGAUUUGAUGCCUAAAAUAUAGGUAUAAGGUUUCAAUUCAUGGAAAUGUUGGAAAUCUUGGAAAUUUCUUAGUCUCCUCUCUUUGGAUGUUUUUGAACAAAAAUGUUUUAAGUCUCUUCCGAUGCUAAACUUCUGAUUGGUCGUCGGUUCACUGACCCUUUGGUACACAGCAAUAUGAAGCAUUGGCCAUUCAAGGCCAUUGCUGGUCCUGGUGAUAAGCCAAUGAUUGUACUACUAUAGAUUUGAAUAUUUGUACACAUUUGAUCGGCUCUUCGUAAAUUUAAAUCUUACAAAUUCGGAUAAUAUUUGAACUUUGAAUGUAUGUUUUGUUGGUGAGAAUAUAAAGUUGAUAAAGAUUUGGUAAAUAGAGUAAAAUAUUAUUUUUAUUAGAAAAAUUAUUUGGUACACUGCCAAUCGAGGUAAUUAAAACAUGUCAUUAUAAAUAAUAAAAUUAUGAUGACUCAAAUAUACGAACACGUCAAAAUUUAUGUACAACGAAUUAUUAACAUGUAAAUGUAUAAUACGGUACGCAAAAAUAAGAUAAUUGCUUGUUUUUUUAAUUGAAUUGUUAUAACAUAUUAUACAAAAUACAUUGUGACUUAAAGCAUAAAAUGAACUUGAUAUCAAAAUAUUAAAUUUUUUUUAAAAUUCAAUGAUACGAAUAAUUAUGUAAAAUAUAACAUGAUGCAAAAUAUCUUGAGAGGAAAAGAGGAAUAAAGAAUUGCAUUAUUUGUGAGGUUUUAAAAUAUUCCAGUUUUAGAUUCAAUUUUCUAGUAUGUUUGGUUUAAUUUUACAUUAGAUUUCCUUUUCAGUAUGCACUAGUGAACGCUUAGCAGUCAGUUUAAUUUAAUUCAAAGAGAUAUUGCAUAUACAUAAUAAUGGAUUAUGAUUUUACAUUAAAUUUCAUAGAAGAAAAAGAAAUAGAUGGUUGAAAAUGAUAAAACCAUAAGAUAAAAGAGCUUUUAUUCAAAAUGCAAAAAUCAACAAAAUAUUCAUUAUCGCUCAACUUAGCAUAAUUAAACAUUUAGGUGUGGAAACAAGUCACAAUUUGAGUAGCUAAACACAUUGCUUGAAAAUGUGAUAAGUAAGAAAAUUGCCCACAUUUGAGUAGCGACAUGUGGUGAAGCAUUUCCCAACGAGAGAAAACUAAGCUCUUCACCAGUAUGGAUUUAUGUAGAGGACAACAAAAAUUGUCAACAACACAACUACAUAAGAAACCAAAAAGCUCACAAAAAAAUCAUAAGUAUCUAUCAAACCAUCUUCUCCUUUAUCUUCUGAUACAAUUGAUAUCGCUGAUGGUGAAUCGGUUUUGGAACAACUUUUAUGCAAUAUAUCUCCACAACGAAAAGGAUUUCCCUCAUAACUGUUUUCAAUAAAGGUCCCAAAUUGAGCUUUUGGUUCGGGAAUACUACCUGACAAAUUGUUAUAUGCCACGCUGAAAACCUCCAAAGAGUUCAACUCUACCAAUUGAUUGGGGAUUUCACCACACUCAAGUUGUUGUAAGAAAGGUCCAAACUCUCAAUGUGCUGAAGUUUUGAGAAUGAUGAGGGUAUAACUCUGGUCAACUUAUUGUGUGACAAGUUUAAAGAAUGGAUUUCACUCAAGUUCCCUAAUUUUGGUGGGAUAUGACCAGUUAAGUUUUUGCAAGAUAAAUCAAUCCCAAUAAUAUAUGAAAGGAUGUUGCCCUUGUACGAAUAGAACCCACUCUUUGUUGUGAACUCUAUUACUUCUUCUAAGUAGCUGUCAGGGUUGUAAGGAUUUAUACCCCUUUCCCAUUUUCUCAUCACAAUGGAUGUUGAUUCAUCCUUUUCUAUAAAUGGAAGAUAGAACCCAGUUGCUAGACUCUCUUUCUCUUUCAGUGGAAGAGAUAAAUUUCCCAAACAAGAAGGUAUAGGACUAGAAAACAUAUUUUGAGAAAGAUCUAUGAUGCUUAAAGAAUGCAACUUGCAUAACUCAAUAGGAACUUUAUCAUGAAAAUGAUUAUCUUUCAGGAGAAGAACACUCAAAGAAGAAAGCGUGUAAAUCCAUUUUGGAAUACUACCUGUCAAAUUGUUUCCUCUAAGAUCUAAAGUCACUAUUGAAGAGUUAUUAUAAAAAAGCAAGUGAUAGUGUGCCUCUCAGUCUAUUCCCGUGGAGGUGGACAUGCUCUAUGUAUGGUGGAUUAAAACAUGACGGUAUAGAGCCAGAUAAAUUAUUUUGAGAAAGAUCCAAAAAUUCCAACCUAUUCAACUUUCAAAAUUCCAUUGGAAUAGAACCUUCAAAACCAUUGUUGGACAAAUUUAAUCUCCACAAAAAUGAUGCAUUCCCUAUCCAUCUUGGGAGCUUUCCAUGCAACUUGUUACUGAGAUCAAUUUCGCUUAGUGAAUUUGGAAACUCAAAAAGAAAUGUUCACACAAAGUUUUUUCCAACAUAUGUCUGUCAUUUGUGGGGUCUUGAAUUUAAUAUCAAUGGUUGAAUUUUCAUAGCUAAUAUGUGCGCAAAAGGCCUAGUGGGUGGAAUUUUAUGUCAGGAAAGCGUUUCUACAAUGACAUAAUUAAUUGCAUUACUUUUCAAAGAUUGACUAUUGACUUUGGUGAGCUUAUUAGGUUAAAUUCUGCUGCUGGUCACUGUUCUUUGUGAAAGUUGUAAAUUUAGUCUAUUUACUUCAAUUUGAUCAAUUUUAAUCCCUAUACAUUUUGAUUUUUAAAAUUUUAGUUGUGACCCAAACAAUAGAGUUAAAUCAAUUUAAUUAAAACCAAUUACUAGUCCUAUAUUAUGUGUACAAUUGUUGAUUUAGUCCAUACUCUCCAAUUGGAUCAUUCUAAGUACCUAUAUUUUUCAAAUUUUAAAAUUUCAGUCUUGAUGCAAAUGACAAUCCUUAGUCCGUUAACUAGAUUUUUAGUAACAUAUGAAAAUAAUAAGAUGAUAUGACAUUACAAAUAUGAUAAUAUUUUUGCGUUAAAUAUGUCAACAAUGACAUAAUUAAUUGCAUUAACUUUCAGACGUUGACCAUUGACUUUUGCUUCAACCUUGAGCUUAUAUAGCCCCUACAAUAAUUUAGGUUAUGGAAAUAAUCUUACAAUUAAUGCCUGAGAAAUUAUUAUAGAUCAAUUUAUAGUUUUAAUCCCUAUAAUUACUCAAUUGAAUUGAAGAUUCAGAUUUUCUUAUUUAAUUUGAUAUAUUUUCUUCUCUUAUUAAUGUUAAUGUUAUGGAUUAGUUUUUUUAAGACAACAUUAUUUUAUUCAAUGAAUAAUAUCAUACAAUUCGAGGAGAAAAUAACAAACACUCGUUGUACUCGUUAAAGGACAAGUUCCAUCAACACAACAAAACCUUUAACUUCAACAUUAAUAGAACAUUAUGGCAUGUUGAAAUCGGCUCUGUCACAACUCAAGCACAACAUAUCAGGAGUGAUUACAAGCACUUAAUAUGGUAAGAAAAUUAACCCCGGAUGGUCCAAAGCGGUGGGCAUAAAUCAGCAAAAGAACUGAGCAUCCACCAAACUAGAGGGGAUGCGGCGACAAAACUAACCCUAAAAUUACUCUCAAAAGCAAGACUAAAAAGCGUACUACAAGAGUAGACAAAAACUUCGAAAAGUAAAGACUUAUUAAACAAUGGAAAAAUAAACAAAAAAAACAUAUAAAACUUAAGAUAACAUGAGUCUAAACCGAGUCAUGAAAUUAUUUAUUAUUUUGAAACUCUCAAAACAUAAACAAAUUAAGAAGUCAACGAAGAGGUACCCACUUUCUAAAAGAAAGUGUUGGUGGUCGGUGGUGUUUCAAUGAUGAUAGGCAUUGUCACCUGUUCAUCACAACUUGUAAAGAUAACAAAAAUACCCACAAAAUAAAUCUGUAAAUUGAAAAGAACGAAGACUCAUGGAGUGAAUGAGAAGAAGAAAAAUAAAAAGGGUUAAUAGAGACAAAGCAGGGCGGUAACUAGUUCAGAGGCUAACACCGCUGCUAGGCUAAAAAAAGAAGAAGAAGCAAACAUGUUAUGGAUUAGUUAAAAUAACUAACAUCAUUGAAAAUUUCAUUACUUGGCUGAUUUGGAUUUUUUUUUUUAAAAAAUUGAAACUAGAAACCAUAAAUGAUCUAACAUUUAGAAACCAUAAAUUGGGUUCAAUUGCUUUGCUGUCCAACUCCAUCCAUCUAAAAUCGCAAGGAUGUACCCAUGUUCAAUAUGCAGUACAGACCCAAAAAUUGACCAUAUAAUGUGGCUCAAGAGAAUUUUCGAAUGGUUUUAAAGAAUUAUGAGAACACAAUGAAUAAAGUUAAGGCAUCAUUUAUUCAGCUUGCUAUAAUGCAGGUCAUUCCAAUAAAGAAGCAUUUUUUAACUAUAUUUUCCGUUACCCCAAUAACAAUGGCACAGAAUGUUCUCCGAUGAACAUAGAACUCACCAUUUUUAGGAACACGUGUAGUUGAGGAUGAGAAUUCGGAUCAACUGUAACUUCAAAUGGUGGAAUGAAAACAUUGUCCAGAAUAUUCUGAAAAGAUUUUUCAAUUCCCAUUUGCUUGUACACAUUAUACAAUCGUGGUGACUGCAGAAUUAAGUCAAAAUCAAGUGAAGAAGGUUACCUUUGACUUGAGAAAUAUAUCACAGAGAGAGAGAAAGAGAAAACAGUAAUCUGGAAAGAUGAUGCUUAAUAUGGACAUGAUACCCUAGAAACCGAUCGAUCUUAAAUUUUAAUUUCUAAAAUAUUAUUAGCUUGUGCAUACUUUCAAAUACUUUUCAUUAGAGUUACCAUAAGACUAAUUUUUCCAAUUUUAGAUGAUUCAAGAAACUAUUUGGGGGCAAUUCUUAAAUAAACAUGUCCAAACAGUAGUCAUUAACAAGAAAGCAUCCAAGAAAACCAGCAGUUAAUACUUAAAUUAACAUUAUCAAAUGGAGAUGUAAAGAAGAAAGAAUCCUACUGCAAAGCUAGAUAGCAGGAGAAUCACUAGAAUGAAGAGAAAUACUAUUGGCACUAUACCUGGAUUAACCAAACAGUAGUCUCACUAUAAAUUUCAUUGUUAAUAAACCAACUUGCCAAACUGGUCCCAUUCACUUUGUUUCCUUCCAUAUAUGGACACCCUGUACUCUGCCAUCUAGAAAAUAUAUAUAUUAUUCAGUGUAGUCAGAGGCGCAAGGAGCACUCUAGGUGCUAGAAUCCUUUUAUUGUACAAGGCACAUGGCGCACAAAAAAAAAAAAAAACUUGCUUAUGUUAAGGCACAUGUAUGCGUGUUUUGGUAUGUCCAUGUCUGUAUAUAUAUAAGCCGAAGAUAUAUAAUUAUAAUAAUAAACUAUAAAAGUGCUCCAGUCUGAAGUACAGAACAUGCCAAAUUUUCUUUCUUUUGUCAACCAUAUGCAUAUUUCCAUAUGAUGCCAUGCCUGGUGUUGAAUACUCAAAUAUUGAGAAGUUGAGAGUUCGAUAUUAUCCCUUUGUUACAAUUAAGAAACAAUUAAAGAGAUAGUAAAGAGAACUUCAAUUAGAAGGCCUUUUCCCCCUACAUGCACCAGGCAGGCGCUUAGCCUGAAAAGGUCAAAGGCCCUUUUACUGUCUGGUGAUAAGGCAAAAAACAUUGGACAAAGUUGGUGGGAGGAUAGAAUACUAAAAGAGCCCAAUGUUGUCACUUUUCUAAAGUAAGCUCAUAUGCCUUUUUUGUACCCAAACAAUAUCUUACCCUUUAAUUUGUACCUAAAGAAAUUAUUUCUAAUAGAAAGUUUACUUUUGUUAUGAUCAAUGCUGGAGGCCAAAACUGAUUUGGGCUAAGGAAUUGGUGGUGAGAGUUGGAAGGCAAGAAGAAAGAAAGUUCUUUUGAGUGUUAUAUUUUUCAAAAAAUACAAAUUGUUCAUUUUUUUUACCACAUCAUCAUGCCAGGUCAGCUUCCAUGUGGAUAAAGAAAAUUUUGGCGGCAUUGAAACAGAGGCUUCAUGGGCUUUUAGUAAUUUAGCCCUUGGAAGGAAUAUGACCAUCCAAAAAAAGGCAGUUGAUGCUUUAAGGUCAAUUAGCCGAAACAAUAACAACAAUUCCUAGGCUUCAAUAAAAUAAUUUAGACAACAAAUAAAGCUUGAAGGUUGAGUUUUGCACUGCAGCAGCAUUGGGCUUUACAAGGUGAAAACCCACAUUGCACAAAAAUAUCAAAGUUUCAGAUCUAUCAUAAUUUAAAAUUCUAACUAAACUAAACGCCAAGAAUGCUGAAUGCCUAAUCAAAAAACAUAAGAUUAACCCAAGGACCUAAUUGGGUAUGCUAAAAUUUGUCUUGGAAUGAAAUUAAUAAUAUCCUUACUAUUUCACUUUUUUUUUCUUCAUAUGUUUGGUGUGAGCAUGAUACAGAUUAGACUGAUUUUAAAGUAAAAGUAAAACGAUACCAAACCUAAACAUUUUGGUUUUUUUUUAAUUUUUUAUCAGAGCCCUGUUUGAUGCAUUUUUAGUUUUGUUUUCUAAUAACAAAUGGAAAGUUAAUUAAAAAAAAACCCUAAUCCAAUGAGUUCUUUUAUAGAUAUAAGAUAAGUCCUGCAAAGUUUUUGUUUUUUAGAAAUAAAAUUUUAUUUUUGUUUUUUAAUUCUUCAUACCUAUUUUAAUAUCUAAGUUCCGGAUUCCUAACUGCCCUUUCAAUUAUAUAGUAUUCAAGAUUUGAACUUAUAUUUUUCUAUAAAAAUAUAAUGUAUUUUAUUAUUGUAUCCUACAUUCAUUAAUACUUAGUAGAAAUAACCUAAUAAAAUGAUUUUUUUCAUAUAUUAAUAGAGAUAAGAUUCGUGCAAAAUUGUUGGUUGAAAAUUCAUUAGGAAAGGAUGAUUGUACGAAUGUACCAUCAUUAUAAGUGAGCUCAACGAUAAGCCUCCUAUCAAUCACCAGUGUGCAGAAAACAUUUGAAAUCGAAACACCCGUUCAUACAUCAUACAUCAUCAUAAGUGAGCUCAACGAUAAGCCUCCAAUCAAUCACCAGUCUACAGAAAACAUUUGAAAUCGAAACACCCCGGACAUCUCCAACAAAUCUGCCAUAACGUUAGCAUCUCUUCCAUUUUUUCUAAACAAAACCUCACUAAGCUCAUCAAAUGUGCCAAUAUUUCCAAGGCCUAGAUUUCUCAUUGAUACACCAAGAAAGCUCGACUAUGGAGUCGGAUUCAACCAUAAGCUUUCAGUCUAUAAUCCACUAGGAAUCCAAAAAGAAACACUCUCGAACACCUAAAGAACCUGAAACAUAGCAAUGACAUGACCCUUUGAAUUUCUAAGAACCUCACCUCACCACGUCGAGCUAAGAUUACCUAAUGUCGAACCUUCACGGUUAAACUUUUACCAGCCUUCACCUUACUCUUGAUAUGAUGAUUAUGGAUACUCCCUUCACAAUCCCACAAACACUCCCACCAAAUUGACUCAACAAAAUUUGCACCUAUAGGUUUUCUGUUUAUAUUUGAUUUUGUUCACACAUUGCCUAAAACUACUCAUGAUCCCUCUCCAACCUAUAAAUACGAGGAUAAUGCGCUUCAACGCGCUCAAACCCACGUCCUCCUACAUUAGCAACAAUACUCAUGUCAAUCGAGUUAAAACACAAUCAAUAGAUUUUUUUUAAAAAAAAUCUUUAAAUGUUAUAUUAUUAUAUAAGAAUUUGAAACAUGACUUCCGUAGGUUUUAAAUCUAAUGUUGACACUAAUCUUGAAUAAGUCAUUCCACUCCCAUCUUAACUAAUGGCCAAAGAGAUAUCAAAAGUGGGAGAUGGCCAUAAAAUUGUGUAGUUUGGGUUAUAAAAUUUUUGGGCAAACUACAUAUAUUAUCAUUUAAUUAUAUAUUUUUUUCAAUUUAAACACUUAAAGUAAAAAAUUUAUAAUUUAAGCACCCACAUUAUAUAGUUUAGUUAUUUUGAUCACUCCAGUUAAAAUAAAAAAUGGCAAACUGAAGCGACAAUUAAAAAAAUGUAUAAUAACAAAUUUAACCCUCAAAUUUUAUAUAUUAUAUCAAUUACAUAUUACAACUAAUUUUAUAAUUAUUGAUAUUGAAUAUGUCCCUCACUACGUUAGGGAUUUUUUUUAUAAUUUGUAUUUAAUUAAUAUUUAAAAUUAAUUUCAAAAUAUGUGAAAAUUUUAUAAUUAUUUGGUGUUAGUCCCUUUAUUAUACCCAAAUUUAGGAUUAAGCCCCUAUAUUUUAAUUUUGACAUAAUUUGUUUCUUUCACUUUUAUAAUCUCAUUAAUUAUUUCAAGUAACUAACACUUUUAACAAUAUUGCCAAAUAAAAUAAUGUCAUAUUUUUUUUUCUUAAAGCCAUCACUUCUAACUAAAUCAUGACUUAAUCACUUUCUAAUUAAUCAUACUAACUUAGAUUUUUCUUUUGUUGGAAUCAGUACGUUUAAGGAAAACCCACCUUAACAUUUGUAGAUGUCUUCAACAAUUUCCUAAGCACGAUACAAUAAAGCUUGGUGUGUAUAAUUUUGUUUUAUGGAAGCUCCAAAUUAUGUUGAUUCUUGAAUGAUACGGUCUGCAUGGGUUUGUUUUGGGUGCUAUUAGUGUACUAGCACAGUUUGUAGAGGAUAAAUAUGGGAGAUUAGUAGAAAAUUCUGAUUAUGUUUUACAUGUGCAACAAGAUAAGCUAUUGGCUUCUUGGUUACUUUCAACUGUUAGUGAUGAAAUCCUAGCCUAUCUUACUAGUGCUCGUACUAGUUAUUAUAUGUGGGAAACUAUUGAAAAGAAGGGUUGCGACUAAGUCCACGGUAAAAUUGUCCAGUCAUGUGUUGUAUUCACAGAAAAAGGGUCAUUUGUUUGUUAAAGAAUAUUUGUCUAAGAUCAAGUCCAUGUGUGAUAUGUUGGUUGCAACGGGUUGUUUGAUUUCAAAUCAAGAAAUGGUUAGCAUCAUUCUUGCAAGGUUGCCAGUUGAGUGUGAAUCAGUACGGGUAGUAGCUUCAGCUACUGGUGUGUCACUUGAUCUGUUGAUUGAGAUGCUGCUUGAUUGUGAAGCUCGAAAAUUGAGUUCUUGAAUAGUGUUCUCGUACAACCUAACAUAGCUAGUAAACAAGAUUGUGAUGAGGGUGAUCGGACCAAGGGUUCUGAUUAUAACAGUGGCUAUCAAGGGAACAAACAGACAUAUAUAGGUGGUUUUCAAUGCAAUAGAGGUUCCAUCGAGGUUGAGGCCGUGAGGGUUGUUUUUCUAACAAUCGGCCCCAAUGCCAGUUGUGUGGUAAAAUUGGACACAUUGUCCAAAAGUGUUAUUACCGUUUUGAUGAAAAGUUUUGCAGGUAUUGCUAGGAUGGUAAUAUGGUAUAGUGGGCUGCAUCUUGAUUGUUUGUUUCUCAUGCUGAGGCUAUAAUUUUAAUCAUACCUAUUAUUGUUUCUUGUGUCCUGCAAUUUCAUCAUUUGCAGGCUGUUUCACUAAUUGCAUCCUAUUUACAAGUUCCCUUGUGUUAUCCUCUGCGCUUGGGUGGUUCUCGCUCAUAUAUUAAUGACCAUGCGUCUUCAAUAGACCAUGCAUCUUCUGAUUUGUCAUUGGAUACAACACUUUCAGCAAAUGUAAAGCCGGUAGAAUUUCCGCUGUUUUUAGAAGGUCAAGACACGACAAGAGCAGCAUAUGCUGUGUUCUUGUUAAACAAGGUAAGCUUUUGCAUAUUAGUAAUUUUUUUUUCCAAGAUGAAUUAUUCUCCUUUGGCAUUUUAUAUUAUAUAAUUAGUCACUACAAAACAUAAAUAAAUAAUAAUACUCCAUUUUUACAAUAAAAAUUCACUAAAGAAAAUACAUUUGAAGUCUAUCAUUGCUUUUUCGAAUAAGAGUCGGUCAAGAAAGUUAUGCGCAAAUACUUAUAUCUUUAUUUCAGAUGCUUUCAAUUCUAUUGUCACUUAAAUCCAAGUACUUUAAAUUUGUCAAAUUAUUCAAUUUUGAAAUUCAAUCCCAAAUAUUGAUCAAUUAUAUAUAUUCAUGAUAUGAUAAAAGCAAAGACAUCUUUCAACAUUAACUUUCCCUUAAACAAAAAUUGGUUUUAAAGUAAAAAAGAAACAUAUAAAACCAGUCUAGCUUGAAUAUGAAUCAAUAUAUAAACACUAUACUUAUACCUUGGUUUGAGAUGCUUUCAAUAUUGUUGUCGCUUAAAUACAAGUAUUUCAAGUUUGUCAAAUUAUUCAAUCCCAAAUAUUGGUUAGUUAUAUAUGAUAUGAUAAAAUCAAACUUGAACAUACAUUGAUUUUUAAAGUUGAAAAUUACUUGUUAAUUUUUUUUCUUUCUUACCUAUAUGAAAAUUUUACUAAAGUAAAAGUUGAAUUACAACGGAUAAAAAGAAUGGAAAACUAGGUACCAAGCCUAGAAGACCAUCCUCAAACUCCACUAUACAAAUAAAAACUACUCAAACUCCACUAUACAAAUAAAAACUAACACCGGACCAAACUUAAUUUACCUCUUAGAUGACUUGAUCCUUCAAACUGGUUGUAUGAUAGAUCUAAAUACCGGAGAGAUGAAAGCUCACUCAAAGAUAACAAAAUGCUAUCAUUCAAGUAAUUGUAACUUAAGUCAAGGAUCUCCAAAUUACUCAAUGUGAAUGAUAGCUUUCCAAAGCCUGUAGAAGUGUUCUUUUAAACAUAUACAAGCAGUUAGUGACUUUUCUUCCAUAAAAUAAAAUAUAAGUAAUUGUAAAUUAACAAUGGUGAGAAUAGUGGAAUAGUAAAAGAUAUAAUUAAGGAAAAAAAAUAAAGGCACGACCUUCAUUUUCAAGGUUACCACCUAUGGCAUUUCCCGACAAAUAAAGUCUCUUCAAUUCCUCAAAAGGAAGAAACAUAGAGGCAUUGAGAUACCAGACAAUGAGAUUCCUAUUAUCCAUGCCGUAUUCCCAAUUGUCUUCCCAUUUUGUAGAAAUAAGGGAGAGUUGUAUGAGUCUCCUAGUGGUGGUGUUACACUCAAAUCCUUCCCAUUUACAACAAUCUGAACCCUUCACCUCAACCCAACUUUGCAAUGGAUUACGAUAAACGAAGAAAGGCUUGAGAUGCAAGAGAGCGAUUCUCUCAUGCUCCAAACAAGCAUCAGUAGUACACCAUCUGCAUCCUUCUAACACCAACAACAUUAUUGCCAUCCUAAUAAACUAUAACCAUUUCCACUCCAUCAUCAUCAUCUCUCUGUUUUGUAUACAUAUGGACUACAAUUCAAGUUUCAUGCUUAUAAUUAUACCAAAUCAAAGUUCAUGUAUCAAAUUGCACAUUAAAUCAAAAUUUAUGUAUACAUUUGAUAUUUAUCUCAUUUAUGGGAGAUUAACUUUCUAAUGGUAUUGUUUUGUUUACAUUAAUCCAAAUAAUAGGAAAUGAUGAAUUAGUUUAACGCAAAUUGUAAUUCUAUUAAUGUUUCUUCUCAAACUUUUGGUUGCUCUUAUUUACAUGUUUUAUUAAUUGAUAGAUUUAAAUUCUUGGAAUAUAUUCGGUUAGAAUGAAGUGCCCCGAAUCCUUAUUUAAAUAAAAUACAGUGUUAAAAUAAAAGAAAAGUAAAAUCCCUACAGAAUUAUACUUCUUUUAUUUUAUUUUAGAAUAAGGCUUUUUAAAUCUUAUUAAACUCCAUCUAUUUGAUAUUGAUUAGAAUAAAGAGUUUCACUCCUAUUAGAAUAAAGUUUUACAAGCCUAUAAAUAGACAUAGUCUACUCCUCUUGUAAUUAAUUCAAAUUCGACAUAGUGAAUUUUCUUCUCCUCUGCCCGUGGUUUUUUCCCGAAAGGGUUUCCACGUAAAAUUUGUGUGUUCUUUAUUUUUCUAUUUCUAUUUUCUUUGUGAUAUAUUAUCAUUACCGACAUUUAUUUUCACAAAUUGGUAUCCGAGCUUCUGGGUUGUUCAUCGCAAUCACUGUAAUGACGUCUUUGAAGUAUGAAAUUCUACUGUUGGAUCGCAACACCAGAUUCGCAUUUUGGCAGAUAAAGAUGCAGGCAGUUCUUGCACAGAUGGACUUAGAGAAAGCCCUGCUAAGGUUAGAUAAGAUGCCUUCAACAUUGAUGGAGGAAGAGAAGAAGCACAAGGAUUGAAAGGCGUUAACACAAUUACAUCUGCAUUUGUCUAACGAAAUUUUGCAGGAUGUGAUAAAGGAGAAUACCGCCGCUAGAUUAUGGAAGACGUUGGAACAACUAUGUAUGUCGAAAACUCUAACUAGUAAGCUGCAUAUGAAGCAGCGUCUUUAUGCUCAUUGUUUGGAGGAAGGUGCGUCUAUGCAUGAACACUUGACAGUGUUUAAAGAAAUUCUCUCAAAUUUGGAGGCCAUGGAGGUUCAGUAUGAUAAGGAAGAUUUAGGGUUGAUUCUACUUUGUUCGUUGCCCCCGUCUUAUUUAACCUUUAGAGAUACAAUUUUAUAUAAUCGCGAGUCUUUCACAGUUGAUGAGAUUUAUAAUUCUUUAACCUCGUAUGAUAAGAUGAUGCAUCUUAUGGUUAAAACUGACUCUCAAUGAGAGGGUCUCAUUAUUCGUGAGAGAUAAGAUCAGAAUAUUGAUGAUGAUCAUGGAAGGACACAAGAACGGAAUCCUCGUGGUAAAUCUAAAGGUAGAUCGAAGUUUUCAAACAGAGGUAAAACUUGUAACUUCUGCAAGAAGAAAGGGCACAUUAAAUCUAAGUGCUAUAAGCUACAGAAUAAGAUCAAAAGGGAGACUGUGAAUCAAAAUGGAAAACAACCAGAAAAUUUUGGUAAGGCUAAUGUUGUAGAAUACUACAGUGAUUGUGAACUUCUAGUCGCUUCUGUCAAUAAUUUUAAAGUGAGCGAGGAGUGGAUCCUUGAUUCGGGUUGCACCUUCCACAUGAGUCCCAAUAGUUAUUGGUUUACAACUUACGAAAUAGUGUCUGAAGGUGUUGUUUUAAUGGGAAAUAAUACUUCAUGUAGAAUUGCAGGUGUUGGAACAAUUAAAGUUAAGAUGCUUGAUGGAGUUGUCAGAACACUUAGUGACAUAUGACAUGUUCCAAAAUUGAAGAGAAAUUUAAUUUCAUUGAGUACUCUUGAUUCAAAAGGGUACAAAUACACAGCUAAAAGUGGUGUUUUGAAUAUUUCUAAAGGUUCCCUCAUUGUGAUGAAAGGAUAGAGAAAGACUACCAAGUUUUAUGUUUUGCAAGGUUCUAUUGUUACUGGUGAUGCAGCUGUCGUAUCCUCUUCCUUGUCAGAUGAUGAUAUUACUAAACUUUGGCAUAUGCGCCUAGGGCAUAUGAGUGAGAAUGGCAUGGCAGAAUUGAGCAAAAGUGGACUUCUUGAUAGGCAAUGAAUUUGCAAACUGAAGUUCUGUGAGCACUACAUUUUUGGGAAGCAAAAGAGAGUUUGAUUCACCAGAGGAAUCCAUAACACAAAGGGAACGUUUGAGUAUAUUCAUUCUGAUCUGUGGGGGCCAUCCAGAGUACUUUCGAGAGGUGGAGCUAAUUAUAUGCUAACUUUUAUUUAUGAUUUUUCCAAAAAAGUGUGGGCGUUCUUCCUGAAGCAGAAAAACGAUGUGUUUUUUGUAUUUAAGUCUUGAAAAACCAUGAUUGAAAAACAAACGGGAAAGUAAAUAAAACACCUCCGCACAGACAAUGGCUCAGAGUUCUGUUUUGAUAAGUUUAAUAAAUUGUGCAAGUCAGAAGGGUUCAUGAAACACUUGAUAGUUCAUCAUACUCCACAGGAAAACGGCGUUACAGAAUAAAUGAACAGAACGAUCAUGGAGAAGGUUCGAUGUAUGUUGUCAAAUACCAACUUACCAAAGUCAUUUUGGGCUGAAGCAGCCUCUACUGCAUGAUUUUUAAUCAACCGAUCUCUAUCCAUUGCCAUUGAGAAAAAGACUCCACAAGAGGUAUGGUCUUGUAAUCCUGCUGACUAUUCUGAUUUAAAGAUUUUUGGUUGUCAUGUGUGUGUGCAUGUUGAUAAUGGAAAAUUGGAAUUGAGAUCCAUUAAAUGUGUUUUUCUUGGUUAUAAAGCUGAUGUAAAAGGGUAUAAGUUAUGAUAUCCUAAAAAUAGAAAAGUUGUGAUUAGCAGAUAUGUUAUUUUUUAUGAAACUGCUAUGCUACCUAACUUAUCUCUUAAAGAAUCUCUCAAUAAAGAAAAUCAAAAGUAGGUGGAGCAUCAGAUUAAUACAGAAUCUACAACAGAGUCGACUACUGAAGCCAGUACAAAAAUUCAAAAUAGAGUUGCUCCUUCACCAUAAUACUCUAUCGCCAAAAAUAGAACUAGAAGAGAAAUUAGACCUCCAAAGAAGUAUGUCAAGUCUGAUCUAGUUGCUUAUGCUUUAAAUGUGGCUAAAGAUAUAGAUGUAAAAUAAGAGCCAUCUAAUUAUUCUGAGGCGAUUAGUUGUGAAGACUCAGAAAAGUGGAUGUUUGCUAUGCAAAAGGAGAUGGAAUCACUCCACAAAAAUAAAAUAUGGGAUCUUGUGAAACUUCCUAAAUGUAAAAAGAUUAUUCGUUGUAAAUGGGUGUUUAAAAAGAAAGAAUGGACUCCAAGAGUUGAAGAACCCAGAUAUAAAGCAAAGUUUGUUGCAAAUGGUUACAGUCAAAUUCCAGGAGUGGACUUCACAGAUGUGUUCUCUCCAGUUGUGAAGCAUAGUUUGAUUCAAGCUUUACUUGGUAUUGUGGCCAUACAUGAUUUGGAGCUUGAACAGUUAGAUGUAAAAAAUGCUUUUUUGCAUAGAGAAGUUAAGGAGGAUAUUUACAUGCAACAACCAGAGGGUUUUACAGUCUCAGAAAAAAGGACUAUGUUUGCUUGCUGAAAAAGUCUCUUUACAGUUUGAAACAGUCACCAAGACAGUGGUACAAGAGGUUUGAUUCAUUUAUGACUUCUCAUGAUUUUAAAAGAAGUAGCUUUGACAGUUGUGCUUACUUUAAGAAAAACAAUGAUGGUUCUUUUGUGUAUCCACUCUUUUAUGGUGAUGAAAUGUUGAUAGCAGUGAAAGAUAAAUGAGGGAUAAGAAAGGUCAAAGCCCAACUAAGUGAAGAAUUUGAGAUGAAAGAUUUGGGACCAGCAAAGAAGAUACUUGGUAUGGAGAUUCUCAAAGAUAGAAAAGUAAGUAAAUUGUACCUAAGUCAAAAGGGGUACAUUGAGAAAGUUCUUUGCAGAUUCAAUAUGCAGAAUGCUAAGCCUGUUAGUACUCCUUUAGCAGCCCAUUUUAGACUUUUAUCGGCUUUGUCUCCACAAUCAGAUGAUGAGAUUAAGUACAUGUCACAUGUUCCAUACUCUAGUACAGUGGGAUCUCUCAUGUAUACUAUGGUUUGUUCACGUCCAGAUUUAUCAUAUGUAGUUAGUGAAGUUAGCAGAUACUUGGUGAAUCCCGAUAAAGAACAUUGGAAAGUAGUUCAGUGGAUUUUAAGAUACUUACGAGGUACUACUGAUGUUUCCUUACAGUUUGGAAGAACUAGAGAUGAAGUCAUUGGGUAUGUUGAUGCUAAUUUUGCUGGAGACUUUGAUAGAAGAAGAUCUCUCACAGGUUAUGUCUUUAUAAUCGGAGGUUGUGCAAUCAGUUGGAAAGCCACUUUGCAAACUACAGUUGCUUUGUCCACCACUGAAGAUGAGUACAUGGCGAUUACUGAGGCUUGUAAAGAAGCUAUUUGGUUGAAGGGACUCUUUAGUGAACUCAAUAAAGGCUUUCAAAUCAAUACAGUAUUUUGCGACAGUCAGAGUGCUAUCUUCUUUACAAAAGAUCAAAUGUUUCAUGAGAGAACAAAACACAUUGAUAUUCGGUAUCAUUUUGUUCGUGAUAUUAUUGCUUGUGGUGAUAUUGUUAUGAGCAAAAUUAGUACUCAUGAAAAUCCUGCAGAUAUGAUGACUAAGUCACUUCCUAUAACCAAGUUUGAGCAUUGCUUAGACUUGGUUAGUGUUCAUUGUUGAAGUUAAACCCUUAAGGGGUUUUAUGGAAUAGGUGGAAAACUUGAUCGUUGAGAGUUCGCGAUGAAGAACUUGUUCAUUAAGAAUUCGUGUCAAUGUGGAGAUUGUUAGAAUUAAGUGACCCGAAUCCUUAUUUAAAUAAAAUACAGUGGUAAAAUAAAAUAAAAGUAAAAUCCCUAUAGAAUUAUACUUCUUUUAUUUUAUUUUAGAAUAAUAUUUUUUAAAUCUUAUUAAACUCCAUCUAUUUGAUAUUGAUUAGAAUAAAGAGUUUCACUCCUAUUAGAAUAAGGUUUUACAAGCCUAUAAAUAGACAUAGUCUACUCCUCUUGUAAUUAAUUCGAAUUCGACAUGGUGAAUUAUCUUCUUCUCUGCCCGUGGUUUUUUCCCGAAAGGGUUUCCACGUAAAAUCUGUGUGUUCUUUAUUUUUUCUAUUUUUAUUUUCUUUACGAUAUAUUGCUAUUAUCGACAUUUAUUUUCACAUAUUCUAAUUAAUUAGAUAUUUCCUUCCUUCCAAAAGCCUUUCAAAAUAGGUUUAGUUUGACCAAGAUACUCUUGUAGAAAAUUUUAGUUUUGUGGGAAAACGAAAAACUAGAUUUAUUUUUUAUUCUAAUUGGUUUCAUAUGCAAGGUAUAUAAACUUUUGUGUCGCUGCAAUUUUUUUCCAACAUAUGUAUGUGAUUUGUGGGGUUUCAAUUUUGAAUUUUUUUUAUAAUUUAAUUAAAUUGUGAAAGUAUUUGAAAGUUUUUAAGUUGAUACAAUGUUUAGAACUACCCCAACACCCACCCAACCCUUAAAUAGGAGGAUAAACAUGCUUCAGCACGCUCAAACUCACAUUCUCCUACAUCUAUGAUAAUACUAAUGCCAACCGAGUUAAGACUCAACUAGCCUUGAAUUUUGAAUUUUACUUCUGAUAUAUUUUGAAUUUUGAAAUUUUAAUUUUGACCCAAACAGUAGCAGUUAAUUUAAUUUGAUUAAAUUUAAUUACUAGACCUAUAUUAUGCGUACGAUUAUUGAUUAGUCUAUACUCUCAAAUUGGGCAAUUCUAAGUACCUAUACUUUCUGAAUUUUGAAAUUUCAGUCUUGAUGCAAAUGACAAUUGUUAAUCUAUUAAUUAGAUUUUUAGCGAGUAAUAUGUAAAAAUAACAAACUGGCAUAACAUUACACAUAUGAUAAUAUGUUUAUUGCACCGCAUUUGAAAAUAGCCGAAUUUAACAAAUAUCGUUAGUGAGGAUUGGAAAUUAGAGUCUAGGGAUUAAAUCCACAAGUUCAGUAAAUUACAAGAACUAAUGGUAGAAUUUAACCUUUAUAUAACCUUUAAAUUCUAACCGUGGUUUGCACACUACUCAGCCGACCAUUGGCUGUGGUGGGAACACAAACUGUUUGAAUUUGACAUCAGUGAUUGAAUUUUCAUAGCUAAUAUGUACGUUCCUUCAAUUUCUCCAUAGGAGGGAGUGGAAUACAUUAUAUAAGGUAAUAUUUGAUAUAUUCGGUAAAUGAAUAAUUGCAAGAUAUCUCAUUAUCUAGUAAAAUAAAUAAUGAAAAUUUUAUAAAUAAAUAUUAAUAAAAUAUUAUUACAUAUAUCAACAAUGACAUAGUAAGUUGCAUUAACUUUUAGAUGUUGACUAUUGACUUUUGCAUCAACCUUGAACUUACAUAGGCCCCUACAAUAAUUUAGGUUAUGGAAAUAAUCUUGCAAAUAAUGCUUGAGACAUCAUUAUACAUCAAUUUAUAGUUUUAAUUCUUGUACUUACUCAAUUGGAAUAAAGAUUUAGUUUUUUAUUUUCUUUUGAUACAAUGUCUAGAAUUAUCCAUAGCCCUUUUCCAACCCUUAAAUAAAUGAAUAAUGUGCUUCAGCGUACUCGAACUCACAUCUUCUUACAUUGACAAAUUGCUGAUGCCAAUUAGUUAAUGUUAAUGCUAUACUUUAGUUAAAAAUAACUAACAUUAUUAAAAAAUUCAUUAGUUGGCUCAUGUGGAUUUUUUUUCAAAAAAAUUGAAAUUAAGAACCAUAAAUUCUUUAAGACUUAAAAAUUAAAAUUAUGUGGUUAUUAAAAAAGAUUUAUUUUUUAUUAAAUUAUUAUUUAAAAUAAAUUUAUCUCAUCAUAAUGAUAUGAUUUUUUUCUUUAAAAAAUCCACAUUAACCAACUAAUAGAAUUGUAUAAAGCUGCCACCAAUCUCUUAGCAUGAUGGCAAAAGAUUCAGAGGCAGCCAGAAAAUCUUUUGAGGGGCGUGAAUAAAGUUAUAUAUUUUUAUAAUAGCAAAAGUGAAAUUUUAUUAUUAUAAUAGUUUAUAUCUUUAAUUUUUAAAAUAUUAAAUAAUUUUUUUCUUAUUUUUGAGGGGAUAAAGUAUAAGUUUAUCAUAUACUAAUUUUAAAAUUAUAAAAAGACUAAAUGUGAAAUUUUUCAUUUUAAGGGGUGGGGCCCUGUCAGGUCUCCUUGGCUUCACCUUGAUAAAAGUAUUAUGUAAUACGUAUAAAGUUUGAGUUUAAUCCCAAACAAUCUCAUUUCUUAUCCCUCAUUAUAAAAUAAUAAAAUAAAUAGAGCAAUUGAUAUGAGGAGACAAGUAUAAUAGGGCAAUUUUAACCUGGGCCAGAUUUCAAAACAAAACCCAAACCAAAUAAUAAAAGAGUCCAAAAUAAUUAAAACAAUCCAUCCAUUUUACAAACAAACCCAAAUUAGCAGCCCAAAUACAAAUUAAAACUCAAUAACCCAAAACUAACUAUAGCCCAAUUAGCUAAACACUUAAACGCAACAAAAAAAACCCUAUCCCCCUAAGCCUCCAACGCUGCAUGACCACCUACGCCGCACGUCGUCGCUGCCGCUCGAGGCUCGCCUAUCUUCGACCAUCCACGCAUCUGACACUUGCAAAACCAAGGCAACACGCAACAACAAAGGCCAAAUAGAGGAAACAACAAGGAAACAGACAAAAAAGGAAGAAACAAACAGUUUUGAUUCGGCUAUAAAAGCCCGAAUCUCACCCUUGUAAUUUUUUUGCGAACAUUAGAAAAUAAAAAAACAAAAACAACACUUUCAAGGUGAAUUUCUACUUUUAUUUCUGUUUUAAAUACUUAUUUGAUUCUAUAUUCAUAUUUUUAUUUUAUUUUUUAUAUAUAUACGAAAAUAAUAAAAUAAAAAAAGGAAGAAAGGGCUCACCGGAGACGCCCCGUGAUCGUGCCGUCAGAAGGCUCUUCUCCGUUGUUGCCAUCGGAUCCGAGAGGGGGUCGAGAGUCUUCCUCUUUCGCUUUUUUGGGUCGAGAGGGCUGGGCUUCCAAGGGAGCUGCGAAACGGGGGCUAAAAAUGCCCUUUUGCGCAACACCGACCACCGGCCACGACAGCACUACGACGGCGACCAUGGCCGGCCAAGGGGUGGGCUGAGAGAGAGACCAAGAGAUACUGAGAGAGUUCUCUGUUUUUUUAGAAAAAUGAAAGUUGAACCGUUUUUUUCUUCUUUUUUUUUGCUAUUUAUAUAGGGUAUAAUACGACGCCGUUUUGGACUUAAGCAUCAGUGGCCAAAACAAUGCCGUUUUGCAUCAGACCUGAAAAUCGACUCGAAUGCGGCCAGGAUCUGCGCGUUUUAGCUUUGAGGAGCUAUUUGCAUAUUCAGCCCUUCCGCUUUUGUAGUAUAGUGCAAUCUGGUCCUCGUUGUUUUUAUAUUUUGGCCGCAUAAUUUUUUGAUUGUUUUACUUUGGUCCGAGCUGAAACGCUGCGCAUAGGGGCUAGGAAUAUUGCCCAGUCGGUCCCUCAUUCCUUAAGCGCGCUCUAUUUCAGUCCCUAGCAACCCUUUUUUUUAUUUGUAAUUUAAACCCCAAAUUCUGGGUCGAUUUUAGUAUCAUCCUUAGUCCAUUUAAUUUAUUUGUUCACUAUUUUUUAUUUAAAAAACUCUUUUAUUAUUAUUUGUUUUAAGUUUUUUUAUUUAUCAUUUAUUUUAAAUUGUUUUACAUACUAUUUAUUUAAAUUUUUUAUAUAUUAGUCAUUUUAAACCAUUAUAUGUACAUUAUCUUUUAAAUUUUUAUAUACAUAUAUUUUUUUUAAAAAAAACUGUUGUAUGUUUCUUAUUUAUUUAUUUUAAACUGUUAUUAUUAUUCAUUUUAAGUUUUUAUAUACUGUUUAUUUGAAGCCGGUUAUUAUUUAUUUUUGAAUUGUUCUUAUAAAUUAUUUACUUUAAAUUAUUAUUUACUUUGAAAUUUUUUUGCAUAUUAUUUUGUUUUGUUUUUUUUAUUGUUAAUAUUAGUAUAAAAAUUAUAUACAUUGUGUGAUUAUUACCGCCAUGUGUACUAUAAUUAGUUUCUUCGUGUUUUCAUAUUAUUAUCACUCAUUAACAUAACAUUUUUUUCAUAAAUUGUUAUUUUAUGUUCUAUGUUAUCAUUCCAUUUCACUUCAUCACUUCGAAAGUUGCAUUCAAUUUGUAUUUACCCAUAAUAAACCGUUCUAUUUUGUCACAAAUAAAACAAAUGCACCUCGUUCAAGCAUUGUACUCACAAUUAUUCAAAACGGGGAAAAGUUUUAAAAUAAGACAAUAUUUCGCAUUUUGGAGAUUUGAGAAAUUGUACCCUAACUUACGGGGUUUCAAUUUUCUCGUUGAACCUAAAUAGCAAAAUAUCCUUCUAAUUUUCAAAAUUUACGAAAUUCCAAUAAAGUUAAAGGCUAGCUUAUUCUCAAGGGUUCUAAGUGUCGUGUCCUAACUUACGGGAUGUGACAUUUAUUAUCUCGAGACGAGAGGAUCUUUGACAUUCGUUUCAAUUUAUUCAAGCAAAUUCUUUUAAAUUAAAAUAGCGUUAACAAAAGGGGGAUCGUGUUUUAAAUUCUUUCGAAGUUUUUCAAUUUUUAACAUUUAGACAUUAAUUAAUCAAUUGAAUACCAAUUUUGGGCGUGACGAGGGUGCUAAUCCUUCCUCGCAUGUAACUGACUCCCGAAUCCGUUUUCUCAAAUUUCAUAGACCAAAAUCACUGUUUUGAUAAAUUAAAAUAUUUUAUUAAAACAACUAAAUUAUGAGGUGACCUAAUCACACCUCAUAAAAAAAAGAUUGGUGGCAACUCUCGUUUUAAUUUCCAUUUUCAAACCAACGUCGACCCUUUUAAAAAAAUGGUUUCAAUAUUAAGUUAUAAGUUGAAUGAAUUAAAAAUAUGUGAAAAGUGUAAAUAGAGACUCUUCAAUCUCAUUUCCUCUAAUGCUCUUUUUUUAAAUUUUUUUUUAAAUUUUUUAUGUACCUUUUAAAUAGUUAAUGAAAAUAAAAAUAUUUUGAUAAUUUUCACUUCGAAAUGCAAAAGCCAACAACAGUUUUUGACUACAAAAGCGGUGUGUUCUUCAUCACUUCUCAGUGGAAAAACACUUCUGCAAUGUAACAACACUUUUAACCCAAAACGGCUUUUUCACCACAAUAGAGAAUGCACCCUAAAAUUGUAAAUAGAAAAAAGAAGGAUCAAACAUUGUUUCUACCCUGUUUUUGUCUCCUCUUUGAAAAUACUUUCCAAAAAGUUUUAUCAUUUUUUUUUCUGUUUACAAAUUCCUUAUAGAAGUGCUUUCUUUUGAUCCACUUGCAUCAUUGUAAUAAGUUUGCAUUGCCUUCUAACUUUCUAUGUUGAUUACAGUUUAUUAAGUUUUCUGUUGGAUCUUAUAGUCAAAUUCCUUUACAUCAUGUAUGUUAAUUUGCUUAGCCCUGAUAAAUGUUAGAUAUAGGGUUAUCAGUGUCGAAACCACUUUUUUGGCGAACAAAAAUUAGUUGUUGACUUUAAAAACGAAAGUUGGAGUCGCCAUCGAUCCUUUAUUGGGGUGUGAUCGGCUCACCUUAAAAACGAUUUUGGUCUGCAAAAUUUGAGAAAACAGGUUCGGGAGUCGGUUACGCAUGAGAAAGAGUUAGCACCCUCUUAACGCCCAAAAUUGGUACCGAAUUAAUUAAUUAAGGUCUUAAUGCCGAAUAUCGAAAAUCUGUGAAGAAUUUAAAAAUACGAUCCUCCCUUUUUGUUAAUGUUAAUUUUAUAAAAGAUGCUUGGAUAAAUCGAAGCGAAUGCUAAAGACCUUUUUGUCUUGGAAUAAUAAAAUGUCACACCCAAUACGUUAGGACAUGACAUUUUAGUCCUCGAGAAUAAGCUUGUCUUUUGAUUUUCAAAGCUCGUGCGGUGAAGUUUAAAAAGGAUAUUCAAUUGCUUUAACUCAGAUGAAAAAUCGGAGCCCAAUACGUUAGGGCACAAUUUCUCAAAAUUCCGAGCAUUGAAUAUUGCCCUUAUUAUUAUUAUUUUUAAAAUCUUCAUCUCGAGAAAAUGACAUGUCAUAUCCAAUAUGUUAGGACACGACGUAUCGAAUUUUCGAGAAUGAGCUUUUUAUUUAUGCUUUAAUUAAAAAAGGAUACCCGGUUUCUUAGAUUCAACGAGGAAGAUUGGAAUCCAAUAAGUUAGGACACAAUCUUUUCGAGGAUCCUAAAUUCCGAGUGUCGCGUUAUUUUUGAAAAAAAACUUUUUGAAUAAAAAUGCUCUCGAUACUUGAAUGAUAUUAAACGUAACCUUUUAACAACGAAUAAAAUGCGACGGGACGAUAAUGUAUAACGCGGAAUGACGAUUUGUAAACAAAAUAUACUCUAACGAAUGACAAAUAAUCAAUAAAAACAAAUAAACAUUAUCAUACAUAUAAGAGCAAUAAUCACAUGUAAAUAUUAACAUCAACAUUUGAAAGCUAAUGACCUAAAAGCCUAUCGCAAAUACAACAAAUUUAAAAUAACUAAAAAAAAAGCAUGAGAGAAAAGAAAUUUGAAAUUAUCAACAUAUAUACACAAAAUACACGUAUAUAAAAAUUUAAAAGAAAUAAUUAAUAGGAAGACUUGAAAUAAUUUAAAAAUAGAAUUAAAAAUGAAUAAUAAUAUCUAAAUGAAUUUUAAAAUAAAUAUUAUAAGAAGAAAGUCAAAAUAAAUAAAACCCAAAAUAAUACACAUAUAUUAAUCUAAAUAGGUAAUAGAUAUAAAUUACGUAUUAUAAAAGAAAACUAUUUAAAAAGGGUAAAUUCUAUUGGAUUAACAUAAAAAUAUAAAAUAAUUUAUUAUGAAAUUAAAUAAUAAUAUAUGAUAAUAAUAUAAAAAAACUUAAAAUAAUAGUGCAUAAUAGAAUAAAAUAAUGAAUAUAAAAAGGUUAGAUAAAUUGAUAAAAAAUAAUACUAAUAAUAAUAAUAGUAGCAGUAAUAAUAAUAAUAAUAAUAAUAAUAAUAAUAAUAGUAAUAAUAGUAAUAAUGAUAAAUUAAUAUUAAAGUAAUUAAUUUGAUAGCAAAAAUAACAAAACAGAUUACUAAUUUGGAAUUAAAACAGAAAUUUAGGGGUAAGACGUGCAAUAAAAUGAAAUGAAAAGGACCUAAUUGAAAUUAAUUUAAAAUCAGACUGACUAGCAAAGAAAUUAAACGCACAAGUCUCACCUGGCAAUCAAGUCAGAUCAUCAGAAACGGCGUCGUUUCGAACGUUUGUCUCCUCAACUGACAGAAGGACGAAAUUGAAAGAAAUAUCGAAUUAUGUGGCAAAAUUAAAAAAGACAAAGAAGGAUUAAAAUGAAGUAAAUAAAAAACAGAAGGACCAAACAGGAGAAUAAGCCAUUGAAACAAAACACGCGGAUCCUCCCCGGGUCAAAUCGGAUCAUCGGGUCAACCAACACGGAGACGUUUUGAAGCCAUUAAAUCGGGCUUAAACGGCACCGUUUUAUUAUCGUUAAAAACCUAAAAAAAUAAAACCCUAAUAAUUUGUUUUGCCAUCCUAAAACAGAUCAAGAGCCUAGCCUUCUCCCCACCGGUCUCCACUCACGAACCCAAUCUGACUCCGAUUCAGACGGAGCAAACCAGAUUCCAAUGGCGUCUGCUCUGGUAAGACGCUUCUUCUCUCCCUCUUUUUUUUUCGUUUGGUGCCAAAGAAGAAAACAAAGAAUCAAAGAAAUAAAAGAGAAAAAAAAACGAAGAAAAUCACCUUUCGAAAAAACUUUCUGUUUUGAUUUUUUGUUUGUAUUCAAUAUGCGUAAAAAAGGAUUACAAUGGCCUUCUCCCUCUUUAUAGCCGAAUAUUCGAAAUAAAAUGAAAGAAAAUACAAAAAAUUCUCUCUGCUGCGUUGUUUUCGUCUUCUUUGCAGGUAAGGAGGCUAGCUGGCGUAAGGAGGUGGUGGACGUGGCACAGCACACUCGGGGAAGGCCCUGGUGGCUGCGGCGCUGGAAGGAGGGCUGUUGCAGCUAGGGUUUUCUGAUUUUUUUUUGGGCUAGGGUUGGGUUGAUAGUUGUAUUGGGCUAGGUAUUUGGGCUGGGUGUAGUUGGACUAGAUGUAUCUGACUUUGGGUUUGUACCGGGUCACUGUAAAUGGGUUUGGUUUUUGUUGUUAUUGGGCUGUGAACUAUUUGAGUUUUAAUUAAUUUUUAUUUAUUUGGUUUUUUAUUGUGGGCUGGGCAAAUUGGGUAUUACAAUCAGCUAAUUAGGAAAGACUGUGAUGAUAGUCACACCUUACAUCCAAAAGCAAAGCUUUUUUUACAUGUGUAUGUAAGGUUGCUAAGCAAAUCUGGUGAGCCUUCACUGCUGUUUUAAGGUUAAGUUAAUGUUCCUUUUCGGCAAAGAACAUUAUCGAGAUCACGGUAUUUUGAUCGCCUUUUGCUUCUUGUUAUUCGUUCUGAAACGAUUGCAUAAUCUUUACUGUGAUUGCAGGAUAUAGAGCAACUUUUGAAUUUCAUCGCUGUAAAGUGUUUAGGACCACGACAUGUUCUUGCAAAUUUGAAGAAGCUUCUAAGGUCUGUCCAGUCUUCAGAAUAUAUAGAUACCUGAAUUAAUUUUGAUUUUGUAGGAUCAACUAUAAUUAGCUACUUAUUAGAGUAUGAAUAGACAACCUCACCUUCUUCACACACUGACACGUGCGGAUUUUUUGCCAAUCCCAUUUCAAAGGAUCACACUUUUUUGUUGUUUACAGAAUCAUAAUUAAUGUUAAUUAAAGUGGAAUAUUUCAGAUUUCUGAUGAUGAGCAUAUUCUUGAGUAUUGCAGUAAAAAAAUGGGUGCGGAACUUAUUUGAACUUUGAAUGUAUGUUUUGUUGGUGAGAAUAUAAAGUUGAUAAAGAUUUGGUAAAUAGAAUAAAAUACUAUUUUUUAUUAGAAAAAUUAUUUGGUAGACUGCCAAUCGAUUUAUAAUUAUCAUGACGCAAUAUUAAGGGUAAUUAAAACAUGUCAUAUUACAAAUAAUAAAAUUAUAAUGACUCAAAUAUACGAACAUGUCAAAAUUUAUGUACAACGAAUUAUUAACAUGUCAAUGUAUAGUAUAAUAUGGUACGCAAAAAUAAGAUAAUUGCUUGUCUUUAAUUGAAUUGUUAUAACACAUUAUACAAAAUACAUUGUGAAUUAAAGCAUAAUAUAAUCAUGAUAUCAAUAUAUUAAAUUUUUUAAAAAUUCGAUGAUACGAAUAAUUAUGUAAAAUAUCACAUGAUACAAAAUGACUUGAGAGGAAAAGAGGAACAAAGACUUGCNNNNNNNNNNNNNNNNNNNNNNNNNNNNNNNNNNNNNNNNNNNNNNNNNNNNNNNNNNNNNNNNNNNNNNNNNNNNNNNNNNNNNNNNNNNNNNNNNNNNNNNNNNNNNNNNNNNNNNNNNNNNNNNNNNNNNNNNNNNNNNNNNNNNNNNNNNNNNNNNNNNNNNNNNNNNNNNNNNNNNNNNNNNNNNNNNNNNNNNNNNNNNNNNNNNNNNNNNNNNNNNNNNNNNNNNNNNNNNNNNNNNNNNNNNNNNNNNNNNNNNNNNNNNNNNNNNNNNNNNNNNNNNNNNNNNNNNNNNNNNNNNNNNNNNNNNNNNNNNNNNNNNNNNNNNNNNNNNNNNNNNNNNNNNNNNNNNNNNNNNNNNNNNNNNNNNNNNNNNNNNNNNNNNNNNNNNNNNNNNNNNNNNNNNNNNNNNNNNNNNNNNNNNNNNNNNNNNNNNNNNNNNNNNNNNNNNNNNNNNNNNNNNNNNNNNNNNNNNNNNNNNNNNNNNNNNNNNNNNNAUGGUCUUCUAGGCUUGGUACCUAGUUUUCCAUUCUUUUUAUCCGUUCUAAUUCCACUUUUGCUUUAGUAAAAUUUUCUUAUAGCUAAGAAAGAAAAAAAAAACUAUUAACAAGUAAUUAUAUAUAUAUAUCAGGUUUUCAAUUGCUUUCAAGACUCAAUAACUUGGAAACUCUCGAUUUAAGUCGGAAUUCUUUUAAGAAUAGCAUUUUGUUCCAUAUGAGAAAUCUUUCAUCCUUGAAGACUUUAAGAUUGAGCGGUAAUCAGUUGAAAGGAAGGCUGGAUCAUAUUCAAGGUAGACUAAUUUUACCUGUUUCUUUUUAACUUUAAAAAUCAAUGUAUGCUCAAGUUUGAUUUUAUCAUACGAUGAAUGUAUAUAACUAAUCAAUAUUUGGGAUUGAAUUUCAGGAUUGAAUAAUUUGACAAAUUUGAAGUACUUGGAUUUAAGUUGGAACGACAUUGAAAGCAUCUCAAACAAAGGUAUAAGUAUUUGUGCAAAACUUUCUUGACCGACUCUUAUUCCAAAAGGCAAUGACAGACUUCAAAUGUAUUUUCUUUAGUGAAUUUUUAUUGCAAAAAUGGAGUAUUAUUAUUUAUUUAUGUUUUGUAGUAACUAAUUAUAUAAUAUAUAAAUCAGGUUUUCAACGGCUCAUUAAAUUGGAAAUUAUUGAUAUAAGUUGGAAUUAUUUGAAGAAUAGCAUUCUUUAAAAUAAAUUCAUGUUGAAGGAAAAGUUGUUGCAAUAAGUCAUUUGAUUUUAUCAUAUCAUGAAUAUAUAUAAGUAAUCAAUAUUUGGGAUUGAAUUUCAAAAUUGAGUAAUUUAAGUAGGAAGGUAUCUCAAACAAAGUAUUUAUAUAUUGAAUCAAUUCAUGGGAAAGCUUGUAAAUUGGCUCUUCCUUCUCAAACAAUCAUUUUUCCUAACUUUUUAUAUCUUGAAUGAUAUUAACUAUACUCAUUAUUUUCUUCCAAUGAUAGAUGGAACACAAUGGAGGCUAACAAACUUAGAGGAACUUGAUUUGAGUGGUAAUCUCUUUCGGAACAACACAAUUUCCUUUCCUCAAGGGCUUUCAAGCCUAAAGUCUUUGACUUUGUACAACAACCAUUUGCAAGGCUCAUUAGAUACUAUAGGUACCAAAGCUAUAACUUUGUUUUUCUUGAUAAUUCUUUCUAGAACCUUUUAAAAUUAAUUGUUUCAAAUUUGAACAUUCACAUUUCACUUUUGAGGAUUUUCAUCUUCACUUCCAGUUUUAGAUUUACUUUUUUUUUCAUUUUUAUUUCAUUAAAAUAUUAAGUAGAAAUUAAAAUUAUUAACAUAAUGAUUUUUUAAAUUGUACGUGGAUAUGUAUAGGAUUGAGCAAUUUAACAAAUUUGAAGAAACUCGAUUUAAGUGGGAAUCAAAUUGAAAGCUUUCAAACCUUUAAAGGUAUGCAUUUAUAUUUAACUAAUUACCUAAAUUCUUACAUAUAAUUAAAUUUUAUGCCAAUUCAUUUCAGUGAUGAAAUUAUAUAAAUCUUUUGUAGAUGGUGGUAGAAAAUUGGAGUUGACCCACUUGGAAGAGCUUUAUUUAGAUGGAAAUCACUUCAAUACUAGUGUAUUUGCAUCCCUUAACAAGCUUUCAAAUUUGAAAUCUUUGAGCAUAAGUGAGAAUCAAUUGAAAGGAUCAAUAGAUAUGAAAGGUAAAAAUAUUAGUUUUUUAACAAGAAUAUAAUAAUGUUUGAAGAGAAUAUAAUGAAGUUGAUUUGUUGUUUUUGUUUUCCUAGAUUUGGAAGCAUUUAUCAAAUUAAGGGAACUAGAUAUGAGCUAUAAUGAAUUGAGAGAUUUUGUGAUCCACCAAGGUAUCAUUUAAUUAAUUUUCCUUUUUUUUUAAUUUAGAAAUUUAGUUUUGAUCUAUGAUAUUAUAAUAACAGUUAUUGUCAUAAAUAUUAAUAAAGUUAUAUCAUAUCAUACUUGAAAGUAAAAUAUGGGUUUGGUGAAACAUUUUCUAAACCCUCCAUUAUAAUGUGUUUCGACUUUGGUUUGAAACUAAAAUUCUUUAAAUUUUUCAUAAUUUUUAAAUAUUAAUGUUUAUAAUUAUUUUGUUUGUAUAACUAUGUUUUUAAAAUAAUUUAUUGAAUUUUUAUGAGAUAAAAAAUAAUUAUAACGAUAAAAAAUGAUAUUAUAAGUAAAAAUACAUAUAUUUAUGGGAAAAUAUGUAAUAUAACUAUAUUUUAAUUUCAUAUAUUUUUAAUAGUAUAAAACAUAAAAAUACAUAUUAGAGUUAAAUAAAUGGCAUUUUUUGGCCAAAAAUAAAUAAAUGUCAAUUUUGAAUAAUAUAAAAAAAAACUUCAAUUUUAUGAAAUUUAAACAUACAUUUUGAGGUGUUUAAACUUUUUUUUUUAACUUUUUAUAAAUUUCAAAAUGCACAUGUUGUUAAUUUUUUGGUUUUAAAAAAUGUGAUAGGUCUAUGUACUCUUUACAAAUUUGUAAUUUAAUUCUUGUAUUUUUAUUUUCGGGAAUUUGAUCCCUCUAUUUUUUAAAUUUUAAAAUCCAAGUUCAAUUGUUAACAUUGUUAUUUUUUUAAAAAAUAAUUUAUUGGUGUUGACAUUUUAAAAUAAAAGAACUUGGUAGCGAUGUAACUAAAAGAUGAUGUAAUGAACAUGGAUUUAAUAAAAUAAUUUCAACCGUAUAAAUAGUUAGACUUGAAUUUUGAAAAAAAAAAUUUGUAAAGAGAAAAAUAUGCACAUUAGAUUUAAAUAAAAAUAAUAUUUUUUUUAGUUUAAAAUUUUCUAUUUUAUAAUAGAACCAUUGAUUUAAAUAAAUGAGAUUUUGAAGAAUUUCCAAAAAAAAAAAACUAUGUAGGUGAAAUUUAAAUAGAGAAUUUGAUAAGCUGAAAUUCUCUUUUGGAAUUCAUAAAUUUUAAAAUUCAGAAGCAUGUAUUUUGACAAUUUUGAUUUAAUAUGGUGAAUUUAAUCAAAAAAUUAUUUAUUAGAUUGUAAAAUAUUUCUUAACAUUUAUAAUUGAGUACAAAGUAAAUUAAGUUUAAGGGAAAAUAUUGGGUACUAUUAAUGAAAUUCUUUUCUUUUAUCAAUUUUUUUUUAAAAAAAUCGGGGUGGUACUAUUAAUGAAAUUCUAAACUUCAUAAGUAGGAUUGAGAUAAUAACAAAUUUCUUAUAUGGUAUAGUAAAAUAUUAAAAAAUAAAUAUUUAAAAGAAAUAGGUUAGUGGCCAUUUUUUAACUUCACUUGUAGAGUUAAAAAACUCCAUUACCAGUACCAAAUACUAACAUUAAGGUUAAAUGCUAAUUGAUUUCAAACAUAUUUGAGUUUUUUAAAAGAAUAUUCUCAUAUAUUUAAAAGAAAACAACACAAAGUUAGAAGAUCUCAUCUUGAAGGGUAAUUCAUUUACCGGUCCUCUCACAUUACCGUCAGCUCCUAACUCUAAAGUGUCUUUAAUUGACAUAUCCCAAAACAAAUUGCAAGGUCAGAUUCCAACCAACGUGUGUUCACAUUUUCCACAUUUGAGCCACUUAUUCUUAUCCAAGAAUGCCUUCGAAGGUGAUAUCCCUCCUUGUUUGAGUGGCAUGAAGGAUUUAUCGAUUUUAGAUUUAUCAGACAAUCAAUUGUCUGGAAGAGUACCUGAAGAGUUAAUCACAAAAAACUCGUUGACCAUUUUGAGACUAUCAAACAACAACCUCAGUGGACAUGUGCUUCCUGUGAUUCUCAAUGCAAAUGGGCUGUCAAAAUUAUAUUUGGAUGGAAAUAAUUUUUCUGGGGAGAUGGCAAAUGUUGAUGUCUCUAUUUCUGAGUUUCCAACUUCACUAAGGGAAAUUAAUCUCGGAAAUAACAAGUUUUAUGGAAACCUCCCAAGAUGGAUGGGGAAUGUGUCAUUUUUGGAGAGAUUAGCUUUGUCCCAAAAUGGUUUCGAGGGUUCUAUUCCAAUGGAAUUUUGCAACUUGAAUCGCUUGGAAUUUUUGGAUCUCUCUGAAAACAAUUUAUUUGGCUCUAUACCGUCCUGCUUUAAUACCCUAAACAUAAAGCAUGUCCACCUGCACGGGAGUAGACUAAGUGGCCCACUACCAAUCGCUUUUUAUAAUAUCUCUUCACUGGUUACGUUAGAUCUUAGAGGAAACAAUUUGACUGGUAGUAUUCCAAAAUGGAUUGGCACACUUUCUUCAUUGAGUGUUCUUCUCUUGAAAGAUAAUCAUUUUCAUGGUGAAGUUCCAGUUCAGUUAUGCAAGUUGGAUUCUUUAAACAUCAUAGAUCUUUCUCAAAAUAUGUUUUCUGGUAUUAUACCUUCUUGUUUGGGAAAUUUAACCCUUUCAACGGAAACAAAUAAGAUUCUAACUGAUUCGAAAAUUAGUCCAAGGUUAACAGGGGACGGAUUAGUGAAAACAUUGGGAGCUCUCGGAAAUUAUUACUAUCCUGAAGGCUACUUAGAAGAAGUAAUAGAGUUCACAACAAAGAGUGGGUUCUUAUCGUAUGAGGGAAACAUCCUUACAUAUAUGACCGGGAUUGAUUUAUCUUGCAACAACUUAACUGGUCAUAUCCCACCAGAAUUAGGGAACUUAAGUGAAAUCUAUUCUUUAAACUUGUCGCAUAAUAAGUUGACAGGAGUUAUACCCUCAUCAUUCGCAAAACUUCAUCAAAUUGAGAGUUUGGACCUUUCUUACAACAAUUUGAGUGGUGAAAUCCCCAAUCAGUUGGUAGAGUUGAACUCUUUGGAGGUUUUCAACGUGGCAUACAACAACUUGUCAGGUAGUAUUCCCGAACCAAAAGCUCAAUUUGGGACCUUUAUUGAAAACAGUUAUGAGGGAAAUCUUUUUCUUUGUGGAGCUAUAUUGCAUAAAAGUUGUUCCAAAACCGAUUCACCAUCAACGAUAUCAACUCUAUCAGAAUAUAAAGGAGAAGAUGGUUUGAUAGGUACUUAUGAUUUUUGUGUGAGCUUUUUGGUUUCUUAUGUAGUUGUGUUGUUGACCAUUUUUGUUGUCCUCUACAUAAAUCAAUACUGGCGAAGAGUUUGGUUUUCUCUCAUUGGGAAAUGCAUCACCACCUGUCGCUACUCAAAUGUGGGCAAUUUUCUUACUUAUCACAUUUUCAAGCAAUGAGUUUAGCUACUCAAAUUGUAAUUUGAUUUUCACACCUAAAUGUUUAAUUAUGCUAAGUUGAGCGAUAAUGAAUAUUUUGUUGAUUUUUGCAUUUUAAAUAAAAGCUCUUUGAUCUUAUGAUUUUAUCAUUUUCAACCAUCUAUUUCUUUUUUCUUCUAUGAAAUUUAAUGUAAAAUCAUAAUCCAUUAUUAUGUAUAUGCAAUAUCUCUUUGAAUUAAAUUAAAUUGAAUACCAAGCGUUCACUAGUGCAUACUGAAAAGGAAAUCUAAUGUAAAAUUAAACCAAACAUACUAGAAAAAUGAAUCUGAAACUGAAAUAUUUUAAAACCUCAAAAACAAUGCAAUUCUUUAUUCCUCUUUUCCUUUCAAGUUAUUUUGUAUCAUGUUAUAUUUUACAUAAUCAUUCAUAUCAUCAAAUUUUAAAAAAUAUUUAAUAUUUUGAUAUCAUGUUCAUAUUAUGCUUUAAUUCACAAUGUAUUUUAUACAAUAUGUUAUAACAAUUCAAUUUAAAAAACAAGCAAUGAUCUUAUUUUUGCAUACCGUAUUAUACAUUUACAUGUUAAUAAUUCAUUGUACGUAAAUUUUGACAUGUUUGCAUAUUUGAGUCAUUAUAAUUUUAUUAUUUGUAAUAUGACAUGUUUUAAUUACCCUUAAUAUUGUGUCAUGAUAAUUAUAACUCGAUUGGCACCAAAUAAUUUUUCUAAUAAAAAAUAGUAUUUUAUUCUAUUUACCAAAUCUUUAUCAACUUUAUAUUCUCACCAACAAAACAUACAUUCAAAGUUCAAAUAAGUUCCACACCCAUUUCUUUACUGCAAUACUCAAGAAUAUGCUCAUCAUCAGAAAUCUGAAAUAUUCCACUCUAAUUAACAUUACGAUUCUGUAAAAACCAAAAAUGUGUGAUCCUUUUUUAAAGCUCUUUUUUUUUUCCUUUAAUGAAAUGGGAUUGGUAAAAAAUCCGCACAUGUGUCGUGUGUGAAGAAGGUGAGGUUGUCUAUUCAUUCUCUAAUAAGUAGCUAAUUAUAGUUGAUCCUACAAAAUCAAAAUUAAUUCAGGUAUCUUUAUAUUCUGAAGACUGGACAGACCUUAGAAGCUUCUUCAAAUUUGCAAGAACAUGUCGUGGUCCUAAACUCUUUACACCGAUGAAAUUCAAAAGUUGCUCUAUAUUCUGCAAUCACAGUAAAGAUUAUGCAGUCAUUUCAGAACGAAUAACAUAACAAGCAAAAGGCGAUCAAAAUACCGUGAUCUCGAUAAUGUUCUUUGCCGAAAAGGAACAUUAACUUAACCUUAAAACAUCAGUGAAGGCUCAUCAGAUUUGCUUAGCAACCUCACAUACACAUGUAAAAAGCUUUGCUUUUGGAUGUAAGGUGUGACUAUCAUUACAGUCUUUUCUAAUUAGCUGAUAACCCUGUAUCUAACAUUUAUCAGGGCUAAGCAAAUUAACAUACAUGAUGUAAAGGAAUUUGACUAUAAGAUCCAACAGAAAACUUAAUAAACGAUAAUCAACAUAGAAAGAAGGCAAUGCAAACUUAUUACAAUGAUGCAAGCGGAUCAAAAGAAAGCACUUCUAUAGGGAAUUUGCAUUUAAGGCAUCGUAAACAGAAAAAAAAAUGAUAAAACUUUUUGGAAAGUAUUUUCAAAGAGGAGACAAAAACAGGGUAGAAACAAUGUUUGGUUCUUCCUUUUUCUAUUUACAAUUUUAGGGUGCAUUCUCUACUGUUGUGAAAAAGCCUUUUUGGGUUAAAAGUGUUUUUACACUGCAGAAGUGUUUUUCCACUGCAGAAGUGAUGAACAACACAUAGCUGUUGUAGUCAAAAACUGUUUUUGGCUUUUGCAUUCAAAAGAGAAAAUUAUCAAAAUACUAUUAUUUUCAUUAACUAUUUAAAAGGUAUAUAAAAAUUAGAUUAAUUUAUAUUUUAUAUAUUAUUAUAUUAAAUUGUUUAAAUCUUAUUUAUUAUUAUAUUUAAUUUUUUCAAAAUAUUUUAUAUAUUAUCAAUUUUACAACUAAUUAACAAAAUAUUUUACUAGGGAAUACGUAUAUGUGAAUAUCUAUAAAUGGCAUGCCUGGAUAUGCAUAUCCUUUGAUAUCAAAUAUUUUGAAAAAAAUAUUAUCAAUUCCACUGAUAUAUUAUCAAUUCCACUGAUAUAAAGCUCUUUAUAUUACCAAUAUAAAUAUAAAUAUUUUGAAUAUAAAUAUCCAUUGAUAUAUUAUCAAUUCCACUGAUAUAAAGCUCUUUAUAUUAUAAAUAUUUUAUAUUUUUUUUCAAAAAUAUGGAUAUGCAUAUCCUUUGAUAUCAAAUAUAAAGGUAAUAUUUAUAGGAAUUGUUUUUUAAUUAGAUAUUUUUAUAUAUCAGUGGAAUUGUCAAAAUAUUUUCAUUAACUAUUUAAAAGGUAUAUAAAAAGAGCUUUAUAUUGCCUCAAGCGCAAGGCACAAAAUGAAGCGCUAGCCUGUGUGCAGUAAAGCGCAAUACGUAUAUGUGAGAGUUUUUGCAAGUCUGUGUGUCUAUAACAUAAAAGUUUAAGAUAUAUAGUAAACUCUAAAGUGUGGUCUGGUUUAUCCACAAAACUUGAAAUUUUUUUAUAGGUGAAUGCUCAAAUAUUGAGAAUUAUAGAGUUUGAUAUUAUCCCUUCCUUAUUAGUAAAGGUAUAUCAAAUGAAAACAGUGAAAAAUAAAAUAAAUUAUUGAGAAAUUCAACAAGGCAGGUUUUUCUAAUGCCCAUUGCCUUACAAAAAAAGUGUGCCUAGGUGCACCAGGCAUGCGCUUGAUCAAAUGGACCUCACCUGGAAGGGUCCAAGGCGUUUUGUUGUAUAAAACUAAGGCGUAGGCAUGCCUAGGCGCAUGCCUUGACGACACUGACCAUAUGUUGGCUUUAUUGCAAAGCAUUAGCAAUUCAAAACUACUAGCACAUUACCUAAUCUACUACUGCUAGAAUAGGACUCAAGUUCUUGCUCCUGUGCAGGUCCAACCAAGAUCUUUACAGGAUACAGUAAUGAAACUUGUGAUAUCAUAUAUUGUUGCCUUGCUCGAAGCUUCCUUUGCACAUUUUUAAGUUUAACACAACCCCUUUCUUCAGUGAGUAAUCUAUUUGCUUCCUGUGAUAAAAACAACAUAUAAUCAAUCAUGCCAUGCAUGCAAGACUACCAACCAUCUUAAAAAAGAGACAAAGAAGUAGGACAGCAAGAAGGGGAUAACCCUUGACUAUGCAAAGGAAUUCAUAGAAUGAGAAUCAUCUCAUCUAAGCCCCUCAACCACCUUCACAGGGGGUGGAGCUGCAAAAAGAGAUGUCUUAUUGAUCCAAGAGGAGAAUAAAUAACAUCUAAAGCUGAAUAAGAAGAAACCUUCAAAUGUAUCAUAAAUUCAGCAUUCAUGAUAAUAUCAAAAUGAAAUUCCAAAGCUAAUUUAAGCUAGAAUAAAAAUGCUUCACCUGUAAUCGCUUCCUUGCUACAGAAAGAGAGGUACCAGCAACCAACAAUGAUCUUACUUCAGUACUAAGCAUUUCCUCCUGUUUUUUAGCAUCCUCUGUUGCAACUUUGCAACGAGUUGACAUUUUGCCAUAACUACUUUCCUUGCCUCUAGUCUCUCACGCAUUUCCUCAAGCUCGUUCAGUUUAUUCAAAGACUCAUUUUUUACCUGCACAGCAUGUUCCCGCCCAUUAAUCAGUGGGCCAAUUGAUUAGGUCACAGAAGACAAAACUAAAUUACCACUCACCAGGUCCCCUUGAAGUGUCAUAUGGCUUUAACAAUUCAACGUGCAAUAUCUAGUAAAAGUAAAAUAAACAUAGAAGAAAGCAAAUGCAAUUCUUAAACGCCUUUAAAUGGACAACAUGAAACAGUUUAAGAGCCCUAUAAAACAGUAAAGUGGAAAAAAAAUCUGAAAAGGAAAAAGAAAUGAAUUGAAACAAUAAAUCCAUCAGGUACAAACAGCAACAAAACUUGAAAUAAGCUUUGGCUUUAGCCCAUUAAAGCCCGGGCAUCCAGCCAAAUAAACAGUGACUGCCAUGUCAACUUUUUGAGACGGUAGAAAAGAGAUCGAAAAUCUCAAUUUCCAAAAAUAAGGACAUAAGAAGUAAAAAAAUGCACUUAUUCUUACAGUAGAAGAGCAAAAUGAAACUAAAUGAAGCAUAAGGGAACUGAUGCGAAUUGACAUUGUCAUUUUUGGGACUAAAAAGAAUACGCAGAUUGAAUAUUUAAGAUUUGGAAGGGAAAAGUUCCAUUCACCAACACAAUUAUCGUCGCCCUUCAUCCUAGUAAAGCUUAAUUGACAAUUUUUCUGUCUCGUGUUCUUGCUAAAGCAUUUGAGCAACCCAACAGAAAUCAUUAUAUUUCAAACUGAAAUGAUUGGCUUUAUCAAUUUCACAACCUAUACCGCCCAACCUAGUAAGUAAUUUAGGUGCAGACACCAGAAAUCUAUUUCCUUUGCACUCUACAACUAAAUAGCCUACCACUUAUCAAUCAAACACAGCUGAAAACUUCAGUGAGGAAACAUUAUGAAAACUGAAAAAACUAUAACUUCAACUUGAUUCAUAGCUCGGCAAGUUCAGGGAAUUGGGACUUCUACCACCAUGAUCCAGUUCGAUGUGAAACAGUGAUCUAUAUCACGCAUAUCGGUUCCCGCAACAAGAGGUAAAACAGCAAAUUAGGUAAACGAUGAUCCUACUAUAUUUCAGAAUAGCAACAUUGAGCAUGAAAGCUAAAGUUAUAGCAUAUUAUGGGUCCUUGCUCUCUACAACUACAUAUAAAAUUACUAAACAAUAUUACUACAUUAAGGAUCCAGAAAAACUUUGUUUCAAUUGUUGAUCACUUGAUCCAACUAUUUUAGAAAGUUUAUUCUUCUUUUUCCUUUCCCUUAUUUUCUAAAUCAGGAAAAACAGUAGCACAUAAACUGGAUUACUACUCCAAGUUUCUAAAAUUUCAGCAAUAUCCCUUUAACCUUUUCACUCAAGUCACUACCCCCCCAAUUAACAAAUAUAUUCCCAGUUUCCCUUUCACUUCAAACCCCCUUUUUUUUUUCUCUACCCAAAUUCAGCUUAAGUUCAAAAACCCAAAAUUGGUUUGCUAAAAAUACAUAAUUUUCAAACACAAAGGUAACCUAAUUUUAAUCAGAAAAAAAAAGCAUUACCUGAAUUAGUGAAUGGAGUUUCUCUUGAAGACUUUGUUUUAAAACUAUCUUAUACUAUUUGCUUUAAAUCGAUUUUUAUUAGCUAUUUAAAACUCGUUUUCAUGUAUUAUUUAUUUUUUUAUCACUUAUUUAAAUUGUUUUACAUAUCUAUUUUUUAAACCCUAUUUUAUUAUAUUUUACUUAUUUUAACUUUUUUACAUAUUUCAUUAUAAAUAUUAUUAAUUAUCUAUAUUGAGUUUUUCAUUCCAUAUGUAUUACUUAUUUAGAUAAAUAUAUACUAUUUUGUGUAUUACUUAUUUUGAUUUUCUUCUUAUACAAUAUUACUUUAAAAUUCAUUUAGAUAUUAUUAUUUCACGUAGUAUUUAUUUUUAUCUUCAUUUUUUAUUUAUUUCAAACUCAUAUAUUGUUUAUUUUGAAAUUUUAUGCAUAUGAUUUAUUGUUUAUAUUGAUGAUUUUAAAUUUCCUUUCUUGCAUGUUUUUUUUAUUUAUUUUAAAACUUGUUAUACUUUAUUUGUGUUAAUUUGCUUAGUUUUUCUUUCAAAAUUAACUUAUAAUUCAUUAGCUUUUAAUGUUAGUAUUUGCACAAUAUGUGAUGUAAGAUUAUUGCUUUCCUGUAUUGCUUAUCUGUAUAUAUUGAUUAUUUGUCAUUCAUUAGUAUACAUUUUGGUUUACGAAUUGACUAAUUUACCAAAAAAAGCCAUUUUUUUAUAAAUUACCGAAAUAGGCCGGUUUUUUAAUUAUUUACCGGAAUGGGCCAUUUCCCCCGAAAUCGCGCCACGUCGAAGCGAUGUCAGGGGACGGGGCAGAAGGUCGCGUCCACGUCAGAGCGACCUACUGACGUGGAAGGAAAUCGCUCCCCUGAGGGCGCGAUUUCCUUCCACGUCAGCAGGUCGCGCUGACGUGGACGCGACCUCCUGUCACUUUGCGCGGUACCGGGAAUGCGAUUUUGACCCUGAUUUUUACGCCUAGGUUUUAUGGCUUUUAGGGUUUAGGGUGCAGGCUUUUUAGGAGUUAGGGGUCCGGGAAAAUUAUUUUUCGAGUUGACGUUUCUGGUUAAAUAGUGGGAAAUCGCUUAUACUAGGAUGCUAUUUAAGAAGAAAUUGUGAAAUAGUGGCCUCGUGGACGCGAUUUCGCUACAGUGGUCAUGUGAGAAAUAAUUUUUUUAGACGUUUUCUGAGGAAAUAGUAUAAAAUCGCUGAUACCAGGAUGCUAUAUGAGAAGAAAUUGUGAAAUCGCGCCCUCGUGGACGCGAUUUCGCUACAGUUGGUCAUGUAGGAAAUAAUUUUUUUUGACGUUUCUGAGUAAAUAGUGUCAAAUCGCGCCCUCGUGGACGCGAUUUCGCUACAGUAGCAAGUUUGGGCUGAGGUUAUAAAUUAGGCAGAGAAUUUUCUUAGAAUGCAUAACUCAGAGCAGAAACAUUUUAGGUUAGGGUUAGGGAAUUUAGAGUUUCAAAAUGAGUGAAUGUAUUAGUGCUGUUAUUUACUACGAUGGUGAGGUUUGCCACACCGAGAAUGGUGUUGUUUUUUUGUCGAAGAAUACGAUGCGACUGUCAUUUAGCCAAAACAUAGAUUUGACAGAACUCCGUAAAAGAAUUAGGCGUAAAAUCUUCGGAACCACGCCAAUGAAAGUUCAGUCAAUGACGUAUCGAUUUUGUUCUUCUGUUGAUUCGGUGACAUAUGACUCGUUCGACAUAAAAGGUGCUCGUAGCUUAGAGGCAAUGGUGCAGACUCAUCUUGCUAGCGGAGCAACUUAUAUUGAGUUAUAUGUACAAUUUACGUCACCAAAUGAUGUACUUUCGUCCGGUGUUCGAGAUGUAUACACGACCCCUGGCCGACACUCGGUUAGUGUGUUACAAAAUACGGAACAGCCCAUGUUCGGUAGCGGUGUCGAAUGCACAUCCCCCCAAGACACUCUGUCGGUGGAUGGGACAUGUACGUCGGUGGCUCGACGGUUGACGCUGGAAAUACGAGCUGGUACGUUCAUUCUCUUAUUUUAUUUUAUUUCAUAUUUUGGGAAAUUUAGAACGAUAAGCGAAAAUGAAUAUAUUCAGAUUAGCAGGGGACAUGACCCAUUUGUUUAGUGUUCUUGUUUUGCUUCUUAAGAUCCACACAAUCAAGUCUUGUGCUGGUACGUUCAUUUUCCAAAUAUUUACUUUACUUUUUGUUUCUGGGCUUAUUUCAUUUUAUGUUGUACUUUUUUCCCAGUAAUUUACUGCUUAAUAUAAAAGAAUCGAAUAUUUAGGUUAAAUUGUGGGUGGGUUUUUGCUAGUUUAUUGAAUACUCAAAUUGGAGCCAUGUAAAAUGUGGAAACUUUAGCUUGAUAGAAAAUGUGACCCCCUUUUUUUUUAAUGUAUGGAAUAAAAAUUUUUGUAUUUUGUGAAUUUUUUUUUAGUAAUUUGAAUUUGUAUGUAUGUUCAUUGGAAGUUUAGAAGCAAGGAGUUCUGAUCAUUAGGACUUUAUGUGAUUCAUUCAUUUUGAGUUAUAGUGUAGUUAGUUGUUGGAUUUAGUGUCACUGUUGGCAUCUUAUUUUAGCUGAUUUCCUUUCUAUUUGUACCGAUAAACCUCUAGAGGUUUUGAAAUUAGCAACUGAUUUUUUUUAUGUGUGAGAGUUUUUAUGGAAAUCAAUAAGCUAAUUACAUUUUGCAGGAUCAUACAGUCGGGUUAGUGGUUUUUAUGUCAUGCUGGCCUAUGGUUUUGAGAUGAACAUCAUGAAAUCUGUAUAAGAUGAGGGUAUUAAACUAUAAACAUAGCCGAGGUAGCGAUUUAUUUCGUAUCAUGCUAUUGGAAGUUUUUUUGGGGCGGCAAUGUCAACUAAAUUUAUAUUCUUUUGAUCAAGUCGAUUAUUUCCAGUUGCACAACUAGCUUGUUGGAAAUAUUUUCUUUCUUUGCUCCUGUCCUUUUCACUUUCAUAUUUUAUGGGUGGUGUGAUGAUGGGAAGAUUCAUGGGUGGCUAAAGCCAUCUUACUCACUAGAAGUGAGGCUGUUAUUUUUAGAAGUUAGAGAUGCUAUAUCAAUUGAGGAUGCCGUGAGCAAAAGCUUGCUAAUAAUAAGUGACUGUUCAUAUGCGUGGGUUCUAUCACAUGUUGAUGGAGUAUUUGGUGCUCUUUCUUCACUAAUUUCAUAUGUAUAGAUAUAAUUGUAUAACAUCUCGACGUUGAUUACUGUUACGAGGGGAAAAAAACACAGCAUGUAAUGAAACUCAAAAAGUAGGAAUCCUAGAUCCUUGUAUUCAUUCAUAGGCAUUUUACAACAUUUGAUUUAACUUGAGCAAGAUUCCGUUUUGGGCCUGGUCUUUUCCUGUUCGUUCCCUUGUUUAUAUAUGAUGAAGUUGGUUCAGCAUGCAGGAAACUCGACAGCAUGCAGGCCAUGAAGACCAAGUCGUGCAGGAGCUGCUGGAACGAGCUGAACUUUUCCUAUUUUGUUCAUCUAGUAAUCUUAAGUUAAUGUAAUGUACUUUAGUUCAUUUAGAACUAUGUUAGGUUUAUGAUUGAUGUAAUUUUGAUGACAAUUGAGCUGUUAAGUCAGCUUUGUUUAAGUGUGUAAGCUUAGUUUUUCAAGUUUCAAUGUAUUAGUGGUAGUAGGUGAUGAUUAGGUAUCAUUAUGCAGAUUUUGACAAGCAAAUUGCUUGGUUUAUGUAUUGGCAUUAUGCCAUUGUUCAACAUAUGAAUGAAAUCAACUUUGUUCAUCAAUAUUCUCUCAAAUUUCCUCAGCUUAUUUUCUUUUUUCUUCAACUCGAAAUUGUUUGUUUGCUCAGCAAGAUUCGAGGCUUGCUCGACAAGAAACUUGCUGAGUCUGUUUGAUUCUGCUGUUGCACCAACAAUUGGUAUCAGAGCUUAUUUCUUAAGGGACCUGUUAUACAAAUCCAUGGCUUCAUCAAGUUUUUCACCAGCUGCACCUCAAGUCUUCAAUGGAGAAGGCUAUCACAUAUGGGUGGUCAAAAUGAAGACCUACCUGCAGGCAUUUGAUCUGUGGGAGGUGGUCAACUCUGAUGUUGAACCAGAGCCACUUAGAGCUAAUCCAACAGUGGCUCAGAUCAGGCAGCAUGCUGAUGAAAGGACCAAGAGGCACAAUGCUAUGUCUUGCAUCCAAAACUCAGUGUCUGAUGUGAUUUUCACAAGGAUUAUGGCCUGUGAAUCACCAAAACAGGCCUGGGACAAGUUGCAGGAAGAGUUUCAAGGGACUGAGAGGACAAGGCAACAACAGUUGUUAAACUUGAGGAGAGAUUUCGAGAAUUUGAAGAUGAAGGAAGAAGAAACUGUCAAGCAAUAUUCUGACAGGAUUAUGGCUGUGGUUAACAGCAUCAGGCUCCUUGGAGAGCAGUUCAAUGAAGCUAGGAUAGUGGAGAAGGUUAUAGCAACUCUGCCUGAGAGGUAUGAGGCAAAAAUCUCAUCUCUCGAGGACUCAAGGGACCUGUCCACCAUCUCCCUGACAGAGUUGAUCAAUGCUCUAUAUGCUCAAGAGCAGAGGAGAGCAAGCAGACUGGAGGAGCACCAAGAAGGUGCCUUUCAGGCAAGAACAAAUACUUCCUACAAAGGCAAGAAGGCUUGGAGAGACAAGCCAAAGGAUGAUGCUGCAAGGAGAGAAGGUCAAACUUGCAAGCACUGCAGAAAGGCUGGUCAUUCAGAAGAAAAAUGCUGGUUUAAUCCAGAUGCUGUGUGUCAGCAUUGUAAGAAAAAGGGCCAUGUUGAGAGAGUUUGUAAGAGCAAUGCCAAAACAAGGCGCAAUCAGGCUCAACAGAUGAAAGCUGAGGCUCGAGUAGCUAAGGAGGACAGUGACCAAGAGGAGCAAGUCUUUACUGUGUCAUGCUCAGCUGCUCAGGAAAGGUCCUCAUCUGGUUGGCUCCUAGACAGUGGAUGCACCAACCACAUGACACCUGAUGCUGCAAUCUUCAAGUCUUUAGACAGAAGCUGCAGAACUAAAGUCAAGAUAGGAAAUGGUCAUUUUAUUCAAGCUGAAGGCAAGGGUGAUGUUCUGAUAUGCACUCUUACAGGUACCAAAGUGAUUUCAAAUGUGCUGUUGGUGCCUGAAAUUGACAGAAACCUGCUCAGCAUAGCUCAGUUGCUGGAAAAAGGUUACUUAGUUGUGUUUAAAGACCACCAAUGCCAAAUCAGUGAUCCAAGUGGAUCCAAACUGAUGGCAGUCCCUAUGGCUGAUAAGAGCUUUGUGGUUGACUGGACAAAAAAGUCAGACAUUGCCUACACAGCCACUUCAGAUGAAUCCAAGCUGUGGCAUCAAAGACUGGGACAUGCCAACUUCAGAUCGAUGGCCCGAAUGAUCAGAGAAGACCUGGCUGAAAACUUCAUCAACUCAGUAGACCAUGAUGAUGUAUGUGAAGUAUGUCAGCUAGGAAAGCAGGCCAGACUCCCAUUUCCCUCGAAUCAAGCCUAGAGAGCCUCUGAAAAACUCCAACUGGUGCAUACUGAUGUGUGUGGACCUAUGAAGACUGAGUCAUUAAGUGGAAACAGGUAUUUCAUACUGUUCAUUGAUGAUUUCUCGAGAUAUUGCUGGAUUUACUUCUUAAAACAGAAAUCAGAGGUGGCCACUGUGUUUUGGAAGUUCAAAACUGCUGCUGAGACUGAAACAGGCUGCAAGGUGAAGACCAUAAGGUCUGAUAAUGGGACUGAGUACACCUCAGCUCAGUUCCAAGCCUUCUGUGAUAAGGCAGGCAUCAAACAUCAACUUGCCAACACAUAUACACCUCAGCAGAAUGGGGUAAGUGAAAGGAAGAAUAGGAGUUUGAUGGAUAUGGCCAGGUGCUUGAUGAUUCAGAAGAAUCUGCCUAAAGCACUAUGGGCAGAAGCAGUUAACACUGCAACAUACAUUCAAAAUAGACUUCCAACCAGGGCUUUGGAUCAAAAGACCCCAUUCGAGGCCUGGUUUAGCUUCAAGCCAUCACUGGCUCAUCUGAAGGUCUUUGGAUGCAUCUGUUAUGCACAUGUACCUGCUGUUAAAAGGGACAAAUUGUCUGAAAGGGCUCGACCUGGUGUUUUGGUGGGCUAUAGCACUGUUAAGAAGGGCUAUAGGAUUUUAGAUCCUUCAACAAACAAAGUGUCAGUAAGCAGGGAUGUGGUAUUUGAUGAGAGGUCAUGUUGGAACUAGGAAAGACAUGAACCUGAAGAAGUUUUUGAAGAACUUGCAGCAGACCAAGCUGAGCCAGACCAAGAUGUCCCUGAAAUGGAUAUUGAUGAUGAACCAGUCAGAGGAACAAGGCCAUUGGCUGAAAUUUAUGAAAGGGCUCAUGUAGCCAUAGUUGAACCAAGCAACUUUGAAGAGGCUGAGGCUCAGCAAGGGUGGAAGCAGGCAAUGGCUGAGGAGAUCAGCAUGAUUGAGAAGAACCACACCUGGAAAUUGGUUGAAAGGCCAGUCAAAAGGAAAGUGAUUGGGGUGAAAUGGGUGUACAAAGCCAAGCAGAAUGCUGAUGGUACCUUGAACAAGCUGAAAGCAAGGCUAGUUGUCAAGGGGUUCAGUCAGAGGUAUGGCUUGGACUACCUGGAGACCUUUGCACCAGUGGCCAGGCUCGACACCAUCAGACUGCUGAUUGCCUUAGCAGCACAGCUUGAAUGGAAGAUCCAUCAACUUGAUGUGAAAUCAGCUUUUCUGAAUGGUUUCUUAGAUGAAGACAUCUAUGUUGAACAACCACAAAGGUUUGAAAUAGCUGGCAGAGAGCAUAUGGUCUACAAACUGAAAAAGGCCCUAUAUGGAUUAAAGCAGGCUCCAAGGGCCUGGUAUAGCAGAAUUGAUGGCUACUUGACUGAUCUAGGAUUCGAUCGAAGCAAGAGUGAGCCAACACUGUAUGUCAAGAAACAAGGGACACAAAUACAACUCAUUGUGUCCCUGUAUGUUGAUGAUCUUCUGGUGACAGGAGGAGAUCGAGUAGUGCUGGCUGAUUUUAAGACCAAGAUGCAGGAAGUGUUUGAAAUGUCUGAUCUUGGGGAGAUGUCAUACUUUCUUGGAAUGGAGGUGUCUCAAGUAUAGAAUGAGAUAUUUCUAAGCCAGAGAAGCUUUGCCACAAAGAUUCUGACCAAGUUCUCCAUGCAAAACAGCAAGGCAACUAAAACACCUAUUGCUGUUGGAGAAAAACUAUCGAGCCAAGGUGAUUUUAAGAAAGUUUGUGAAACAACCUACAGGAGUCUAGUUGGUUGCUUGCUAUACUUGACUGCCACUAGACCAGACAUUAUGUAUGCUGUAGGAUUGCUCUCAAGGUUCUUGCAUUGCUGCAAUGAGAAGCAUUUCCAAGCUGCAAAGAGAGUGCUGAGAUAUGUCAAAGGCACUUUAAACUAUGGUUUGAAGUACAGUAAAGAAGGAAAUCUGAAGCUGAUUGGCUACACUGAUAGUGACUGGGCUGGCUCGAUAGAUGACAUGAAAAGCACCUCAGGGUAUGCUUUUAACCUUGGUUCAGCCAUGUUUUGUUGGAGCUCAAAGAAGCAAAGUCUAGUAGCUCAAUCUACUGCUGAAGCAGAGUAUGUGGCAACAGCAAGUGCUAUCAACCAAGCCAUAUGGCUAAGAAAAAUAUUGGCUGACUUGAAUGUGCAUCAAGAGCAAGCUACUGAGAUCUUCUGUGACAACCAAUCUGCAGUAGCAAUUGCUAAAAAUCCAGUGUUCCAUGGAAGAACAAAACAUUUCAGCAUAAAGUUGCAUGUUGUUCGAGAAAUGGAGCAAGCUCAGGAAGUAAAGCUGGUCCACUGUAAUUCAGAAGAUCAACUUGCUGACAUUUUAACCAAAGCUCUUAGUGUCACAAGGUUUGAAUAUCUAAGAAAGAAGCUAGGUGUUUGCUCCAUGCAAACCAAGGAGGAGUGAUGAAGUUGGUUCAGCAUGCAGCAAACUCGACAGCAUGCAGGCCAUGAAGACCAAGUCGUGCAGGAGCUGCUGGAACGAGCUGAACUUUUCCUAUUUUGUUCAUCUAGUAAUCUUAAGUUAAUGUAAUGUACUUUAGUUCAUUUAGAACUAUGUUAGGUUUAUGAUUGAUGUAAUUUUGAUGACAAUUGAGCUGUUAAGUCAGCUUUGUUUAAGUGUGUAAGCUUAGUUUUUCAAGUUUCAAUGUAUUAGUGGUAGUAGGUGAUGAUUAGGUAUCAUUAUGCAGAUUUUGACAAGCAAAUUGCUUGGUUUAUGUAUUGGCAUUAUGCCAUUGUUCAACAUAUGAAUGAAAUCAACUUUGUUCAUCAAUAUUCUCUCAAAUUUCCUCAGCUUAUUUUCUUUUUUCUUCAACUCGAAAUUGUUUGUUUGCUCAGCAAGAUUCGAGGCUUGCUCGACAAGAAACUUGCUGAGUCUGUUUGAUUCUGCUGUUGCACCAACAAUAUACCUCCACUGUGCCAUUGUGUAUUUGUGUUCGAUUUUCAGUUCUGUCUCACAAUCCCUGUCAUGUCUUAUGAGUGAUUUUCUGGCUCUAAAUAUCUAUGAUAUAUUUGUGCAGGCAUUUCACUGAAGACUCAGGAACUCUAUGCUAUUGUCUUUGCUACUCGUUACUUGGACAUAUUCACUAAUCAUAUCUCGCCUUAUAACACAAUCAUGAAGCUAAUAUUCCUGGGCAGCUCUUUCUCAAUUGUAUGGUACAUGCGGUAUCACAAAAUAGUUCGUAGAUCUUAUGAUAAGGACCAGGAUACAUUUCGACAUUACAUCCUUAUACUCCCUUGCCUGAUUCUUGCCCUUCUUAUAAACGAGAAGUUCACCUUCAAAGAGGUAUCGACAUCCUUUUGUUUGUUGGAAUAUGAUAACAGUAUGUUCAUAUUAAUUACUGGUUAACUUAGAAGCUCCCUAAACUGUUUAUCUGUUUUAUAUUAAUUAUUCAUUAUUAUCCUUCUGGUUAUAUUUUUAUAUAUUGAUUAUUGUCUUAAAAAAAAUUGUUGAGCAGGUCAUGUGGACAUUUUCCUUGUAUUUGGAAGCUGUUGCGAUACUUCCUCAGCUUGUAUUGUUGCAAAGGACUAGAAAUAUUGACAACUUGACUGGACAAUAUGUGUUUCUCCUUGGGUAACCACUGUAUUCUUUAAAAAUCCUAAUCAGUUGCAAGUUUUCUAUUUUAUUACCUUGCAAUUUGCAUGAAGGACCCUUAUUUCCUGGCUCAGUUCCCUAAAAUGUUGCCUCCUUCCUGAGGAAACAAAAGAGAGAAAGUCUCUAAAUAGAGUUGCCAUCAUAUUGCCGCUUGGUUGCCACUGAUUUCUUUUUGAUGAAAAGUUGAUAUGAUUAUAUGUUGGACCAAAGUUAUCUAUUUUCAGAUGUGAUUAACUGCAGUUGAAUUUUGCGAGUAUGACUGUUCUUGUGUAACUUUUGUUAUGUGCUUUCAUGUCGUUUUUAGUCUUUUACACUGUGUUCUGUCUAUCUUUGUUUGCUAUUAUCCUAAGUUAGGAGACAAGGUGCCAUUAGGAGCAAUGUGACGUCAAAAUUCAUUUCCCUUUAGCCUUCAGUUCUACCUUUUCUUCCCUUUCUUUAUGUAGUUUUUGGGAGUUGGGGAUCACAGCGAUGAUAGUCGGUACAUGUGACUUGAAAGAUGCCUAAAAACUUCAAGAGCAUAGUGUUGUAUAAAUCUUUUGGAGAAAUUUUUUUGGUACAUUGAUGCCAACUUACAAUAACCCUUGCCACUACAACCGUGGCUUUGUUGGCUUAUGUAUGCACUCUCUUUGUCUUUAUAGGUCACCAAAUUCCUAAUGUCUAAUUCUUGGUUAUGGACUAAUAUAGUUGCUUGUUAUUGCAGUGCAUACAGAGCAUUGUACAUAGUGAACUGGAUUUAUCGGUACUUUACUGAAGACCACUUUGUCCACUGGAUAAGUAUGUACUCUUCUCUGUCUCCCUUCAUCUUUUACUCCAAGUCGGUAGCCAUGGGUGUAUGACGAGUGUGUCAAUAUAUCUACCCCAACACAUUUGUGAUAUACUAUGCUAUAUGUGUUAUUUCUAACACCUUGUUUACAUGAUUGCUGCCUUUCAGCUUGGAUUUGCGGUCUUGUCCAGACAUUGCUUUAUGCUGAUUUCUUCUACUAUUACUUCCAGAGGUAACCCCCUUUCUGACACUCUGGAAAGCACUUCAUACCUAUGUGAAUGAUUGCAACUUAUUUGAUUAUUAUGCCUGCAGCUUGAAGAACAACAUGAAGCUCCAAUUACCAGCUUGAGAUUUUAAUGGUGCAAGUUUUGUAGUAGCAUACAUAAACUUACAUCAUAUGGGUUCAAAUUUAUGAGUAUUUCAAUUAAUUUUAAUUUCACUAUGUUAUAUUGUAAUAUCAUGUAAAAAGUAUCAUAAAAGCAGGCAUAAGUUUUCCACCAAUUAGAACAUUUUGAAAAUUGAUGUCAAGCCCGAAAUGACCGUCACAAGUAAGCAUAUUAAACGUGUGAAGAGAAGACCUUAUUUUUCCACAUAACUAAAACUUUUUACACCAUAGGAACUUUCAUCGUCAUCAAGUUGGACAUGGAUGGAGCUCACGUAAAAAUAAUUUUUCAUAUAAAAACUAAAAACUAGAAAUUGACUUGUAAUAAUUCUCAAGGUUAAGGUUGACGUGGUCAAUAGUAAUGAACUUAUGUUUAAGGUUUGGGUUAUUUUUCUCAAUUAUAGAUUAGUAUUUUGUUCAUUGUAAACUUUGCUAACAAAAUUUAAUAUAUGACACAUAUCUGAUUUAAUUUAUUUUUAUUUUAUAAAACUUUCAUUAUUUGUUUUACUCAUUAAUGAAAUUUGGUGUGAAUACAUUAAAUAUUACCUUUUAUAUAUUUCACUCCCUCUUACUAUAUCUCAAUGGAGAAAUUGAAGGUCAUUCAAGGAAAUGGUAAUGUCCAUUUUCCACAAAACUAAAAUUUUCCACACGACAGAAACUUUCUUGGUCAAACAAGUUGGAUUUGGCUUCACCAAUAACUUAAUAAUCUGUACUAAAAUUUUCCACGCAAUAGAAUACGAACUCGUUCUCGUAAAUAUUUUAAAAAAUAAAAAAUUUAAUAUUAUGAGUUAACGAAUUAUCAAUUUAAUUAAAAAAAGUUGAAAGAUACAUUUUUUAAAAUUUUAUGAAAUUAUAUAUUAAUAUAAUUAUAAAAUUAUAGUUUUAACUUUAUAAAAUUUAUUAUUUAUCUUUGAUCUUGAAGAGAGACAAAGUAAAAUACCUAUUCUUGGAGCCAUAACGACAACUAGGAUUAUGAUUGCACAUUUUCUAAGUCUUCAUUUUUGUUAAUUAGGAAAGCUGAUGGGCAUCUCCACUAAGUUUCCACCCACAAGAAUAUACGUAUUAAUUUGUUUUUCUCAAUUUCCAUGAGGGGGGAUAUAAGCUUAAAGUUGACGUAGAAGUCAAUACUCAACAUUUGAAAGUUAAUGCAGUGAACUAUGUGCUUGUUGAUAUAUGAAAUGAUAUUUUCUUAACAAUUUCCUCCAACUAGUUCGUAGAUGGUGCUAUAUUACAUCACAAUGGGUAACCAAAUGUAUAUAAUUGAGAUUUUUAAGCAAAUAUUAUAUUUUAUCUUUAUCCAUGAAUAGUCUAAUAAUAAGGAUUAAUAUUUGGUACAUUGUCAGUGGAGUUUUUAAAUUCCAUAAGUAGGGUUAGAGGAUUGACACAUGCCAAUUUUUUAAUGUUGCUUGUGGGAUGCACUUGAAUUGUGGUUCAUAGAAGGAAAUUAUUAUAUAAAGGUUUAAUUCUACCAUAGUUCUUGUACUUUACUGAAGUUGUAGAUUUAAUUCCCAGACUUUAAUUUGAUAUUUUAGAUAUUUGUUAAAUUCAUAAAGUCCUACUAUUUCCAAAUUUGGUGUGGCAAACAUAUUAUCAUAGGUGUAAUAUCACUAAAAUUCAAAAGAAUGAGAAAUUUGUACAUAUUAUCAGAUGUCAAUAUCAAGUUGAGCAUUUCAAAAUCUAAAGUAAUAGUUCAAGUAUUUAUUUUUCCAUAAAACCAAAAUUUUCUACAUGAUGGCUUUUUUUUUGGCUAUUAGUUAAGAGGAAUUUUUUUAAUAACCCAAUUUAAUUAACUAAUUUAAAAAAUGGUUCAAGUAAAACUCAAGUCAUAUUAAAAAUAAUUAUUUAUAAAUUUUAUGUUUCAAAAACUAAUGAAUGUUCAAAGAAUAGUGAAUUAUUAAAGAGAAGUUAUAUGAUAAUGGAUUGUUUUAAAGUAGUGGUCUAGUAGAAAUAAAUAGUUUUUUAUAAAAAAAUAUUAUAUAAAUAAUUAAAUUUUAUAGUUACUCCUAUUUUUUUUAAAAAUAGUGAAUGUAAUAUUUUUUAAAAUGUUAAAUUAACUCAUGAUAUUAAUUAAAUCAAGAAAUUUUAUAAUAAUAGAGAUGAAAAAAACUAAAUUUUCAAAAUCAAAACCUAAAACGUGCAAGAAUAAAAGCAAUCUGAAGACUUAAAAUUUCCAUUAAUAAAACCAAAAUCAAAGAAGUAAAAUUUCCAUGAAUAAAACCAAAAAUGAAGACCUAAAUUUUCCAUUAAUAAAGCCAAAUCAAGACUAAGUUUGUAUAAGUGUAAGAAGGGUAUAAAGGAAACUCACAAGAAAGCCACAUGAAGAAUUUUAUAACUCCAACUACACGAUUUUAUGUCCACCUCUCACUUUUCAUAUUUUUUUUUGGCCAUUCAUUUUUCAAGAUUAACAUUAGCAUUCUUGUGGUCCGUUCAUCCUUUCCUAACCAAUUUCCACCAAGAGUUUUUGCAAUAAGGAAUUUACCUAAAUAAGAAACCUAGAUUGAUCCAAUUUUUGAGGAAUUAAUUAAUUAUAUAUUAUUUUUAUAUUAUAAUGAAUUAGUGGGAUGCAGUAUGUUCUGCUUGUAUAUAAAUAAGAAGCUUAGGCUUCUUUAGAUUAUAUACAUAUAGAAGUUAACAAAAAGUAACAUAUAGCUGAGAGAGAAGUGAAAAUAGAGAGAUGAUGAUGAUGGAGUGGAAAUGGUUAAGGUUUAUUAGGAUGGCAGUAAUGUUGUUGGUGUUAGAAGGAUGCAGAUGGUGUACUACUGAUGCUUGUUUGGAGCAUGAGAGAAUCGCUCUCUUGCAUCUCAAGCCUUUCUUCAAUUAUCAAAAUCAAUUGCAAAGUUGGGUUGAGGUGAAGGGUUCAGAUUGUUGUAAAUGGGAAAGAGUUGAGUGUAACACCACCACUAGGAGACUCAUACAACUCUCCCUUAAUUCUACAAGAUGGUUUGACAGUAUGGGAUACAAAACGGAUAAUAGGAAUCUCAAUGCCUGGUAUCUCAAUACCUCUAUGUUUCUUCCCUUUGAGGAAUUGAAGAGUCUUUAUUUGCGGGGGAAUGCCAUAAGUGGUAACCUUGAAAAUGAAGGUCGUGCCUCUAGUUUUUCCUUAAUUACAUCUUUUAUUAUCCCACUACUCUUACCAUCGUUAUUUUGCAAUUACUUAUAUUUUAUUUUAUUUUAUGGAAGAAAAGUCACUAACUUGUAUAUAUUUAAAAGAAUAUUUCUAUAGGCUUUGGAAAACUAUCAUCCACAUUGAGUAAUUUGGAGAUCCUUGACUUAAGUGAAAACUACUUGAAUGACAGCAUUUUGUUAUCUUUGAGUGAGCUUUCAUCUCUCUGGUAUUUAGAUCUAUCAGGCAACAAAUUUGAAGGAUCAAGCCAUCUAAGAGGUAAAUUAAGUUUGGUCUGGUAUUAGUUUUUAUUUGUAAAGUGGAGUUUGAGGAUGGUCUUCUAGUAAUUCCACUUUUGCUUUAGUAAAAUUUUCAUACAGCUAAGAAAGAAAAAACAAUUAACAAGUAAUUUUUAACUUUAAAAAUCAAUGUAUGUUCAUAUUCAAGGUAGACUGGUUUUAUAUGUUUCUUUUUUACUUUAAAACCAUUUUUUUUGUUUAAGGGACAGUUAAUGUUGCAAUAUGUCUUUGCUUUUAUCAUAUCAUGAAUAUAUAUAAUUGAUCAAUAUUUGGGAUUGAAUUUCAGGAUUGAAUAAUUUGACAAACUUGAAGUACUUGGAUUUAAGUUCGAACAGAAUUGAAAGCAUCUCAAACAAAGGUAUAAGUACAGUAUUUAUAUGUCAAUUCAUAUUAAAGGUAGACUGGUUUUAUAUGUUUCUUUUUUACUUUAAAACCAAUUUUUGUUUAAGGGACAGUUAAUGUUGCAAUAUGUCUUUGCUUUUAUCAUAUCAUGAAUAUAUAUAUAUAUAUAACUGAUCAAUAUUUGGGAUUGAAUUUCACGAUUGAAUAAUUUGUCAAACUUGAAAUACUUGGAUUUAAGUCGCAACAACGUUGAAAGCAUCUCAAACCAAGGUAUAAGUAUUUGUGCGUAGUAACUUUCUUGACUGACUAUUAUUCCAAAAGGCAAUGACAGACUUCAAAUGUAUUUUCUUUAGUGAAUUUUUAUUGCAAAAAUGGAGUAUUAUUAUUUAUUUAAGUUUUGUAGUAACUAAUUAUAUAAUAUAUAAAUGAGGUUUUCAAUGGCUCAUUAAAUUGGAAAUUAUUGAUAUAAGUUGGAAUUAUUUGAAGAAUAGCAUUCUUUAAAAUAAAUUCAUGUUGAAGGAAAAGUUGUUGCAAUAUGUUAUAUCAUGAAUAUAUAUAAGUAAUCAAUAUUUGGGAUUGAAUUUCAAAAUUGAGUAAUUUAAGUAGGAAGGUAUCUCAAACAAAGUAUUUAUAUAUUGAAUCAAUUCAUGGGAAAGCUUGUAAAUUGGCUCUUCCUUCUCAAACAAACAUUUUUCCUAACUAUUUAUAUAUUGAAUGAUGUUAACUAUACUAAUUACUUUCUUCCAAUGAUAGAUGGAACACAAUUGAGGCUAACAAAUUUAGAGGAACUUGAUUUGAGUGGUAAUCUCUUUCGGAACAACACAAUUUCCUUUCCUCAAGGGCUUUCAAGCCUAAAGUCUUUGACUUUGUUCAACAACCGUUUGCAAGGCUCAUUAGAUACUAAAGGUACUAAAGCUAUAACUUUGUUUUUCUUGAUAAUUCUUUCUAGAGCCUUUUAAAAUUAAUUGUUUCAAAUUUGAACAUUCACAUUUCACGUUUGAGGAUUUUUAUCUUCAAUUCAAGUUUUAGAUUUACUUUUUUUUUUCAUUUUUAUUUCAUUAAAAUAUUAAGUAGAAAUUAAAAUUAUUAACAUAAUGAUUUUUUGAAUUGGACGUGGAUAUGUAUAGGAUUGAGCAAUUUAACAAAUUUGAAGAAACUCGAUUUAAGAUGGAAUCAAAUUGAAAGCUUUCAAUCCUUUAAAGGUAUGCAUUUAUAUUUAACCAAUUACCUAAAUUCUUACAUAUAAUUAAAUUUUAUGCCAAUUCAUUUCAGUGAUGAAAUUAUAUAAAUCUUUUGUAGAUGGUGGUAGAAAAUUGGAGUUGACCCACUUGGAAGAGCUUAAUUUAGAUGGAAAUCACUUCAAUACUAGUGUAUUUGCAUCCCUUAACAAGCUUUCAAAUUUGAAAUCUUUGAGCAUAAGUGGGAACCAAUUGAAAGGAUCAAUAGAUAUGAAAGGUAAAUAUAUUAGUCUUUUUAACAAGAAUAUAAUAAUGUUUGAAGAGAAUAUAAUGAAGUUGAUUUGUUGUUUUUGUUUUCCUAGAUUUGGAAGCAUUUAUCAACUUAAGGGAACUAGAUAUGAGCGGCAAUGAAUUGAAAGAUUUGGUGAUCCACCAAGGUAUCAUUUAAUUAAACUUCCUUUUUUUUUUAAAUUUAGAAAUUUAGUUUUGAUGUCAAAUAUUAUAAUAACGGUUAUUGUCAUAAAUAUUAAUAAAGUAAUAUCAUAUCAUACUUGAAAGUAAAAUAUGGGUUUGGUGAAACAUUUUCUAAAUCAUCCAUUAUAAUGUGUUUGGACUUUGGUUUGAAACUAAAAUUCUUUAAAAUUUUCAUCAUUUUAAAAUAUUAAUGUUUAUAAUUAUUUUGUUUGUAUAAAUAUAUUUUUUAAAAUAAUUUAUUGAAUUUUUAUGAGAUAAAAAAUAAUUAUAACAAUAAAAAAUGAUAUUAUAAAUAAAUAAAAACAUAUAUUUAUGAGAAAAUAUGUAAUAUAACUAUAUUUUAAUUUCAUAUAUUUUUAAUAGUAUAAAACAUAAAAAUACAUAUUAGCGUUAAAUAAAUGGCAUUUUUUGGCAAAAAUAAAUAAAUGUCAAUUUUGAAUAAUUUAAAAAAAAUCUUUAAUUUUGUGAAAUUUAAGCAUACAUCGAGAGGUGCUUAAACUUCCAUUGCAAUCUUUUUAUAAAUUUCAAAGUGCAUAUGUUUUUAACUUUUUGGUUUAAAAAAAUAUGAUAGGUCUACGUACUCUUUACUAAUUUGUAAUUUAAUUCUUAUACUUUUAUUUUCAAGAAUUUAAUCCCUGUUUUUUUAUAAAAAAAAUCAAAAUCCUAGUUCAAUUGUUAAAAUUGUUAAAAUUUUAAAAUAGUUUGUUGGUGUGACAUUUUGAAAUAAAAAAAAAAACUUAGUAGUAAUGUAACUAAAAAAAUGACGUAAUGAACAUGGAUUUAAUAAAAUAAUUUUAACAAUAUUAAUAAAAUAAUUUUGAAUUUUGAAUUUUAACUUAACUCUAUUUUUGGGCCAAGAUUUAAUGCUUUAAAAUUUUCAUUUAAUCCGCUGAGUUUACUUAUAAUUCUUUUGAGUUUUAUUUAUUGGUGAGUAAAAUACCUAUUUGAUUUUUUUAUAUACUAUUGGCAUCUUUAAAGGUAAUAUAAUAAUUUUAGUGUAGACGUGUUUUAUUUUAUAAAUAUUAUUUAUAGUGUAGACAUGUGAAUUUUGAAUAAUUUAAAAAUAUCUUCAAUUUUAUGAAAUUUAAACAUACAUUUAGUGUAGACAUGUUUUAUUUUAUAAAUAUUAUUUAUAGUGUUGUUGAUUGGAGUUUGAAAAUUAUACAACUUAGCUAUAUCAGUUAAUUACUUAUAUUAAAAAAUAAUAUAAGAAAAUACUAAAAAGAAAAAAAAUAGUAUAAUUAAUAAAAUGGAUGAAGAGUUAUAUUAAAGUUUCAACAUCUUCUCUCUAUCAAAAUUUAUCUCAGAUAAAUCAUGAAUAAUCUAACUCAUAAAAAAUAUAUAUAUAUUUAUAUACUUCAUUUCAUUCACAGAAAAUAAAGCAUUCUACUUAGUAGAGGCUUUCUAUAAUACCGUUAUCUAAUACCUCUUGACAUUGCUUAGAUUCAAAUGUGUCGAGCAGUUUGGAGGAAAUAUAUCUUGACUAUUCUACUCUCAACACCAACAUUUUGCAAAGCAUUGGAGUAUUCGCUUCUCUUAAAACAUUGUCUUUAUAUCAUUGUGGACUUAUUGGUCCCUUACCUAAUCAAGGUAAAUAAUUUUAUGGCUCAAUUUGAUUUCUUUAUGAACUUUCUGUAAUAUAUUAUCUCCUAUUCUGUUUUAUAAAGCAAAAUUUAAUUGAAACUUCUUCCAUGAAUUUAUUUAUAAAAUUUUCAGGAUGGUGUGAUCUAAGGAACCUUGAAGUGUUGGAUGUGAGUGGGAAUGCACUUGAGGGGAUGCUUCCUCAUUGUUUUAGUAACUUGACAUCUCUUCGUGAGUUAUAUAUUUCAAGAAACCAUUUUCAAAUUCCGCUGUCAUUUGCACCAUUUGCAAACCUUUCAAACCUCAAAUCCCUUUGGAUUAAUGAAAACAAGAUGGUAAUGGAACCUUCCUUUUAUACCUCAAUCCCAAAGUUCCAAUUGGAAGUCAUCAGUUUGCUAAAGUGCAUAACAUCUCAACAACUCAGUCGUAAAGUUCCUACCUUCCUUUACUACCAAUAUGACUUGAGAUAUGUGGAUCUUUCGCAUAACAAUUUCAGCGGAACAGUCCCAACUUGGUUGUUAGAAAACAACACAAAAUUAAAAGUUCUUAUCUUGAAGGGUAAUUCUUUUACUGGUCCUCUCUCACUUUCGUCGGCUCUUAUUUCUAAUGUAUCUUCAAUUGACUUAUCUGAAAACAAAUUACAAGGUCAAAUUCCGAUUGGUAUAUGUUCAACUUUUCCACAUUUGAGUCAAUUAUUCUUAUCCAAGAAUGCUUUUGAAGGUAAUAUCCCACUUUGUUUAAGUGGCAUGAAGGACUUAUCAACUUUAGAUCUAUCAAACAAUCUAUUGUAUGGAAAAGUUCCAGAAGAGUUGAUCGCGAAAGGCUCACUGACCAUUUUGAGACUAUCAACUAACAACCUCAGUGGAAAUGUAGUUCCUGUGAUUCUCAGCGCAAAUGGGCUGGAGAAUUUAUAUUUGGAUGGAAAUAAUUUUUCAGGAGAGAUGACAAAUGUUGAUGUGUCUACUUUUGAGUUUCCAAAUUCACUACGGGAAAUUGAUCUCAGUAACAACAAGUUGCAUGGAAAGCUCCCAAGAUGGAUAGGGAAUGCAUCGUUUUUGGGGAGAUUAGCUAUGUCCAACAAUAGUUUUGAGGGUUCUAUUCCAAUGGAAUUUUGCAAGUUGAAUAGCUUGGAAUUUUUGGAUCUUUCUCAAAAUAAUUUAUCUGGCUCUAUACCGUCAUGUUUUAAUCCACCAUACAUAGAGUAUGUCCACCUCCACGGGAAUAGACUGAGAGGCCCACUAUCACUUGCUUUUUAUAAUAGCUCUUCAAUAGUGACUUUAGAUCUUAGAGGAAACAAUUUGACAGGUAGUAUUCCAAAAUGGAUUUACACGCUUUCUUCUUUGAGUGUUCUUCUCUUGAAAGAUAAUCAUUUUCAUGGUAAAGUUCCUAUUGAGUUAUGCAAGUUGCAUUCUUUAAGCAUCAUAGAUCUUUCUCAAAAUAUGUUUUCUGGUCCUAUACCUUCUUGUUUGGGAAAUUUAUCUCUUCCAAUGCAAACGAACAAGACUCUAGAAAUUGAGUUCUAUGGGCCAUCUAUAGAAGAGGAUGAAACAACACGCAGUAUGAUACUAAAUUUGGGAAUGGAUUCUUACUAUCCUGGUAGCUACUUAGAAGAAGUAAUAGAGUUCACAACAAAGAGUGGGUUCUAUUCAUACAAGGGCGACAUCCUUUCAUAUAUGACUGGGAUUGAUUUAUCUUGCAACAACUUAACUGGUCAUAUCCCACCAGAAUUAGGGAACUUGAGUGAAAUCCAUUCUUUAAACCUUUCACACAAUAAGUUGACCGGAGUUAUACCCUCGUCACUCUCGAAACUACAUCAAAUUGAGAGUUUGGACCUUUCUUACAACAACUUAAGUGGUGAAAUCCCCAAUCAAUUGGUAGAGUUAAACUCUUUGGAGGUUUUCAGCGUGGCAUUUAACAACUUGUCAGGUAGUAUUCCCGAACCAAAAGCUCAAUUUGGGACCUUUAUUGAAAAUAGUUAUCAGGGAAAUCCGUUUCUUUGUGGAGUUAUAUUGCAUAAAAGUUGUUCCAAAACCGAUUCACCAUCAACGAUAUCAACUGUAUCAGAAGAUAAAGGAGAAGAUGGUUUGAUAGAUACUUAUGAUUUUUGUGUGAGCUUUUUGGUUUCUUAUGUAGUUGUGUUGUUGACAAUUUUUGUUGUCCUCUACAUAAAUCCACACUGGCGAAGAACUUGGUUUUCUCUUGUUGGGAAAUGCAUUACCACCUGUCGCUACUCAAAUGUGGGCAAUUUUCUUACUUAUCACAUUUUCAAGCAAUGUGUUUAGCUACUCAAAUUGUGAUUUGAUUUCCACACCUAAAUGUUUAAUUAUGCUAAGUUGAGCGAUAAUGAAUAUUUUGUUGAUUUUUGCAUUUUGAAUAAAGGCUCUUUUAUCUUAUGGUUUUAUCAUUUCCAACCAUCUAUUUCUUUUUUCUUCUACGAAAUUUAUUAUGUAUAUGCAAUAUCUCUUUGAAUUAAAUUAAAUUGACUGCCAAGAGUUCACUAAUGCAUACCGAAAAGGAAAUCUAAUGUAAAAUUAAACCAAACAUACUAAAAAAUUGAAUCUAAAAUUGGAAUAUUUUAAAACCUCACAAACAAUGCAAGUCUUUGUUCCUCUUUUCCUCUCAAGUCAUUUUGUAUCAUGUGAUAUUUUACAUAAUUAUUCGUAUCAUCGAAUUUUUAAAAAAUUUAAUAUAUUGAUAUCAUGUUCAUAUUAUGCUUUAAUUCACAAUGUAUUUUGUAUAAUGUGUUAUAACAAUUCAAUUAAAAAACAAGCAAUUAUCUUAUUUUUGCGUACCAUAUUAUACAUUGACAUGUUAAUAAUUCGUUGUACAUAAAUUUUGACAUGUUCGUAUAUUUGAGUCAUUAUAAUUUUAUUAUUUGUAAUAUGACAUGUUUUAAUUACCCUUAAUAUUGCGUCAUGAUAAUUAUAAAUCGAUUGGCAGUCUACCAAAUAAUUUUUCUAAUAAAAAAUAGUAUUUUAUUCUAUUUACCAAAUCUUUAUCAACUUUAUAUUCUCACCAACAAAACAUACAUUCAAAGUUCAAAUAAGUUCCGCACCCAUUUUUUUACUGCAAUACUCAAGAAUAUGCUCAUCAUCAGAAAUCUGAAAUAUUCCACUUUAAUUAACAUUAAUUAUGAUUCUGUAAACAACAAAAAAGUGUGAUCCUUUGAAAUGGGAUUGGCAAAAAAUCCGCACGUGUCGUGUGUGAAGAAGGUGAGGUUGUCUAUUCAUACUCUAAUAAGUAGCUAAUUAUAGUUGAUCCUACAAAAUCAAAAUUAAUUCAGGUAUCUAUAUAUUCUGAAGACUGGACAGACCUUAGAAGCUUCUUCAAAUUUGCAAGAACAUGUCGUGGUCCUAAACACUUUACAGCGAUGAAAUUCAAAAGUUGCUCUAUAUCCUGCAAUCACAGUAAAGAUUAUGCAAUCGUUUCAGAACGAAUAACAAGAAGCAAAAGGCGAUCAAAAUACCGUGAUCUCGAUAAUGUUCUUUGCCGAAAAGGAACAUUAACUUAACCUUAAAACAGCAGUGAAGGCUCACCAGAUUUGCUUAGCAACCUUACAUACACAUGUAAAAAAAGCUUUGCUUUUGGAUGUAAGGUGUGACUAUCAUCACAGUCUUUCCUAAUUAGCUGAUUGUAAUACCCAAUUUGCCCAGCCCACAAUAAAAAACCAAAUAAAUAAAAAUUAAUUAAAACUCAAAUAGUUCACAGCCCAAUAACAACAAAAACCAAACCCAUUUACAGUGACCCGGUACAAACCCAAAGUCAGAUACAUCUAGUCCAACUACACCCAGCCCAAAUACCAAGCCCAAUACAACUAUCAACCCAACCCUAGCCCAAAAAAAAAUCAGAAAACCCUAGCUGCAACAGCCCUCCUUCCAGCGCCGCAGCCACCAGGGCCUUCCCCGAGUGUGCUGUGCCACGUCCACCACCUCCUUACGCCAGCUAGCCUCCUUACCUGCAAAGAAGACGAAAACAACGCAGCAGAGAGAAUUUUUUGUAUUUUCUUUCAUUUUAUUUCGAAUAUUCGGCUAUAAAGAGGGAGAAGGCCAUUGUAAUCCUUUUUUACGCAUAUUGAAUACAAACAAAAAAUCAAAACAGAAAGUUUUUUCGAAAGGUGAUUUUCUUCGUUUUUUUUUCUCUUUUAUUUCUUUGAUUCUUUGUUUUCUUCUUUGGCACCAAACGAAAAUAAAAAGAGGGAGAGAAGAAGCGUCUUACCAGAGCAGACGCCAUUGGAACCUGGUUUGCUCCGUCUGAAUCGGAGUCAGAUUGGGUUCGUGACUGGAGACCGGUGGGGAGAAAGGCUAGGCUCUUGAUCUGUUUUAGGAUGGCAAUACAACUUAUUAGGGUUUUAUUUUUUUAAAUGGCUUCAAAACGUCUCCGUGUUGGUUGACCCGAUGAUCCGACUUGACCCGGGGAGGAUCCGCGUGUUUUGUUUCAAUGGCUUAUUUUAGUGUUUGAUGCUUCUUUUUUUGAUUUACUUCAUUUUAAUCCUUCUUUGUCUUUUUUAAUUUUGCCACAUAAUUCGUUCUUUAUUUCAAUUUCAUCCUUCUGUCAGUUGAGGAGACAAACGUUCGAAACGACGCCGUUUCCGAUGAUCUGACUUGAUUGCCAGGUGAGACUUGUGCGUUUAAUUUCUGUUCUAGUCACUCUAUUUUAAAUUAAUUUCAAUUAGGUCCUUUUCAUUUCAUUUUAUUGCAUGUCUUACCCCUAACUUUCUGUUUUAAUUCCAAAUUAGUAAUCUGUUUUGUUAUUUUUGCUAUCAAAUUAAUUACUUUAAUAUUAAUUUAUCAUUAUUACUAUUAUUACUAUUAUUAUUAUUACUAUUAUUAUUACUACUACUAUUAUUAUUAGUAUUAUUUUUUUAAUCAAUUUAUCUAACCUUUUUAUAUUCAUUAUUUUAUUCUAUUAUGCACUAUUAUUUUAAGUUUUUUUUAUAUUAUUAUCAUAUAUUAUUUAAUUUCAUAAUGAAUUAUUUUAUAUUUUUAUGUUAAUCCAAUAGAAUUUACCUUUUUUAAAUAGUUUUCUUAUAAUACGUAAUUUAUAUCUAUUACCUAUUUAGAUUAAUAUAUGUGUAUUAUUUUGGGUUUUAUUUAUUUUGACUUUCUUCUUAUAAUAUUUAUUUUAAAAUUCAUUUAGAUAUUAUUAUUCAUUUUUAAUUCUAUUUUUAAAUUAUUUCAAGUCUUCCUAUUAAUUACUUCUUUUAAACUUUUAUAUAUGUGUAUUUUGUGUAUAUAUGUUGAUAAUUUCAAAUUUCUUUUCUCUCAUGCUUUUUUUUUAGUUAUUUUAAAUUUGUUAUAUUUGUGAUAGGCUUUUAGGUCAUUAGCUUUCAAAUGUUGAUGUUAAUAUUUACAUGUGAUUAUUGCUCUUAUAUGUAUGAUAAUGUUUAUUUGUUUUUAUUGAUUAUUUGUCAUUCGUUAGAGUAUAUUUUGUUUACAAAUCGUCAUUCCGCGUUAUACAUUAUCGUCCCGUCGCAUUUUAUUCGUUGUUAAAAGGUUACGUUUAAUAUCAUUCAAGUAUCGAGAGCAUUUUUAUUCAAAAAGUUUUUUUCAAAAAUAACGCGACACUCGGAAUUUAGGAUCCUCGAAAAGAUUGUGUCCUAACUUAUUGGAUUCCAAUCUUCCUCGUUGAAUCUAAGAAACCGGGUAUCCUUUUUUAAUUAAAGCAUAAAUAAAAAGCUCAUUCUCGAAAAUUCGAUACGUCGNNNNNNNNNNNNNNNNNNNNNNNNNNNNNNNNNNNNNNNNNNNNNNNNNNNNNNNNNNNNNNNNNNNNNNNNNNNNNNNNNNNNNNNNNNNNNNNNNNNNNNNNNNNNNNNNNNNNNNNNNNNNNNNNNNNNNNNNNNNNNNNNNNNNNNNNNNNNNNNNNNNNNNNNNNNNNNNNNNNNNNNNNNNNNNNNNNNNNNNNNNNNNNNNNNNNNNNNNNNNNNNNNNNNNNNNNNNNNNNNNNNNNNNNNNNNNNNNNNNNNNNNNNNNNNNNNNNNNNNNNNNNNNNNNNNNNNNNNNNNNNNNNNNNNNNNNNNNNNNNNNNNNNNNNNNNNNNNNNNNNNNNNNNNNNNNNNNNNNNNNNNNNNNNNNNNNNNNNNNNNNNNNNNNNNNNNNNNNNNNNNNNNNNNNNNNNNNNNNNNNNNNNNNNNNNNNNNNNNNNNNNNNNNNNNNNNNNNNNNNNNNNNNNNNNNNNNNNNNNNNNNNNNNNNNNNNNNNNNNNAAACUAAAUUUACUUUGUACUCAAUUACAAAUGUUAAGAAAUAUUUUACAAUCUAAUAAAUAAAUUUUUUAAUUAAAUUCACCAUAUUAAAUAAAAAUUUUAAAGCACCUAAAAUUGUCAAAUACAUUCUUUUGAAUUUUAGAAUUUAUGAAUUCCGAAACAGACUUUCAGCAUCUCAAAUUCUCUAUUUAAAUUUCACCUACAUAGUUUUUCUAGAAAUUCUUCAAAACUUCAUUUAUUUAAAUCAAUGGUUCUAUUAUAAAAUAGAGAAUUUAAAACUAAAAAGAUAUUAUUUUUAUUUAAAUCUAAUAUGCAUAUUUUUCUCUUUACAAAAAAUAAAUUUUCAAAAUCCAGGUCUACUAUUAAUACUGUUGAAAUUAUUUUAUUAAAUCCAUAUUCAUUUCGUCAUCUUUUAAUUACAUUGUUAUCAAGUUCUUUUAUUUUAAAAAAAGAUCACACUUUUUAGUUGUUUACAGAAUCAUAAUGUUAAUUAGAGUGGAAUAUUUCAGAUUUCUGAUGAUGAGCAUAUUCUUGAGUAUUGCAGUAAAAAAAUGGGUGUGGAACUUAUUUGAACUUUGAAUAUAAACGAACGUGUCAAAAAUUUAAGUACAACGAAUUAUUAACAUGUAAAUGUAUAAUACGGUAUGCAAAAAUAAGAUAAUUGCUUGUUUUUUUAAUUGAAUUGUUAUAACACUACACAAUACAUUGUGAAUUAAAGCAUAACAUAAAGAAUUGCAUUGUUUGUGAGGUUUUAAAAUAUUCCAGUUUUAGAUUCAAUUUUCUAGUAUGUUUGGUUUAAUUUUACAUUAGAUUUCAUUUUCAGUAUGCACUAGUGAAUACUUGGCAGUCAAUUUAAUUUAAUUUAAAGAGAUAUUGCAUAUACAUAGAAAGAAAUAGAUGGUUGAAAAUGAUUAAACCAUAAGAUAAAAGAGCUUUUAUUCAAAAUGCAAAAAUCAACAAAAUAUUAAUUAUCGCUCAACUUAGCAUAAUUAAACAUUUAGGUGUGAAAAUCAAAUCACAAUUUGAGUAGCUAAACAUAUCGCUUGAAAAUGUGAUAAGUAAGAAACUUGCCCACAUUUGAGUAGCGACAGGUGGUGAUGCAUUUCCCAACGAGAGAAAACCAAGCUCUUUGCCAGUAUGGAUUUAUGUAGAGGACAACAAAAAUUGUCAACAACACAACUACAUAAGAAACCAAAAAGCUCACACAAAAAUCACCUAUCAAACCAUCUUCUCCUUUAUCUUCUGAUACAGUUAAUAUCGUUGAUGGCGAAUCGAUUUUGGAACAACUUUUAUGCAAUAUAGCUCCACAAAGAAAAGGAUUUCCCUCAUAACUGUUUUCAAUAAAGGUCCCAAAUUGAGCUUUUUCGGGAAUACUACCUGACAAGUUGUUGUAUGCCACGCUGAAAACCUCCAAAGAGUUCAACUCUACCAACUGAUUGGGGAUUUCACCACUCAAAUUGUUGUAAGAAAGGUCCAAACUCUCAAUUUGAUGUAGUUUUGCGAAUGACGAGGGUAUAACUCCUGUCAACUUAUUGUGCGACAAGUUUAAAGAAUGGAUUUCACUUAAGUUCCCUAAUUCUGGUGGGAUAUGACCAGUUAAGUUGUUGCAAGAUAAAUCAAUCCCGGUCAUAUAUGAAAGGAUGUUGUCCUCGUACAAAAAGAACCCACUCUUUGUUGUGAACUCUAUUACUUCUUCUAAGUAGCUGUCAGGAUAGUAAGAAUCCAUUCCCAAAUUUAGUAUCAUACUGCGUGUUGUUUCAUCCUCUUCUAUAGGCCCAUAGAACUCAGUGUCUAGAAUCUUCUUCGUUUGCAUUAGAAGAGAUAAAUUUCCCAAGCAAGAAGGUAUAGGACCAGAAAACAUAUUUUGAGAAAGAUCUAUGAUGCUUAAAGAAUGCAACUUGCAUAACUCAACAGGAACUUUACCAUGAAAAUGAUUAUCUUUCAAGAGAAGAACACUCAAAGAAGAAAGCGUGUAAAUCCAUUUUGGAAUACUACCUGUCAAAUUGUUUCCUCUAAGAUCUAAAGUCACUAUUGAAGAGCUAUUAUAAAAAGCAAGCGACAGUGGGCCUCUCAGUCUAUUCCCGUGGAUGUGGACAUGCUCUAUGUAUGGUGGAUUAAAACAUGACGGUAUAGAGCCAGAUAAAUUAUUCUGAGAAAGAUCCAAAAAUUCCAACCUAUUCAACUUGCAAAAUUCCAUUGGAAUAGAACCUUCAAAACCAUUAUUAGACAAAUCUAAUCUCCACAAAAAUGAUGCAUUCCCUAUCCAUCUUGGGAGCUUUCCAUGCAACUUGUUGUUACUGAGAUCAAUUUCCCAUAGUGAAUUUGGAAACUCAAAAGUAGACGCAUUAACAUUUGUCAUCUCUCCUGAAAAAUUGUUUCCAUCCAAAUAUAAAUUCUCCACCCCAUUCACGCUGAGAAUCACAGGAACUACAUUUCCACUGAAAUUGUUAUUUGAUAGUCUCAAAAUGAUCAGUGAGCCUUUCGUGAUCAACUCUUCUGGUACUUUUCCAUACAAUUGAUUGUUUGAUAGAUCUAAAAAUGAUAAGUACUUCAUGCCACUUAAACAAAGUGGGAUAUUACCUUCAAAAGCAUUCUUGGAUAAGAAUAACCGCCUCAAAUGUGGAAAAGUUGAACAUAUACCAGUCGGAAUUUGACCUUGUAAUUUGUUUUCAGAUAUGUCAAUUGAAGAUACAUUAGAAAUAAGAGCUGACGAACGUGAGAGAGGACCUGUAAAUGAAUUACCCUUCAAGAUGAGUUCUUCUAACUUUGUGUUGUUUUCUAGCAACCAAGUUGGUAAAGUUCCACUGAGAUUGUUAUGAGAAAGAUCCACAUAUCUCAAGUCAUAUUGGUAGUAAAGGAAGGUAGGAACUUUUCGACUGAGUUGUUGAGAUGUUAUGCACUUUGACAAACUGAUGACUUCCAAUUGGAACUUUGGGAUUGAGGUAUAAAAGAAAGGUUCCAAUACCAUUUUGUUUUCAUUACUGGAGAGGGCUUUGAGGUUUGAAAGGUUUGCAAAUGGUGCAAAUGACAGUGGAAUUUGAAAAUGGUUUCUUGAAAUAUCUAACACACGAAGAGAUGUCAAGUUACUAAAACAAUGAGGAAGCAUCCCCUCAAGUGCAUUCUCACUCACUUCCAACACUUCAAGGUUCCUUAGAUCACACCAUCCUGAAAAUUUUAUAAAUUCAUGGAAGAAGUUUCAAUUAAAUCUUGUUUUAUAAAACAGAAUAGGAUAUAAUAUAUUACAGAAAGCACAUACAGCAAUCAAUUUGAGCCAUAAAAUUAUUUACCUUGAUUAGGUAAGGGACCAAUAAGUCCACAAUCAGAUAAAGACAAUGUUUUAAGAGAAGCAAAUACUCCAAUGCUUUGCAAAAUGUUGGUGUUGAGAGUAGAAUUGUCAAGAUAUAUUUCCUCCAAAUUGCUCAACACAUUUGAAUCUAAGCAAUGUCAAGAGGUAUUAGAUAACGGUAUUAUAGAAAGCCUCUACUAAGUGAAAUGCUUUAUUUUCUGUGAAUGAAAUGAAAUAUAUAAAUAUAUUUUUUUUAUGAGUUAGACUAUUCAUGAUUAUCUGAGAUAAAUUUUGAUGGAGAGAAGAUGUUGAAACUUUAAUAUAACUCUUCAUCCAUUUUAUUAAUUAUACUAUUUUUUUUCUUUUUAGUAUUUUCUUAUAUUAUUUUUUAAUAUAAGUAAUUAACUGAUAUGGCUAAUUUGUAUAAUUUUCAAACUCCAAUCAACAACACUAUAAAUAAUAUUUAUAAAAUAAAACAUUUCUACACUAAAAUUAUUAUAUUACCUUUAAAGUUACCAAUACUUUUAAAAAAAAAUAAAAAUAGGUAUUUUACUCACCAAUAAAUAAAAUUCAAAAAUAUAUUUAUAUAUGAAAUUAAAAAAUUUAUAUGUAUUUUUACUUUUAAAAAAAUAAAAACAGGUAUUUUACCAAUACUCUAAUAUGUAUUUUUAUGUUUUAUACUAUUAAAAAUAUAUGAAAUUAAAAUAUAGUUAUAUUACAUAUUUUCUCAUAAAUAUAUGUUUUUAUUUAUUUAUAAUAUCAUUUUUUUAUUGUUAUAAUCAUUUUUUAUCUCAUAAAAAUUCAAUAAAUUAUUUUAAAAAAUAUAUUUAUACAAACAAAAUAAUUAUAAACAUUAAUAUUUUAAAAUAAUGAAAAUUUUAAAGAAUUUUAGUUUCAAACCAAAGUCAAAGCACAUUAUAAUGGAGGAUUUAGAAAAUGUUUCACCAAAUCCAUAUUUUACUUUCAAGUAUGAUAUGAUAUAACUUUAUUCAUAUUUAUGACAAUAACCGUUAUUAUAAUAUAUGAGAUAAAAACUAAAUUUCUAAAUUAAAAAAAAAGGGAAGUUUAAUUAAAUGAUACCAAAUCUUUCAAUUCAUUAUAGCUCAUAUAUAGUUCCCUUAAGUUGAUAAAUGCAUCCAAAUCUAGGAAAACAAAAACAACAAAUCAACUUCAUUAUAUUCUCUUAAAACAUUAUUAUAUUCUUGUUAAAAAUCUAAUAUUUUUACCUUUCAUAUCUAUUGAUCCUUUCAAUUGAUUGUCCCCUAUGCUCAAAUAUUUCAAAUUUGAAAGCUUGUUAAGGGACGCAAAUACACUAGUAUUGAAGAGAUUUCCAUCUAAAUUAAGCUCUUCCAAGUGGGUCAACUCCAAUUUUCUACCACCAUCUACAAAAGAUUUAUAUAAUUUCAUCACUGAAAUGAAUUGGCAUAAAAUUAAAUUAUCUGGAAGAAUUUAGGUAAUUGGUUAAAUAUAAAUGCAUACCUUUAAAGGAUUGCAAGCUUUCAAUUUGAUUCCAACUUAAAUCGAGUUUCUUCAAAUUUGUUAAAUUACUCAAUCCUAUACAUAUCCACGUACAAUUCAAAAAAAAUCAUUAUGUUAAUAAUUUUAAUUUCUACUUAAUAUUUUAAUGAAAUAAAAAUGAAAAAAAAAAGUAAAUCUAAAACUUGAAGUGAAGAUGAAAAUCCUCAAACGUGAAAUGUGAAUGUUCAAAAUUGAAACAAUUGAUUUUAAAAGGUUCUAGAAAGAAUUAUCAAGAAAAACAAAGUUAUAGCUUUAGUACCUUUAGUAUCUAAUGAGCCUUGCAAACUGUUCGACCUCAUAUCCAAGGACUUUAGGCUUGAAAGCCAUACAAGAAAGGAAAUUGUGUUGUUCCGAAAGAGAUUAUGACUCAAGUCAAGUUCCUCCAAGUUUGUUAACCUCAGUAGUGUUCCAUCUAUCAUUGGAAGAAAAUAAUGAGUAUAGUUAAUAUCAUCCAAGAUAUAAAUAGUUAGGAAAAAUGAUUGUUUGAGAAGGAAGAGGCAAUUUACAAGCUUUCCCAUGAAUUGAUAACUACAUUUUACAAGUAAAACUUAAUUGAUUCAAUAUAUAAAUACUUUGUUUGAGAUUCCUUCCUACUUUAAUUACUCAAUCCCAAAUAUUGAUUACUUAUAUAUAUUCAUGAUAUGAUAAAAGCAAAUGACUUAUUAAUUGCAACAGCUUUUCCUUCAACAUGAAUUUAAUGCUAUUCUUCAAAUAAUUCCAACUUAUAUCAAUAAUCUCCAAUCUAAUGAGCCAUUGAAAACCUGAUUUAUAUAUUAUAUAAUUAGUUACUACAAAACAUAAAUAAAUAAUAAUACUCCAUUUUUGCAAUAAAAAUUCACUAAAGAAAAUACAUUUGAAGUUUGUCAUUGCCUUUUGGAAUAAGAGUCGGUCAAGAAAGUUAUGCACAAAUACUUAUACCUUUGUUUGAGAUGCUUUCAAUUCUGUUCCAACUUAAAUCCAAGUAUUUCAAGUUUGUCAAAUUAUUCAAUCCUGAAAUUCAAUCCCAAAUAUUGAUUAGUUAUAUAUAUUCAUCGUAUGAUAAAAUUAAACUUGAACAUACAUUGAUUUUUAAACUUGAACUUAUAUCAAUAAUUUCCAAUCUAAUGAGCCAUUGAAAACCUCAUUUAUGAGCCACUGAAAAUAAUUUUUUCUUGAUUCAUAUCAUAUUUUAAUAUAUUAGCAUAUUGUUUUAAAAACUCAAAUAUGUUUAAAAUCAAUUUAGCAUUUAACCUUAAUAUUAGUAUUUAACACCGGUAAUGGAGUUUUUUUAACUCUACAAGUGAAGUUAAAAAAUGACCAAUAACCUACUUUUAAAUAUUUCUUUUUUAAUAUUUUACUAUACCAUAUAAGAUAUUUGUUGUUAUCUCAAUCCUACUUAUGAAGUUUAGAAUUUCUUUAAUAGUACCACCCCGAUUUUUUAAAAAAACCAGAUUUUUUUAAUUUGAUAAAAGAAAAGAAUUUCAUUCAUAGUACCAAAUAUUUAUAUUAUUUUUUUAGUAUUUUCUUAUAUUAUUUUUGAAUAUAAGUAAUUAGCUAAUAUAGCUAAUUUGUAUAAUUUUUAAACUCCAAUCAACAACACUAUAAAUAAUAUUUAUAAAAUAAAACAUGUCAACACUAAAAUUAUUAUAUUACCUUUAAAGUUACCAAUACUUUAUAAAAAAAAUCAAAUAGAUAUUUUACUCAGCAAUAAAUAAAAUUCAAAAGAAUUAUAAGUAAACUUAGCGGAUUAAAUGAAAAUUUUAAAGCACUAAAUAUUGGCCCAAAAACAAAGUUAAGUUAAAAUAUGUCAUAUCUCCCUUUUACUCUUUACAAACGUGAAGUUUUAAAAUUCAAGUCUAAUUAUUAAUACUGUUAAAAUUAUUUUAUUAAAUCCAUGUUCAUUAUGUCAUUUUUUAGUUACAUUGCUACCAAGUUUUUUUUUUAUUUCAAAAUGUUACACCAACAAAUUAUUUUAAAAAAUUAACAAUUUAAAUAAUUAAACUUGGAUUUUGAAAUUUAAAAAAAAUAGAGGGACUAAAUUCCUGAAUAUAAAAGUAUAAGAAUUAAAUUACAAAUUUGUAAAGAGUAUGUAGACCUAUGUUAAUAACAUGUGCAUUUUGAAAUUUAUAAAAAGUUUGCAAUGGAAGUUUAAGCACCUCUAAAUGUAGGUUUAAAUUUCAUAAAAUUGAAGUUUUUUUUUAAAUUAUUCAAAAUUGACAUUUAUUUAUUUUUGGCCAAAAAAUACCAUUUAUUUAACUCUAAUAUGUAUUUUUAUGUUUUAUACUAUUAAAAAUAUAUGAAAUUAAAAUAUAGUUAUAUUACAUAUUUUCCCAUAAAUAUAUGUAUUUUUUAUUUAUAAUAUCAUUUUUUAUUGUUAUAAUUAUUUUUUAUCUCAUAAAAAUUCAAUAAAUUAUUUUAAAAAUAUAGUUAUCAAACAAAAUAAUUAUAAACAUUAAUAUUUAAAAAUUAUGAAAAUUUUAAAGAAUUUUAGUUUCAAACCAAAGUUCAAAAACAUUAUAAUGGAGGGUUUAGAAAAUGUUUCACCAAACCCAUAUUUUACUUUCAAGUAUGAUAUGAUAUAACUUUAUUAAUAUUUAUGACAAUAACCGUCAUUAUAAUAUCUGAGAUCAAAACUAAAUUUCUAAAUUUUUUUUAAAAAAAGGAAGUUUAAUUAAAUGGUACCUUGGUGGAUCACCCAAUCUUUCAAUUCAUUGCCGCUCAUAUAUAGUUCCCUUAAGUUGAUAAAUGCUUCCAAAUCUAGGAAAACAAAAACAACAAAUCAACUUCAUUAUUAUAUUCUUGUUAAAAAUCUAAUAUUUUUACCUUUCAUAUCUAUUGAUCCUUUCAAUUGAUUGAACCUUAUGCUCAACGAUUUCAAAUUUGAAAGCUUGUUAAGGGAUGCAAAUACACUAGUAUUGAAGAGAUUUCCAUCUAAAUUAAGCUCUUCCAAGUGGGUCAACUCCAAUUUUCUACCACCAUCUACAAAAGAUUUAUAUAAUUUCAUCACUGAAAUGAAUUGCCAUAAAAUUUAAUUAUAUGUAAGAAUUUAGGUAAUUGGUUAAAUAUAAAUGCAUACCUUUAAAGGAUUGAAAGCUUUCAAUUUGAUUCCCACUUAAAUCGAGUUUCUUCAAAUUUGUUAAAUUGCUCAAUCCUAUACAUAUCCACGUCCAAUUAAAAAAAUCAUUAUGUUAAUAAUUUUAAUUCCUACUUAAAAUUUUAAAGAAAUAAAAAUGAAAAAAAAGUAAAUCUAAGACUUGAAGUGAAGAUGAAAAUCCUAAAACGUGAAAUGUGAAUGUUCAAAAUUGAAACAAUUAAUUUUAAAAGGCUCUAGAAAGAAUUAUCAAGAAAAACAAAGUUAUAGCUUUUUGUACCUUUAGUAUCUAAUGAGCCUUGUAAACCGUUCCAACUCAUAUCCAAGGACUUUAGGCUUGAAAGCCCUUGAAGAAAGGAAAUUGUGUUGUUCCGAAAGAGAUUAUCACUUAAAUAAAGUUCCUCUAAGUUUGUUAGCCUCAAUUGUGUUCCAUCUAUCAUUGGAAGAAAAUAAUAUCAUUCAAGAUAUAAAUAGUUAGAAAAAUGAUUGUUUGAGAAGGAAGAGCCAAUUUAGAAGCUUUCCCAUGAAUUGAUAACUACAUUUUACAAGUAAAACUUAAUUGAUUCAAUAUAUAAAUACUUUGUUUGAGAUACCUUCCUAUUUUGAAAUACUGCAACAUUAACUGUCCCUUAAACAAAAAUUGGUUUUAAAGUAAAAAAGAAACAUAUAAAACCAGUCUACCUUUAAUAUGAAUUGACAUAUAAAUACUGUACUUAUACCUUGGUUUGAGAUGCUUUCAAAUUUCAAUUCUGUUCCAACUUAAAUCCAAGUAUUUCAAGUUUGUCAAAUUAUUCAAUCAUAAAAUUCAAUCCCAAAUAUUGAUUAGUUAUAUAUUCAUCGUAUGAUGAAAUCAAACUUGAAUAUACAUUGAUUUUUAAAGUUGAAAAGAAACAGGUAAAAUCAGUCUACCUUGAAUAUGAUCCAUCCUUCCUUUCAACUCAUUACCACUCAAUCUUAAAGUCUUCAAGGAUGAAAGAUUUCUCAUAUGGAACAAAAUGCUAUUCUUCAAAGAAUUCCAACUUAAAUCAAGAGUUUCCAAGUUAUUGAGUCUUGAAAGCAAUUGAAAACCUGAUAUAUAUACAUAAUUACUUGUUAAUUGUUUUUUUCUUUCUUUGCUAUAUGAAAAUUUUACUAAAGCAAUAGUGGAAUUACAACGGAUAAAAAGAAUGGAAAACUAGGUACCAAACCCAGAAGACCAUCCUCAAACUCCACUAUACAAAUAAAAACUAACACCAGACCAAACUUAAUUUACCUCUUAGAUGACUUGAUCCUUCUAAUUUGUUGUGUGAUAGAUCUAAAUACCGGAGAGAUGAAAGCUCACUCAAAGAUAACAAAAUGCUGUCAUUCAAGUAGUUUUCACUUAAGUCAAGGAUCUCCAAAUUACUCAACGUGGAUGAUAGUUUUCCAAAGCCUAUAGAAAUAUUCUUUUAAAUAUAUACAAGUUAGUGACUUUUCUUCCAUAAAAUAAAAUAAAAUAUAAGUAAUUGCAAAUUAACGAUGGUGAGAGUAGUGGAAUAAUAAAAGAUGUAAUUAAGGAAAAACUAGAGGCACGACCUUCAUUUUCAAGAUUACCACUUAUGGCAUUCCCCGACAAAUAAAGACUCUUCAAUUCCUCAAAGGGAAGAAACAUAGAGGCAUUGAGAUACCAGGCAUUGAGAUUCCUAUUAUCCAUGUCGUAUUCCCAUUUUGUAGAAUUAAGGGAGAGUUGUAUGAGUCUCCUAGUGGUGGUGUUACACUCAACUCUUUCCCAUUUACAACAAUCUGAACCCUUCACCUCAACCCAACUAUUCAAUUGAUUACCAUCAUUGAAGAAAGGUUUGAGAUGCAAGAGAGCGAUUCUCUCAUGCUCCAAACAAGCAUCAGUAGUACACCAUCUGCAUCCUUCUAACACCAACAACAUUACUGCCAUCCUAAUAAACCUUAACCAUUUCCACUUCAUCAUCAUCAUCAUCUCUCUGUUUUCACUUCUCUCUCAGCUAUAUGUUACUUUUUUUUAACUUCUAUAUGUAUAUAAUCUAAAGAAGCCUAAGCUUCUUAUUUAUAUACAAGCAGAUGCAUCCCACUAACUCACUAUAAUGUAAAAAUAAUAUAUAAUUAAUUAAUUCCUCAAAAAUUGGAUCAAAAUCUAGGCUUCUUAUUUACGUAAAUUAUUUAUUGCAAAAACUCUUAGUGGAAAUUCGUUAGGAAGGGAUGAAGGGGCCACAAGAAUAUUGAUGUUAAUCUUGAAAAACGAAUUGCCAAAAAAAUAUGAAAAGUGAGAGGUGGACAUAAAAUCGUAUAGUUGGGAUUGCAAAAGUCUUCAUGUGGCUUUCUUGUGAGUUUCAUUUAUACCCUUCUUACACUUAUACAAACUUAGUCUUGACUUGGCUUUAUUAAUGGAAAAUUUAGAUCUUCAUUUUUGGUUUUAUUCAUAGAAAUUUUACUUCUUUGAUUUUGGUUUUAUUAAUGGAAAUUUUAAGUCUUCAGUUUGCUUUUAUUCUUGCACAUUUUAGGUUUUGAUUUUGAAAAUUUAGUUUUUUCAUCUCUAUUAUUAUAAAAUUUCUUAAUUUAAUUAAUAUCAUGAGUUAAUUUAAUACUUUAAAAAAUAAAAUAUUACAUUCACUAUUUUUUUAAAAAUAAAAGUAACUAUAAAAUUUUAUUAUUUAUAUAAUAUUUUAAAAAAAACUAUUUAUUUCUACUAGACCACUACUUUAAAACUAUCCAUUAUCAUAUUGUAAUAGGCCCAAUUUGCCCGGGCCCGGUAAAUAAAUAAAACCAAUAAAAUCAAAUAAAAAAUAGUCCCAAAACAGUCCAUUUACAAUGACCCAAUACCAACCCAAUGGCCUAAAUCUCUACCCAAGCCCGAAUCUAAACCUAAACAGGCCCAAACCCCACUAAACCUAAUGGCCCAAUACCCAGCUUGGCUGAGACAAACCCUAGCCUUCAGCAGCUUUCUGCUCUUGCGCUGCAGCCAAGCCGCUCCUCACGUACGAGCCUCAUUCAUGCGCCGCACCGAGCAACGCCAUCGCCAGGGACCACGCCUGUACUGUGCCACGUGAGCCUCCGUACAUGCGCGCCCGUUCACCUCUGUACCAGUACCUGCAAAUACACACAAGAAGCAGCGAAGCAACAAAAAAAAAAAGAAAAUAGCAGUAGAAAAAUAGGGGAUUUUCAGUUUUUAUUUGAUUUUUCUGGCUAUAAAAGCCAAACACGCAGAUUGUAUCAUAGGGGGAACUCACACAUAUUGCAAAAAAAAAGGGGCAGAAAAUCAAUACAAAAAAAAAAAGAAAAGGUUUUCUCUUCCUUCAGGUCUCUUUUCUUCUCCAAUUGUUUCUUUUCUUUUUCGUUUGUUAUUAGCCUCAUAUAAGUAUAGAUAUAUAUAGAGUAAAUAAUAACAAAAAGGGGGGGUUAAAACGUACCUGGUGAUGCCUUUGAAUCCACGCGAAGAAGCCAAAAAGCCUUGAAUGGUGAGGCUCCGACCACCAUUCGCAGUGGAAUCAAGGCGGAGGGGCGGACUGACGGCACUGAAGGGUGAAACCCUAGCAGAGGAAACAAUAAGCAAUUUUUUUUAAAAACGAGUCUGCUAAUGUUUUUUUAGGGUAAAUUUUGUUUAAAUAAUGAUACAAUACGGAGCCGUUUUGGGCUAGGGUUCCUAGCGCCCAAACGACAUCGUUUAGAGGCCUUACCCAAUGACCCGAUCCAGAUGGCGGCUAGAUCCGCGUGUUUGGUAGGAGGAGGGGAAAUUUCGCGAAGAGUCCCUCUUGUUUUGUGCCGUUUCGGUUUGAUUUUCUUCAUUGUUUUUAAUUUGAAUCGCGUAUUUUAUUUUGUUUUCAAUUUGAUCCAUAGUUAAACGGCACCGUUUUCACUAAUCGGAUUUGAGCAUCCGAACAUUUGUGUUUAUUUUCUGUUUUAGUCCUCUCUGUUAUUUUUUAUUAUGAUUUUUACCCUCCUAUUUUAUUUUCACCCUAAUUUAGUCCCGAAACUGUUAGAUUUCACUUUAUUUAUGCAAUGUAUAUAUUUAUUUAUUUUAAACUUUAUAUUAUUUAUUUUAAAUCGUUCUAUUACUAUUUAUUUUAAGCCUUUUUUACAUAUUAUAUGUUUUAAAUUAUGUUAAUCAAUUAUUCAUUUUAAAUAUAUAUUAUUUAUGUUAAACUACAAAUGUAUAUUAUUUAUUUGGAAUUGUUCUUAUGCACAUCAUGCAUUAUCAUUUUAAAAAAAAUAAUAAUAAUAGAAUUUGUUUGCAUAUUGUUCAUUUAGGAUUCCUUCUCACACAUUACUUAUUUUAAACGUUUUACAUAUUAUUUUAAAUUGUUUUAUAUGUUUUUUUUAAAUGCUUUGAAGAUUAUUCAUUUUAACUUGUUUUACACAUUAUUUUAUUAUGUAUGGAAUUGCUUUAAUAUAUAUAUACGUGAAUAAAACGUAUUGUAACUGGUAAUUUCUAAAAUUUUAUUCUACGUUUUAAAAUUUUUAUCAUUUCGAUUAUGUUGAUUGGUUUACUUGGGAUUAAAUUAUUAUUGCAUUGAUUAUUCUUUUUUUUUUUGAUUUUUUUGUUAGAUUGAUUAUUAGUUUAUUUGAUUAUCAAUGUUGAUGUAUUAUAUGUUUGGUUGCUCCAAAUUGUAAAUUUAGCUUGCUAUUCACCAUUUGAUUAGUAUAUUGAUAUUUUAUUAUAUUGUUUGUAAAAAUUGCAUUUCAUUAAAGCAUUACAAUUGUUUUAUUUCAAAAUUCUCAAAAAGCUUGGUAUUUAAAAAUUCUCGAGAGGAUUGUGCCCUAACUUACUGGGCUUCAAUCCUCCCUUUUUGAUUCUAAAUAACCGAAUACCUUUUUUAAUUUGAACAUAGAAGUUUCAAAAUAAAAGCUCAUUCUCGGGAAUUUGACACGUUGUGUCCUAACGCAUUGAAUAUGACUAUUAUUUUCUCGAGAUGAGGAUUUUAAGGCAAUGUUCGAUAUUUAGGAAUUUUGUGAAAUCGAACCCUAACUUACUAGGUCUUGAUUUUCUCAUUUGACCCAGAUAAUCGGAUAUCCUCCUCAAAAUGCAUAGGUUUUAAAAGACGAGAGAUAAACUUAACUUGGAGGACUUAAAAUGUUGCACUCUAACUUACUAAGUGUGACGAUUUAUUUCUUUGAAAUAAGUGAGUCUCGUCGUCCAAUUCAUUUUAUUCAAAAUAAAAGGAUCAAAUUUUAAAAUCUUUUCAAAAUUUUGACAUUAAGACAUUAAACAUUCCAAUCGGUACCAAUUUUGGGCGUCACGAGGGUGCUAACCCUUCCUCGUGCGUAACCGACUCCCGAACCCGUUUUCUCAAAAAUUCGCAGACCUAAAAUUAUUUUCAAGGUGAUCCGCACACCACAAUAAAAGAUCGGUGGCGACUCCAUUUCCAUUUUCAAAAUUGAUCCCCAUUUUUCAAAUUACAAAAAAAUGGCUUCGACAGCUUGGCGACUCCACUGGGAACGAUUUAGAGAGUCAAGCCAUAAAAUUGAUUGUUUUUGUCUUAUUGUCGAAAAUUAAAAUUUGAUUUGAAAAAUUACGCUCUUUUCUUUGCACUUGUUUGCAUGAUUAUUGUAAAUUAAGUUGCAUAUUUUGGCAUCAUUUUGCAUAAGACUGUUUAGUCUUGUCCUUUUAAGUGGGAGUGAGAAACUAGUCCUUCGUGAGGUUUUCACCUUCGUGCAGGAUAGUGGAUCACUUCCGGGAUACAUCCGUACCUAUGUCUUCGUGAGAUUUUCAUCUCCGUGCAGCCAUAGGGAAAUGUAUUCCCCUGAACCGAACUCGGUCUGUAUGAGCCUAUAAUGGGUGAAGAUCGAGGAAUCUACUGGUUCGGGUACCUUGACUUUAGAAACAACCCUCAUAUAGUGGACUUAGGAACCCAUCCUAGGUAGAGCCACUCCGAACCCCUAGUGGUCACCCGACUAGGCACUUUUGUUUUCCUUGUUUGCUUCUGUUUCGCACUAACCUAUCUUGUUUUGUUUUGAUUAUGAUUGCAUUUCAUUUGCAUCUUAGGAAGGAGACAUUGAUUCAAGUUCGAUUACUAAAUUAAAAAGCUUGUCAUGGAAUACGAAUUCCUUGAUAAAGUGGAAAACAAUACGACUUUCCGAAUAUAUUCUGAGAAACAUAAGAAGGGCGAUCGAAGAGUUCGCAACCUCGCUUCGUGGCCUAAGGAUUCAAGGCGAUUGUCUGAGAGCCUUCGACGUUCCACCCCCUUUAAAAGCUGACGAGCCUUAAGAAGAUGGAUAGAUGAUGGAUCGUGACCAAGAUCAAGAAAAGGAGCUAGUAAUGGCAUCUAUUGGUAAGAUUACCUCAAACGUGCGGAUGAAGAAAAAGAUCGAUGUUGGUUCUUGGAAUAUGAGGGCGAGGUCGUACAUGUAUCCGUUUUAUGUAAGGGAAUUUGCUUUCUAGAAAAGUUUUCUAAAUGUAAUUGAAUCAGAAUCAACGUCUCUUUAGGCAUUCAUUUCAUGUAUUUGCAUUACAUUGCAUUACAUGCAUUAAAAUCCAUUGAAAAAGUCUAAACGAGUAAAUUUAUUUCAGCUAACCUGGAAAACCAACCGACCAAACACCCUUACGAUAUCCAAGAAAAGACUAGAGAAAUGGAAUGAAGGUUGGAAAAAUUAGAGCGGAUGCAGAUUCAGAUGCGGGAGAGAUUGACUGAAUUUCAACAGGAGAUGAGAGAUCAGAUGCUAGAAUUACAGAGAACCUUGAUGAACCAGUUCAACUGACUACUAGCUGGAGAGUUAGAAAAAAAGAAGGACCCGGUGGUCCACUUUGGGGUUGAUAAUAAGGAUCUUGCCCAUUCCCUAGAUUAUACUCCGACAAGUGUCCAAGUCCAGCCGGAUGGGCGUCCACAUGGGGCACUCUUUACUAUCAGAUCACAACAGUAUCAAACUGGUACAGCAACACCGGUGGGUUGCUUGACAAACCCAAGGUCCAAUGCGAGGAACAAUUUUCCUGUUGCUCUCGAUGGCCCGGCUGAAACAAAGCAGGCAAGGGUGGAGUACCUAGGUACUACAAAGGCCCUAAGGAAGAAGGGGAAUAAAUGGGAUAAUGUAGGUAGGUAUAACAAGGGCCACUCAAAACCAAUCACUGCGGGCCAACAAAAGAUGGCAACCACCAGCCAUCAGAGCCCUUUAAAGCAAGACCCUUAUGUGAAACAAGGCACUGAGAACCUCCAGUUCACGCCAAUUUCGGUGUCGUAUAAGGAGCUGUAUCAAAGCUUAUUCAAUAUGCACAUUGUUGCCCCUCUCUACACGAAACCUCCACAGCCUCCGUACCCUAGAUGGCAUGACGCAAAUGCACGAUGUGAAUAUCAUGCAGGAAAUAUGGGGCAUUCCAUAGAAAACUGCAUUGCCUUUAAAAAAACUGAUUGAAAGGCUUAUCAGUAUGGGCGUCAUUAAAUUUGAUGAUUCCUCUAGUGUAUAAAAUACGCCGCCUAAUCAUAUUAAUGACGAGGCGAAUGAGGUGUACGAAGUAGUGUUGGGAAAUGUUCACAUCAACGACGUGUCUGAAGACACAAAUGGAAAGGGAUCUUGUUAGAUGUCCGCCCUUAUAAAUUCUGGAGUGUUCUAAAUAAUUAGACUGCGGAAGAAAUCCAUAUAGUCUCUAGAGCUUUUUAAGGUAAUGUUCAGAACAUUUUUGUUGGUUUUAGCCUAGAAAUGAUAGAAAUUCCUUUGUGAAAUAGGCUUAUGUCUGAACGUUGUUAUUUUAAUGAAAUACAUCUUUGCAAUUACUUCUGAGCCAAUAUUUUCAUUCUUUGCGAAUAAGUCCAUAUUCUUUCACUCUUUUGGAUUUUCUUCCAAACCAUCAUUCAUUCAUUCAUAAUUAUGUGAUAUAAAUAAUUAUUCAUAAAUUUAUACAUUCUUUUGUAUAUUCUUCGGUGCUUAUUAUGGGUCCCCAGAUAUCAAUUACUUGAAUGACACUGCUAAAGACUCAGAUUUUCCUUUUGAGCAAGGCAUGUGUUCAGAGGGAUCUCAGGACUUUGGGAAUGACAUAGAUCUAGCUUAUCUCAGACUUGUUGAGGAUGAUAGAACAAGAGAACCGACAGAUCCUACCUCACAAGGAAUCAUUAGGAAUUGUGGGCUUAGUGAAGAUUAGAAUUGACCUGACCUCAAAGAUGAAACAAGACCUUGUUCAGAGAUGUCUUUGUAGGAUCAUGCCAGGAUAUGCCGGGUUAAGCGCAACAACACAAUGACAAAAUUUGCAGUGUGAAUGACGUAAUGGAAAUUCUUUGCCGGGGCAAUGCACUUCUUGUUAACUCAGUAUAGCUUUGCCCAUUUGAAUUCGAGUUUCUAUUUCUUCAAGUUUUGUUGGAUUUUAUCUUGAUUGAAGAGGAGGAUCCAAAAUUUUCUAUCGUAGUUUCGCCCCAGAAGGCUCUAUGAAAGAAACCUAAUACCAAAGAGGGUUUUUCGCAUAUAGGAUGAAAGUGGAAGAUCUUAUCGAAAGGGAUAUCAUAGGCUUGCCCAAUCCUAAGGGUUUAGAUUCAAAAAAAAAAUCAAAAUAAAAAAAAGAAAAAUCAAAGUCAAAAGUAAAAAAAAAAAGAAAUCAAUCAAAGUCAAAACAAAUAUGAAAAGAGAAAAAGAAAGAAAAGGAGAGGCCAAGGCGAAAACCCGCAAAGGGAACUUUGUGACCAAAGGUGGUUUUGAGUUGAAAACCCGAAAAAGGUGACUCAAAUUUUGAGUAAAUUGAGGCAUGGACAUCACAAUUAUCGAAGAUUUCUAAUGGGCAUUGCUUCACUAUUGAGAUCAUUAAUUACUUCAUCAAAUGGAUAGAGGCUACUGCAUACGUUAAUGUCAUCAUAUGCCGAUAUAGAAUUCCAGAUUGGAUGGUAUUGGAAAUUGCAUUGAACUUGAAUGACAGCACGACAGCUGAAGGCUGCAAUCAGUUCAAAAUCAGGCACCACGGUUUGCCACUGUAUUGCAAGAUGAUGAAGUUAAAAAAAAGAAUGAAAAAUGAAAAUGAAAAAUGAAAAAUGGAGAGGCUAAGGGAAAACCCGCAAAGGGCACCUUAGGCCAAGGGGAUUUGAGUUGAAAACCCGAAAAGGGCGGCUCAAAUAUUUGUUCAGAAUGGGGCAUGAGGCGAUCAGAGCGAUUUGAAUUUUGAUAAUAUUGGGGCAUGUGGUGAUCUUGCUAUGCCUGAAUCAACAGGAGAGGAUAGGCGACAUCUUGGGGCAUCGACAAAGCACUGUAGAUCCCCUAAACACAUGUCCAACUCAAAAUAGUCUUCAGAGAGUCUGUACAGAGAAGUUCAAGCUGCGAUAUCUAGGGCACCCAAUUCUCAUAUUAUUUGUUGUUCUUGGAAUACUUUUUUCUUUUCCAAGAUAUACAUUCCCAAUUGUCAUCCUUCUUUACUAUUUUCGAUAAUUUGUUCUUUCGAGCUAUGCUCAGAACCAACUUUAUUCUUAUCCAUUGUUAUAACCCUUUUUGUAAACAUGUUGCAUUGGAAUAAUAAUUAAUGGACUAAUAAAACUUUCACAAGGGAAGUUUUGCAUAUUACUUUGAAAAGUUUCUAAGAAAUAUAGGAACCUGAAACAGGACUAUUGUUUAGAACGCACCAGGUAAAGGUUGGAAAUUUGAGAGGGAAGAGUCUAAAUUUGGGCUUUCUCUUUGGAUUUCAUUGUUAAAUGCAUUGAUUGACAGGAUGCCAUGAUUGGUGACAAAGCUUAAGUAUACAAGCAAGCAAUUAUCACCAGGUAAGAGGAGGAGGUUACCUCGGAGAAGAGAGCCUUCAUCUGCGCAUAAGUCUUUGGUACGACACCUUGGGAAUGGUGUAAGGAACUAGAACGACUCGGAUCCUGUAUCCUUGAAUUAUGAUAAGGAAGGAUUGAGGAAAGGCCAUAUAUUUCUACGCUUGGAUUACAGUGGGAGAAUGAAGGUACAAAAUUUGUGUCCCAGUGGUUUACAGUGGGGGCAAUCUGACUAAGUGAUUCUUCAGAAAAGCCAAUCGAGCAAGAAGGUGUUGUAACAACGUCAGCCUAAAAAAAACUCAGAGUAAUGACAACCUAAGCGGGAUCGUUCUCGAAAAAAAUAAAAUUCCGCAUUCAUGCAAACGCCAUUCACACAUGUCUAGUUAGGAGCAUUUGAUUCAUUCUGAUCAUACCAUCCUAAUCAUUAGGCAUAAUUAGGUUCAUUAUACAGGUCAUGUUCCCCAGAGAACAGAUCAGUGAAUAUUGCGGAUCUUAUCUUCCCCAGGAGUAAGGAAAUAGAUCUAAGCACGAAUCUUAUCUUCCCCAGGAGUAGGGAAGCAGAUCUAAGCGGCGAAUCUUAUCGUCCCCAGGAGUAGGGAAACAAAUUUAAGCCACAAGUCUUAUGUCCCUGACCAACAGCGGAGUAGUUUGGAAAUUACAAGUCUUAUCUCCCUAAGCAGUAGUGGAGCAGACCGAAGAAGCAAAUUUUAUCUCCCUGAGGUUACAGUGGAGCAGAUCGAAAUCGAUAAUCCUAUCUCCCUGAAGUUGUAGUGGAGCGGAUUAAACAACAGAUCUUAUCUCCCUAAGCAGUAGUGGAGCAGAUCGCAUCAAGUUUUAUCUCCCUAAGUAGUAGUGGAGCAGAUGAAAAAAAAACCAAUCCUAUCUCCCUAAAAUUACAGUGGAGCGGAUUAAAACAAUAGAUCUUAUCCCCUUAAGCAGUAGUGGAGCAGAUCGCAUCGGGUCUUAUCUCCCUGAAGUUGCAGCGGAGCAGACUGAGCGAACAAGUCUUAUCUCCCUAAGCAGUAGUGAGCAGACGAAAAAACCAAUCAUAUCUUCCUGAAAUUGCAGUGGAGCGGAUUAAAACAAUAGAUCUUAUCUCCCUAAGCAAUAGUGGAGUAGAUCGCAUCAGGUCUUAUCUCCCUGAAGUUGCAGCGGAGCAGACUGAGAAAACAAGUCUUAUCUCCCUAAGCAGUAGUGGAGCAGACGGAAAAAAAACCAAUCCUAUCUCCCUGAGAUUGCAAUGGAACGGAUUAAAACCACAGAUCUUAUCUCCCUAAGCAAUAGUGGAGCAGAUCGCAACAAGUCUUUUCCCCCUGAAAUCACAGUGGGGCAGACUGAAGAAGCAAAUCUUAUCUCCCUGAGGUUGUAGUGGAGUAGAUUGAAUUCGAUAAUCCUACCUCCCUGAAGUUGUAGUGGAGCGGAUUAAAGUAAUGGAUCUUAUCUUUCUGAAGUUACAGUAGAGUAGAUCGCAUCAGAUUGAAGUCAGAAAUCUUAUCUCCCUGAGAUUACAGCGGAGUAGAUUGAAACUAGUAAUCCUAUCUCCCUUAGUUUACAGUGGAACGGAUUAAAAUAAAGGAUCUUAUCUCUCUGAAGUUACAGUAGAGUAGAUCGCAUCAGGAAUUAUCUCCAUGAGAUCACGGUGGAAUAGACCGAAGAAUUUUAGAUCUUACUUCCUAGAUAAUACAGUGGAACAGAUUAAAGCCACAGCAGCGAAUCUUGCUUCCCUGACAUCACAGUUAUGAGUUACAAAUCUGAUCUCCCCGACGUUGGGGUGGAGUGGAUCAAGGCACCGAUUCCUAUACCUCUAAAGAUGCAGUAGGAUGGAAUGAGGUAACUCGAAGAAGAAGAACACUAGGGUUCAGCACGACCGGGCAAAAUUGGUCCUCUUUAGUCUUUGCUCUAUUCUCGUUACACGACAAUGAGCAAAGAGGGGCAGCUGUAAUAGGCCCAAUUUGCCCGGGCCCGAUAAAUAAAUAAAACCAAUAAAAUCAAAUAAAAAAUAGUCCCAAAACAGUCCAUUUACAAUGACCCAAUACCAACCCAAUAGCCUAAACCUCUACCCAAGCCCGAAUCUAAACCUAAACAGGCCCAAAACCCACUAAACCUAAUGGCCCAAUACCCAGCCUGGCUGAGACAAACCUUAGCCUUCAGCAGCUUUCAGCUCUUGCGCUGCAGCCAAGCCGCUCCUCACGUACGAGCCUCCAUUCAUGCGCCGCGCCGAGCAACGCCAUCGCCAGGGACCACGCCUGUACUGUGCCAUGCGAGCCUCCGUACAUGCGCGCCCGUUCACCUCUGUACCAGUACCUGCAAAUACACACAAGAAGCAGCGAAGCAACAAAAAAAAAGAAAAUAGCAGUAGAAAAUAGGGGAUUUUCAGUUUUUAUUUGAUUUUUCUGGCUAUAAAAGCCAAACACGCAGAUUGUAUCAAAGGGGGGAACUUACGCAUAUUGCAAAAAAUCAAUAUAAAAAAAAAGGUUUUCUCUUCCUUCUGGUCUCUUUUCUUCUCCAAUUGUUUCUUUUCUUUUUCGUUUGUUAUUAGCCUUAUAUAAGCAUAGAUAUAUAUAGAGUAAAUAAUAACAAAAAGGGGGGGUUAAAACGUACCUGGUGAUGCCUUUGAAUCCACGCGAAGAAGCCAAAAAGCCUUGAAUGGUGAGGCUCCGACCACUAUUCGCAGUGGAAUCAAGGCGGAGGGGCGGACUGACGGCACUGAAGACUAGGGUGAAACCCUAGCAGAGGAAACAAUAAGCAAUUUUUUUUAAAAACGAGUCUGCUAAUGUUUUUUUAGGGUAAAUUUUGUUUAAAUAAUGAUACAAUACGGAGCCGUUUUGGGCUAGGGUUCCUAGCGCCCAAACGACAUCGUUUAGAGGCCUUACCCAAUGACCCGAUCCAGAUGGCGGCUAGAUCCGCGUGUUUGGUAGGAGGAGGGGAAAUUUCGCGAAGAGUCCCUCUUGUUUUGUGCCGUUUCGGUUUGAUUUUCUUCAUUGUUUUUAAUUUGAAUCGCGUAUUUUAUUUUGUUUUCAAUUUGAUCCAUAGUUAAACGGCACCGUUUUCACUAAUCGGAUUUGAGCAUCCGAACAUUUGUGUUUAUUUUCUGUUUUAGUCCUCUCUGUUAUUUUUUAUUAUGAUUUUUACCCUCCUAUUUUAUUUUCACCCUAAUUUAGUCCCGAAACUGUUAGAUUUCACUUUAUUUAUGCAAUGUAUAUAUUUAUUUAUUUUAAACUUUAUAUUAUUUAUUUUAAAUCGUUCUAUUACUAUUUAUUUUAAGCCUUUUUUACAUAUUAUAUGUUUUAAAUUAUGUUAAUCAAUUAUUCAUUUUAAAUAUAUAUUAUUUAUGUUAAACUACAAAUGUAUAUUAUUUAUUUGGAAUUGUUCUUAUGCACAUCAUGCAUUAUCAUUUUUAAAAAAAUAAUAAUAAUAGAAUUUGUUUGCAUAUUGUUCAUUUAGGAUUCCUUCUCACACAUUACUUAUUUUAAACGUUUUACAUAUUAUUUUAAAUUGUUUUAUAUGUUUUUUUUUAAAUGCUUUGAAGAUUAUUCAUUUUAACUUGUUUUACACAUUAUUUUAAUAUGUAUGGAAUUGCUUUAAUAUAUAUAUACGUGAAUAAAACGUAUUGUAACUGGUAAUUUCUAAAAUUUUAUUCUACGUUUUAAAAUUUUUAUCAUUUCGAUUAUGUUGAUUGGUUUACUUGGGAUUAAAUUAUUAUUGCAUUGAUUAUUCUUUUUUUUUGAUUUUUUUGUUAGAUUGAUUAUUAGUUUAUUUGAUUAUCAAUGUUGAUGUAUUAUAUGUUUGGUUGCUCCAAAUUGUAAAUUUAGCUUGCUAUUCACCAUUUGAUUAGUAUAUUGAUAUUUUAUUAUAUUGUUUGUAAAAAUUGCAUUUCAUUAAAGCAUUACAAUUGUUUUAUUUCAAAAUUCUCAAAAAGCUUGGUAUUUAAAAAUUCUCGAGAGGAUUGUGCCCUAACUUACUGGGCUUCAAUCCUCCCUUUUUGAUUCUAAAUAACCGAAUACCUUUUUUUAAUUUGAACAUAGAAGUUUCAAAAUAAAAGCUCAUUCUCGGGAAUUUGACACGUUGUGUCCUAACGCAUUGAAUAUGACUAUUAUUUUCUCGAGAUGAGGAUUUUAAGGCAAUGUUCGAUAUUUAGGAAUUUUGUGAAAUCGAACCCUAACUUACUGGGUUUUGAUUUUCUCAUUUGACCCAGAUAAUCGGACAUCCUCCUCAAAAUGCAUAGGUUUUAAAAGACGAGAGAUAAACUUAACUUGGAGGACUUAAAAUGUUGCACUCUAACUUACUAAGUGUGACGAUUUAUUUCUUUGAAAUAAGUGAGUCUCGUCGUCCAAUUCAUUUUAUUCAAAAUAAAAGGAUCAAAUUUUAAAAUCUUUUCAAAAUUUUGACAUUAAGACAUUAAACAUUCCAAUCGGUACCAAUUUUGGGCGUCACGAGGGUGCUAACCCUUCCUCGUGCGUAACCAACUCCCGAACCCGUUUUCUCAAAAAUUCGCAGACCUAAAAUUAUUUUCAAGGUGAUCCGCACACCACAAUAAAAGAUCGGUGGCGACUCCAUUUCCAUUUUCAAAAUUGAUCCCCAUUUUUCAAAUUACAAAAAAAUGGCUUCGACACAUAUAACUUCUCUUUAAUAAUUCACUAUUCUUUGAACAUUCAUUAGUUUUUGAAACAUAAAAUUUAUAAAUAAUUAUUUUUAGGGUAAACUACACCCAUGGUCACUUUUGUUUACCUUAGGUUACAUUUCAGUCACUUAUGUUUGAAAUGUUACGUUUUAGUCACUUAAGUUAUUGUGUUGUAACAUUUUAGUCACUGAGCCGUUAGUUGUCGUUAAUGGCUGACGUGGCACGUUAAAUUAUCAUUUCAAACAAAAACUUUAGGUUAAAUUAUACAAUUGGUUUCCAUAAUUUUUCGUUUUGAGCAAUUUAAUUCUUUUAUGCUCUUUAACUUUCUUUCUUUUUUUUUUUCUUUAUUUUCCAUUCUCUUCUGCUUCUCCCUGUUUUCCUACAUUCUUUAUUUCUUUUAACAUAUCAGGAAGUCGAAUUGGUAGUGAAGAAAGAAGCAUGGUAUGGGUUUAUGGGUUUUGGUUAUGGGCAAAUGAUGACAGUCGACUUCCUACUUCUUUUUUCACUGUCAAUUCGACUUCCUAAUAUGUUAAAAGAAAUGGGAAAAGUAUGAAAACAGAGAGAGAAACAAAAGAGAAUGGAAAAAAAGAGGAAAGUUUAAAGAACAUAAAAGAAAAAAAUUAAAUUACUUAAAACGAAAAAAAUAUGGGGAUCAAUUGUAUAAUUUAACCUAAAAUUUUGUUUGAAAUGAUGAUUUAACGUGCCACGUCAGCUUACCGUUACACCAUUAACGACGAUUAAUCGCUCAGUGACUAAAAUUUUACAACAUGAUAACAUAAAUGACUAAAACGUAACAUUUUAAACAUAAGUGACUAAAACGUAACCUAAGGUAAAUAAAAGUGACCAUGGGUGUAGUUUACCCUUAUUUUUAAUAUGACUUGAUUUUUACUUGAAUCAUUUUUGUAAUUAGUUAAUUAAAUUGGGUUAUUUUAAAAAAAAUCCUCUUAACUAAUAGCCAAAAAAAAGCCAUCAUGUAGAAAAUUCUGGUUUGUUGGAAAAAUAAAGACUUGACCUAUUACUCUAGAUUUUGAAAUGUUCAACUUGAUAUUGACAUAUGAUAAUAUGUACAAAUUUCUCAUUCUUUUAAAUUUUAGUGAUAUUACAUGUAUGAUAAUAUGUUUGCCACACCAAAUUUGAAAAUAGUAGAACUUAAUGAAUUUAACAGAUAUCUAAAAUAUCAAAUUAAAGUCUAGGAAUUAAAUCUACAACAUCAGUAAAGUACAAUAACUAUGGUAGAAUUAAACCUUUAUAUAAUAAUUUCCUUCUAUGAACCACAAUUCAAGUGCACCCGACAAGCUAAUUAAUAAAAAUUUAGUGGUAGAAUAUGUAUAUUCUUGUGGGUGGAAAUUUAGUGGAGAUGCCCAUCAUCUUUCCUAAUUAAUAAAAAUGAAGACUUAGAAAAUGUGCAAUCAUAAUCCUAGUUGUCGUUAUGGCCCCAAGAAUAGGUAUAUUAAUUUGUCUCUCUUCAGGAUCAAAGAUAAAUAAUAAAUUUUAUAAAGUUAAAACCAUAAUUCUAUAAUUAUAUUAAUAUAUAAUUUCAUAAAAUUUUAAAAAAUGUAUCUUUCAACUUUUUUAAGUAAAUUGAUAAUUCGUUAACUCAUAAUAUAUAUUUUUUUCAAAAUAUUUAUGAGAACGAGUUCGUAUUCUAUUGUGUGGAAAAUUUUAGUACAGAUAUUGGUGAAGCCAAAUCCAACUUGUUUGACCAAGAAAGUCUCUGUCGUGUGGAAAAUUUUAGUUUUGUGGAAAAUGGACAUUACCAUUUCCUUGAAUGACCAUCAAUUUCUCCAUUGAGAUAUAGUAAGAGGGAGUGAAAUAUAUAUAAGGUAAUAUUUAAUGUAUUCACACCAAAUUUCAUUAAUGAGUAAAACAAAUAAUGAAUAAUAAUGAAAAUUGGAGGAAAUUGUUAAGAAAAUAUCAUUACAUAUAUCAACACUCACAUAAUUCAUUGUAUUAACUUUCAAAUGUUGACUAUUGACUUCUACAUCAACCUUGAGCUUAUAUAGGCCCCCCUCACGGAAAUAAUCUCACAAUUAAUGCCUAGAGGUGCUUAUGGGCCGGGCCGGGCCCAGAAAAAAUUUUGGCCCGGGCCCGGCUCGGCCCGAAAUAUGGGCCUGAACUUUUGCCCAAGCCCGGCCCGGUAAAAAAUUCAUAAGCCCGAGCCCAGCCCUUUUUUUAAAAAAAUACCAAAAAUUUAUUUUAAAAUUAAAAAAAUUUAAAAAAAAGUAUUUUAAAAAUAUUUUAAAUAAAUACCAAAAAUUCACCCUGCAUCUAAAAGGAGGUCCAGCACUCGAAUCCCAUUCCCCAUAACUAAAAACUAUGUCACUGUGACUUGGUCAUAUCUCCGCUCAAAGUCGGACAUGGGUAGUUAAAGAAAAAUGAAGAGUCGAUGCAUGAUAGACUAAGGACUAGCUCAAAAGUGCUUUUAGAAAAAAUUGCUCUUGAAAAGAGGUGUGGAAAAGUGUGCUUGUUAGUUUUUAGUGUUGUUCAUUGCUGCCAAAAAUCGCAAUUGAAAGUUAAAAUGUUCUUUUUAGACAUGAUAGUAGAAAGUAAAAAAUUAGUCAAGUCAUAUGAUUUUUAAAUAAUUUAAUAUAAUGAUACAUGAAAUAUAACUUUUAAAUACCUUUUAAGUAAUUAAUAUAAAUUAGUUGUAAAAUUGAUAAUAUAUAAAAUAUUUUGAAAAAAAUAAAUAUAAUAAUAAAUAAGAUUUAAACAAUUUAAUAUAAUAAUAUAUAAAAUAUAAAUUAAUCUAAUUUUUAUAUACCUUUUAAAUAGUUAAUGAAAAUAAUAGUAUUUUGAUAAUUUUCCCUUUGAAAUGCAAAAGCCAAAAACAGUUUUUGACUACAAAAGCUAUGUGUUGUUCAUCACUUCUGCAGUGGAAAAACACUUCUCCAUGGUGUAAAAACACUUUUACCCAAAAAGGCUUUUUCACCACAGUAGAGAAUGCACCCUAAAAUUGUAAAUAGAAAAAGGAAGAACCAAACAUUGUUUCUACCCUGUUUUUGUCUCCUCUUUGAAAAUACUUUCCAAAAGUUUUAUCAUUUUUUUUUCUGUUUACGAUGCCUUAAAUGCAAAUUCCUUAUAGAAGUGCUUUCUUUUGAUCCACUUGCAUCAUUGUAAUAAGUUUGCAUUGCCUUCUUUCUAUGUUGAUUAUCGUUUAUUAAGUUUUCUGUUGGAUCUUAUAGUCAAAUUCCUUUACAUCAUGUAUGUUAAUUUGCUUAGCCCUGAUAAAUGUUAGAUAUAGGGUUAUCAGCUAAUUAGGAAAGACUGUAAUGAUAGUCACACCUUACAUCCAAAUUUUUACAUUGAGGUUCCUUAUUAUUUUUUCUUGUUUCACCAAUUGCAUCCUAUUUACAGUUCCUUAGCGUUAUCCACUGUGCUAGGGUGGUUCUUGUUCAUAUAUUAAUCACCAUGCGCCUUCAGCAAAUGCAAAGCCAGCCAGCAUCUUCUGAUUUGUCAUUGGAUACUACACUUUCAGCAAAUGUAAAGCCGCCAGAAUUUCAGCUGUUUUUAGAAGGUCAAGACACAACAAGAGCAACAUAUGUUGUAUUCUUGUCAAACAAGAUAAGUUUUCGCAUAUUAACGAUUCUUUUUCCAAGAUGAAUUAUUCUCCUGUUGCAUUUUUAUUUGGGUUCAAAUGUUCUGUGAAGUUAGCUUGCCAGUGCUUGUUUGUUCAUCAGCAUUUACAGCUCAUUUGUCAUUGGUCAGCAGAAUUUCCGCUGUUUUUAGAAGGUCAAGACACAACAAGAUCAGCAUAUGUUGUAUCUAACAUUUAUAUUCAACAACUGGAAACCAUGUCAUAAAUACAUAUGAGAAAUAUUUAAAAAUCCUUGGUUGAAUACUCGUGCACUAACAUUUUUUAAAAGUUAAUUUUGUGUUUCUUUUUUCAUCUCUUUUAUUAUAAAAUUUCCUGAUUUACUUGAUAUCACCACUUAAUUUAGCAUUAAAAAAAUGAAAUAUUUUUAUAAAAACUAUUUAUUUCUACUAAACCACUACUUUAAAACUAUCCAUUAUCAUACAACUUCUCUUUAAUAAUUCACUAUUCUUUCAACAUUCAUUAGUUUUUCAAACAUAAAAUUUAUAAAUAAUUAUUUUUACCUACAUUUUGAAUGAUGCAAUUUCUAGCUAUACACUAAAAUACUCCAUUUAUCAAUUUAAUUUAAUUCAAAGAAUUAUGAUAAUAAUUGAAAUUUCAAAAAAGAAAAACAACUAAAUAAUUGAAUAUUUAUAUACAAAAAUAAAACAAACAAGACAGACUUAAGCUUUCUUACCCCAAAGACAAGAUCUUUAUUCAAAAUGCAAAACUAGCAAAAUACUCCCUAAAAUUCAUCUAAACACAUCUUCUAAAGAUGUAAUACCCAAGAAGAUUGCCCACAGUUGAGUAACGGCAACUGCUGAUGCACUUCCCGACGAAAGAAAACCAAACUCCUCGCCAAUGUGGAUUUAUGUAAAGGAUAACAACAAUUGUUAACAACAUAACUACAUAAGAAGCCAAAAAGCUCACACAAAAAACAUAUGUGUCUAGAAAACUAUCUUCUCUUUCAUCAUCUGAUAUUGUUGAUGUUGAACCGGUUUUGGAGCAACUUAUAUGAAGCAUAGGUCCACAGAGAAAAGGGUUCCCCUCGUAACUGCUUUCAAUGAAAGUCCCAAAUUGGUUUUGUUCUGGAAUACUACCUGACAAGUUGUUGUGUGCAACACUGAAAACCCCCAGAGAGUUCAACUCUACCAGCUGGUUUGGGAUUUCACCACUCAAGUUGUUGUAAGAAAGAUCCAAACUCUCAAUCUGCUUAAGUUUUGAGAAUGAUGAGGGUAUAACUCCGACCAACUUAUUGUGUGACAAGUUCAAAGAAUGGAUUUCAUGCAAGUUCCCUAAUUCAAGUGGGAUUUGACCGGUUAACUCAUUGCAAGAUAAAUCAAUCCCAGACAUGUACUCAAGGAUGUCGCCUCCAUAUGAGUAGGAUCCACUCUUUGUGGUAAACUCUACCGAUUCUUUCAUGUAGCUAUAGGAAUGCAUCAUGUGCUCGAAAAGUAUACCCGUCUUUAAUAGUUUCAAUUCAUCCAGUUCUGAAAAUGUUGGCGACAUUAAAUCUGGUGUCAUGGUCUUAUCCUUAUUCAUUGGAAGAGUUAAAUUUCCCAAACAAGAAGGUAUAGGACCGGAAAACCUAUUUUGAGAAAGAUCUAUAAUGCUCAAGGAAUACAAGGUGCAUAACUGGACUGGAAUUCUUCCCUGUAAAUGAUUAGCUUUCAAGAGAAGGACACUCAAAGAAGAAAGUGUGUCGAUCCAUUUUGGAAUACCACCAGUAAAAUUGUUUCCUCUAAGAUCUAAUGUCACUAGUGAAGUGCUUUUAUUAAAAGCAAGUGACAAUGGACCACCCAGUCUAUUAUUGUGCAGGUGGACAUACUCUAGGUUUGGAGGAUUAAAACAAGAUGGUAUAGAGCCAGAUAAAUUAUUUUCAGAAAGAUCCAAAAAUUUGAAGUUAUUCAAGUUGCAAAAUUCCACUGGAAUAGAACCCUCGACACCAUUGUUAGACAAGUCUAAUCUCUCCAAAAGUGACAUAUUCCCUAUCCAUCUUGGAAGCUUUCCAUGCAAUCUGUUGUUACUGAGAUCAAUAUCUGUUAGUGAUGUUGGAAACUGAAAAGUAGAGACAUCAAAAUUUGUCAUCUCUCCAGAAAAAUUAUUUCCAUCCAAAUAUAAUUUUUGUAACCCAUUUGCAUUGAGAAUCACAGGAACUACAUUUCCAUUGAGGUUGUUGUUUGACAGUCUCAAAAGAAAUAGUGAGCUUUUCCUGACCAACUCUUGAGGUACUUUUCCAGCCAAUUGAUUGUUUGAUAGAUCUAACAUUGACAAAUUCUUCAUGGCGCUUAAACAAGGAGGGAUAUUGCCUUGAAAGGCAUUCUUGGAUAAGAAUAACUGCUCCAAAUGUGGAAAAGUUGAACAUAUAUUGGUUGGAAGCGGACCUUGUAUUUUGUUGUCAGACAUGUCGAUUGAAGAUACAUUUGAAUUAGGAGUCGACAGUAAUGUGAGAGGACCUGUAAAAGAAUUACCCUUCAAGAUGAGAUCUUCUAACUUUGUGUUGUUUUCUAACAACCAAAAUGGGACAGUUCCACUGAAUUUGUUCUGAGAAAGAUCCACAAAUCUCAAGUCAUUUUGGUAGUAAAGGAAGGUAGGAAGUUCAAGACUGAGUUGUUGAGAUGUUCUGCACUUGGACAAACUAAUGAAUUUCAAUUGGAAUUUCGGGACUAAGGUGUGGAAGGAAGGUUCCAUUUCCAACUUGUUUUCAUCAGCCAAGAGGACCUCAAGGUUUGGAAAGUUUGCAAGUGGUACGAAUGAAAUUGGAAUUUGAAAAUGAUUACUUGAAAGAGAAAUGGCUCUGAGUGAUGUAAGACUUGCUAAAGGAGUUAGAUUUCCGGAAAAUCGAUUGUUGGAGAUAUCUAACUCACGAAGAGAUGUCAAGUUACUGAAACAAUGAGGAAGCAUCCCCUCAAGUGCAUUCCAACUCACAUCCAACACUUCAAGGUUCCUUAGAUCACACCAUCCUGAAAAAUUUAU
rnacentral:lncRNA from 1 species